GGACCGGCGCUGAAGACUGACGUACCGGCCUGCUGUAGAUUAACUUAAGGUCUGACCGGAGCAUGCACAGCAAAUCAAGACCCAGCAUGGAGCGCUUUCCUUGUUGCAUGGGGCUGCAUGGGGCUCAUAUAUUUCGAGUUCAGUUCUUCACUCUUCAAGCAACCUGUCUUUGUCACAUGUAGCUACAUACCUAUCGUUCAGCACUAUCAGCACCAUGUAGAGACUUCGUGGUCCUCUGGCAGUCGGCCAUGGACUUGCUUUCAAAGUUGGCGCUCAAGUCUACAGGGCGAGUCUUCAAGUCCUGCUAAGCCCUGGCAUCAAUCUUUGGAAGGUAUUUUAUGAGCUGCUGGUGCUGGGGCUGGGCUGCGCUGUCGCAGGGGGUGUCGGACCCUCGUUGACCGGGUCUACAACUAAGCCAGGUCUUGACGCUGCUGUUACAGGAUGUAAAUCAAGCAUCAGAGACCAAGUCUGGAAUCAACAGUGCCAGGUGAGGCAGGUCAGGACACAUAGCGACAGCCAUUUUGGGUUUGACAAGCGACAACAAAUUCAGGGGGUCAAGCGAGCUAGCAUCCAUGCGCAGUAUGGACGAAGUUGUAAGAGCAUAAGCAGAAAUUCAGAGUGUGAAGCUCCCCCCUCCCCCUCCCCUUGUCUCCUCAGGUCCGGCACUGGAAUUCGACUCGGGGCGCGGCGCGCGUAAAUGCGUGGCCCUUCUAACCCUCACCAGGCAAGUUUGAUCGGAAGUUGCUACACAACUCAUAAUAGGAUGAAUGAUAGGAUUUGAAUGACGUACAUGGGAAGUGAGUUCUAGGGGACCGAAUGCGGUCUAGGCCCUGCCCUGCACGACACCGUGCCACCAUGCACUAACCAACUUACCCCAAACACCAUGCAGGCCGAGCUCAAGUACGGAGGCGGCUAGCGGCAAGCGGCAGACUUCAGGUGGCGGCAGCGGAAUUGGCAGGCGGCGCUGUGCGCGCAUGGUGUUAUGGUGUGAUCGGCGGGUGGCUGGGUGUAGUGCUGGCAGGGGAUCCGUAUCGGUUGCCUUCACACUUGCCUCGAGACCCUGAGUAUGCCUGGUCUGUACGUUUAGUGUUGUGUAGUGCCCCGCUGGUUCUCCCCCCCCCAGCCACGUGCGUGUUCAGCCGUGGUCUGGCAUGCUCAGUGGGGCAGACAGUGAAUGGAAAGCAAGCGCGCACAUGCGCAGUGAACAAACAGCACACAUAAAAGACAGACAAUCUUGUGGACAGACGACACGCAUAAAGGACAGACAAUCCGCGGCCAGCGACGCGCGCUAACCUCCUUCUGUGUGCGGCCUCGGUCCACACCAUGCACCAGGCUUAGCCUGUGCCUAGAAACAUCAGACAAAUGCGCAAUGUUUAUGCAGCUAUUGAGCGGCGAAGCGCAGCACCGUGUAUGCCAGCGGUACUGCCCGUGGCAGGCGCUGCAUCAGGGGGCUGCGCUCACGACAGGUGAACAUCACGUUGUUCCCGACAUCCUGUGAUCAUCUGAGGUCCAACCACAGCAGACGAGCGCUAAGCAUCGCGAACGCACAGGUAACAGCGCAAUGCCGAAAGGCACGCUAGCCUCAGGGUGUGUCGGCGUUGAUGUUCCCUCCCUCAACUCCUCUUGGGUGCCAGCGGCACGACUUCAUGACUAGAACACGGGCUCGCCCACGUUCAUGGCGGAUACGAAGCCCCAUCGCUUCACCUUCUUGGUGAGCAAAACAAACCAGAUGCAGGUGGCACAAGUAGCAGUCAGCAACUCGCCGUUGGCGUGUUUGGUGCGCAGCCACCUGAGACGGGCCUUGCUGGCGCAUCCGACGUAGUCGCGGGGUACCCGCGCGAUCACGGCAUCAGUGGCGUGAUCACGCGCGACCUCCAUUGAAGACUCAACGGCAGAGGGUCCGGCCUCCAGCCAAAUGAUGUUCAUGCCGAUGCCGUCCUGACGCGCGCGCUGAAGAGUAUCAGUAGAGACGGCGGCUUUGCCGCCAGUGGCGCGACUGCGACGCAAGGUGCAGCCGUGCGCGCGGAGCCAGGAGGCUGUGGCGUCAGGCACAUUGAGUGGAGCGUAGAUAGACGAGAUACUGGAGAAGUUGACUAGCUCCGCAAGCGCCUCCAACUCUGACGGUGUAGAAACAGGGAUGACCAUGCCCAUGGGCACAUGCUCGUCAGCCGGCGCCUUUGGCGCGGCCUGAGCGUGGGUAACGGCGGCAGCAGCCUGCUGCUUGCUGACCAGACGGGGGCGCAGCUGAGUGUGCGUGACGCUCUCAGAGGAGCCGUCGGGAUAUUCGAUCAGAAAAUAGUGUACACGGCGCCGCUGGCCCGCAUAACUGACGACGCCGGUGUUGGUGGCACUCCGCGCCCGCUUGCCCUUGGCCUCCCGCAUGGCCAGCGCACCCUGAAGCUGCCGGAACUUAGCCGGCGGCACGGCCGCAGCCUGCCGCUCACCUUGGGCUUGACGCAUGCUGUCAGGAGUGACGCCCUUCUUUGUGCAGGCCGGGCAGACCCACGUGCCUUCGGGGAUGCCCUCGAGAGGAGGGGUAAGACAGAACGUGUGCCAACCGCUGCCGCAGGCGUCGCACAGCAGCAUCCACUCCUCGUUGUCAGGCAUUUUGCAGACUUCGCAGGCGAGGGUGACAGAGGGACGCGCCAGGCGCGGGUCGAUGGCGCCGUCGGCUAUGGGCAGGUGACACGGAGCCACGUGCGUGACGUGGGUGGAGAUCUUGGUACCGCAGCGGCCCUCCAGGAUGACCACACCAGAAGGACGCAGCUCAGUUACUCGCAGGAUGUCAGGGCGUGCCUGAGCGUCGAGCGCGGUACGCUCAGACGUGUUGCGGUAGUACACAUAAUCACCCACUUCGAAGCGGCGAAUCUUGGGGUCGUAGCCGCCACCACGCAUCUUGGCGUAGUGCAGCUUGUCGCGGUGCUGAGCCACCGCCAAGUUUCCACCAGCGAUGACCAUGUUCUUGCGCAGUGCUGCGGCGCGCAGCAUGACGGAGCGAGCAGCCGCCUCGGGAUCAUCCAGAUCCAACUCGCCUUCAAACCGCGGCUUUGCCGCCGGUGGAAUCACUGGAUCGGUGGCGAAGAUGAUGGUGUAGGGGCAGAGCUUGGUGGAAUUCUGGACUGAGCAGUUGUAGCCCAGCGUGAUUGAUGGCAGGUGCUGGUCCCAGUCGUUGACUGAGCCAGCUCCCAGCGCCAGCUUGAUGAGCGCCUUCUUGCAGGUUUGCACGGCGCGCUCACUCAGGCCGUUGGCCUGGGGAUGGUUGGCCGAAGUCUGGCGGUGGUCGAUGAGGGCGUUGAGCAGCAUGGUUGCAAACUCGCCCUUCCACUCGCUGCCUUGGUCGGUACACACCUCGGCGCACGCGCCGUACACGCCUAGCACGUGGUGCUGGAAUGCGAAGGCGGUAUCGUGUGCAUGCUUGGAUGGAAUUGGUAGAAAGAGCACGAAUUUGCUGAAGUGCUCGACGCAGACCAUAACAUACUUGUUUCCAUGCUUGGUUUCGUUGAAAGGGCCACACAGGUCGACGCCCCAGCGGUAGAACAGACCGCCGAUGGGAAGGGGGCGCAGCUCCUGUUGCUGACCGUUGUAGCUGGCCUUGGCACGAUCGCACGCUUCGCAGUGCUUGACCGCGCUGCGCACGUCGUCGCUGAUGCCGGGCCACCAGUAGGAGUGAAGCAGCAGAGCUGUGGUACGACGCACACCGAAGUGCCCAGCUUGCUCAUGAGUGCGCCGCACAAGCUCACCCCGCUCCGCUGGUCUUGGGACUUGACGGAGCUUGCCGUCAAGAAGCACGAUGAAUAGCUGAUCACCUUGCCAGCGGUAGCGUGAUGCACGACUCCGGACGCGGCGCUGUUCGUUGUCGGACCUGGGGGGUUGCUCUUCUCCGCCGCCGCGCAGCGCAGCAAUCAGCGCGUCAUCAGCCCAGGGAUCCUUGAGCGUAGCAUUGGCAGGCGUGUCUUCGGGCUCCAGGGCUGCAGAGGCGAGAGCGAAGACAAUGGUGUCGUCUGCCACUGUCGGCGACUGGGACAUUGAUGACGCCAGGCCACGGGUGCUUGUGGCGUGCAGGACCAGGGCACUUGCCCCAGCCGUGGUGGCAGGGCCCGCGUCCUCGGCAAGGACGCGCCCGAUGGCUAUGAUGCUGGCGAGAUAGGAGACGUCCGGUGCGGUUGCCAACAGCGCUUUGCGCUGGCCCUCGUCGAGGUCUGGGGCAGCCGAUGCCUGACCGUCAAAGCCGAGGAGCUUCUCGCACUCGUCGGCCGUAGGCGGCGUGUGACGCCUUUGGAAGGCGUCCUUGAUGGGGCAGGCGGCGGUAGGCUGGUCGGCGGCCACGGUAGCUGGGAUCGUGGCCGGCAUGAGCGCCUUGACCGGCUUGCCUUCCAGGUCACAAGGGUAAAAGGGGGCACGCAGUUGCUUGACUGCGUUGGGCACGGUGCGCCCGUGCCCCAGAAACGAUUGCACGUCGGCACCAGCUGGGCGGUGAGCCACGUCGGCGAGGCCACGCAGGUCAGCCGAGUCCGCGAGCGAUGUCCAGGUGCGGUUGAGCUGAUGGAAGCCCGAACCAAAACGUGCCGAAUCUGACACCAGGGGCGCUCCCCAUGCCUCGCGCAUGGCCGCGUCGGCGUCGCGUUGCUCGGGUGGGGGCGUCUCAUUGGCGUUGAAGGUGGAGCUGCUGACGAACAUGACGCGUUGUUCGCCCAGCAAUCUGCGCGCAGCGCGCAGAGUCUUGAGCACAGAGGCCUGGGUGACGGUGUCACCUGCUUGCCAGUGUGCGAUGAUGAGAACGGGGAGGCCGGAGCUUGCUAGCUCCCUCAGCUGCGUGUCUUUGACACUGCUGAGUUCUGGUGGGAGCGUUGUGAGGCUCGCACUCCAUGCCGUGGCGGGGAAGAGAUCAGGCCGCAGGUCGGUGAUGGCGGAGAGGCGGCGAUUGAGGGCCGCUCGGCCCGCCGCUGACGGGUCGGAGUAGACGUAGCGCCUGAUGGGGAUUCCAUUGAGUAGGCAGGCAUCCAGUCCACUCCCAAGGCCUCCCGUUGCUUCCCAGAGCACCAGGCCCUUGCGCAGCGCCUCAUCAUACCAGGCCGCUGCCGUGAGCGUGGCUGGGGCUGGCGUUGGCGGUGACGGUGGUGCGGCGGUGGCGCCGCGCUGGCGCAGCUUGAAGGCAGCUCGCCACUCCAGGGCCGCACUGCGCAGCAGCAUGCGUGCCGCUUUGCCCUCGCGGUCUGCUGCAUCUGGUGGCGGUGACGAUGCCUCGUAUGCCCAGCCGUUCCAACCCGCCAGCGAUUCGUCGGCGCUGGGGAUGAAGUCAGACGCGAAGGGGGCUACGGGAACAGAGGUGUUGAGCGCCACAUGCAGCACCUCGUGCUCUGAGAGGCUGGCAGACACGGCUGCCGCUGUUGGCGGCGCGCUGCUGCCGAAGCUGUCCGCAGGAGGGUCGUCCUCGUCCAGGCGCGCGCCUGAGCCGUCAACUGUAGUUGGUAGCGGAUUGCGGGAGAGGCCGUCGGCGUUCUGGUGUGUUACACCAGGGCGAUGCUCGACCACGAAGUUGUAUUCUUGAAGUACCAGUGCAAAGCGUGCGUACUGGCCCGUUAGGCCUUCUGAGCUCAUUAGGUACGUGAGCGGUUGGUGGUCGGUGACCAGCUUGAAGGGCGUGUCGGAGCCGAUGAGGUGAUGCCGGAACACCUUGAGAGCCCACACGGCAGCCAGCAUUUCGCCCUUGUACGAACUGUAGUUCGACUCGUGCUUGUUGAGCGAGCGUGAGAUGCAGGCGCACAUAUAUUCGCGUCCGUCCCCAUCAAGCUGGCCCAGCACGGCGGCGAUGCCCUUGUUGCUAAAGUCGGUGUGGACAAUCAGUUGUCGAGUAUAAUCAAUGCGCCGCAGGACGACGUUCGGUCUCAUGAACAUCUCUUUCAGGGCGCGGUGCGCAUCCUCCUGCUCCACCCCCCACCGCCAGGUGACGCCGUUCUUGAGCAGCGCGUUGAGCGGUGCGGCGAUCUCACUCAUGCGGGGUAUGUAGCACCGGUAGUAGUUGAUGAAUCCAAGCUGUGUGCGGAGCUCGGAGACGUUCUUGGGCGGUUGCAGCGCCUGAAUGGCCGCCACCUUAGCCUGGUGUGGUGAGAUGCCGAAGGUGGAGAGGUUGUGGCCGAGGUAUUCCACGACGUCGGCGCCGAAGAUGGAUUUGUCGGGGUGGGCACGCAGGCCACACGCCGCCAACGCAUCAAGCACUUUUCCCACAGCCUCGAUGUGCUCCUCAGCAGUUUCAGUAGCGAUCAGCACGUCGUCGAUGAAGGCCACAGCCAGGUGAUCCAAGCCAGCGGCGCGCAAUUCAUAGUCCAUGCGGCGCUGGAAGGUGGCGGAGGCGUUCUUGAGACCGUACGGCAUGCGCGUGUAGGCAAUGAGCCGGUUGCCACACCAGAAGGCGGUCUUGCCGUAAUCGUCAGGAUGAAUCGGGAUCUGCAGGAAGCCCUGCCUCAUAUCCAGCUUGCUGAAGUAGCGGGCUUUGCCCACACGCUGGAAAAUAUCCUCAGGCCGAUGCAGCCCAUACUUGUCACCUUUGGUGACUUUGUUGACCGGGCGGUAAUCCUGGGCCAUGCGCGCGGCAGUCCAGAGGCCGGUGGCCUCGUCACGUUUGGCGGCUAUGACGGGAUUGACUGCCACUUGCGUUGGGCCCGUCCACUCUAUGCAGAUGCCGGGCUUGAGCAGCUCAUUUGUUUUCUGCUGGAUGAUUUCGUUCUCCUUCGGGCUGUAGCGGCGUGGCGAUUGGAUGACGGGCUUGUCGGUUGUUAGCUCAAGCCGAAACGGUCCUCCGCCGCCACAGUAGCCGGGUAGCUCCUCCAUGCUGUACGCAAAAGCUGUUGAGCGUCGUGCGCGGACUUGGGCUUUCAGCAACGCGGCCUGGUCUGAUGUCAUGGCUACUGCGUUGCCCCAUACCCAGCCGCCCUCCUUGUCCUUCUCAUAGCGCUCUGAUGCGGCUGCGGCCAUCUUGCCGUCGAAGGUGAAUGACUCCACGCUGGCCAGCACGUGCGAAAGGCCUGGUGGGCCAGCGCCGUACUGCUGUUGGAGGUCCAAUGGGUCUUGCGCCAGGUCCCACCGCACGCGCAGGUGCGGCGGCGCGGAGCUCAGCGCGUUGGUCACGGCCUCGACCUGCUGCAGGGCCUGGAGUGCGGGCACGCCGCCUGCGGCGCCGCCCACAGCUCCGACGCGUGCCGCGAGAGAGAUGAGGGCGAUGGCGUACAGCAGGAAGACGGUGACGCCGUACCAGCUGCGCUUGGUGCCCACCUGCACCUCAGUGCGCGGACCGCGGUACUUCUUGCGCUUGCCCGUGCGCUUGGGAGGCUCCGCCGUGGCGCAGACGGGCUCAGUGCGGUCCAGUGAGCUGGCGAUGCGGUCUCCUCCUUUGCCAAACCAUCCGCCGAUGACGGACAGCCCGGCUGACAGCCACCCGCGCUUGGGCUUAUCAGGGGGCGGCGUGCCGUUGCCGCUGUUGGUCUCGGUUGCCAUUGUGCCGCUGCCGUCACCUUGGCUGGCCUCGCCGUUGGUGGGCUCAGCCGGGGCGCUGCCGUUGUGCUGCUUGCAGCUGUCUGCGGUGCAGCAGGGCGUCGCCGUGGCGGGCUGAGCGUGGUCGGUUGAGCUCUCGCCGGACGCUGAGCACUCGCUGGCCGUUGAACAUCCCCCCCCCAGCUUUGGUGAUGGGUCGCCGCCGAAGCUGGUGACGCAGGCAGCGUAGUGCUCAUGCGCCGCAAGCGCUGCGCGCACGCCGUGGGCGUUGCGCAGCGGCAGGCUCAGGACGAAGGAGGGGAAUUCCAGCAGGUUGGGGUGCAGGUGCAUCACGGGGCGAGGGAACACGGUGACGUAGCUGGCGACCGGCUGCAUCUGCUCGUUGCCGAUGAGCAUGUCGAACAGGUACGUGUCGCUCACCACCAGCGUCUUGGACAUGGGGAUGCGCACUUCGUACUGCGAGCCGGGCUUGAUGCGGAGCACCAGCUGCUUGUGCGCAAGCUCCUGAAGCGGUGACGCGCCAGCGGACGCUGCCGUGGACAGCGUUGCCCCAGUGGGGCGCACCGGCAGGUUGUGCAUGGACGCGAAGCUCUGAGUGACCAGGUUGACACUGGCGCUGUGGUCGCGCAGCACAAUGGGUGGCGGAGGGCCAGCGGGAGCGCUUUGCGCUUGCCCGCGGCUGCUGCCCGCCCCUCCGGCUCCUUGCUGCGCGCCGUUCUUGUUUUCAAUGGCGAAGUCGCCUGCCGAGCAGUAGAACAUCUUGUGCUUCUCGGCGAAGUAGCUCUGCAGCUGCGGCUGCCUGGCUACCAGCCUGGCCCACUCGGCCGUAGGGAUCUCGGUGAUGGCGCGGUACGUGCUGAGGAUCUGGCCGUCCGUGCCCACCGGCGGGUUGUUGGCGAUGUACGGGCUGGCCGUGUCGCCGAGGACCUCCGGCGUGAUGGACCGUGAGCCUCCGGCGCCGGUGCCGGUGGCGCAGACCGCCUCAGGUGGUAGUGCCUUGCCUGUCUCCUGUGCGACUCGCUGCCGCAGGCCCUCGUGCCACACCUCAUACGUGCCCAGCAGCUCACUGAGCUCCGCGUUCAGGGUGCGGCGCAGGUCGGCGUGCUUGGCGCGGAAGGUGCUGGAGGAGCGCGCCAGGUAGUCCUCCAGCGACAGGGUGGCCGGCCGCGGCGAUUCGCGGAAGGGCACUCCUGGAGUGCCGUGGAUGACGACGGGCUGAAACCCCAUGGGGGCGGGCUGCUGCCGAAGCGUAGCCAGCGCCGAGGUGUCGGGCCCCUGCGCCGAGGUGCCGGGCGGCGGACCUGAGGCCUCGUCGCCGGUGACCAGGGAGCAGCAGUCAGCCGGAGGGCCGCCGCUGGCGUUGCUGCCGCUUGCUGCUGCUGCGUCGUGGACGCGUGCCGCUGCGUGUUGCGCAGUGAAUAAGCUGGCUUCUAAUGCACCGGCACCGUGCGUCGCUAGCCCGCGUGCGCCCGCAGACGGGCUGUUGGGCGGUGCUGCUGUUAGCGGCGCUUUAGGAAUGCGGCUGCCUGCGGCUCCAGUAGAUGUCGCUCGUGGAACCGAAGAGCUGCGUAACUGAGGGCCCGAUGCCUUAGGCUCAGUACUGGUUGUCGGCGCCCUGCUGGGAGACGGCGGCCUGCUGUGGCGGCUGCCCGCAAACUGCGCCCCCCUUCUGGUUGCCCCUGGUCCCCGCUGCUGCUGACCCGGACGUGGUUCGGGCUCUACGGGCGGAAGUAGCUUUAGAAGCUGUUGCAACUCUCGAUUCGCCAGGGCUUACACCGUGCGUGACGGUCAGUGCUCUUCGAGCACGCUGGGGUCUCAGAAUGGAGUCGCUUGAAUCAAUGCAGCGCCUUAAGCACAGCGGGCUUGCCCGCGAAAUGCUUCUCAGUAAAUGGUCACACACCGCUGACGCUCGAAGCCUUGCCUACGUCACAGCUUGGCCCUACGUGAUGCCAGUUCCGAAUCACCUUGACAGCCGCUGCAUGCUCUGAUAGCAGUGACGCAAACCGACCUGUGAUCACUUCGUGAUCUAGUAAACACAAGCCAGUCACUUCGUGACUAUCAACCACCAGCAAUCAGUCACUUCGUGACCACCUCACACUCCCUCACAACCAGCAGUAUGUGAUCAAGCCACAACGCCAAUAGCCAGUCACUUCGUGACCAACCACCACCACUCCGUCACUUCGUGAACGGGUGCACAGCUAGCCCUGCAGCUCGCGCUGGCGCUGCUUCACCAGCAGGCGGCUGCGGCGGAACUCCACGUAGCUGUUGCGCAGCUCGCGGAUGUUGCCGCACUGCCAGGAGUAGUGGGUGGCGCGCACAGCUGUGCAUGGUUACAAACACCCACAGCCCAGGCGUAAGAGGGGCCACAAAGCCGUCCCUGCCAUCGCGCGAGUACCUUUUGCGGCGGUCAAGGUUAACGUCUUUGUCAGAGUUUGAGCUAAGGUCUGCUUGUAGCCCCUUGCUCGACGGCUAGCAGAACAGGCGGGUCGUGUGGCUCAGGAUGCCUCUCACGAAUAUUGUUUACACGUUGUAGCCUUCAGGCGGCUUCUGUGUACCGGUGGUCAGAUGUUCUGGAAUCGCUAAGUGAUAAAUCAAGUAGCUCAAACUCUGACAAGCAGGUUUGAGCUACGGCGCCCACUAAAAGGGCCGCCAGCGCGCCCAUGCCGCAGCUCCGGGGCGCUACUGGUCUGACUUACGAACGUCCACGAACCCACACGAUGCUCAGCAACGCCGUGUUGCUAACAGGUAAUUCAUCCCAUCUUGUACCGUUCUAACACGGAAACGCGUGGAGAUACGCCCAGAUCACGCAACACGCUGACGUGGGAAGUGACACACGUCCUAACACAAAACCCGCCACCUAGUUCCGAGUCAGGGUUUUGUCCCUCUAAGUGGCAAUCAUGCUAAGUAAUGCGUGCAAACACCAUGCGGUGACACGGCAUGCACGGUCACACGCCAGGGCGUGACACGGAGCCCUUGCGGUUGCAUCGAGUUCCAGGAGGGCCCUUGUCGGUUGCAACCUCCGGAGCCCUCCAGAGUCCGCCAGAGCCCGCCAGAGCCCGCCAGAGCCCGCCAGAGCCCGUCAGAGCCUUCAGAGCCCUCCAGAGGCUGAGCGGCUCUGAACCAGCCUGUGUCACAGAUGCCAGACCACCCUAAAAGCAGCAGGAAGCCGGGUGGUCGCGGCUGGCGAUCCGCUGGCUGUCUUUAAGCUGGCAACCCUUAGCGCCAAUUCGCAUCGUGGGCGGUGAUCCCGGCUUAGGCAACUACCUGGUGGCCUGUGUCGUGUCAAUGCCAGGCUUCUCACCGCACAGGUACAGUGGCCGGCCACGAGCCGCGCACGUCUGGCGUGGCCCAGACGGCCAGGCUCCUUGGCCUGCCCAGCCCCCACUGCAGCGACGGCGGAAGCGGCGGCGGCGACGGCAACAGCGGCGAUGGGAGCGGCAACAGCGGCGAUGGCAGCGGCAACAGCGGCGAUGGCAGCGGCAGCAGCGGCGAUGGCAGCGACAGCAGCGACGGCGUCGGCGGGGGCAGAAACGGAGGCGGCGGCGCAAGGGGGGCGGGAGGUGGAAGGGCAAGAGGCGAGGGUGGCGGGGCACGCGCCAGCACACGCAUCAGCGUGCCGCAACAGAACGGCGCCGCCAGCAGCGCGCCUGCUUUACCCGGCUGUCUGGCGCUGGCUACCGCCACUGCACAGGCCAGACAGGCCGUCGGCUGUGGCAGCAGGCACGGCUAGAGGAGCAGCCGGCGCUCAAGCGCUGUCAGGCGGGGAUACCCAGCGCGCGGGCGGCGUCGGCAGCUGAGCGUGAGCUGCGAGUACGCUACCUCUACUCUGGAGGUGGCGUGGACGCGGCGGCGGCGGCCGCGGGUCUGCGCCUGCGCCGGUGCAACAGUACGGGCUGUGGCACCUGCUCCGUUUCUACCGGCAGUGGGGCCAGCGGCGGUGGCGCCUGACUGUCCAUGUGCGGACGCAGAAGGUGGGGUUUGAGGGGAGGGGGCCAGCAGAUGCAUCCACACCAACUGAAUUGCGCUGACGCUACACCAAUGCCACGGGUACAGGUGCUGGCGCACACGGCGCAGGAGCUGGCUGGUGUAAGGCCCAAGGAGGAGGUCAUUGAUGGCUGGGGCAACGCCAACACCGGCUAUGGCGGUUGCAUCAGCAGGUUGGGGCGGGGCCCAAACCGGGCACUGCUCCGCCUGCUGGUGGACAAGUACGCCCACCUGGUGGUGUACGUGGACGAGUUCUACACAUCACAGGCAAGAUGAGAGCAGACGGGUUGGAAUGAGUAGACAUGUGGUCGGGUGGACAGGAUGGGGCUCGUGUACAGGUAGCCGGGUAGCCAGCAAGGUUCACACUGUACUCCUGCCCCCUCAUUCCCCAGGUAUGUGCGAAGUGGGGGCGGCGCUUGCUCGGCGACAGGCAGCGCUGCCUGCAGGCGGUCGUACCAUGGGGGAGGCUCACGUGCUCUCCAAGUCCAAGUGUGCAACCACUGCGGGACGGUGUGGGUGAGUCUACUUUGCGGGCGGGCGGCAGGCUGGGUGAUGGCUGGGUGGCUGGGUGUGUAAUGGGACAGGGUGAUGGCUGGGUGGCUGGGUGACGGCUCAGUGGGGCUCAGUGGGGCCCAGUGGGGCUCAGUCGUGGGCUCAGUAGGGCUCAGUGGGGAUGACACGUGGAUGACACGGCUCAGUGGGUGAGGGCUCAGUGGGGCUCAGUGGGGCUCAGUCGUGGGCUCAGUGGGGCUCAGUGGGUGGUGGCUGGGUGACGGCUGGGUGAUGGCUCAGUCGUGGGCUCAGUGGGACGCACUCAAUCUACCCUCCCGACGGUGCAGGGACGUGACGUCAACUCCGCAACCAACAUCCGGCACGCGCUGGUGGAGAUGAUGCUGGGGCACAAGCGACCUGCAUCGCUGCAGACUGGCGGCGGCAGCGGCGGCGGCAGCGGUGGCGGCGGCGGCGGCGGCGGGGCGCGUGCGCGCAUCUUGGUAGCGGAGGGGGCGGGAAAGGCCAUGUGGAGGAGGAGAGCGCAGCGCCGCCCAAGAAGCGGCGCAAGCGCGCAGGCUGAGGAGCCGGCUGGUGUCUAGGUAGCGGUCCGCGGUGGGGCUGGCAGGGCAUGCGUAGCGGCAUGACAAGUAGCGCGGCUGUUGACAACUGUGCUGCGUCUGGCUGCGGUUGGCUCUGCCGUGGCAUCGCGAUUGCUAGGCAUCGGGUUUGGCUAUGUGCCUGUUGAAACCGACCCCGGCUAUGUCCGGGCAAUGAGGUUGUUCGGCCUCAGACUGUGGAGGGGCUCAGCCCCUUUUCCCGUGACCGGGGAACACUUGUCUGUGAAGCGCUCGCGCAUUUGAAGUCAACUUUGGUGUUGGCCCUACAACAGCACGCCGCACUCAGCAUAUUAAGGAGGCACCUAUCCUGAUGAGGCACUCGCAGAUGGGGACUACAAGCUGUCGCUGCACAAGGGGCAGCGUGCUAAGAAUGCGCGCGUGGUGAGUGGGUUCAAGCCUGGUGGCUGCGCACGAUUGUUGGAGGGCAAGGGGCUGUUUGACGAGGAGCAGGCCACCAAUCCACAGCACAUCUACACCGUGACUUCGCAAAGAGGUUGUCGUUUCGCUGUGGAGGGCAAGCGGCACCUGUACCGUCCGUCAGAGAUGUUGUUGGUGCGUGAGGCGACUGACAGGGUGGCGGGUGGGGCGACGCGACAGGCAGAGGCAGCGCAGGAGCAGCACCAGGUGCGGCUCAUUGUGCGCGCUCUUGCAGCCACCCAGAAGAAGGCCACUCGCGCGAUUGAGAAACAAGCGCCUCCCACGUCUCCUGCACCUGCGUAGAAGCCAGCUGGCAAGCGUGGUGGCCGGUUGGGUUAGCGCGAGCAGGUGCGUGGCGAAACACAUUUUUAAGGUGUAUGUCGGGCGUGUGUCCGUGGUGGACGCUGCCUGCCGCGCGGGUAGCGUGUGUCUUGGUGCAGACAGUGUUGUACAGUGCUGUAAAUGUGUGGCCAGAACCACAUGUGCGGCUGGCUACCUGUGGCCCGACUGCUAGGUGUAACCUGCAGUCCCGCAUGUUGGCAUUCACAGCAUGCAGCACCAGAUAGAAUGCGUUACGUACUAGCCCUGAGGCCCCCCACCUUGCCACCUGCAUCGCCACCUGUAUCACACAGUCCGCGCCGUGGUGCCAGCCCUCUCAACGCGUUGCUGGCCUGCUCCUGCCAGCAUCAGGACCACGGCCACGGCAAUCUGCAGCAGUCUCACGCUUUUCUUCUUGCUUGUGCUACCUACUGGCUUCGGCUCUACAACGUCAUGUUCGCUUGUGCGUGUUGCGUUUUUUCAAGCGCGUCAAUUGAGCCUACUGUAAUCUGCCUGCGUGCCCUGCCUGACCGGCUGUGAGAGCCUGGGAGGCAGAAUCCCACACUUGAAACGAUACGCCCUCAGGCAUGGACAUCUUCAGAGAGUUCAGACUUAUGUGGACCAGCCGUCAUGCUGCAUUGCUGCACCUGUACAUGCCCCACGACCCCGAACCGGAUCCCCAGCGGCGACGACUCCUUGACUAUUGGGGCCUAUUGGGCUCGGGCACAUACCCCCCCCCCCCCCACGCCCCCCACACACAAGUAGUCACACAUGCCUUGUAUCAAAUCACCUGAGGAGCCACGCACCCACACAACCUGCACUCGUCUCGACACCACCACUGCACGGAUUGGAUGCAGGCACGGCAGCUACACCAACAAGCAACUCCUGCAACGGCCGCAAUCGCCAGCAAACCACAACCCCGCCCCCCACCUACUGCUCCCCUACCAGCAUCACAGGGCCAAUCAACAACCGCCGCCAGCAGCCCUGGUGCAUGCCCUAUGCGGCCGCCGCGGUCUCGCCAGCGGGAGGCGGCCCGCUUGCUGCUGCAGCCGGCGCCGCGGGCUGCUGCUGCGGCUGCUUGGGGGCCGUUGGCGGCGCCGCGGGCUUCAGAGUCAGGAGCCAGGUGUUCUUCAUCUGCCAAGCACAAGUACGAAAGCGGGAAUCAGAUACGUGUUCCACAAUACCGUAAGGGGCAAGGUAAACAUGGGGUGUUGCCCUCAGUCCUGCAAGCCCUGCCAUUUAACUCCUUGCUGUUGCCCUCUCGGACCCCCAAAUUCAGGUACCCCGCCCCUCUCCGCUCAUCCUGCCUUUCGCUCCCUCAAAGUUAUAGUACCCGCUGUCACCACAAGACGUCGGCACUUUACACUUCACUCGGUCGUCUACCUCCCCCGUUGCCAAAGCAUAGGCCACGCUCUCCUCCUCGCUCUUUUGCAUUGGGCUCGGUUUGAAGUGGGCUGGUAUUUAUUACAACCCCCUUCACCCGCACCUGCCGCUUGCCGCCCAUGGGCUGCCCCUUGCCCACCAGCCGCCCCGCCACGCUCUCCACCAGCGCCGCCGCCGCCUUGCCGCCCUCCUCAUCGCCGCCCUUGAAUUGCACAACCAGCUGCACCCUGCGGGGAGCGGGGGAGAGCAGCGCGGGGCGGAGGUGUGCGUGUGUGCGUGUGUGGUGGUGGUGAUACUCUUGAUACGGGUUGCGCGGUGCGAAUGCACAGUGGCUGGGACAGGGGCGUCGCCACAAGGGGAGGAAUGCAGCAGCACACAGGGCAGUGCAUGCGCCGUAUACGCACUGUGGCACAGCGGCACACAGCUCCACGUCACCAUCCGGCACCGCCGGCCUCGGCCUGGCAUCCCCCUAGCCGCCCACACACUGCAUGCACCUCCCAACCAUUCACACACACGAUAGCCCAUCGCCAUCCCACUUCCACCCAACCACCACCCCACUGUCACCCCACUUCCACCCAACCACCACCCAUUGCACCCAACCACCACCACGCACCUGAGCCCAUCCUCCAGCCAGCCCUCCGCGCGCCGCAGCUUUGUGGCCAGGUCAUGUUCGCUGAUGCGCGGCCGCAGCUGCAGCUCCUUGGCGGCCGGUUGCGGCGACUGCGGCUGCUGCAGCGCCUUGCCCGCGCCCUGCCGCGCCUUUGGCGGCUGCUGCUGCUGUUGUUGUUGUUGUUGUUGCUGUUGCUGUUGCUGUCGUGGUUUGGGCGUUGGGGUGGCGGAGGUGUUGCUGGUGGUGGCCGCGCUGGCGCUAGGGCCGCGGCCGGGGUUGUUGGCGCCGCCGCCGCCGCUGGGGUUGGCGCCAGCGCGCUCCCGCUGUGGCUGCGCACCCUGGCUCAUGAGCCGCACCCCGCUAUACGGCGUGGGGGUGGAGUGGGUCGGGUCCCAGGGGCCGCAGGAGGCGAUCCGGCACGCGUCAAGUGGGGCAGGGCUGACAGAGGCUGGGGAGGAAGCGCCGAGGAAUGCCGCUACAGCGCUCCCAGCGGGGGCGCUGCUGCGGAUGGGACUGGGGCUGGGGGCCGUGGCGUCGCAGGCCCCACGCCAGCCGUGCAGGGCGCUGCCGGAGGCACGAGGGGCUCCCGAAAUGGCGUCGGCUUGGUUGGCAAAGCAGGCGGGUGCGGCUUGAAGGUUGGGAGUGCUGGUGCGGCCCCCAUCCGUCGGGCUGUCGAGGGUCCCAGCUCCAAGGUUGCAUUCCCCUGCUGCGCAUGAGCUUGCCGCAGUCUGAGAUGACAGGGCACGCAAAGUUAGGGCUGAUAGGACGUCAGAAAAGCAACCUCCGAGUCCGAGUGCAGCGGCCAGAACGGGGCCCUUGUAAUGACUUCGCCCUUGCCGCGAAAGCUGGCACAGCAACAGCUGCAGCGACAUGGUGAUAGAUAUAUGUAGUAUUACAUAUAAUGUACAGCCCAAGGUGACAACGGAGGUCAUUGUGGAAUGAAAGUCGAGGUGUUGCAUGCAAAUUGGCCAACUUUCGAUUUCGCCCAAAACAUCAGUCGGUUACCUUUGCACUGCAUUACCAAUAUAUAGUAGUACCUCACUUGACUAUUUUAUUGCUCUCAAAAUGAUGCUCAGCACGAAGGCCCUCGCGGCUCGGCCCAGUCGCCGCGCUCUGUCCGUGCGCGCUAGCUCGGUGCAGGGCAAGAACGUGUUCAUCACCGGUGGUAACACGGGCAUCGGUUAUGAGACGGCCCUGACGCUGGCUCGGGAGGGCGCAAAGGUCACCAUCGCUGCUCGGGACGCCAACAAGGCUGCGAAUGCCCUGGCCCAGAUUCGGUAAGUAAACUUCGACAAGCUAAGACUAGGCGCAACAUGCCCUCCGCGUUUGCGGUGCGGGCAACACCAGCCACACGUCGUUCCGCCUCCCGCCCACACACCAGCGGCUCUCCUGUGCCCGGCGACCCUGCAUGACCCCUGGCCGACCCCCGGCCACGCCGCUUCUCCCCGCCUUCCCACACACCAUCCCUCCUUAUCCCGCCCCCUCUCCUCCUCUUCUUUCCCAAACCAAUCCGCGCGCCUGACCCACCUCAACCCACCCCACCCCACCUCUCCACCUCUCGCCACCCCUGCCGCACGCCACGCAGCGCCGCUGUGCCCUCCGCCGCCGUGGACUCGCUGCCGCUGGACCUGUCUGACCUGGUGUCGGUGUCCGACUGCGCAAAGCGGGUGGCGGACAGCGGCGUGGCGUACGACGUGUGGAUCAACAACGCGGGUGGGUGGGGAGCAGAAAAGAAGAUGGAGGACAGUACGGGUUAGGGCUUCUGGGGGAUAAAGAAUCGUUACAGAGCAUUGUAGGAAUGGGUGGGAGGUAUGUGCAAGGGUCUGCAGGAGUCGAGGGGCACCGGGAUCAGCAGCCGCAUGCGCAGACCGCAUUAGGAAGCCAAAGCGUGGGUACUGGGGUGGGAGCGGUUGCGGAUCGGAGGGUCAAGUGCGCGCGCUCCGAGGGGCGGCGUGGGGGCACCGGGCAUCAGCCGGGUGGUUGUGUUGUGGGUCACCGGCGGUGCAGUUUGCAUACUAGCCUGUCAACACACGCGAGGUAGACCCCAUCUGAAGCCCGUACCACUGCCUAUCAGCUCACAAAGUCUCCACGAACCCACCUCACCUUCAUGCCCCUCUCGCCUCCCGCCCCCGAAGGCGUGAUGGCCACCCCCAAGAUGUCCACCGCCCAGGGCUUCGAGUACCAGCUGGGCGUCAACCACCUGGGCCACUUCGCGCUCACCACCGCCGUGCUGCCGGCGCUGCAGGCUGCCAACAAGUGAGUGACGCCUCUCCCGGGUUUACUGGGUCGUCCGGCUCGCCUAGCUCGUUAAGUUUGUGUCCUGGGUCUUCAGUUUUGAGUUUUAGCUUUCGAGUUUUGAGUUUUCAGUUUGUAGACCGGCUUGAGGCUUGGGUCGUGUAGUGCCUGGGCGGGAGGCAGGCAGCUGAGGGCACUGGGCACUGGGCCUGGCCUGCAUGGCGGGGCAGGGAGGAUGCAUGGCACCACCACCGCCUGAUGCUCCCUCACAGCCUCCUCCCUCAUGAGCGUCAUGGCCAAACCCCAAUGACGCAACGCCUCUCCCCACACCUGAGAACCUGGAGUUAAGACCCCCGACUGCCCCGCCCCCCGCCCUGCCUGCCCCCCACCUCCUCCUCCACCUCCACCGCCUCCCCUUUCCCCCCUCCCGCAAGGCCUGUCCGCGUCAUCAACGUGGCCUCCGCCGCGCACAUGUUCGGCAAGAUUGACUUUGACGACCUCAUGCGCGACCGCAACUACGACGCCUGGGAGGCGUACGGCCAGGUGCGAUGGCUGCGUAUUGCGUAUUGCGUAUUGCGUGUUGUGUGUGUGUGUGUAUGUGUGUGUGUGUGUAUGUGUGUGUGUGUGUUGGGUUUUGGGUUUUGGGGCGGGCGGGGUUGUAUGCAUGUUGGGUGUGCAUCGGAGUGCGUCGCUUCCCAUUUCAGGUCAAGUCAAGAACUGCAGCGUGGGGCGGGGGUGCACGGGAGCUGCGGGUGGUAGUGGCACAUCUUGCUUAAUUCCACCCCACCACCCCACAUGCGCCCCUCAGCCCCACACGCUCCGUCCUCCCCUCCCUCUCUCCCGUCCCUCCUCUUUGGACAGUCCAAGCUGGCCAACGUCAUGUUCACGUACGAGAUGGCUCGCCGCGUGGGCCCCACCAGCCCCAUCACCGUCAACGCACUGCACCCGGGUGUGGUCAAGACGGAGCUGGGCAGGUGCGUGGCUGUGGGGUUGCUGGGGGUGGCGGGGGGGGGUCGGGCGGGAGGCGGGAAGGGUAGGGUGGGUGGGCGGAUGGCAGGUGGAUUGCACCCUUCCAAUGUAGGGCGUGGGGUUACAGGCGCAGCGUGCUCUUUCUUUCUCACACAGAAACACUGAAGCACACACAUACACACACGCACACACACACACACACACACACAUCCGAAAACCGUCGCUUUGCUGCAUCGCAUACAUUGAUUUUGCGCAAUGUUUUCCUUGUGCUCCUUAACACACACACACACACACACACACACACACACACACACACACACACACACACACACACACACACACACACACACACACACACACACACACACACACACACACACACACACACACACACACACACACACACACACACACACACACACACACACACACACACACACACACACACACACACACACACACACACACACACACACACACACACACACACACACACACACACACACACACACACACACACACACACACACACACACACACACACACACACACACACACACACACACACACACACACACACACACACACACACACACACACACACACACACACACACACACACACACACACACACACACACACACACAGUCCUAAACACACGUGUGUUCGUGCGCCCCUCACUCUCCCCUGCCUCCCAGGUACAUGAUCGAGGACGACAAGAACAAGUCCAACCCCAUCUUCCCCGUCGCCAUGGAGCUCAUGAAGCUGUUCAUGCUGGAGCCCAUCGAGGUGAGGAGCCGGGGGGGGGGAGGGCGGGGAGGCGGAGGAGGAGGAGGAGGAGGCGGGAGGGAAGGGGGCGGGAGGGAAGGGGGCGGCGGGGGGGCGGAGGAGGGGGCCGGAGAGGCGGCGGGAGGGAAGGGGGCUGGGGAUGGGAGAAAGGGGGCUGGCGGAUGCUGGAGGGGUGAGGCACGCGGGGCGGGGGUGGCGUGUUGGCUCCAAGCCCACGCUUGCGCGUCCGUGCCGUUCAACACAUACCCCCAGUAGACACCUGCAACGCUGCCUGCUCCCCCGUCCACACGCACGCCAACCCACAGGGCGCCGCCACCUCUCUCUACCUGGCCUCCAGUCCCGAGGCCGAGGGCAUCACCGGUGGGUGCACGCGCCUGUUUGUGUCUGUAUGCCUGUGUCUGUGUACGUGUGUUAGCGAGCACAAGGAAACGCGCAUGCCUGCACGUGGGCAGUGCGGUGUGUACGUUCGCAUCUGUGUGUGCGUCUGCGUCUGUGUGCCGUCGCGCACAGAGUCAAGCCCCGUUCCCUUGUGUGUGUUUCCUGACAUGCGCCCCACGCAUCCCUCCAAACCUCCUGCAGGCAAGUACUGGGUCAAGUCCAAGCGCGCCGUGUCCUCCAACGACUCCUACAACCGCCAGGUGGCGCAGCGCCUGUGGGAGGUGUCCGAGGAGCUGGUGGAGACAGCGCUGGCCAAGGCCCGGUCCGCCCCCGCUGCGGCGGCACCGGCGCUCGAGCCCGCCACCGUUUCGGCGUAAAGAGUGCCACGGAGGCGGCAGCAGCAGCAGCAACGGCUGCUUAUGGUGAUUCAUUUUUUGGUCUGGCGUUGGAAUGGCGAGAGGAUGAGAGGGAGUGACAUGUAUUGAUUUAAACCCAGGGACAGUGAGUGCGGGCGGGCCUGAGAGACGUGAGGGAGCGGCAGUGAGGGAGAGGCCUGAGGGAAGUGAGGGAGCGGCAGUGAGGGAGAGGCGUGGAAAGCAAUACGCUUCGGAGUGAGGGCUAAGAGAAUGCGUUUGGCAAGGGCGUUGGCUCUGAACCAUGAUUAAUUGUGAGAGCUUGGGGUGCUGGAGGGAAGGGCGGGUUGUUUGUGCUGCAUCCCCUCUUUCCCAUCUGUCGCAGUUUUGCUAAGCAUGGCGUUAUGUGGAUGAUUUUGAUGAUACGGUUUGUCAGGGCGGAUGAGAACGGUGGAUCAAGUGAGCGGUGAGGCCGGACUAGAGCUGAAAGGCGGAUGGUCAAGUGGAGCACGAUGGAGGAAGGUCACUCAGAGAGGGGUUUUUCGGUGUAAUCGGCUCCAAAUUGUGAAUGCCCGAAGCAGCCUCUGCAGCCUGGAAGUGCAGGACUGCAGCACAAGCACUGGAGGCGGCAUCAUGGUGAUCGUGCGAUGCUUAGAUUGCCGCGACUGCCGGAAGGGGGGCACACGACUUCCGCGGGAGCCUCGCUGGAUGUCCAAGAUGGCAGGACAGGGCAGACUGCUGUCUGAGCCAGGCAAGCUGCUGUGUCCACCGGCGCCUGCACUUACACAGUGCGCCCCCUAGAUUCUAACACAAAUUCGCGGCUGCUGAUUUGGAGACCCCCGAACCAUCCAUGCCCGAGCCUGGCACGAACACACGCACGCGGGAUCGGCCGGCUGCUGACGGUGACACUCCUUGGCCCGGCCCCAUCUCCGCAGCUGGUGCUGCAAGGCUGCGUUUAAGCUUAUUGUAUGAAUAUAGGUAGACGUGAAAAUUGUAGGGCCCGGGUACCGCUGCUUGUGCGACUCCAAGCCGUGCCUUGCAGCUUUUGCCACACUAGCGACAAUACUGCAGUAAUAAAUACUUAGUACUAAUUAGGCUGUGUUUUAUACACAUAUCUACCAGGAGGAAAAUGGCGAGCGUUAUGGCGCGUAAAAGCAGUUUGGCUCAAGCGGCCAUCGAGCGGAAGCCGGUGCUGCUGCGGCCUCAAUUGAAUGUGCCACGUAUGUCUGGUAUCACUGCAUUGCCGAUGGAGCGUCGGCCGCUGCCUGUGGCGCCUUCUCCAUCGGCGAAGCCCGAGCUGCCCGCGCGCUCGGCGCUGGUUUGCCAUGCAGCCGCAGCGAGUGUACCUCUGCCCAACUCAGGUAAGUUGGGUUAAGAAAUGCGGCAUUCUCUGCAUCACCUGGCCUGCACAUUCUUGAAAUUGGGCUACUUUGCUUGCAGACUCCGCUCCUCAGCCGAACGUCCUGCUGGCCAAAAUUCGCGCCAUCAUGUUCUUCGCCUGGAGCUUCCUGCUGUCGCUGCCGCUGUUUGUGACGAUGAUGGUCAUGGCGCCGCUCGUGCUGGCGUUCGACAAGUACCGGUGCGUGCUGAAGUGGCUGCUGCACCGGGGAAUGCCGUGGCCUUGGCGGCAGGGGUCUCGGUCAAUCUCAAGCCGGGGUUGACCAUCUGCAAGACAGGCUUUGGGCUUUGAGCUUUGGGCUUUGGGGAAUGUGCACGCCUGGACCAUGCACCGGGGGAAUGCACUGAGGGGUGGGGUGUUGGGGUGCUGGGUCGGGAAGGAGUCAGGGGUGGGUAGGCAGCCACCCAGGCAGGCAGGUGCUGAUGUGGCCGUUGGGUUGCAGGGAGCUGCACUCAGGGCAAGGGAAGGGCGUACAAUGUGCGUUGGAAUCCCAAAGAGCGUGGAGGCGUGGGCACCGCCACGCAGGCAUCCGCCCUCCACAUGCACAGUGCGCACACCCCUGCCGCCAGUACCUCCCCGCCCCUGCCGCACGCCUUGCCACCACCUCCCCUCCCCGCCCCUGCCACCCACCUCACCACCACCGCCCUCCCCGCCCCUGCCACCCACCCCACCACCACCUCCCCUCCCCGCCCCUGCCACCCGCCUCACCACCACCUCCCGUCCCCGCCCCUGCCACCCACCCCACCACCACCUCCCCUCCACGCAGGCGUCUGGCGCAGCACUUUGUGAACAACCUGUGGGCGUGCGCCUCCACGGCGCCCUUCUACAAAGUCACGGUGAGGGCCGCGUGCAAAGAGUCAGUCAGUUGGCAACAUGCGGAAACGACGUCAAGUUGGCAUGGGUGCUCCGUACUCGGUGUGCGGUGCGGGAGUGUGGGUGACUGGGUGUUGACUACCGUGGCGGCUAGCGAGGCGCCGUGACGCUGCAUGAGGGCGGUGGAUGGUGAGAGCUAGGAGAGCGAAGAGCUAUGGCGUGGCGUGGCGUGGCGUGGCGUGGCGUGGCGGCCAAGCCGCGUACCGACCAGGCGGCGUCACCGUGUGGUGACCGCUGCAAGUUUGGGGCUGCCCCGAGCGAUGCAUGGCCCGUGGGCCUUCUGAUGUGGGUGCCGGGCUGACGUCAGCAUGUGCCGCCCGUGGGGUGUGUGUGCGCCGGGCGGGGGCAGGGGCUGUGGCGUGUGGGGUGGCGAGGGUUGAUUGAGACAAGGGAAGGUGCAGAUACCUGUUCACGCGGGGCGUGCAUGGGUGUGGGUAUGGCAGAAACGAGUCAGUCAAGCGCACGCCGCGGCACCGUGCCUGCUUUGGCACAACGGGCAUGAGGCUCGCUCCCCCUGAGAGGACACGGCGCCUGGCCCCGGCCCUGGUCGUGGCUACGUGCUGGGUGGCGCCCGUGUGCGGCGUGGCGUGUGAUGGGCUGCGUGCGGUGAUUGGAUGAUGGGAUGUGAGGCGAUUGCAUGUCGAUGUGCCAGAGGCGUGUGUGCCAAACGUAUGCGUGUGUUGUGUGCGUGUGUGUGGGUGUGCCCAUCCACCUGCCUGCCUCAUCUCCGCCGCCACCGCCGCCACGCCGCCGCCACCACAGAUCAUUGGCCGUGAGAACCUGCCGCCGCCCGACAAGCCGGUGGUGUACGUGGCCAACCACCAGAGCUUCCUGGUGAGAGCGAGGGAGUGAGGGAGUGAGGGUGAGGGGUUGAGGGUGAGGGGGGCCAGGAGCAGGAGCAGGAGCGGCGGGGGGGGGGCGUUGACGGAGGAGCUGGAGGGAGGAGGAGCAGGGGAGGGCGAAGGAGGAGGAGGCGAUGGAAAGAGAUGUAGGGGGCCGUGGGCGGGCCGUACAGGGGCACGGGGUGUGGGGCGCGGGGUAUGGGAGGUGUCGUGGACAGGUCUGAGGGACGGCGUCCAGGAGACCGCCGAGGGUCGGGCGGGGAGGAGCGUUCUCGCACCCUGCUGCCCCCCGCCCAGCCAUUCCCACUUGCACAUGCCAACACACAUGCCCGCGCGCGCUUUGUUUCCCUAGGCCUCCACACGUGCUCGCCACUCACCCACUCGCCACCCACUCUCGCCCCCACUCACCACCUGGCGCAGGACAUCUACUCGCUGUUCCACCUGCAGCGGCCCUUCAAGUUCAUCAGCAAGACAUCCAACUUCCUCAUCCCCAUCAUCGGCUGGAGCAUGUUCCUCACAGGUAAAGGCGCGCACGUGUGGCCCCUACCCCCUGCCUCUGCCCCCUGCCUCCGGCACACUGGGGCACAACCGGGCUGGGCGGGCAGGAGCGAACAGUACGGCACAGAUGUCAGGACGGAGUGGGGAGUGCGUGGGCCGUUGGGCGCGGGGUGAGUGUAAGGGGCGAUCGCAUGACACUCUGUCGCAGCUGCAGCGCCUGAGCCCAGGACUCGCACACGCCUGCUCGCUCCCCCACUUCCCCACCAACCACCCGGGGCGCCUCCGCAAACGUCCAACACCACAGGAUGCCGGCCCCCCCCCCACACAGUUUCUCCUUGCAGCGCGACUGUUUCCUUACGGGAUUGGUUCAAAGUUAAUCUCCCACACACAAUGUAUGACACGUGUUCUCUGUAUGUGCUGCCGCUGCCGCUGCUACUGCUGCUACUGCUGCCGCCGCCGCCUCCUCCCCCUCCAGGCCACGUGAUGAUAAACCGUGUGGACCGGCGCUCUCAGCUCAAGUGCCUGCAGCAGUGCCGCGACCUGCUGGCGGAGGGCGCGCCCGUGCUGUUCUUCCCUGAGGGUGAGGGGGGCGGGAAGGAGGGAAGGGAGCUGCAAGGUUAACACAUUGAGAACAGGAUAUCAGCAGGGGAAGGGGGGAUGGGAAACGGAGGCGGGAACGGGGAAAGGGGUUGGGAGGGGGUGGGAGGGGGUGGGAGGGGGUGGAAGGGAGGGACGGGAAUGACGGAGGCCAGAUGGAGGGGCACAGCGUGGGGGCACGGGUGUAUGAGACGCCAUGCACUCGGGCGGGUGUGCAUGGCUGCACACAUCGGCGCUGCUACUCCAGCUGCGGCAACCACGUCGACUACACUCCACCAUGCCCGCACCCACACCGCACCCGCGCUCCCCCCCCACCACCCGCACACACACACACACACACACACACACACACACACACACACAGGCACUCGCAGCCUGGACUGCAAGAUGGCGGGCUUCAAGAAGGGCGCCUUCAGUGUGGCGGCCAAGGCGGGCGUUGAGGUGGUGCCCAUCACACUGCUGGGGACAGGUGGGUGUGUGAGUGGGUGGGGUGGGUGGGGGGGGGGUGAGGGUGGGUGGGUGUACCGGUAUGUGUCGGUGUGGAUAUGUGGGUGGGUGUGGGUGUGCUUGUAUCUGUGGGUGUGAGCGGGUGGGUGCGUGGGUGUGGGUAUGACCUCCGGAGUCUCCCUGAGACGGUGGGAGGGACAUUGGGGUUGGGGACUUGUUGUAGGGACGCUGUGGUUACCGCAAUCGGGCCAAGCGUCUGUGAGAUUGGGGACGUAUGUGUAUGGCACGCGUGUUCAGGGUGGCUGACCAGGCGGUGCGCUGCCUGCUUCGUUCCCGCCCACCAGCCGGGUGGGGACGGGGUACAACCGGCAGCAACCCGCCGGGAGGCGCCACCUUCCACUCAUGCGGCACCAGCCUCUCAACCCACCCACACCUCUGCCCACCAUCCCACCCCUCCCACCCACUCCACCCAGCCCUCCCACCCAGCCCAUGCACCCCAUCCACCCAUCCCAUCCCACCCCACCCCACCCCAUAACGAUUGCUGUUCCCCAAGAUCGUCUACCGUCUACCACUUUCUUGACUAACCAUGAAUGCACCCGCCCCCCCCCCCGUCGCGCAGGCUCGCUCAUGCCCAGCGGCAAGGAGUCCCAGCUGCGGCCGGGCCAGGUGACCAUCGUGGUGCACAAGGCGCUGCCGCCCAACAAGAACGCCGACCAGCUCUGCGACGCGGCGCGGCAGGCGGUGGCAAGCUCGCUGCCGCCCGAGCUGGUGGGCAGCGCCACAGAGAUGGCGCCGGAUGAGCAGUAGAGCGGCGGAGGGCGAGGAGGAGGAGGAGGAGGAGCGGGAGGGGGGGGGAGGGGGGGGGGGUGGCGGGAGUCUGAGCGGUAGAGAGGGGAGGAGCGGCGGGAGGUCGAGUGGUUGAGGGGGGAGGUGGAGGAGGAGCGGGAGGGGGGGGUGGCGGGUGUGGGUCGGGUAGUUUGUUCUAAUCACAAAGAGGACGCGUGUGUGACGGGGGAUUGGAGUUUUGAAGGUGGAGAUUCGGAUGGGGCGGGGUGGGGCAGAUUCGGAUAUGAAUCUGGGGUUGGAUCUGGAGCCGGGGUUGGGGUUUGGUGGGGGAGCUAGAGCCAGGACCGGACAGGCGCUGAGGAUGGGGGCUUGCCGUAGCUGCGUUGGCCAGCGACCGUGGAAUGAGAAGAGAUAGGGACGGAUUACAUGAGACAAAGAAAGCUGUGGGGAAGGAGCCUUGACGCAUGAUGGGUGGCUGCGGCAGUGCGGCUUAGCCACAAUGGGAGCCAGGUGUGUGUGCAUUGUGUCUGGAUGUAACCGGACGAUGCGGACGAUGCGGGUUGAGCAUGGCCGGGGGCAUGGCCGGGCCGCCGGGGACAUAGGGGUUUGAUGACACGGCAGUACGGCAUGGAAUUGGGGCAUGGAUCCGGGGCAUGGAUCCGGGGCACCGCGGGCUUGGACCGGACUACGUCGUAGUGGCGUGGUGGGCCGAAUAUGUGUGUAGGCAGCAACAUAGGAAGCGGACCCCGCGGCCUGUGCGUGUCAGUGUGUCAGCAUGUGGCCUAGCCACCGCGCGGCGCAGCGCACCGCGGCGUGGCCCUGGGCAGACUGCCGCGGCGCCAUGUCAGCACGUGCACGCAUGCACACGGGCGGGCUGGGCCGGGCUCAGCCGUGAGCGCGAUGGAAGGGCAGCGCGCCAGCUCCGGGAAGGGGGCGGUUCGUUAAGAAGGGGGAGCGCACGGUAGGUCACUGCAGCAAUGCACUCAGGAGGCAGGGCCAGGACUGCGGGGGAAUGCAGACCUGUGUGAGGCUGCAACAACAGCGUAACCGGCAGUCGGCCUAACCGGCUGGAGGUAAGGGAAGUGCAGGAGGAACAAGAGAGGCGGAGGACCGAGGGUUCCACUGCAUCACCUGGACCCUGUUAGCGAAGUGUUUGCUAGUGAAUGCGAAUGCAAGACGCCGUCGCGAGCUCCAGGCUAGCAACAAACAUCACGAAAGAAGUUAGUGUCAGCGGCAAUGCGGUUACUUGUUACCUUCGAGACGAGACACCGGUGCGCGCUCCACGCUGCUCCGCAUUCGGCACGCCAAACGGAGUCCGAGUGACCCUGGAAUGGGGUGUUGCACGAGAUGAGGAGGGGGGGCUUAAAGCGAGUAGAGUGCUGUGGCGGUCCCUCUCCGGGUGCACGGCCUGAUGAGUGUGUGUGUGUGUGUGUGUGUGUGUGUGUGUGUGUGUGCGUGUGCGUGUGCGUGUGUUUGUGUGUGUGAACCCAAAACUGCCAUCCCGUCGCGAGCUGGCUCAUCAGGAGAGCUCUUCAAUCGAGAUGGCGCAGCGGAAGCGUGCGGGGCUCAUAACCCCGAGGUCCCAGGAUCGAAACCUGGUCUCGAUACAACGAACUGUAAGCCAUGCAAUGCUGUGUGAAGAAGUGCACGAAGUGUGUGUGAACCCCACAACUGCUGAAAGCAUGAUCCACCCAGCUGAUCGAUCGCGUUGGUCGCUCAAGCAUCUUUAAUAACGAUGCCGGCUGUCCCAGGGGCCAGGGGCAUGGCGGCACACCGGCUUUUGCCAAUGGCACAGACGGAGUUCGUACGCUGGCGCUGUCUGAAUUUGCACCCGCACAGGGCCUCAUCUCAUGUGCAAGUGCAUACGCCUGUACCCGUAUUGCCCUUUUGAUGGAAGACGUGUCGUGAUAUCCCGCGUGCUGACGUGCUGGUUGAUCCCUUGUGUUCCCUGUUGGUACUGGGGCAUAGAGGGUCCUGACUCCUGAGUGCGAUGGGGCAAGGUGAGGGGCAGGGUGGCUACGUGGCGUAGUCCAUAGUGUGCAUGUAUUCCCAGACCCCAACAUUCAAUCUGCAGCGUCAACCCGUCAAGGCAUGCCACUGAGCGGUCCUGAGUGACCCUCUGCGCGGACGGCAGGCGGGGGGGGGGGGGGGGCGGGGGGGCAGUUGUGAGUUUGUGACGAUGGCACGGCUGUGACAUGAUGGGGACAUAGCGAAGUGCUUUCGAAACGCGAACGCGAAUGUGCGAAAUGCAGGCGUGUAAGCCGGUCUUCACUGGUUUAAGGGAUUACCAUUCCCAACCUGCCAGCCAGCAUGGCAGCACAAACCACGGUCAAGUUGCUUACUCCCUGCCUCGCACAAAACCACGCAUAUGCGUCAUGUUGGGGUACCUGCCUACCUGGGUCCCGGCCAAGUGGCAACAGAGGAGCAAGACGGCCGCUCAGCAAUGUCCUCGUUAGUUGCCUUGAUCACCAAGCUCACCAAGCCUAGGACUCCCACACAGUCGCACUGUCGCAGCGUGGCCAUUAUGCCACAGGCGUGGAGUACUCCCCUCAGGCCUCAGCUCUGCCCCUUCCACGUGUCUCUAGGAGCGAGUCCACGGGUCCCAGCAGGGGAGGGGGGUAUGCAACUCGGCCUGGAUUCAGCCCGGGCUGCAUGGCACCCGGCCAAAAGGUGUUCGGACCCCCCAGCGCCUCCCCUGGGUCCCAGGGUGCCUCACGCCCUCACGGGCCCCAGGGGCUCCGCCACACCCCAUGCAGCAGGCUACAGCAGCAUUGGCACUGCUCACUGACACAACACACGCACCCUGGCACUCGCCUCAUCAAGCAGCAGCCAGCAAAAAUCAUGGCUACUGUCGAUUGACCUUUCCUGUACCGUACCGUACGUCAUUGCUUCCCGCCUGCACGGAUUGCAGACCGGUGCCUGUUCCCACCCAACCCCGAGCUCAGAAGCAGGAUGCCAGAUUAGGGUGGUGUUGAAAAACACCGAUUUUUUGAUAGAUCAGCAUCGCCUCGACGGCCGGCCGCACAGGGCCUUCACACCACGAAGCCAGGCACGGAGACCACACUCUCCAGCCAGCCGUGCUCGGCCACGGCCUUUGCCUCACGCACCGCCAGCUGCAUGGCCUGCAGGCGGACCUGCCAUUCCACCUCCCACUGGCCGGCCUCCUGCAGGUCCCACACAGCCUGGGUCUCAAGCUCGCACACCGUCUGAGCCAGGUACUCGAGCACCAGAUCAGAUCCAAUCUGGGUCAUGUCGAAACGACAGCUCAGUGCCUGCUGUAGGCGGUCCGUGGCCCGAGCCUUCAGAGCCUGAAUGGUGUCCCAGGCCUGCUGCACGCCGGCCCAGUGCUUCGUGAAUGUCUGGAACAUCAGGCGGUAUGCGCCAGAGCCAGCGGGCUUGUACGCGGCAAUCUCGUCGGCGGAGUGGUCGAUGAUGACCAGGGGGCAGCCGCUCGCGUGCAGGCAGGAGCAAAUGGUGAAGUCGAGGGCGUCGGUGUCGGAACCGUCGAGGGCGUCGGGCUUCGGGCAGGUGAGGUUGGUGUCGCAGGUCAGGGCGGUGACAGCAGGCUUCAGGGAGCCAUCAGCCAGCGAGCCCAGAGGAGUCUCAGCAGCGCACAGCAGUUUGGGCUUGGGCUCGUUGUCAGCAGCAGGCGGAACGCCGUCGCGGUCGGCGAUGUGCAUGUCCAUCUUGUCGCCGAUAGAAGACGCCGGGCUUGAGGGCCGGUCAUCCUCGGAGACCUAGAGUCGCCAAGAAUAGAGAACAGCUCGUUACGCCCCGUUUCAUGCGUUGACCGGCAGCAUCCCUUUUCAGCAUGCGCUCAGCACUCGCCCAACAAGCGUCUAAACAAACCACAACAGCCCGCACUACUCACAAGUCGGUCCUCGCAGUCAGAAUCCUCAUGCCCAGGGCACUUGGACACAGCGCAAACGCAGAGCGCCAUCACCAGAGUAAGCAUGCCGCCCUCCAGGACGGACAGCGCAACCGCGGACUGCGCCAGGACGGCCACAGCCAGCGAGAACUGGAGCAGGGGAAUCAGAAUGCUAAGGAGCUCCAUCUUAGCUCAAAGCAAACAGAACGUGGCUGUACAGGAAACCGGCGGGGCGGGCAGCUGGGGUACCGCUGAGCGCAAUUGGUGUAAGAAGCAGUAAAAAGGCAGAGGGCUCUAGUUGCACAGCACUGGUGAAUGGGUGUACAUGCAGGGGGCUAUGGAGGGAUGGGCUUUUAUAGCAGGCGGGCGGCAGGGGGGCCAGGCUGAGCCGGGAAAGUCAGCGCAAGGCAGGCGGUUGUUUGACCCAACCGCGGCUCACCUGUGCCAAAAGCCCAAAACGCGACCAACGCACAGCGCCGCCUCCAGACCCCAACGCCGCACAAACUAAUUGUAUUUCAGUAUUCUGUACCCAAAACGCGCGGCGCUUACCCACAUCCCGCUAGCUCGCACAGGCCGGUGGCCCACAUCGCGAGGCCUCCGCCGCACACGCAGGCCCCACCACGCCCCCUCCACCGCCGCACCCACCUCCUGCACCAGCUCGAGCCGAUGCGCCGUGCCGCCCUCUGCCCCCAGCGCGCCUCCGUUCCUCUCCCGCACGCCCGCUCCUGCACAGCUAAUGCUGAGCUUCUCGGCAUAGGAGUCCCCUGCAAUGCGGUGCACAUGUGGGUAGGACCAAGAAGUGUAAACGGCGACCACAGCUGUUACCACACGUGCGUCCAUGUACCCGGCUGCGGGUUGGCUGCGCACACGGCGCAUGCCUCCGCCCGCCAUCCCUGUUCUACUAGCCUCUGCGUGCCCGAGCCUGCACCGGACAUUCCAGUCGCUGCUCAAUGUGCAUUCACCUGCUUGCCACAACACCAAGCGCUCUGGCACCUACCUGCCCCCUGCUGCAUGCCACCGCGCACAGCUGCUGUGGGCAGUCAGCCUGGCCCGUACCGCCCUCACGCCUCCUGCCGCGCCAAUGCAGCCAGGCCGGGCCACCCGCACUACUGUACUGUUGUUCGCUUGGGCCAUGCGGUCUGAAAGGGACAGGAGCGGGGUUGAGGGUGGGUUCAGGGUGGGUGCGCGGGGGUAGGGUGUGUGUGCAUAGCCAGAGACAAGGCGAAGCCGGGGCAGGGAGUCAUGCACAGCUGGCGACGGCACGCGCUUUGACGCGGCUCACUUACUACGUCUAGCCCUGCGCGCCUCUCUACCUCCUGUCCGUCGCUGCUGGCCUGCGCAGUGCUCACCUUCCGACUCCUCCGCGGCCCCUUCGCCUUCUGGACCUGUGCCAGGCCGCAUCGCCUGAAGCAGCGCCGCACGCACGCGCCCGCCCGCGACGCCGCCGCCUGCAGCCCUCAUCUUGAACACUCAGUCCCGCGCCAGUGCUUGUGGAGCCGCCUGAUGCGGUGGAGCGGCUGCCUGUGCAGCCGCUGGGGUGCCGCCGGCGGGGGGCAGCACGCAGGCCUCAGCGGCCGGCGCUGACAGCGCGGCUGAGCCCGAGGGCGCGCGCGACACCGCCAUCUGGGCCAACGCCGCGUGCAGUCCUGACCGGCGGCGGUGGCUUGCACCCUGACGCCGCCGGCUUGAUACUGUAAUGCUGUUACUGCCGCUGUCACGCGUGCUGCCACUAGUGCUGUUGCUAAUGCUGUUGUUACUGCUGAUGAGGCGGCGCCGAUGCUGUUGCCGCCGGCCGCAACGCCCACCGCCGUCCCCGCCUGCGGCUCCUCCGGGGCCCUCCGUGACGGCGGCGCUGCUUGCGAGACGUGGCUGAGGAGUCCACUCGCACCCACCUCCUGCACAUCGCAUCACACACUGGGCACCGUCAGUCNNNNNNNNNNNNNNNNNNNNNNNNNNNNNNNNNNNNNNNNNNNNNNNNNNNNNNNNNNNNNNNNNNNNNNNNNNNNNNNNNNNNNNNNNNNNNNNNNNNNCGCGCCGCCGCCACCUGCAGCCCUCAUCUUGAACGCCCAGUCCCGCGCCAGUGCUUGUGGAGCCACCUGAUGCGGUGGAGCAGCUGCCUGUGCAGCCGCUGGGGCGCCGCCGGCGGGGGCCAGCACGCCGGCGCUGACAGCGCGGCUGAGCCCGAGGGCGCGCGCGACACCGCCAUCUGGGCCAACGCCGCGUGCAGUCCUGACCGGCGGCGGUGGCUUGCACCCUGACGCCGCCGGCUUGAUAUUGUAAUGCUGUUACUGCCGCUGUCACGCGUGCUGUCACUAGUGCUGUUGCUAAUGCUGUUGUUACUGCUGAUGAGGCCGCGCCGAUGCUGUUGCCGCCGGCCGCAACGCCCACCGCCGCCCCCGCCUGCGGCUCCUCCGGGCCCUCCGUCGCGGCGGCGCUGCUUGCGAGACGUGGCUGAGGAGGCCACUCGCACCCACCUCCUGCACACCGCAUCACACACUGGGCAUCGUCAGUCGGCCAAUGUCAGAAUGUUGCGGGGCGCAUCAGCACUCCAAGUUGAGGGACUGACAUGCAAGUCAAACUUGGUCGGGUGACGCCUUCCCACACACCGGUGGCUGUAGCCCAUGCCGGGCAUGUGGGUCCAGAUGAUCCAGGGCAUACGUACUCACGCACUCAUCCCAGCCACAUAACCACCCAGAUGGAAAGUCGAAAUGAAGUGCAACCAGACAAAGCGUGGGACAUCGCCCCGCUCCCACCUCCAGCGUUGAAUGUUGGCCGGCUAAGCCGCGCCGCCCUAGGACGACCCUGGCAAGACCCCAAUGCACGAGCUAGCCAGCAGCAGCACCCGAGCGCUCCCGCAGGGCGCUGCGGACAGCUGCAACGCCCACGGCUGCAACGCCCACGCCCAUGUUCCGCGUUGUCCAAGGCAAUGUCUCCACACGCAUCACUCGCUGCCGGUAUGCGCUCAGUGGUCCCCUGCUGCGACCUCACGUGCCCCCCAUCGCCCCGCAGCCCGGAGCUUGAAUAGGGACUCGGCACGCGGUGACCCAUCACGCGCCACUACGUGCCGCGCCGCCACGCGCCACGCCACACGCCACGUCACGCCGCCGCUACACUACGAACCGCCACGGGCCGCGCCGCGCCCCGUUCCUACCCCGCCCCGCCCCCAAACAUCCCCCGCCAGCACAUGCACGCCCAAAGCCACCACCCACCUGCGCCGCAUUGUCGGGGAGGCAGGGGCCUGGGCCACGUCCACGGACGGCGGCGGGGCGGGAAAGACCAGCUUGGGCCAGCGCGCUAGCAGCUCCCAGCGGCCGCUGAGAGUUACCGUGGGCGCUUCGGCAGAACUACAUCGCUGCCACCCAGCCUCCUCACGCCAUAUGCUACAAGCGCCAUGUGCCGUUUGCCCGGCUGCCAGCUGAGCUCCCCCUGAACCCUAAUCGCCAGACCUGCAGGGCCUCGUUGCCGAGACGCAGGCUCCCCGUCCCCGAAUGAUAGCUACCCACGACAGUGAUAUAUGCCAUAGACGCUUAACACAGCGGGGCGUCAGAAAGCAGGUUUGUGGCGUCUCGAGCUAAGUUCAUGGCGGGUUGGACAUGCUCCUGGCUCAGGAUGGCAUUCUCGUACUCGGUUACGUAUAUCUAUGUGGUGAAAUAUUUAUUCUAGAAGUGACGUGCACAGAAAUAUGUCUGGGUUUACGGCCAGCAGCUGCAUCGGAGCCGGCUGUGUGACAGCUACGUUACUUGCGGCAUGACGCAGUCUAGCAUGCAAAACGACCAUAUGCCUGAUAUAUUUGAGUUAUGCAGCCCAGAGCCAGGUCUGGGGCCGUGUGCGUGUUUUGCGUGGCGUGCUCCACGGAACCUGUCCAGUCAGGCAGCCUGCGGUCGCGGCGGAGGGGUGACACUCGCGGGUUUGGCUGCUCUCAUCCAGCUCCGGUCGACUAGCCGUGGGCUUACUUCAAGGCAACGGCUGUAAAGCUUGGGCUCACUUUCAGGUCCUGGUGGAGGGGGCGGGGGGGGGGGGGUAGGAAACAAAGUGCCAGACCCCGCUGUCGUUACUUCCUCGGCCGCCCGGCGCCCUUGCUCAUUUAUUUAACCGCAUCCAUCACGUCCCCGUACUUAGUGUUCUUCGUUUAGUCACCCCGCGCAGCGCGCAGCCAUAACAGCCACAGCCUGCAGCCCGGCUUGCGCACCAUGUCCUCGCGGUUGUUUAGGGGUUGACGUUGCUUGCCUCGCGCCUAGCGCCAUAGCUUCUACGCUGCAGUGCAUCACGCCUCCUGUCCCUCCCUCCUCCCUCCCUUACAUGUCGUGCUGGGCACCGGUGGCGCUGGUGUUCUCCAGGUUGGUUUCGGGCGCAUCCUUUCUGGUAGUCCCAACGCCAGCCCGGCCGGCGUCGUCCAGCAGCCCAGCCAUCCCAAUACAGCAGCCACCUUCCGUCAGCCAGCCAUGGGCGCGACCGUCCACAGCGUUUACCGUCGGUUACGAGGUAACAUGUGAAUUCGCAACUUGCGCUACUGACUGCCUACUCUCGUGCCGCCUGCAAGCCCACUCCGCCUUCCGCUCUGGUCUACGUACGCAUUAGUUCCGCAACACUCGUCAACCCCAUGCCUCGAAACCCUCGGGACACUCCUAGAGGGGACGACCGACCCCCCCCCCCCCCCCAACACCCACACACCCACACACACACGGACAAACCUUGGUGUGUAGGGGUUAAAACCCCUCCAUCUUAUACCAAAGUGGCGUCAAUCGACUCCUCAAGACAAGCACUAUCACUCCGUGCCAUCAGCGGUCCUGUACUGAAACUCCUUGUCGAUUUGACCUGGCCUGUACCGUACCGUACGUCAUUGCUUGCCGCCUGCACGGAUUGCAGUCCGUUGCCUGUUCCCAUCCAACCCCGAGCUCAAAACCAGGAUGCCAUUUAGGGUGGUGUUGAAAAACACCGAUUUUUUGAUAGGUCAGUCCAUCGCCUCGACGGCCGGCCGCACAGGGCCUUCACACCACGAAGCCAGGCACGGAGACCACACUCUCCAGCCAGCCGUGCUCGGCCACGGCCUUUGCCUCACGCACCGCCAGCUGCAUGGCCUGCAGGCGGACCUGCCAUUCCACCUCCCACUGGCCGGCCUCCUGCAGGUCCCACACAGCCUGGGUCUCAAGCUCGCACACCGUCUGAGCCAGGUACUCGAGCACCAGAUCAGAUCCAAUCUGGAUCAUGUCGAAACGACAGCUCAGUGCCUGCUGUAGGCGGUCCGUGGCCCGAGCCUUCAGAGCCUGAAUGGUGUCCCAGGCCUGCUGCACGCCGGCCCAGUGCUUCGUGAAUGUCUGGAACAUCAGGCGGUACGCGCCAGAGCCAGCGGGCUUGUAGGGAGCAAUAUCGUCGGCAGAGUGGUCGAUGAUGACCAGGGGGCAGCCGCUCGCGUGCAGGCAGGAGCAAAUGGUGAAGUCGAGGGCAUCGGUGUCGGAACCGUCGAUGGCGUCGGGCUUCGGGCAGGCGGGGUUGGUGUCGCAGGUCGGGGCGGUGACAGCAGGCUUCAGGGAGCCAUCAGCCAGCGAGCCCAGAGGAGUCUCAGCAGCGCACAGCAGUUUGGGCUUUGGCUCGUUGUCAGCAGGCGGAAAGCCGUCGCGGUCGGCGAUGUGCAUGUCCAUCUUGUCGCCGAUAGAAGACGCCGGGCUUGAGGGCCGGUCAUCCUCGGAGACCUAGAGUCGCCAAGAAUAGAGAACAGCUCGUUACGCCCCGUUUCAUGCGUUGACCGGCAGCAUCCCUUUUCAGCAUGCGUUCAGCACUCGCCCAACAAGCGUCUAAACAAACCGCAACAGCCCGCACUACUCACAAGUCGGUCCUCGCAGUCAGAAUCCUCAUGCCCAGGGCACUUGGACACAGCGCAAACGCAGAGCGCCAUCACCAAAGUAAGCAUGCCGCCCUCCAGGACGGACAGCGCAACCGCGGACUGCGCCAGGACGGCCACAGCCAGCGAGAACUGGAGCAGGGGAAUCAGAAUGCUAAGGAGCUCCAUCUUAGCUCAAAGCUAACAGAACGUGGUGGUACAGGAAACCGGCGGGGCGGGCAGCUGGGGUACCGCUGAGCUCACUUGGUUGUAAGAAGCAGUAGGGCUCUAGUUGCACAGCACUGGUGAAUGGGUGUACAUGCAGGAGGCUAUGGAGGGAUGGGCUUUUAUAGCGGGCGGGCGGCAGGGGGGCCAGGCUGAGCCGAGAAAGUCAGCGCAAUGCAGGCGGUUGUUUGACCCAACCGCGGCUCACCUGUGCCAAAACGCGACCAACGCACAGGGCCACCUCCAGACGCCAACGCCGCGCAAACUAAUUGUAAUUCAGUAUUCUGUACCCAAAUCGCGCGGCGCUUACCCACAUCCCGCUAGCUCGCACAGGCCGAUGGCCCACAUCGCGAAGCCUCCGCCGCACACGCAGGCCCCACCACGCCCCCUCCACCGCCGCACCCACCUCCUGCACCAGCUCGAGCCCAUGCGCCGUGCCGCCCUCUGCCCCCAGCGCGCCUCCGUUCCUCUCCCGCACGCCCGCUCCUGCACAGCUGAUGCUGAGCUUCUCGGCAUAGGAGUUCCCUGCAAUGCGGUGCACAUGUGGGUAGGACCAAGAAGUGUAAACGGCGACCACAGCUGUUACCACACGUGCGUCCAUGUACCCGGCUGCGGGUUGGCUGCGCACACGGCGCAUGCCUCCGCCUGCCAUCCCUGUUCUGCUAGCCUCUGCGUGCCCGCGCCUGCACCGGACAUUCCAGUCGCUGCUCAAUGUGCAUUCACCUGCUUGCCACAACACCAAGCGCUCUGGCACCUACCUGCCCCCUGCUGCAUGCCACCGCGCACAGCUGCUGUGGGCAGUCAGCCUGGCCCGUACCGCCCUCACGCCUCCUGCCGCGCCAAUGCAGCCAGGCCGGGCCACCCGCACUACUGUACUGUUGUUCGCUUGGGCCAUGCGGUCUGAAAGGGACAGGAGCGGGGUUGAGGGGGGGUUGAGGGUGGGUGCGCGGGGGUAGGGUGUGUGUGCAAAGCCAGAGACAAGGCGAAGCCGGGGCAGGGAGUCAUGCACAGCUGGCGACGGCACGCGCUUUGACGCGGCUCACUUACUACGUCUAGCCAUGCGCGCCUCUCUACCUCCUGUCCGUCGCUGCUGGCCUGCGCAGUGCUCACCUUCCGACUCCUCCGCGGCCCCUUCGCCUUCUGGACCUGUGCCAGGCCGCAUCGCCUGAAGCAGCGCCGCACGCACGCGCCCGCCCGCGACGCUGCCGCCUGCAGCCCUGAUCUUGAACACCCAGUCCCACGCCGCGAGUGUUGGUGAUAACGCCUGAAUGCGGUGGAGCGGCUACCUGUGCAGCCGCUGGGGCGCCGCCGGCGGGAGGCGGCCCAGGUCCAGCUUGUGCGCUGGCGACGACAGCAGCCAUGGCCUGUGGGGGGCCACCGCCGAAGCGCCACCGCUGCGCCCGCCCGCGCCGCCGCCGCCUGCAGCCCUGAUCUUGACCGCCCAGUCCCGCGCCAGUGCUUGUGGAGCCACCUGAUGCGGUGGAGCGGCUGCCUGUGCAGCCGCUGGGGCGCCGCCGGCGGGAGGCGGCCCGGGUCCAGCUUGUGCGCUGGCGACGACAGCAGCCAUGGCCUGUGGGGGGCCGCAUCGCCUGAAGCAGCGCCGCAUGCACGCGCCCGCCCGCGACGCCGCCGCCUGCAGCCCUGAUCUUGAACGCCCAGUCCCGCGCCAGUGCUUGUGGAGCCACCUGAUGCGGUGGAGCGGCUGCCUGUGCAGCCGCUGGGGCGCCGCCGGCGGGGGCCAGCACGCCGGCGCUGACAGCGCGGCUGAGCCCGAGGGCGCGCGCGACACCCCCAUCUGGGCCAACGCCGCGUGCAGUCCUGACCGGCAGCGGUGGCUUGCACCCUGACGCCGCCGGCUUGAUAUUGUAAUGCUGUUACUGCCGCUGGCACGCGUGCUGUCACUAGUGCUGUUGCUAAUGCUGUUGUUACUGCUGAUGAGGCGGCGCCGAUGCUGUUGCCGCCGGCCGCAACGCCCACCGCCGUCCCCGCCUGCGGCUCCUCCGGGGCCCUCCGUGACGGCGGCGCUGCUUGCGAGACGUGGCUGAGGAGUCCACUCGCACCCACCUCCUGCACAUCGCAUCACACACUGGGCAUCGUCAGUCGGCCAAUGUCAGAAUGUUGUGGGGCGCAUCAGCACUCCAAGUUGAGUGACUGACAUGCAAGUCAAACUUGGUCGGGUGACGCCUUCGUUCCCACACACCGGUGGCUGUAGCCCAUGCCGGGCAUGUGGGUCCAGAUGAUCCAGGGCAUACGUACUCACGCACUCAUCCCAGCCACAUAACCACCCAGAUGGAAAGUCGAAAUGCAGCGCAACCAGCAGACAAAGCGUGGGACAUCGCCCCCAACCGCUCCCACCUCCAGCGCCUGCAGAUGCUCCUCGCCUCCGUCAGGUCUCCAGAGCCCGGGGGUGUGCCCAUCGGCUCCGCCCGCACCUGUGGGCCGCCGAAGCGCUCCCACGGCUGCCACGCCAGCAGGUAUUGCGCUUGACCUGAGCACGGGGAACGCCCAUGUUCCGCGUUGUCCAAGGCAAUGUCUCCACACGCAUCACUCGCUGCCGGUAUGCGCUCAGUGGUCCCCUGCUGCGACCUCACGUGCCCCCCAUCGCCCCGCAGCCCGGAGCUUAAAUAGGGACUCGGCACGCGGUGACCCAUCACGCGCCACUACGUGCCGCGCCGCCACGCGCCACGCCACACGCCACGUCACGCCGCCGCUACACUACGAACCGCCACAGGCCGCGCCGCGCCGCGUUCCUACCCCGCCCCGCCCCCAAACAUCCCCCGCCAGCACAUGCACGCCCAAAGCCACCACCCACCUGCGCCGCAUUGUCGGGGAGGCAGGGGCCUGGGUCACGUCCACGGACGGCGGCGGGGCGGGAAAGAACAGCUUGGGCCAGCGCGCUAGCAGCUCCCAGCGGCCGCUGAGAGUUACCGUGGGCGCUUCGGCAGAACUACAUCGCUGCCACCCAGCCUCCUCACGCCAUAUGCUACAAGCGCCAUGUGCCGUUCGCCCGGCUGCCAGCUGAGCUCCCCCUGAACCCUAAUCGCCAGACCUGCAGGGCCUCGUUGCCGAGACGCAGGCUCCCCGUCCCCGAAUGAUAGCUACCCACGACAGUGAUAUAUGCCAUAGACGCUUAACACAGCGGGGCGUCAGAAAGCAGGUUUGUGGCGUCUCGAGCUAAGUUCAUGGCGGGUUGGACAUGCUCCUGGCUCAGGAUGGCAUUCUCGUACUCGGUUACGUAUAUCUAUGUGGUGAAAUAUUUAUUCUAGAAGUGACGUGCACAGAGAUAUGUCCGGGUCCACGGCCAGCAGCUGCAUCGGAGCCGGCUGUGUGACAGCUACGGUUGCGGCGUGACGCAGUCUUACAUACAACGCGAUCAUAUGCCUGAUAAGAUUAAAUUAUGCAGCCCAGAGCCAGGUCUGGGGCCGUGUGCGUGUUUUGCGUGGCGUGCUUCACGGAACCUGUCCAGUCAGGCAGCCUGCGGCGGAGGGGUGACACUCGCGGGUUUGGCUGCUCUCAUCCAGCUCCGGUCGACUAGCCGUGGGCUUACUUCAAGGCAACGGCUGUAAAGCUUGGGCUCACUUUCAGGUCCUGGUGGAGGGGGCGGGGGGGGGGGUAGGAAACAAAGUGCCAGACCCCGCUGUCGUUACUUCCUCGGCCGCCCGGCGCCCUUGCUCAUUUAUUUAACCGCAUCCAUCACGUCCCCGUACUUAGUGUUCUUCGUUUAGUCACCCCGCGCAGCGCGCAGCCAUAACAGCCACAGCCUGCAGCCCGGCUUGCGCACCAUGUCCUCGCGGUUGUUUAGGGGUUGACGUUGCUUGCCUCGCGCCUAGCGCCAUAGCUUCUACGCUGCAGUGCAUCACGCCUCCUGUCCCUCCCUCAUCCCUCCCUUACAUGUCGUGCUGGGCACCGGUGGCGCUGGUGUUCUCCAGGUUGGUUUCGGGCGCAUCCUUUCUGGUAGUCCCAACGCCAGCCCGGCCGGCGUCGUCCAGCCCAGCCAUCCCAAUACAGCAGCCACCUUCCGUCAGCCAGCCAUGGGCGCGACCGUCCACAGCGUUUACCGUCGGUUACGAGGUAACAUGUGAAUUCGCAACUUGCGCUACUGACUGCCUACUCUCGUGCCGCCUGCAAGCCCACUCCGCCUUCCGCUCUGGUCUACGUACGCAUUAGUUCCGCAACACUCGUCAACCCCAUGCCUCGAAACCCUCGGGACACUCCUAGAGGGGACGACCGACCCCCCCCCCCCAACACCCACACACCCACACACACACGGACAAACCUUGGUGUGUAGGGGUUAAAACCCCUCCAUCUUAUACCAAAGUGGCGUCAAUCGACUCCUCAAGACAAGCACUAUCACUCCGUGCCAUCAGCGGUCCUGUACUGAAACUCCUUGUCGAUUUGACCUGGCCUGUACCGUACCGUACGUCAUUGCUUGCCGCCUGCACGGAUUGCAGUCCGUUGCCUGUUCCCAUCCAACCCCGAGCUCAAAACCAGGAUGCCAUUUAGGGUGGUGUUGAAAAACACCGAUUUUUUGAUAGGUCAGUCCAUCGCCUCGCCGGCCGGCCGCACAGGGCCUUCACACCACGAAGCCAGGCACGGAGACCACACUCUCCAGCCAGCCGUGCUCGGCCACGGCCUUUGCCUCACGCACCGCCAGCUGCAUGGCCUGCAGGCGGACCUGCCAUUCCACCUCCCACUGGCCGGCCUCCUGCAGGUCCCACACAGCCUGGGUCUCAAGCUCGCACACCGUCUGAGCCAGGUACUCGAGCACCAGAUCAGAUCCAAUCUGGGUCAUGUCGAAACGGCAGCGCAGUGCCUGCUGUAGGCGGUCCGUGGCCCGAGCCUUCAGAGCCUGAAUGGUGUCCCAGGCCUGCUGCACGCCGGCCCAGUGCUUCGUGAAUGUCUGGAACAUCAGGCGGUACGCGCCAGAGCCAGCGGGCUUGUAAGGGGCAAUAUCGUCGGCGGAGUGGUCGAUGAUGACCAGGGGGCAGCCGCUCGCGUGCAGGCAGGAGCAAAUGGUGAAGUCGAGGGCGUCGGUGUCGGAACCGUCGAGGGCGUCGGGCUUCGGGCAGGCGGGGUUGGUGUCGCAGGCCGGGGCGGUGACAGCAGGCUUCAGGGAGCCAUCAGCCAUCGGCGAGCCCAGAGGAGUCUCAGCAGCGCACAGCAGGUUGGGCUUGGGCUCGUUGUCAGCAGGCGGAAAGCCGUCGCGGUCGGCGAUGUGCAUGUCCAUCUUGUCGCCGAUAGAAGACGCCGGGCUUGAGGGCCGGUCAUCCUCGGAGACCUAGAGUCGCCAAGAAUAGAGAACAGCUCGUUACGCCCCGUUUCAUGCGUUGACCGGCAGCAUCCCUUUUCAGCAUGCGCUCAGCACUCGCCCAACAAGCGUCUAAACAAACCGCAACAGCCCGCACUACUCACAAGUCGGUCCUCGCAGUCAGAAUCCUCAUGCCCAGGGCACUUGGACACAGCGCAAACGCAGAGCGCCAUCACCAAAGUAAGCAUGCCGCCCUCCAGGACGGACAGCGCAACCGCGGACUGCGCCAGGACGGCCACAGCCAGCGAGAACUGGAGCAGGGGAAUCAGAAUGCUAAGGAGCUCCAUCUUAGCUCAAAGCUAACAGAACGUGGUGGUACAGGAAACCGGCGGGGCGGGCAGCUGGGGUACCGCUGAGCUCACUUGGUUGUAAGAAGCAGUAGGGCUCUAGUUGCACAGCACUGGUGAAUGGGUGUACAUGCAGGAGGCUAUGGAGGGAUGGGCUUUUAUAGCGGGCGGGCGGCAGGGGGGCCAGGCUGAGCCGAGAAAGUCAGCGCAAUGCAGGCGGUUGUUUGACCCAACCGCGGCUCACCUGUGCCAAAACGCGACCAACGCACAGGGCCACCUCCAGACGCCAACGCCGCGCAAACUAAUUGUAAUUCAGUAUUCUGUACCCAAAUCGCGCGGCGCUUACCCACAUCCCGCUAGCUCGCACAGGCCGAUGGCCCACAUCGCGAAGCCUCCGCCGCACACGCAGGCCCCACCACGCCCCCUCCACCGCCGCACCCACCUCCUGCACCAGCUCGAGCCCAUGCGCCGUGCCGCCCUCUGCCCCCAGCGCGCCUCCGUUCCUCUCCCGCACGCCCGCUCCUGCACAGCUGAUGCUGAGCUUCUCGGCAUAGGAGUUCCCUGCAAUGCGGUGCACAUGUGGGUAGGACCAAGAAGUGUAAACGGCGACCACAGCUGUUACCACACGUGCGUCCAUGUACCCGGCUGCGGGUUGGCUGCGCACACGGCGCAUGCCUCCGCCUGCCAUCCCUGUUCUGCUAGCCUCUGCGUGCCCGCGCCUGCACCGGACAUUCCAGUCGCUGCUCAAUGUGCAUUCACCUGCUUGCCACAACACCAAGCGCUCUGGCACCUACCUGCCCCCUGCUGCAUGCCACCGCGCACAGCUGCUGUGGGCAGUCAGCCUGGCCCGUACCGCCCUCACGCCUCCUGCCGCGCCAAUGCAGCCAGGCCGGGCCACCCGCACUACUGUACUGUUGUUCGCUUGGGCCAUGCGGUCUGAAAGGGACAGGAGCGGGGUUGAGGGGGGGUUGAGGGUGGGUGCGCGGGGGUAGGGUGUGUGUGCAAAGCCAGAGACAAGGCGAAGCCGGGGCAGGGAGUCAUGCACAGCUGGCGACGGCACGCGCUUUGACGCGGCUCACUUACUACGUCUAGCCAUGCGCGCCUCUCUACCUCCUGUCCGUCGCUGCUGGCCUGCGCAGUGCUCACCUUCCGACUCCUCCGCGGCCCCUUCGCCUUCUGGACCUGUGCCAGGCCGCAUCGCCUGAAGCAGCGCCGCACGCACGCGCCCGCCCGCGACGCUGCCGCCUGCAGCCCUGAUCUUGAACACCCAGUCCCACGCCGCGAGUGUUGGUGAUAACGCCUGAAUGCGGUGGAGCGGCUACCUGUGCAGCCGCUGGGGCGCCGCCGGCGGGAGGCGGCCCAGGUCCAGCUUGUGCGCUGGCGACGACAGCAGCCAUGGCCUGUGGGGGGCCACCGCCGAAGCGCCACCGCUGCGCCCGCCCGCGCCGCCGCCGCCUGCAGCCCUGAUCUUGACCGCCCAGUCCCGCGCCAGUGCUUGUGGAGCCACCUGAUGCGGUGGAGCGGCUGCCUGUGCAGCCGCUGGGGCGCCGCCGGCGGGAGGCGGCCCGGGUCCAGCUUGUGCGCUGGCGACGACAGCAGCCAUGGCCUGUGGGGGGCCGCAUCGCCUGAAGCAGCGCCGCAUGCACGCGCCCGCCCGCGACGCCGCCGCCUGCAGGCCCUGAUCUUGAACGCCCAGUCCCGCGCCAGUGCUUGUGGAGCCACCUGAUGCGGUGGAGCGGCUGCCUGUGCAGCCGCUGGGGCGCCGCCGGCGGGGGCCAGCACGCCGGCGCUGACAGCGCGGCUGAGCCCGAGGGCGCGCGCGACACCCCCAUCUGGGCCAACGCCGCGUGCAGUCCUGACCGGCAGCGGUGGCUUGCACCCUGACGCCGCCGGCUUGAUAUUGUAAUGCUGUUACUGCCGCUGGCACGCGUGCUGUCACUAGUGCUGUUGCUAAUGCUGUUGUUACUGCUGAUGAGGCGGCGCCGAUGCUGUUGCCGCCGGCCGCAACGCCCACCGCCGUCCCCGCCUGCGGCUCCUCCGGGGCCCUCCGUGACGGCGGCGCUGCUUGCGAGACGUGGCUGAGGAGUCCACUCGCACCCACCUCCUGCACAUCGCAUCACACACUGGGCAUCGUCAGUCGGCCAAUGUCAGAAUGUUGUGGGGCGCAUCAGCACUCCAAGUUGAGUGACUGACAUGCAAGUCAAACUUGGUCGGGUGACGCCUUCGUUCCCACACACCGGUGGCUGUAGCCCAUGCCGGGCAUGUGGGUCCAGAUGAUCCAGGGCAUACGUACUCACGCACUCAUCCCAGCCACAUAACCACCCAGAUGGAAAGUCGAAAUGAAGUGCAACCAGACAAAGCGUGGGACAUCGCCCCCAACCGCUCCCACCUCCAGCGCCUGCAGAUGCUCCUCGCCUCCGUCAGGUCUCCAGAGCCGGUGGGUGUGCCCAUCGGCUCCGCCCGCACCUGUGGGCCGCCGAAGCGCUCCCACGGCUGCCGCGCCAGCAGGUAUUGCACUUGACCUGAGCACGGGGAAGAGCAACAACGAGGCACAAGGUCGGCAUCUCAGCCACCAUACCCACGGUACGAUGCAGCAGGCUCAGUUGAAUGUUGGCCGGCUAAGCCGCGCCGCCCUAGGACGACCCUGGCAAGACCCCCAAUGCACGAGCUAGCCAGCAGCAGCACCCGAGCGCUCCCGCAGGGCGCUGCGGACAGCUGCAACGCCCACGGCUGCAACGCCCACGCCCAUGUUCCGCGUUGUCCAAGGCAAUGUCUCCACACGCAUCACUCGCUGCCGGUAUGCGCUCAGUGGUCCCCUGCUGCGACCUCACGUGCCCCCCAUCGCCCCGCAGCCCGGAGCUUAAAUAGGGACUCGGCACGCGGUGACCCAUCACGCGCCACUACGUGCCGCGCCGCCACGCGCCACGCCACACGCCACGUCACGCCGCCGCUACACUACGAACCGCCACGGGCCGCGCCGCGCCGCGUUCCUACCCCGCCCCGCCCCCAAACAUCCCCCGCCAGCACAUGCACGCCCAAAGCCACCACCCACCUGCGCCGCAUUGCCGAGGAGGCAGGGCCCUGGGCCACGUCCACGGACGGCGGCGGGGCGGGAAAGACCGCGCCGCCGCCGCCUGCAGCCCUCAUCUUGAACGCCCAGUCCCGCGCCAGUGCUUGUGGAGCCGCCUGAUGCGGUGGAGCGGCUGCCUGUGCAGCCGCUGGGGCGCCGCUGGCGGGAGGCGGCCCAGGUCCAGCUUGUGCGCUGGCGACGACAGCAGCCAUGGCCUGUGGAGGGCCACCGCCGAAGCGCCACCGCUGCGCCCGCCUGCGCCGCCGCCGCCUGCAGCCCUGAUCUUGAACGCCCAGUCCCGCGCCAGUGCUUGUGGAACCGCCUGAUGCGGUGGAGCGGCUGCCUGUGCAGCCGCUGGGGCGCCGCCGGCGGGGGCCAGCACGCCGGCGCUGACAGCGCGGCUGAGCCCGAGGGCGCGCGCGACACCGCCAUCUGGGCCAACGCCGCGUGCAGUCCUGACCGGCAGCGGUGGCUUGCACCCUGACGCCGCCGGCUUGAUACUGUAAUGCUGUUACUGCCGCUGUCACGCGUGCUGUCACUAGUGCUGUUGCUAAUGCUGUUGUUACUGCUGUUGAGGCGGCGCCGAUGCUGUUGCCGCUGGCCGCAACGCCCACCGCCGUCCCCGCCUGCGGCUCCUCCCGGACCCUCCGUGACGACGGCGCUGCUUGCGAGACGUGGCUGAGGAGUCCACUCGCACCCACCUCCUGCACAUCGCAUCACACACUGGGCAUCGUCAGUCGGCCAAUGUCAGAAUGUUGCGGGGCGCAUCAGCACUCCAAGUUGAGGGACUGACAUGCAAGUCAAACUUGGUCGGGUGACGCCUUCCCACACACCGGUGGCUGUAGCCCAUGCCGGGCAUGUGGGUCCAGAUGAUCCAGGGCAUACGUACUCACGCACUCAUCCCAGCCACAUAACCACCCAGAUGGAAAGUCGAAAUGAAGUGCAACCAGACAAAGCGUGGGACAUCGCCCCCAACCGCUCCCACCUCCAGCGUUGAAUGUUGGCCGGCUAAGCCGCGCCGCCCUAGGACGACCCUGGCAAGACCCCAAUGCACGAGCUAGCCAGCAGCAGCACCCGAGCGCUACCGCAGGGCGCUGCGGACAGCUGCAACGCCCACGGCUGCAACGCCCACGCCCAUGUUCCGCGUUGUCCAAGGCAAUGUCUCCACACGCAUCACUCGCUGCCGGUAUGCGCUCAGUGGUCCCCUGCUGCGACCUCACGUGCCCCCCAUCGCCCCGCAGCCCGGAGCUUGAAUAGGGACUCGGCACGCGGUGACCCAUCACGCGCCACUACGUGCCGCGCCGCCACGCGCCACGCCACACGCCACGUCACGCCGCCGCUACACUACGAACCGCCACGGGCCGCGCCGCGCCGCGUUCCUACCCCGCCCCGCCCCCAAACAUCCCCCGCCAGCGCAUGCACGCCCAAAGCCACCACCCACCUGCGCCGCAUUGUCGGGGAGGCAGGGGCCUGGGCCACGUCCACGGACGGCGGCGGGGCGGGAAAGACCGCGCCGCCGCCACCUGCAGCCCUCAUCUUGAACGCCCAGUCCCGCGCCAGUGCUUGUGGAGCCACCUGAUGCGGUGGAGCAGCUGCCUGUGCAGCCGCUGGGGCGCCGCCGGCGGGAGGCGGCCCAGGUCCAGCUUGUGCGCUGGCGACGACAGCAGCCAUGGCCUGUGGAGGGCCACCGCCGAAGCGCCACCGUUGCGCCCGCCUGCGCCGCCGCCGCCUGCAGCCCUCAUCUUGAACGCCCAGUCCCGCGCCAGUGCUUGUGGAACCGCCUGAUGCGGUGGAGCGGCUGCCUGUGCAGCCGCUGGGGCGCCGCCGGCGGGGGCCAGCACGCCGGCGCUGACAGCGCGGCUGAGCCCGAGGGCGCGCGCGACACCGCCACCUGGGCCAACGCCGCGUGCAGUCCUGACCGGCGGCGGUGGCUUGCACCCUGACGCCGCCGGCUUGAUACUGUAAUGCUGUUACUGCCGCUGUCACGCGUGCUGUCACUAGUGCUGUUGCUAAUGCUGUUGUUACUGCUGUUGAGGCGGCGCCGAUGCUGUUGCCGCUGGCCGCAACGCCCACCGCCGUCCCCGCCUGCGGCUCCUCCCGGACCCUCCGUGACGACGGCGCUGCUUGCGAGACGUGGCUGAGGAGUCCACUCGCACCCACCUCCNNNNNNNNNNNNNNNNNNNNNNNNNNNNNNNNNNNNNNNNNNNNNNNNNNNNNNNNNNNNNNNNNNNNNNNNNNNNNNNNNNNNNNNNNNNNNNNNNNNNNNNNNNNNNNNNNNNNNNNNNNNNNNNNNNNNNNNNNNNNNNNNNNNNNNNNNNNNNNNNNNNNNNNNNNNNNNNNNNNNNNNNNNNNNNNNNNNNNNNNNNNNNNNNNNNNNNNNNNNNNNNNNNNNNNNNNNNNNNNNNNNNNNNNNNNNNNNNNNNNNNNNNNNNNNNNNNNNNNNNNNNNNNNNNNNNNNNNNNNNNNNNNNNNNNNNNNNNNNNNNNNNNNNNNNNNNNNNNNNNNNNNNNNNNNNNNNNNNNNNNNNNNNNNNNNNNNNNNNNNNNNNNNNNNNNNNNNNNNNNNNNNNNNNNNNNNNNNNNNNNNNNNNNNNNNNNNNNNNNNNNNNNNNNNNNNNNNNNNNNNNNNNNNNNNNNNNNNNNNNNNNNNNNNNNNNNNNNNNNNNNNNNNNNNNNNNNNNNNNNNNNNNNNNNNNNNNNNNNNNNNNNNNNNNNNNNNNNNNNNNNNNNNNNNNNNNNNNNNNNNNNNNNNNNNNNNNNNNNNNNNNNNNNNNNNNNNNNNNNNNNNNNNNNNNNNNNNNNNNNNNNNNNNNNNNNNNNNNNNNNNNNNNNNNNNNNNNNNNNNNNNNNNNNNNNNNNNNNNNNNNNNNNNNNNNNNNNNNNNNNNNNNNNNNNNNNNNNNNNNNNNNNNNNNNNNGAACGCCCAGUCCCGCGCCAGUGCUUGUGGAGCCACCUGAUGCGGUGGAGCAGCUGCCUGUGCAGCCGCUGGGGCGCCGCUGGCGGGAGGCGGCCCAGGUCCAGCUUGUGCGCUGGCGACGACAGCAGCCAUGGCCUGUGGAGGGCCACCGCCGAAGCGCCACCGUUGCGCCCGCCUGCGCCGCCGCCGCCUGCAGCCCUGAUCUUGAACGCCCAGUCCCGCGCUAGUGCUUGUGGAACCGCCUGAUGCGGUGGAGCGGCUGCCUGUGCAGCCGCUGGGGCGCCGCCGGCGGGGGCCAGCACGCCGGCGCUGACAGCGCGGCUGAGCCCGAGGGCGCGCGCGACACCCCCAUCUGGGCCAACGCCGCGUGCAGUCCUGACCGGCGGCGGUGGCUUGCACCCUGACGCCGCCGGCUUGAUACUGUAAUGCUGUUACUGCCGCUGUCACGCGUGCUGUCACUAGUGCUGUUGCUAAUGCUGUUGUUACUGCUGUUGAGGCGGCGCCGAUGCUGUUGCCGCCGGCCGCAACGCCCACCGCCGUCCCCGCCUGCGGCUCCUCCCGGACCCUCCGUGACGACGGCGCUGCUUGCGAGACGUGGCUGAGGAGUCCACUCGCACCCACCUCCUGCACACCGCAUCACACACUGGGCAUCGUCAGUCGGCCAAUGUCAGAAUGUUGCGGGGCGCAUCAGCACUCCAAGUUGAGGGACUGACAUGCAAGUCAAACUUGGUCGGGUGACGCCUUCCCACACACCGGUGGCUGUAGCCCAUGCCGGGCAUGUGGGUCCAGAUGAUCCAGGGCAUACGUACUCACGCACUCAUCCCAGCCACAUAACCACCCAGAUGGAAAGUCGAAAUGAAGUGCAACCAGACAAAGCGUGGGACAUCGCCCCCAACCGCUCCCACCUCCAGCGCCUGCAGAUGCUCCUCGCCUCCGUCAGGUCUCCAGAGCCGGUGGGUGUGCCCAUCGGCUCCGCCCGCACCUGUGGGCCGCCGAAGCGCUCCCACGGCUGCCGCGCCAGCAGGUAUUGCACUUGACCUGAGCACGGGGAAGAGCAACAACGCGGCGCAAGGUCGGCAUCGCAGCCACCAUACCCACAGUACGAUGCAGGCUCAGUUGAAUGUUGGCCGGCUAAGCCGCGCCGCCCUAGGACGACCCUGGCAAGACCCCCAAUGCACGAGCUAGCCAGCAGCAGCACCCGAGCGCUCCCGCAGGGCGCUGCGGACAGCUGCAACGCCCACGGCUGCAACGCCCACGCCCAUGUUCCGCGUUGUCCAAGGCAAUGUCUCCACACGCAUCACUCGCUGCCGGUAUGCGCUCAGUGGUCCCCUGCUGCGACCUCACGUGCCCCCCAUCGCCCCGCAGCCCGGAGCUCAAAUAGGGACUCGGCACGCGGUGACCCAUCACGCGCCACUACGUGCCGCGCCGCCACGCGCCACGCCACACGCCACGUCACGCCGCCGCUACACCACGAACCGCCACGGGCCGCGCCGCGCCCCGUUCCUACCCCGCCCCGCCCCCAAACAUCCCCCGCCAGCACAUGCACGCCCAAAGCCACCACCCACCUGCGCCGCAUUGUCGGGGAGGCAGGGGCCUGGGCCACGUCCACGGACGGCGGCGGGGCGGGAAAGACCGCGCCGCCGCCGCCUGCAGCCCUCAUCUUGAACGCCCAGUCCCGCGCCAGUGCUUGUGGAGCCGCCUGAUGCGGUGGAGCGGCUGCCUGUGCAGCCGCUGGGGCGCCGCUGGCGGGAGGCGGCCCAGGUCCAGUUUGUGCGCUGGCGACGACAGCAGCCAUGGCCUGUGGAGGGCCACCGCCGAAGCGCCACCGCUGCGCCCGCCUGCGCCGCCGCCGCCUGCAGCCCUGAUCUUGAACGCCCAGUCCCGCGCCAGUGCUUGUGGAACCGCCUGAUGCGGUGAAGCGGCUGCCUGUGCAGUCGCUGGGGCGCCGCCGGCGGGGGGCAGCACGCAGGGCCUCAGCGGCCGGCGCUGACAGCGCGGCUGAGCCCGAGGGCGCGCGCGACACCCCCAUCUGGGCCAACGCCGCGUGCAGUCCUGACCGGCGGCGGUGGCUUGCACCCUGACGCCGCCGGCUUGAUACUGUAAUGCUGUUACUGCCGCUGUCACGCGUGCUGUCACUAGUGCUGUUGCUAAUGCUGUUGUUACUGCUGAUGAGGCCGCGCCGAUGCUGUUGCCGCCGGCCGCAACGCCCACCGCCGCCCCCGCCUGCGGCUCCUCCCGGGCCCUCCGUGACGGCGGCGCUGCUUGCGAGACGUGGCUGAGGAGUCCACUCGCACCCACCUCCUGCACAUCGCAUCACACACUGGGCAUCGUCAGUCGGCCAAUGUCAGAAUGUUGCGGGGCGCAUCAGCACUCCAAGUUGAGGGACUGACAUGCAAGUCAAACUUGGUCGGGUGACGCCUUCCCACACACCGGUGGCUGUAGCCCAUGCCGGGCAUGUGGGUCCAGAUGAUCCAGGGCAUACGUACUCACGCACUCAUCCCAGCCACAUAACCACCCAGAUGGAAAGUCGAAAUGAAGUGCAACCUGACAAAGCGUGGGACAUCGCCCCCAACCGCUCCCACCUCCAGCGCCUGCAGAUGCUCCUCGCCUCCGUCAGGUCUCCAGAGCCCGUGGGUGUGCCCAUCGGCUCCGCCCGCACCUGUGGGCCGCCGAAGCGCUCCCACGGCUGCCACGCCAGCAGGUAUUGCGCUUGACCUGAGCACGGGGAAGAGCAACAACGAGGCACAAGGUCGGCAUCGCAGCCACCAUACCCACGGUACGAUGCAGGCUCACUUGAAUGUUGGCCGGCUAAGCCGCGCCGCCCUAGGACGACCCUGGCAAGACCCCCAAUGCACGAGCUAGCCAGCAGCAGCACCCGAGCGCUCCCGCAGGGCGCUGCGGACAGCUGCAACGCCCACGGCUGCAAAGCCCACGCCCAUGUUCCGCGUUGUCCAAGGCAAUGUCUCCACACGCAUCACUCGCUGCCGGUAUGCGCUCAGUGGUCCCCUGCUGCGACCUCACGUGCCCCCCAUCGCCCCGCAGCCCGGAGCUUAAAUAGGGACUCGGCACGCGGUGACCCAUCACGCGCCACUACGUGCCGCGCCGCCACGCGCCACGCGCCACGCCACGUCACGCCGCCGCUACACUACGAACCGCCACGGGCCGCGCCGCGCCGCGUUCCUACCCCGCCCCGCCCCCAAACAUCCCCCGCCAGCACAUGCACGCCCAAAGCCACCACCCACCUGCGCCGCAUUGUCGGGGAGGCAGGGGCCUGGGCCACGUCCACGGACGGCGGCGGGGCGGGAAAGACCAGCUUGGGCCAGCGCGCUAGCAGCUCCCAGCGGCCGCUGAGAGUUACCGUGGGCGCUUCGGCAGAACUACAUCGCUGCCACCCAGCCUCCUCACGCCAUAUGCUACAAGCGCCAUGUGCCGUUCGCCCGGCUGCCCGCUGAGCUCCCCCUGAACCCUAAUCGCCAGACCUGCAGGGCCUCGUUGCCGAGACGCAGGCUCCCCGUCCCCGAAUGAUAGCUACCCACGACAGUGAUAUAUGCCAUAGACGCUUAACACAGCGGGGCGUCAGAAAGCAGGUUUGUGGCGUCUCGAGCUAAGUUCAUGGCGGGUUGGACAUGCUCCUGGCUCAGGAUGGCAUUCUCGUACUCGGUUACGUAUAUCUAUGUGGUGAAAUAUUUAUUCUAGAAGUGACGUGCACAGGAAUAUGUCCGGGUCCACGGCCAGCAGCUGCAUCGGAGCCGGCUGUGUGACAGCUACGUUACUUGCGGCAUGACGCAGUCUAGCAUGCUACACGACCAUAUGCCUGAUAUAUUUGAGUUAUGCAGCCCAGAGCCAGGUCUGGGGCCGUGUGCGUGUUUUGCGUGGCGUGCUCUUAACCUGUCCAGUCAGGCAGCCUGCGGUCGCGGCGGAGGGGUGACACUCGCGGGUUUGGCUGCUCUCAUCCAGCUCCGGUCGACUAGCCGUGGGCUUACUUCAAGGCAACGGCUGUAAAGCUUGGGCUCACUUUCAGGUCCUGGUGGAGGGGGCAGGGGGGGGGGUAGGAAACAAAGUGCCAGACCCCAUGCCCCGAAACCCUCGGGACACUCCUAGAGGGGACGACCGACCCCCCCCCCCAACACCCACACACCCACACACACGGACAAACCUUGAUGUUUAGGGGUUAAAACCCCUCCAUCUUAUACCAAAGUGGCGUCAAUCGACUCCUCAAGACAAGCACUAUCACUCCGUGCCAUCCGCGGUNNNNNNNNNNNNNNNNNNNNNNNNNNNNNNNNNNNNNNNNNNNNNNNNNNNNNNNNNNNNNNNNNNNNNNNNNNNNNNNNNNNNNNNNNNNNNNNNNNNNNNNNNNNNNNNNNNNNNNNNNNNNNNNNNNNNNNNNNNNNNNNNNNNNNNNNNNNNNNNNNNNNNNNNNNNNNNNNNNNNNNNNNNNNNNNNNNNNNNNNNNNNNNNNNNNNNNNNNNNNNNNNNNNNNNNNNNNNNNNNNNNNNNNNNNNNNNNNNNNNNNNNNNNNNNNNNNNNNNNNNNNNNNNNNNNNNNNNNNNNNNNNNNNNNNNNNNNNNNNNNNNNNNNNNNNNNNNNNNNNNNNNNNNNNNNNNNNNNNNNNNNNNNNNNNNNNNNNNNNNNNNNNNNNNNNNNNNNNNNNNNNNNNNNNNNNNNNNNNNNNNNNNNNNNNNNNNNNNNNNNNNNNNNNNNNNNNNNNNNNNNNNNNNNNNNNNNNNNNNNNNNNNNNNNNNNNNNNNNNNNNNNNNNNNNNNNNNNNNNNNNNNNNNNNNNNNNNNNNNNNNNNNNNNNNNNNNNNNNNNNNNNNNNNNNNNNNNNNNNNNNNNNNNNNNNNNNNNNNNNNNNNNNNNNNNNNNNNNNNNNNNNNNNNNNNNNNNNNNNNNNNNNNNNNNNNNNNNNNNNNNNNNNNNNNNNNNNNNNNNNNNNNNNNNNNNNNNNNNNNNNNNNNNNNNNNNNNNNNNNNNNNNNNNNNNNNNNNNNNNNNNNNNNNNNNNNNNNNNNNNNNNNNNNNNNNNNNNNNNNNNNNNNNNNNNNNNNNNNNNNNNNNNNNNNNNNNNNNNNNNNNNNNNNNNNNNNNNNNNNNNNNNNNUUACCCACAUCCCGCUAGCUCGCACAGGCCGGUGGCCCACAUCGCGAAGCCUUCGCCGCACACGCAGGCCCCACCACGCCCCGUCCACCGCCGCACCCACCUCCUGCACCAGCUCGAGCCCAUGCGCCGUGCCGCCCUCUGCCCCCAGCGCGCCUCCGUUCCUCUCCCGCACGCCCGCUCCUGCACAGCUAACGCUGAGCUUCUCGGCAUAGGAGUCCCCUGCAAUGCGGUGCACAUGUGGGUAGGACCAAGAAGUGUAAACGGCGACCACAGCUGUUACCACACGUGCGUCCAUGUACCCGGCGCACACGGCGCAUGCCUCCGCCCGCCAUCCCUGUUCUACUAGCCUCUGCGUGCCCGAGCCUGCACCGGACAUUCCAGUCGCUGCUCAAUGUGCAUUCACCUGCUAGCCACAACACCAAGCGCUCUGGCACCUACCUGCCCCCUGCUGCAUGCCACCGCGCACAGCUGCUGUGGGCAGUCAGCCUGGCCCGUACCGCCCUCAAGCCUCCUGCCGCGCCAAUGCAGCCAGGCCGGGCCACCCGCACUACUGUACUGUUGUUCGCUUGGGCCAUGCGGUCUGAAAGGGACAGGAGCGGGGUUGAGGGUGGGUUCAGGGUGGGUGCGCGGGGGUAGGGUGUGUGUGCAUAGCCACAGACAAGGCGAAGCCGGGGCAGGGAGUCAUGCACAGCUGGCGACGGCACGCGCUUUGACGCGGCUCACUUACUACGUCUAGCCAUGCGCGCCUCUCUACCUCCUGUCCGUCGCUGCUGGCCUGCGCAGUGCUCACCUUCCGACUCCUCCGCGGCCCCUUCGCCUGCUGGACCUGUGCCAGGCCGCAUCGCCUGAAGCAGCGCCGCACGCACGCGCCCGCCCGCGACGCCGCCGCCUGCAGCUCUGAUCUUGAACACCCAGUCCCACGCCGCGAGUGUUGGUGAUAACGCCUGAAUGCGGUGGAGCGGCUACCUGUGUAGCCGUCGGGGUGCUGCCGGCGGGGGGCGGCACGGGUUCAGCGUGAGCGCUGGCGACGACAGCAGCCAUGGCCCGUGGAGGGCCACCGCCGAAGCGCCACCGUUGCGCCCGCCCGCGCCGCCGCCGCCUGCAGCCCUGAUCUUGAACGCCCAGUCCCGCGCCAGUGCUUGUGGAGCCACCUGAUGCGGUGGAGCGGCUGCCUGUGCAGCCGCUGGGGCGCCGCCGGCGGGAGGCGGCCCAGGUCCAGCUUGUGCGCUGGCGACGACAGCAGCCAUGGCCUGUGGGGGGCCGCAUCGCCUGAAGCAGCGCCGCAUGCACGCGCCCGCCCGCGCCGCCGCCGCCUGCAGCCCUCAUCUUGAACACCCAGUCCCGCGCCAGUGCUUGUGAAGCCGCCUGAUGCGGUGGAGCGGCUGCCUGUGCAGCCGCUGGGGCGCCGCCGGCGGGAGGCGGCCCAGGUCCAGCUUGUGCGCUGGCGACGACAGCAGCCAUGGCCUGUGGAGGGCCACCGCCGAAGCGCCACCGUUGCGCCCGCCCGCGCCGCCGCCGCCUGCAGCCCUGAUCUUGACCGCCCAGUCCCGCGCCAGUGCUUGUGGAGCCACCUGAUGCGGUGGAGCGGCUGCCUGUGCAGCCGCUGGGGCGCCGCCGGCGGGAGGCGGCCCAGGUCCAGCUUGUGCGUUGGCGACGACAGCAGCCAUGGCCUGUGGGGGGCCACCGCCGAAGCGCCACCGUUGCGCCCGCCCGCGCCGCCGCCGCCUGCAGCCCUGAUCUUGACCGCCCAGUCCCGCGCCAGUGCUUGUGGAGCCACCUGAUGCGGUGGAACGGCUGCCUGUGCAGCCGCUGGGGCGCCGCCGGCGGGAGGCGGCCCAGGUCCAGCUUGUGCGCUGGCGACGACAGCAGCCAUGGCCUGUGGGGGGCCACCGCCGAAGCGCCACCGUUGCGCCCGCCCGCGCCGCCGCCGCCUGCAGCCCUGAUCUUGACCGCCCAGUCCCGCGCCAGUGCUUGUGGAGCCACCUGAUGCGGUGGAGCGGCUGCCUGUGCAGCCGCUGGGGCGCCGCCGGCGGGAGGCGGCCCGGGUCCAGCUUGUGCGCUGGCGACGACAGCAGCCAUGGCCUGUGGGGGGCCACCGCCGAAGCGCCACCGCUGCGCCCGCCCGCGCCGCCGCCGCCUGCAGCCCUGAUCUUGACCGCCCAGUCCCGCGCCAGUGCUUGUGGAACCGCCUGAUGCGGUGGAACGGCUGCCUGUGCAGCCGCUGGGGCGCCGCCGGCGGGAGGCGGCCCGGGUCCAGCUUGUGCGCUGGCGACGACAGCAGCCAUGGCCUGUGGGGGGCCACCACCGAAGCGCCACCUUUGCGCCCGCCCGCGCCGCCGCCGCCUGCAGCCCUGAUCUUGAACGCCCAGUCCCGCGCCAGUGCUUGUGGAGCCACCUGAUGCGGUGGAGCGGCUGCCUGUGCAGCCGCUGGGGCGCCGCCGGCGGGAGGCGGCCCGGGUCCAGCUUGUGCGCUGGCGACGACAGCAGCCAUGGCCUGUGGGGGGCCACCGCCGAAGCGCCACCGUUGCGCCCGCCUGCGCCGCCGCCGCCUGCAGCCCUCAUCUUGAAAGCCCAGUCCCGCGCCAGUGCUUGUGGAACCGCCUGAUGCGGGGAGCNNNNNNNNNNNNNNNNNNNNNNNNNNNNNNNNNNNNNNNNNNNNNNNNNNNNNNNNNNNNNNNNNNNNNNNNNNNNNNNNNNNNNNNNNNNNNNNNNNNNGCGCUCCCGCAGGGCGCUGUGGACAGCUGCAACGCCCACGGCUGCAACGCCCACGCCCAUGUUCCGCGUUGUCCAAGGCAAUGUCUCCACACGCAUCACUCGCUGCCGGUAUGCGCCCAGUGGUCCCCUGCUGCGACCUCACGUGCCCCCCAUCGCCCCGCAGCCCGGAGCUUAAAUAGGGACUCGGCACGCGGUGACCCAUCACGCGCCACUACGUGCCGCGCCGCCACGCGCCACGCCACACGCCACGUCACGCCGCCGCUACACUACGAACCGCCACGGGCCGCGCCGCGCCGCGUUCCUACCCCGCCCCGCCCCCAAACAUCCCCCGCCAGCGCAUGCACGCCCAAAGCCACCACCCACCUGCGCCGCAUUGUCGGGGAGGCAGGGGCCUGGGCCACGUCCACGGACGGCGGCGGGGCGGGAAAGACCGCGCCGCCGCCACCUGCAGCCCUCAUCUUGAACGCCCAGUCCCGCGCCAGUGCUUGUGGAGCCACCUGAUGCGGUGGAGCAGCUGCCUGUGCAGCCGCUGGGGCGCCGCCGGCGGGAGGCGGCCCAGGUCCAGCUUGUGCGCUGGCGACGACAGCAGCCAUGGCCUGUGGAGGGCCACCGCCGAAGCGCCACCGUUGCGCCCGCCUGCGCCGCCGCCUGCAGCCCUCAUCUUGAACGCCCAGUCCCGCGCCAGUGCUUGUGGAACCGCCUGAUGCGGUGGAGCGGCUGCCUGUGCAGCCGCUGGGGCGCCGCCGGCGGGGGCCAGCACGCCGGCGCUGACAGCGCGGCUGAGCCCGAGGGCGCGCGCGACACCGCCACCUGGGCCAACGCCGCGUGCAGUCCUGACCGGCGGGCGGUGGCUUGCACCCUGACGCCGCCGGCUUGAUACUGUAAUGCUGUUACUGCCGCUGUCACGCGUGCUGUCACUAGUGCUGUUGCUAAUGCUGUUGUUACUGCUGAUGAGGCGGCGCCGAUGCUGUUGCCGCCGGCCGCAACGCCCACCGCCGUCCCCGCCUGCGGCUCCUUCCGGGCCCUCCGUGACGGCGGCGCUGCUUGCGAGACGUGGCUGAGGAGUCCACUCGCACCCACCUCCUGCACAUCGCAUCACACACUGGGCAUCGUCAGUCGGCCAAUGUCAGAAUGUUGUGGGGCGCAUCAGCACUCCAAGUUGAGGGACUGACAUGCAAGUCGAACUUGGUCGGGUGACGCCUUCCCACACACCGGUGGCUGUAGCCCAUGCCGGGCAUGUGGGUCCAGAUGAUCCAGGGCAUACGUACUCACGCACUCAUCCCAGCCACAUAACCACCCAGAUGGAAAGUCGAAAUGAAGUGCAACCAGACAAAGCGUGGGACAUCGCCCCCAACCGCUCCCACCUCCAGCGCCUGCAGAUGCUCCUCGCCUCCGUCAGGUCUCCAGAGCCCGUGGGUGUGCCCAUCGGCUCCGCCCGCACCUGUGGGCCGCCGAAGCGCUCCCACGGCUGCCACGCCAGCAGGUAUUGCGCUUGACCUGAGCACGGGGAAGAGCAACAACGCGGCACAAGGUCGGCAUCGCAGCCACCAUACCCACGGUACGAUGCAGGCUCAGUUGAAUGUUGGCCGGCUCAGCCGCGCCGCCCUAGGACGACCCUGGCAAGACCCCCAAUGCACGAGCUAGCCAGCAGCAGCACUCGAGCGCUCCCGCAGGGCGCUGCGGACAGCUGCAACGCCCACGGCUGCAACGCCCACGCCCAUGUUCCGCGUUGUCCAAGUCAAUGUCUCCACACGCAUCACUCGCUGCCGGUAUGCGCUCAGUGGUCCCCUGCUGCGACCUCACGUGCCCCCCAUCACUCCGCAGCCCGGAGCUUAAAUAGGGACUCGGCACGCGGUGACCCAUCACGCGCCACUACGUGCCGCGCCGCCACGCGCCACGCCACACGCCACGUCACGCCGCCGCUACACUACGAACCGCCACGGGCCGCGCCGCGCCGCGUUCCUACCCCGCCCCGCCCCCAAACAUCCCCCGCCAGCACAUGCACGCCCAAAGCCACCACCCACCUGCGCCGCAUUGCCGAGGAGGCAGGGCCCUGGGCCACGUCCACGGACGGCGGCGGGGCGGGAAAGCUUAGCUGUGGCCAGCGCGGGAGGCGGCCCGGGUCCAGCUUGUGCGCUGGCGACGACAGCAGCCAUGGCCUGUCGAGGGCCACCGCCGAAGCGCCACCGCUGCGCCCGCCUGCGCCGCCGCCGCCUGCAGCCCUGAUCUUGACCGCCCAGUCCCGCGCCAGUGCUUGUGGAACCGCCUGAUGCGGUGGAACGGCUGCCUGUGCAGCCGCUGGGGCGCCGCCGGCGGGAGGCGGCCCAGGUCCAGCUUGUGCGCUGGCGACGACAGCAGCCAUGGCCUGUGGAGGGCCACCGCCGAAGCGCCACCGUUGCGCCCGCCCCCGCCGCCGCCGCCUGCAGCCCUCAUCUUGACCGCCCAGUCCCGCGCCAGUGCUUGUGGAACCGCCUGAUGCGGUGGAGCGGCUGCCUGUGCAGCCGCUGGGGUGCCGCCGGCGGGGGGCAGCACGCAGGCCUCAGCGGCCGGCGCUGACAGCGCGGCUGAGCCCGAGGGCGCGCGCGACACCGCCACCUGGGCCAACGCCGCGUGCAGUCCUGACCGGCGGCGGUGGCGCGCACAUUGACGCCGCCGGCUUGAUACUGUAAUGCUGUUACUGCCGCUGGCACGCGUGCUGUCACUAGUGCUGUUGCUAAUGCUAUUGUUACUGCUGUUGAGGCCGCGCCGAUGCUGUUGCCGCCGGCCGCAACGCCCACCGCCGCCCCCGCCUGCGGCUCCUCCGGGCCCUCCGUCGCGGCGGCGCUGCUUGCGAGACGUGGCUGAGGAGGCCACUCGCACCCACCUCCUGCACACCGCAUCACACACUGGGCACCGUCAGUCGGCCAAUGUCAGAAUGUUGCGGGGCGCAUCAGCACUCCAAGUUGAGGGACUGACAUGCAAGUCGAACUUGGUCGAGUCAUGCCUUCCCACACAUACACCGGUGGCUGCAGCCCAUGCCGGGCAUGUGGGUCCAGACGAUCCAGGGCAGACGUACUCACGCACUCAUCCCAGCCACAUAACCACCCAGAUGGAAAGUUGAAAUGAAGCACAACCCCACAAAGCGUGGGACAUCGCCCCCAACCGCUCCCACCUCCAGCAGCGCCAGCAGCUGCUCCUCGCCUCCGUCAGGUCUCCAGAGCCCGUGGGUGUGCCCAUCGGCUCCGCCCGCACCUGUGGGCCGCCGCAGCGCUCCCACGGCUGCCGCGCCAGCAGGUAUUGCACUUGACCUGAGCACGGGGAAGAGCAACAACGCGGCGCAAGGUCGGCAUCGCAGCCACCAUACCCACGGUACGAUGCAGGCUCAGUUGAAUGUUGGCCGGCUAAGCCGCGCCGCCCUAGGACGACCCUGGCAAGACCCCCAAUGCACGAGCUAGCCAGCAGCAGCACUCGAGCGCUCCCGCAGGGCGCUGCGGACAGCUGCAACGCCCACGGCUGCAACGCCCACGCCCAUGUUCCGCGUUGUCCAAGGCAAUGUCUCCACACGCAUCACUCGCUGCCGGUAUGCGCUCAGUGGUCCCCUGCUGCGACCUCACGUGCCCCCCAUCGCCCCGCAGCCCGGAGCUCAAAUAGGGACUCGGCACGCGGUGACCCAUCACGCGCCACAACGUGCCGCGCCGCCACGCGCCACGCCACACGCCACGUCACCCCGCCGCUACACUACGAACUGCCACGCGCCGCGCCGCGCCGCGUUCCUACCCCGCCCCGCCCCCAAACAUCCGCCGCCAGCACACGCACGCCCAAAGCCACCACCCACCUGCGCCGCAUUGCCGGGGAGGCAGGGGCCUGGGCCACGUCCACAGACGGCCGCGGGGCGGGAAAGACCAGCUUGGGCCAGCGCGCUAGCAGCUCCCAGCGGCCGCUGAGAGUUACCGUGGGCGCUUCGGCAGAACUACAUCGCUGCCACCCAGCCUCCUCACGCCAUAUGCUACAAGCGCCAUGUGCCGUUCGCCCGGCUGCCCGCUGAGCUCCCCCUGAACCCUAAUCGCCAGACCUGCAGGGCCUCGUUGCCGAGGCGCAGGCUCCCCGUCCCCGAAUGAUAGCUACCCACGACAGUCAUAUAUGCCAUAGACGCUUAACACAGCGGGGCGUCAGAAAGCAGGUUUGUGGCGUCUCGAGCUAAGUUCAUGGCGGGUUGGACAUGCUCCUGGCUCAGGAUGGCAUUCUCGUACUCGGUUACGUAUAUCUAUGUGGUGAAAUAUUUAUUCUAGAAGUGACGUGCACAGAAAUAUGUCCGGGUCCACGGCCAGCAGCUGCAUCGGAGCCGGCUGUGUGACAGCUACGUUACCUGCGGCAUGACGCAGUCUAGCAUGCAACACGACCAUAUGCCUGAUAUAUUUGAGUUAUGCAGCCCAGAGCCAGGUCUGGGGCCGUGUGCGUGUUUUGCGUGGCGUGCUGCACGGAAUCUGUCCAGUCAGGCAGCCUGCAGUCGCGGCGGAGGGGUGACACUCGCGGGUUUGGCUGCUCUCAUCCAGCUCCGGUCGACUAGCCGUGGGCUUACUUCAAGGCAACGGCUGUAAAGCUUGGGCUCACUUUCAGGUCCUGGUGGAGGGGGCAGGGGGGGGUAGGAAACAAAGUGCCAGACCCCAUGCCCCGAAACCCUCGGGACACUCCUAGAGGGGACGACCGACCCCCCCCCCAACACACACACACCCACACACACACGGACAAACCUUGGUGUUUAGGGGUUAAAACCCCUCCAUCUUAUACCAAAGUGGCGUCAAUCGACUCCUCAAGACAAGCACUAUCACUCCGUGCCAUCAGCGGUCCUGUACUGAAACUCCUUGUGGAUUUGACCUUGCCUGUACCGUACCGUACGUCAUUGCUUGCCGCCUGCACGGAUUGCAGUCCGUUGCCUGUUCCCAUCCAACCCCGAGCUCAAAACCAGGAUGCCAUUUAGGGUGGUGUUGAAAAACACCGAUUUUUUGAUAGGUCAGUCCAUCGCCUCGCCGGCCGGCCGCACAGGGCCUUCACACCACGAAGCCAGGCACGGAGACCACACUCUCCAGCCAGCCGUGCUCGGCCACGGCCUUUGCCUCACGCACCGCCAGCUGCAUGGCCUGCAGGCGGACCUGCCAUUCCACCUCCCACUGGCCGGCCUCCUGCAGGUCCCACACAGCCUGGGUCUCAAGCUCGCACACCGUCUGAGCCAGGUACUCGAGCACCAGAUCAGAUCCAAUCUGGGUCAUGUCGAAACGACAGCUCAGUGCCUGCUGUAGGCGGUCCGUGGCCCGAGCCUUCAGAGCCUGAGUGGUGUCCCAGGCCUGCUGCACGCCGGCCCAGUGCUUCGUGAAUGUCUGGAACAUCAGGCGGUACGCGCCAGAGCCAGCGGGCUUGUAGGGAGCAAUCUCGUCGGCGGAGUGGUCGAUGAUGACCAGGGGGCAGCCGCUCGCGUGCAGGCAGGAGCAAAUGGUGAAGUCGAGGGCGUCGGUGUCGGAACCGUCGAGGGCGUCGGGCUUCGGGCAGGCGGGGUUGGUGUCGCAGGUCGGGGCGGUGACAGCAGGCUUCAGGGAGCCAUCAGCCAGCGAGCCCAGAGGAGUCUCAGCAGCGCACAGCAGUUUGGGCUUGGGCUCGUUGUCAGCAGGCGGAAAGCCGUCGCGGUCGGCGAUGUGCAUGUCCAUCUUGUCGCCGAUAGAAGACGCCGGGCUUGAGGGCCGGUCAUCCUCGGAGACCUAGAGUCGCCAAGAAUAGAGAACAGCUCGUUACGCCCCGUUUCAUGCGUUGACCGGCAGCAUCCCUUUUCAGCAUGCGCUCAGCACUCGCCCAACAAGCGUCUAAACAAACCACAACAGCCCGCACUACUCACAAGUCGGUCCUCGCAGUCAGAAUCCUCAUGCCCAGGGCACUUGGACACAGCGCAAACGCAGAGCGCCAUCACCAAAGUAAGCAUGCCGCCCUCCAGGACGGACAGCGCAACCGCGGACUGCGCCAGGACGGCCACAGCCAGCGAGAACUGGAGCAUGGGCAUCAGUAUGCUAAGGAGCUCCAUCGUAGCUCAAAGCAAACAGAACGUGGCUGUACAGGAAACCGGCGGGGCGGGCAGCUGGGGUACCGCUGAGCGCACUUGGUGUAAGAAGCAGUAAAAAGGCAGAGGGCUCUAGUUGCACAGCGCGGGUGAAUGGGUGUACAUGCAGGAGGCUAUGGAGGGAUGGGCUUUUAUAGCGGGCGGGCGGCAGGGGGGCCAGGCUGAGCCGAGAAAGUCAGCGCAAUGCAGGCGGUUGUUUGACCCAACCGCGGCUCACCUGUGCCAAAACGCGACCAACGCACAGGGCCACCUCCAGACGCCAACGCCGCGCAAACUAAUUGUAAUUCAGUAUUCUGUACCCAAAACGCGCGGCGCUUACCCACAUCCCGCUAGCUCGCACAGGCCGAUGGCCCACAUCGCGAAGCCUCCGCCGCACACGCAGGCCCCACCACGCCCCCUCCACCGCCGCACCCACCUCCUGCACCAGCUCGAGCCCAUGCGCCGUGCCGCCCUCUGCCCCCAGCGCGCCUCCGUUCCUCUCCCGCACGCCCGCUCCUGCACAGCUGAUGCUGAGCUUCUCGGCAUAGGAGUCCCCUGCAAUGCGGUGCACAUGUGGGUAGGACCAAGAAGUGUAAACGGCGACCACAGCUGUUACCACACGUGCGUCCAUGUACCCGGCGCACACGGCGCAUGCCUCCGCCCGCCAUCCCUGUUCUACUAGCCUCUGCGUGCCCGAGCCUGCACCGGACAUUCCAGUCGCUGCUCAAUGUGCAUUCACCUGCUAGCCACAACACCAAGCGCUCUGGCACCUACCUGCCCCCUGCUGAAUGCCACCGCGCACAGCUGCUGUGGACAGUCAGCGUGGCCCGUACCGCCCUCACGCCUCCUGCCGCGCCAAUGCAGCCAGGCCGGGCCACCCGCACUACUGUACUGUUGUUCGCUUGGGCCAUGCGGUCUGAAAGGGACAGGAGCGGGGUUGAGGGUGGGUUCAGGGUGGGUGCACGGGGGUAGGGUGUGUGUGCAUAGCCAGAGACAAGGCGAAGCCGGGGCAGGGAGUCAUGCACAGCUGGCGACGGCACGCGCUUUGACGCGGCUCACUUACUACGUCUAGCCAUGCGCGCCUCUCUACCUCCUGUCCGUCGCUGCUGGCCUGCGCAGUGCUCACCUUCCGACUCCUCCGCGGCCCCUUCGCCUUCUGGACCUGUGCCAGGCCGCAUCGCCUGAAGCGCCGCACGCACGCGCCCGCCCGCGACGCCGCCGCCUGCAGCCCUGAUCUUGAACACCCAGCCCCACGCCGCGAGUGUUGGUGAUAACGCCUGAAUGCGGUGGAGCGGCUACCUGUGUAGCCGUCGGGGUGCUGCCGGCGGGGGGCGGCACGGGUUCAGCGUGAGCGCUGGCGACGACAGCAGCCAUGGCCUGUGGAGGGCCACCGCCGAAGCGCCACCGUUGCGCCCGCCCGCGCCGCCGCCGCCUGCAGCCCUGAUCUUGACCGCCCAGUCCCGCGCCAGUGCUUGUGGAGCCACCUGAUGCGGUGGAGCGGCUGCCUGUGCAGCCGCUGGGGCGCCGCCGGCGGGAGGCGGCCCAGGUCCAGCUUGUGCGCUGGCGACGACAGCAGCCAUGGCCUGUGGGGGGCCACCGCCGAAGCGCCACCGUUGCGCCCGCCCGCGCCGCCGCCGCCUGCAGCCCUGAUCUUGACCGCCCAGUCCCGCGCCAGUGCUUGUGGAGCCACCUGAUGCGGUGGAGCGGCUGCCUGUGCAGCCGCUGGGGCGCCGCCGGCGGGAGGCGGCCCAGGUCCAGCUUGUGCGCUGGCGACGACAGCAGCCAUGGGGCCACCGCCGAAGCGCCACCGUUGCGCCCGCCCGCGCCGCCGCCGCCUGCAGCCCUGAUCUUGACCGCCCAGUCCCGCGCCAGUGCUUGUGGAGCCGCCUGAUGCGGUGGAGCGGCUGCCUGUGCAGCCGCUGGGGCGCCGCCGGCGGAGGGCGGCCCAGGUCCAGCUUGUGCGCUGGCGACGACAGCAGCCAUGGCCUGUGGAGGGCCACCGCCGAAGCGCCACCGUUGCGCCCGCCCGCGCCGCCGCCGCCUGCAGCCCUGAUCUUGACCGCCCAGUCCCGCGCCAGUGCUUGUGGAGCCACCUGAUGCGGUGGAGCGGCUGCCUGUGCAGCCGCUGGGGCGCCGCCGGCGGGAGGCGGCCCAGGUCCAGCUUGUGCGCUGGCGACGACAGCAGCCAUGGCCUGUGGAGGGCCACCGCCGAAGCGCCACCGUUGCGCCCGCCCGCGCCGCCGCCGCCUGCAGCCCUGAUCUUGACCGCCCAGUCCCGCGCCAGUGCUUGUGGAGCCACCUGAUGCGGUGGAGCGGCUGCCUGUGCAGCCGCUGGGGCGCCGCCGGCGGGGGCCAGCACGCCGGCGCUGACAGCGCGGCUGAGCCCGAGGGCGCGCGCGACACCGCCACCUGGGCCAACGCCGCGUGCAGUCCUGACCGGCGGCGGUGGCUUGCACCCUGACGCCGCCGGCUUGAUAUUGUAAUGCUGUUACUGCCGCUGGCACGCGUGCUGUCACUAGUGCUGUUGCUAAUGCUGUUGUUACUGCUGAUGAGGCGGCGCCGAUGCUGUUGCCGCCGGCCGCAACGCCCACCGCCGUCCCCGCCUGCGGCUCCUCCGGGGCCCUCCGUGACGGCGGCGCUGCUUGCGAGACGUGGCUGAGGAGUCCACUCGCACCCACCUCCUGCACAUCGCAUCACACACUGGGCAUCGUCAGUCGGCCAAUGUCAGAAUGUUGUGGGGCGCAUCAGCACUCCAAGUGGAGGGACUGACAUGCAAGUCAAACUUGGUCGGGUGACGCCUUCCCACACACCGGUGGCUGUAGCCCAUGCCGGGCAUGUGGGUCCAGAUGAUCCAGGGCAUACGUACUCACGCACUCAUCCCAGCCACAUAACCACCCAGAUGGAAAGUCGAAAUGAAGUGCAACCUGACAAAGCGUGGGACAUCGCCCCGAACCGCUCCCACCUCCAGCGCCUGCAGAUGCUCCUCGCCUCCGUCAGGUCUCCAGAGCCGGUGGGUGUGCCCAUCGGCUCCGCCCGCACCUGUGGGCCGCCGAAGCGCUCCCACGGCUGCCGCGCCAGCAGGUAUUGCACUUGACCUGAGCACGGGGAAGAGCAACAACGAGGCACAAGGUCGGCAUCGCAGCCACCAUACCCACGGUACGAUGCAGGCUCAGUUGAAUGUUGGCCGGCUAAGCCGCGCCGCCCUAGGACGACCCUGGCAAGACCCCAAUGCACGAGCUAGCCAGCAGCAGCACCCGAGCGCUCCCGCAGGGCGCUGUGGACAGCUGCAACGCCCACGGCUGCAACGCCCACGCCCAUGUUCCGCGUUGUCCAAGGCAAUGUCUCCACACGCAUCACUCGCUGCCGGUAUGCGCCCAGUGGUCCCCUGCUGCGACCUCACGUGCCCCCCAUCGCCCCGCAGCCCGGAGCUUAAAUAGGGACUCGGCACGCGGUGACCCAUCACGCGCCACUACGUGCCGCGCCGCCACGCGCCACGCCACACGCCACGUCACGCCGCCGCUACACUACGAACCGCCACGGGCCGCGCCGCGCCGCGUUCCUACCCCGCCCCGCCCCCAAACAUCCCCCGCCAGCGCAUGCACGCCCAAAGCCACCACCCACCUGCGCCGCAUUGUCGGGGAGGCAGGGGCCUGGGCCACGUCCACGGACGGCGGCGGGGCGGGAAAGACCGCGCCGCCGCCACCUGCAGCCCUCAUCUUGAACGCCCAGUCCCGCGCCAGUGCUUGUGGAGCCACCUGAUGCGGUGGAGCAGCUGCCUGUGCAGCCGCUGGGGCGCCGCCGGCGGGAGGCGGCCCAGGUCCAGCUUGUGCGCUGGCGACGACAGCAGCCAUGGCCUGUGGAGGGCCACCGCCGAAGCGCCACCGUUGCGCCCGCCUGCGCCGCCGCCGCCUGCAGCCCUCAUCUUGAACGCCCAGUCCCGCGCCAGUGCUUGUGGAACCGCCUGAUGCGGUGGAGCGGCUGCCUGUGCAGCCGCUGGGGCGCCGCCGGCGGGGGCCAGCACGCCGGCGCUGACAGCGCGGCUGAGCCCGAGGGCGCGCGCGACACCGCCACCUGGGCCAACGCCGCGUGCAGUCCUGACCGGCGGCGGUGGCUUGCACCCUGACGCCGCCGGCUUGAUACUGUAAUGCUGUUACUGCCGCUGUCACGCGUGCUGUCACUAGUGCUGUUGCUAAUGCUGUUGUUACUGCUGUUGAGGCGGCGCCGAUGCUGUUGCCGCUGGCCGCAACGCCCACCGCCGUCCCCGCCUGCGGCUCCUCCCGGACCCUCCGUGACGACGGCGCUGCUUGCGAGACGUGGCUGAGGAGUCCACUCGCACCCACCUCCUGCACAUCGCAUCACACACUGGGCAUCGUCAGUCGGCCAAUGUCAGAAUGUUGCGGGGCGCAUCAGCACUCCAAGUUGAGGGACUGACAUGCAAGUCAAACUUGGUCGGGUGACGCCUUCCCACACACCGGUGGCUGUAGCCCAUGCCGGGCAUGUGGGUCCAGAUGAUCCAGGGCAUACGUACUCACGCACUCAUCCCAGCCACAUAACCACCCAGAUGGAAAGUCGAAAUGAAGUGCAACCAGACAAAGCGUGGGACAUCGCCCCCAACCGCUCCCACCUCCAGCGCCUGCAGAUGCUCCUCGCCUCCGUCAGGUCUCCAGAGCCGGUGGGUGUGCCCAUCGGCUCCGCCCGCACCUGUGGGCCGCCGAAGCGCUCCCACGGCUGCCGCGCCAGCAGGUAUUGCACUUGACCUGAGCACGGGGAAGAGCAACAACGAGGCACAAGGUCGGCAUCUCAGCCACCAUACCCACGGUACGAUGCAGCAGGCUCAGUUGAAUGUUGGCCGGCUAAGCCGCGCCGCCCUAGGACGACCCUGGCAAGACCCCCAAUGCACGAGCUAGCCAGCAGCAGCACCCGAGCGCUCCCGCAGGGCGCUGCGGACAGCUGCAACGCCCACGGCUGCAACGCCCACGCCCAUGUUCCGCGUUGUCCAAGGCAAUGUCUCCACACGCAUCACUCGCUGCCGGUAUGCGCUCAGUGGUCCCCUGCUGCGACCUCACGUGCCCCCCAUCGCCCCGCAGCCCGGAGCUUAAAUAGGGACUCGGCACGCGGUGACCCAUCACGCGCCACUACGUGCCGCGCCGCCACGCGCCACGCCACACGCCACGUCACGCCGCCGCUACACUACGAACCGCCACGGGCCGCGCCGCGCCGCGUUCCUACCCCGCCCCGCCCCCAAACAUCCCCCGCCAGCACAUGCACGCCCAAAGCCACCACCCACCUGCGCCGCAUUGUCGGGGAGGCGGGGGCCUGGGCCACGUCCACGGACGGCGGCGGGGCGGGAAAGACCGCGCCGCCGCCGCCUGCAGCCCUCAUCUUGAACGCCCAGUCCCGCGCCAGUGCUUGUGGAGCCGCCUGAUGCGGUGGAGCGGCUGCCUGUGCAGCCGCUGGGGCGCCGCUGGCGGGAGGCGGCCCAGGUCCAGCUUGUGCGCUGGCGACGACAGCAGCCAUGGCCUGUGGAGGGCCACCGCCGAAGCGCCACCGCUGCGCCCGCCUGCGCCGCCGCCGCCUGCAGCCCUGAUCUUGAACGCCCAGUCCCGCGCCAGUGCUUGUGGAACCGCCUGAUGCGGUGAAGCGGCUGCCUGUGCAGUCGCUGGGGCGCCGCCGGCGGGGGGCAGCACGCAGGGCCUCAGCGGCCGGCGCUGACAGCGCGGCUGAGCCCGAGGGCGCGCGCGACACCCCCAUCUGGGCCAACGCCGCGUGCAGUCCUGACCGGCGGCGGUGGCUUGCACCCUGACGCCGCCGGCUUGAUACUGUAAUGCUGUUACUGCCGCUGUCACGCGUGCUGUCACUAGUGCUGUUGCUAAUGCUGUUGUUACUGCUGUUGAGGCGGCGCCGAUGCUGUUGCCGCCGGCCGCAACGCCCACCGCCGUCCCCGCCUGCGGCUCCUCCCGGGCCCUCCGUGACGGCGGCGCUGCUUGCGAGACGUGGCUGAGGAGUCCACUCGCACCCACCUCCUGCACAUCGCAUCACACACUGGGCAUCGUCAGUCGGCCAAUGUCAGAAUGUUGCGGGGCGCAUCAGCACUCCAAGUUGAGGGACUGACAUGCAAGUCAAACUUGGUCGGGUGACGCCUUCCCACACACCGGUGGCUGUAGCCCAUGCCGGGCAUGUGGGUCCAGAUGAUCCAGGGCAUACGUACUCACGCACUCAUCCCAGCCACAUAACCACCCAGAUGGAAAGUCGAAAUGAAGUGCAACCUGACAAAGCGUGGGACAUCGCCCCCACCUCCAGCGCCUGCAGAUGCUCCUCGCCUCCGUCAGGUCUCCAGAGCCCGUGGGUGUGCCCAUCGGCUCCGCCCGCACCUGUGGGCCGCCGAAGCGCUCCCACGGCUGCCACGCCAGCAGGUAUUGCGCUUGACCUGAGCACGGGGAAGAGCAACAACGAGGCACAAGGUCGGCAUCGCAGCCACCAUACCCACGGUACGAUGCAGCAGGCUCAGUUGAAUGUUGGCCGGCUAAGCCGCGCCGCCCUAGGACGACCCUGGCAAGACCCCCAAUGCACGAGCUAGCCAGCAGCAGCACCCGAGCGCUCCCGCAGGGCGCUGCGGACAGCUGCAACGCCCACGGCUGCAACGCCCACGCCCAUGUUCCGCGUUGUCCAAGGCAAUGUCUCCACACGCAUCACUCGCUGCCGGUAUGCGCUCAGUGGUCCCCUGCUGCGACCUCACGUGCCCCCCAUCGCCCCGCAGCCCGGAGCUUGAAUAGGGACUCGGCACGCGGUGACCCAUCACGCGCCACUACGUGCCGCGCCGCCACGCGCCACGCCACACGCCACGUCACGCCGCCGCUACACCACGAACCGCCACGGGCCGCGCCGCGCCCCGUUCCUACCCCGCCCCGCCCCCAAACAUCCGCCGCCAGCACAUGCACGCCCAAAGCCACCACCCACCUGCGCCGCAUUGUCGGGGAGGCAGGGGCCUGGGCCACGUCCACGGACGGCGGCGGGGCGGGAAAGACCAGCUUGGGCUAGCGCGCUAGCAGCUCCCAGCGGCCGCUGAGAGUUACCGUGGGCGCUUCGGCAGAACUACAUCGCUGCCACCCAGCCUCCUCACGCCAUAUGCUACAAGCGCCAUGUGCCGUUCGCCCGGCUGCCAGCUGAGCUCCCCCUGAACCCUAAUCGCCAGACCUGCAGGGCCUCGUUGCCGAGACGCAGGCUCCCCGUCCCCGAAUGAUAGCUACCCACGACAGUGAUAUAUGCCAUAGACGCUUAACACAGCGGGGCGUCAGAAAGCAGGUUUGUGGCGUCUCGACGCUAAGUUCAUGGCGGGUUGGACAUGCUCCUGGCUCAGGAUGGCAUUCUCGUACUCGGUUACGUAUAUCUAUGUGGUGAAAUAUUUAUUCUAGAAGUGACGUGCACAGAAAUAUGUCUGGGUCCACGGCCAGCAGCUGCAUCGGAGCCGGCUGUGUGACAGCUACGUUACUUGCGGCAUGACGCAGUCUAGCAUGCAACACGACCAUAUGCCUGAUAUAUUUGAGUUAUGCAGCCCAGAGCCAGGUCUGGGGCCGUGUGCGUGUUUUGCGUGGCGUGCUCCACGGAACCUGUCCAGUCAGGCAGCCUGCGGUCGCGGCGGAGGGGUGACACUCGCGGGUUUGGCUGCUCUCAUCCAGCUCCGGUCGACUAGCCGUGGGCUUACUUCAAGGCAACGGCUGUAAAGCUUGGGCUCACUUUCAGGUCCUGGUGGAGGGGGCGGGGGGGGGUAGGAAACAAAGUGCCAGACCCCAUGCCCCGAAACCCUCGGGACACUCCUAGAGGGGACGACCGACCCCCCCCCAACACACACACACCCACACACACACGGACAAACCUUGGUGUUUAGGGGUUAAAACCCCUCCAUCUUAUACCAAAGUGGCGUCAAUCGACUCCUCAAGACAAGCACUAUCACUCCGUGCCAUCAGCGGUCCUGUACUGAAACUCCUUGUGGAUUUGACCUUGCCUGUACCGUACCGUACGUCAUUGCUUGCCGCCUGCACGGAUUGCAGUCCGUUGCCUGUUCCCAUCCAACCCCGAGCUCAAAACCAGGAUGCCAUUUAGGGUGGUGUUGAAAAACACCGAUUUUUUGAUAGGUCAGUCCAUCGCCUCGCCGGCCGGCCGCACAGGGCCUUCACACCACGAAGCCAGGCACGGAGACCACACUCUCCAGCCAGCCGUGCUCGGCCACGGCCUUUGCCUCACGCACCGCCAGCUGCAUGGCCUGCAGGCGGACCUGCCAUUCCACCUCCCACUGGCCGGCCUCCUGCAGGUCCCACACAGCCUGGGUCUCAAGCUCGCACACCGUCUGAGCCAGGUACUCGAGCACCAGAUCAGAUCCAAUCUGGGUCAUGUCGAAACGGCAGCGCAGUGCCUGCUGUAGGCGGUUCGUGGCCCGAGCCUUCAGAGCCUGAAUGGUGUCCCAGGCCUGCUGCACGCCGGCCCAGUGCUUCGUGAAUGUCUGGAACAUCAGGCGGUACGCGCCAGAGCCAGCGGGCUUGUAGGGAGCAAUCUCGUCGGCGGAGUGGUCGAUGAUGACCAGGGGGCAGCCGCUCGCGUGCAGGCAGGAGCAAAUGGUGAAGUCGAGGGCGUCGGUGUCGGAACCGUCGAUGGCGUCGGGCUUCGGGCAGGCGGGGUUGGUGUCGCAGGUCGGGGCGGUGACAGCAGGCUUCAGGGAGCCAUCAGCCAGCGAGCCCAGAGGAGUCUCAGCAGCGCACAGCAGUUUGGGCUUUGGCUCGUUGUCAGCAGGCGGAAAGCCGUCGCGGUCUGCGAUGUGCAUGUCCAUCUUGUCGCCGAUAGAAGACGCCGGGCUUGAGGGCCGGUCAUCCUCGGAGACCUAGAGUCGCCAAGAAUAGAGAACAGCUCGUUACGCCCCGUUUCAUGCGUUGACCGGCAGCAUCCCUUUUCAGCAUGCGUUCAGCACUCGUCCAACAAGCGUCUAAACAAACCGCAACAGCCCGCACUACUCACAAGUCGGUCCUCGCAGUCAGAAUCCUCAUGCCCAGGGCACUUGGACACAGCGCAAACGCAGAGCGCCAUCACCAAAGUAAGCAUGCCGCCCUCCAGGACGGACAGCGCAACCGCGGACUGCGCCAGGACGGCCACAGCCAGCGAGAACUGGAGCAGGGGAAUCAGAAUGCUAAGGAGCUCCAUCUUAGCUCAAAGCUAACAGAACGUGGUGGUACAGGAAACCGGCGGGGCGGGCAGCUGGGGUACCGCUGAGCUCACUUGGUUGUAAGAAGCAGUAGGGCUCUAGUUGCACAGCACUGGUGAAUGGGUGUACAUGCAGGAGGCUAUGGAGGGAUGGGCUUUUAUAGCGGGCGGGCGGCAGGGGGGCCAGGCUGAGCCGAGAAAGUCAGCGCAAUGCAGGCGGUUGUUUGACCCAACCGCGGCUCACCUGUGCCAAAACGCGACCAACGCACAGGGCCACCUCCAGACGCCAACGCCGCGCAAACUAAUUGUAAUUCAGUAUUCUGUACCCAAAUCGCGCGGCGCUUACCCACAUCCCGCUAGCUCGCACAGGCCGAUGGCCCACAUCGCGAAGCCUCCGCCGCACACGCAGGCCCCACCACGCCCCCUCCACCGCCGCACCCACCUCCUGCACCAGCUCGAGCCCAUGCGCCGUGCCGCCCUCUGCCCCCAGCGCGCCUCCGUUCCUCUCCCGCACGCCCGCUCCUGCACAGCUGAUGCUGAGCUUCUCGGCAUAGGAGUUCCCUGCAAUGCGGUGCACAUGUGGGUAGGACCAAGAAGUGUAAACGGCGACCACAGCUGUUACCACACGUGCGUCCAUGUACCCGGCUGUGGGUUGGCUGCGCACACGGCGCAUGCCUCCGCCUGCCAUCCCUGUUCUGCUAGCCUCUGCGUGCCCGCGCCUGCACCGGACAUUCCAGUCGCUGCUCAAUGUGCAUUCACCUGCUAGCCACAACACCAAGCGCUCUGGCACCUACCUGCCCCCUGCUGCAUGCCACCGCGCACAGCUGCUGUGGGCAGUCAGCCUGGCCCGUACCGCCCUCACGCCUCCUGCCGCGCCAAUGCAGCCAGGCCGGGCCACCCGCACUACUGUACUGUCGUUCGCUUGGGCCAUGCGGUCUGAAAGGGACAGGAGCGGGGUUGAGGGUGGGUUCAGGGUGGGUGCGCGGGGGUAGGGGUGGGGUGCAUAGCCAGAGACAAGGCGAAGCCGGGGCAGGGAGUCAUGCACAGCUGGCGACGGCACGCGCUUUGACGCGGCUCACUUACUACGUCUAGCCAUGCGCGCCUCUCUACCUCCUGUCCGUCGCUGCUGGCCUGUGCAGUGCUCACCUUCCGACUCCUCCGCGGCCCCUUCGCCUUCUGGACCUGUGCCAGGCCGCAUCGCCUGAAGCAGCGCCGCACGCACGCGCCCGCCCGCGCCGCCGCCGCCUACAGCCCUCAUCUUGAACACCCAGUCCCACGCCGCGAGUGUUGGUGGAACCGCCUGCAUGCGGUGGAGCGGCUGCCUGUGUAGCCGUCGGGGUGCUGCCGGCGGGGGGCGGCACGGGUUAAGCGUGAGCGCUGGCGACGACAGCAGCCAUGCCCUGUGGGGGACCACCGCCGAAGCGCCACCGCUGCGCCCGCCCGCGCCGCCGCCGCCUGCAGCCCUCAUCUUGAACGCCCAGUCCCGCGCCAGUGCUUGUGGAGCCGCCUGAUGCGGUGGAGCGGCUGCCUGUGCAGCCGCUGGGGCGCCGCUGGCGGGGGGCAGCACGCAGGCCUCAGCUGACAGCGCGGCUGAGCCUGAGGGCGCGCGCGCCACCGCCAUCUGGGCCAACGCCGCGUGCAGUCCUGACCGACGGCGGUGGCGCGCUCAUUGACGCCGCCGGCUUGAUACUGUUAAGGCUGCUUAAGCUGCCGCUGUCACGCGUGCUGUCACGCGUGCUGUUGCUAAUGCUGUUGUUACUGCUGAUGAGGCCGCGCCGAUGCUGUUGCCGGCGGCCGCAACGCCCACCGCCGCCCCGCACGCACCUCCUGCACACCGCAUCACACACUGGGCAUCGUCAGUCGGCCUAUGUCAGAAUGUUGCGGGGCACAUCAGCACUCCAAGUUGAGGGACUGACAUGCAAGUCUAACUUGGUCGGGUCACGCCUUCCCACACACCGCCGGUGGCUGCAGCCCAUGCCGGGCAUGUGGGUCGAGACGAUCCAGGAAAGGUGUACUUACGCACUCAUCCCAGCCACAUAACCACCCAGAUGGAAAGUCGAAAUGCAGCGCAACCAGCAGACCAAGCGUGGGACAUCGCCCCCAACCGCUCCUACCUCCAGCGCCACCAGCUGCUCCUCGCCUCCGCCAGGUCUCCAGAGCCCGUGGGUGUGCCCAUCAGCUCCGCCCGCACCUGUGGGCCGCCGCAGCGCUCCCACGGCUGCCGAGCCAGCAGGUGUUGCACUUGAUCUGAGCACGGGGAAGAGCAACAACGCGGCGCAAGCGGCGCUGCUUGCCACUUGAGGCGCGGCUGAGCAGUCCACUCGCUCCCACCUCCUGCACAUCACACACAGGACCUCAAAAUGAGCCCAAGCUUUACAGCCGUUGCCUUGAAGGAAGCCCACGGCUAGUCGACCGGAGCUGGAUGAGAGCAGCCAAACCCGCGAGUGUCACCCCUCCGCCGCGACCGCAGGCUGCCUGGACAGGUUAAGAGCACGCCACGCAAAACACGCACACGGCCCCAGACCUGGCUCUGGGCUGCAUAAUUUAUUCUUAUCAGGCAUAUGAUCGCGUUGUAUGUAAGACUGCGUCACGCCGCAACCGUAGCUGCCACAGAACCGAAUACCCGCCGAUGCUGCUGGCCGUGGGCUCGGCCAUAUUUAUGUGUGCGUCACUUCUUGAACAAUGAUAUCGCCUCACAUACAUAAUGAUGUGCGGAGAAGUGCCAUCCUGAGACAGGAGCAUGUCCAUCCCGCCAUGAAGCUCAUCCUGCAUGAAUUUAGCUCGAGACGCCACAAACCUGCAUUCCGACGUCCGCUGUGUUAAGCGCCUAUAGUAUAUUUCGCUGUCCUGGGUAGCAAUCAUAGGGGGACGGGGAACCCUGCGCCUUGGCAACGAGGCCCUUCAGGUCUGGCGAUCAGGGUUCGGAGGAAGCUUGGCGGGCAGCUGGACGAAACGGCACAUGGUGCUCGAAACAUAUGGCGCUUGAAGCGUAUGGCGUGAGGAGGCUGGGCGGCAGCGAUGUAACUCUGCCAACGCGCCCGCGGUACCUCUCAGCGGCCGCUGGGAGCUGCUAGCGCGCUGGGCAAGCUGGUCUUUCCCGCCCCGCCGCCGUCUGUGGACGUGGCCCAGGCCCCUGCCUCCCCGGCAAUGCGGCGCAGGUGGGUGUUGGCUUUGGGCGUGCAUGUGCUGGCGGGGGAUGUUUGGGGGCGGGGCGGGGUAGGAACGCGGCGCGGCGCGGCGCGUGGCAGUUCGUAGUGUAGCGGCGGGGUGACGUGGCGUGUGGCGUGGCGCGUGGCGGCGCGGCACGUAGUGGCGCGUGAUGGGUCACCGCGUGCCGAGUCCCUAUUUGAGCUCCGGGCUGCGGGGCGAUGGGGGGCACGUGAGGUCGCAGCAGGGGACCACUGAGCGCAUACCGGCAGCGAGUGAUGCGUGUGGAGACAUUGCCUUGGACAACGCGGAACAUGGGCGUGGGCGUUGCAGCCGUGGGCGUUGCAGCUGUCCGCAGCGCCCUGCGGGAGCGCUCGGGUGCUGCUGCUGGCUAGCUCGUGCAUUGGGGUCUUGCCAGGGUCGUCCUAGGGCGGCGCGGCUUAGCCGGCCAACAUUCAACUGAGCCUGCAUCGUACUGUGGGUAUGGUGGCUGCGAUGCCGACCUUGCGCCGCGUUGUUGCUCUUCCCCGUGCUCAGGUCAAGUGCAAUACCUGCUGGCUCGGCAGCCGUGGGAGCGCUGCGGCGGCCCACAGGUGCGGGCGGAGCCGAUGGGCACACCCACGGGCUCUGGAGACCUGGCGGAGGCGAGGUGCAUCUGCAGGCGCUGCUGGAGGUGGGAGCGGUUGGGGGCGAUGUCCCACGCUUUGUGUGGGUGCGCUGCAUUUCGACUUUCCAUCUGGGUGGUUAUGUGGCUGGGAUGAGUGCGUAAGUACACCUUUCCUGGAUCGUCUCGACCCACAUGCCCGGUAUGGGCUGCAACCACCGGUGUGUGGGAAGGCGUCACCCGACCAAGUUAGGCUUGCAUGUCAGUCCCUCAACUUGGAGUGCUGAUGUGCCGCGCAACAUUCUGACAUUGGCCGACUGACGAUGCCCAGUGUGUGAUGCGGUGUGCAGGAGGUGGGUGCGAGUGGACUCCUCAGCCACGUCUCGCAAGCAGCGCCGCCGCGACGGAGGGCCCGUCGCUAGCGCUCACGCUGAACCCGUGCCGCCCCCCGCCGGCAGCACCCCGACGGCUACACAGGUAGCCGCUCCACCGCAUUCAGGCGGUUCCACCAACACUCGCGGCGUGGGACUGGGUGUUCAAGAUGAGGUCUGUAGGCGGCGGCGUCGCGGGCGUGCGCGUGCGUGCGGUGCUGCUUCAGGCGAUGCGGCCUGGCACAGGUCCAGAAGGCGAAGGGGCCGCGGAGGAGUCGGAAGGUGAGCACUGCGCAGGCCAGACAGGAGGUAGAGAGGCGCGCAGGGCUAGACGUAGUAAGCGAGCCGCGUCAAAGCGCGUGCCGUCGCCAGCUGUGCAUGACUCCCUGACCCGGCUUCGCCUUGUCUCUGGCUGUGCACCGCACCCCUACCCCCGCGCACCCACCCUGAACCCACCCUGAACCCCGCUCCUGUCCCUUUCAGACCGCAUGGCCCAAGCGAACGACAGUACGGUAGUGCGGGUGGCCUGGCCUGGCUGCAUUGGCGCGGCAGGAGGCGUGAGGGCGGUACGGGUCAGGCUGACUGCCCACAGCAGCUGUGCGCGGUGGCAUGCAGCAGGGGGCAGGUAGGUGCCCGAGCGCUUGGUGUUGUGGCAAGCAGGUGAAUGCACAUUGAGCAGCGACUGGAAUGUCCGGUGCAGGCGCGGGCACGCAGAGGCUAGCAGAACAGGGAUGGCGGGCGGAGGCAUGCGCCGUGUGCGCAGCCAACCCGCAGCCGGGUACAUGGACGCACGUGUGGUAACAGCUGUGGUCGCCGUUUACACUCCUUGGUCCUACCCACAUGUGCACCGCAUUGCAGGGGACUCCUAUGCCGAGAAGCUCAGCGUUAGCUGUGCAGGAGCGGGCGUGCGGGAGAGGAACGGAGGCGCGCUGGGGACAGGGGGGUGGCACGGCGCAUCGGCUCGAGCUGGUGCAGGAGGUGGGUGCGGCGGUGGAGGGGGCGUGGUGGGGCCUGCGUGUGCGGCGGAGGCUUCGCGAUGUGGGCCACCGGCCUGUGCGAGCUAGCGGGAUGUGGGUAAGCGCCGCGCGAUUUGGGUACAGAAUACUGAAUUACAAUUAGUUUGUGCGGCGUUGGGGUCUGGAGGCGGCGCUGUGCGUUGGUCGCGUUUUGGGCUUUUGGCACAGGUGAGCCGCGGUUGGGUCAAACAACCGCCUGCCUUGCGCUGACUUUCCCGGCUCAGCCUGGCCGCCCGCCCGCUAUAAAAGCCCAUCCCUCCAUAGCCCCCUGCAUGUACACCCAUUCACCAGCGCUGUGCAACUAGAGCCCUCUGCCUUUUUACUGCUUCUUACAACCAAGUGCGCUUAGCGGUACCCCAGCUGCCCGCCGCGCCGGUUUCCUGAACCGCCACGUUCUGUUAGCUUUAAGCUAAGAUGGAGCUCCUUAGCAUUAUGAUUCCCCUGCUCCAGUUCUCGCUGGCUGUGGCCGUCCUGGCGCAGUCCGCGAUGGCGGUGUCCGUCCUGGAGGGCGGCAUGCUCACUUUGGUGAUGGCGCUCUGCGUUUGCGCUGUGUCCUCGCAGUCAGAAUCCUCAUGCCCAGGGCACUUGGACACAGCGCAAACGCAGAGCGCCAUCACCAAAGUGAGCAUGCCGCCCUCCAGGACGGACACCGCCAUCGCGGACUGCGCCAGGACGGCCACAGCCAGCGAGAACUGGAGCAUGGGCAUCAGUAUGCUAAGGAGCUCCAUCGUAGCUCAAAGCAAACAGAACGUGGCUGUACAGGAAACCGGCGGGGCGGGCAGCUGGGGUACCGCUGAGCGCACUUGGUGUAAGAAACAGUAAAAAGGCAGAGGGCUCUAGUUGCACAGCGCGGGUGAAUGCGUGAUGGGUCACCGCGUGCCGAGUCCCUAUUUGAGCUCCGGGCUGCGGGGCGAUGGGGGGCACGUGAGGUCGCAGCAGGGGACCACUGAGCGCAUACCGGCAGCGAGUGAUGCGUGUGGAGACAUUGCCUUGGACAACGCGGAACAUGGGCGUGGGCGUUGCAGCCGUGGGCGUUGCAGCUGUCCGCAGCGCCCUGCGGGAGCGCUCGGGUGCUGCUGCUGGCUAGCUCGUGCAUUGGGGGUCUUGCCAGGGUCGUCCUAGGGCGGCGCGGCUUAGCCGGCCAACAUUCAACUGAGCCUGCAUCGUACUGUGGGUAUGGUGGCUGCGAUGCCGACCUUGCGCCGCGUUGUUGCUCUUCCCCGUGCUCAGGUCAAGUGCAAUACCUGCUGGCUCGGCAGCCGUGGGAGCGCUGCGGCGGCCCACAGGUGCGGGCGGAGCCGAUGGGCACACCCACGGGCUCUGGAGACCUGGCGGAGGCGAGGUGCAUCUGCAGGCGCUGCUGGAGGUGGGAGCGGUUGGGGGCGAUGUCCCACGCUUUGUGUGGGUGCGCUGCAUUUCGACUUUCCAUCUGGGUGGUUAUGUGGCUGGGAUGAGUGCGUAAGUACACCUUUCCUGGAUCGUCUCGACCCACAUGCCCGGUAUCGGCUGCAACCACCGGUGUGUGGGAAGGCGUCACCCGACCAAGUUAGACUUGCAUGUCAGUCCCUCAACUUGGAGUGCUGAUGUGCCGCGCAACAUUCUGACAUUGGCCGACUGACGAUGCCCAGUGUGUGAUGCGGUGUGCAGGAGGUGGGUGCGAGUGGACUCCUCAGCCACGUCUCGCAAGCAGCGCCGCCGCGACGGAGGGCCCGUCGCUAGCGCUCACGCUGAACCCGUGCCGCCCCCCGCCGGCAGCACCCCGACGGCUACACAGGUAGCCGCUCCACCGCAUUCAGGCGGUUCCACCAACACUCGCGGCGUGGGACUGGGUGUUCAAGAUGAGGUCUGUAGGCGGCGGCGUCGCGGGCGUGCGCGUGCGUGCGGUGCUGCUUCAGGCGAUGCGGCCUGGCACAGGUCCAGAAGGCGAAGGGGCCGCGGAGGAGUCGGAAGGUGAGCACUGCGCAGGCCAGACAGGAGGUAGAGAGGCGCGCAGGGCUAGACGUAGUAAGCGAGCCGCGUCAAAGCGCGUGCCGUCGCCAGCUGUGCAUGACUCCCUGACCCGGCUUCGCCUUGUCUCUGGCUGUGCACCGCACCCCUACCCCCGCGCACCCACCCUGAACCCACCCUGAACCCCGCUCCUGUCCCUUUCAGACCGCAUGGCCCAAGCGAACGACAGUACGGUAGUGCGGGUGGCCUGGCCUGGCUGCAUUGGCGCGGCAGGAGGCGUGAGGGCGGUACGGGUCAGGCUGACUGCCCACAGCAGCUGUGCGCGGUGGCAUGCAGCAGGGGGCAGGUAGGUGCCCGAGCGCUUGGUGUUGUGGCAAGCAGGUGAAUGCACAUUGAGCAGCGACUGGAAUGUCCGGUGCAGGCGCGGGCACGCAGAGGCUAGCAGAACAUGGAUGGCGGGCGGAGGCAUGCGCCGUGUGCGCAGCCAACCCGCAGCCGGGUACAUGGACGCACGUGUGGUAACAGCUGUGGUCGCCGUUUACACUCCUUGGUCCUACCCACAUGUGCACCGCAUUGCAGGGGACUCCUAUGCCGAGAAGCUCAGCGUUAGCUGUGCAGGAGCGGGCGUGCGGGAGAGGAACGGAGGCGCGCUGGGGACAGGGGGGUGGCACGGCGCAUCGGCUCGAGCUGGUGCAGGAGGUGGGUGCGGCGGUGGAGGGGGCGUGGUGGGGCCUGCGUGUGCGGCGGAGGCUUCGCGAUGUGGGCCACCGGCCUGUGCGAGCUAGCGGGAUGUGGGUAAGCGCCGCGCGGUUUGGGUACAGAAUGCUGAAUUACAGUUAGUUUGUGCGGCGUUGGGGUCUGGAGGCGGCGCUGUGCGUUGGUCGCGUUUUGGCACAGGUGAGCCGCGGUUGGGUCAAACAACCGCCUGCAUUGCGCUGACUUUCUCGGCUCAGCCUGGCCCCCAUGCCGCCCGCCCGCUAUAAAAGCCCAUCCCUCCAUAGCCUCCUGCAUGUGCACCCAUUCACCAGUGCUGUGCAACUAGAGCCCUCUGCCUUUUUACUGCUUCUUACAACCAAGUGAGCUCAGCGGUACCCCAGCUGCCCGCCCCGCCGGUUUCCUGUACCACCACGUUCUGUUAGCUUUGAGCUAAGAUGGAGCUCCUUAGCAUUAUGAUUCCCCUGCUCCAGUUCUCGCUGGCUGUGGCCGUCCUGGCGCAGUCCGCGGUUGCGCUGUCCGUCCUGGAGGGCGGCAUGCUCACUUUGGUGAUGGCGCUCUGCGUUUGCGCUGUGUCCAAGUGCCCUGGGCAUGAGGAUUCUGACUGCGAGGACCGACUUGUGAGUAGUGCGGGCUGUUGUGGUUUGUUUAGACGCUUGUUGGGCGAGUGCUAGGGCGGCGCGGCUGAGCCGGCCAACAUUCAACUGAGCCUGCAUCGUACCGUAGGUAUGGUGGCUACGAUGCCGACCUUGCGCCGCGUUGUUGCUCUUCCCCGUGCUCAGGUCAAGCGCAACACCUGCUGGCGUGGCAGCCGUGGGAGCGCUGCGGCGGCCCACAUGUGCGGGCGGAGCCGAUGGGCACACCCACGGGCUCUGGAGACCUGACGGAGGCGAGGAGCAUCUGCAGGCGCUGGAGGUGGGAGCGGUUGGGGGCGAUGUCCCACGCUUUGUCUGGUUGCACUUCAUUUCGACUUUCCAUCUGGGUGGUUAUGUGGCUGGGAUGAGUGCGUAAGUACACCUUUCCUGGAUCGUCUCGACCCACAUGCCCGGUAUCGGCUGCAACCACCGGUGUGUGGGAAGGCGUGACCCGACCAAGUUAGACUUGCAUGUCAGUCCCUCAACUUGGAGUGCUGAUGUGCCCCGCAACAUUCUGACAUUGGCCGACUGACGAUGCCCAGUGUGUGAUGCGGUGUGCAGGAGGUGGGUGCGAGUGGCCUCCUCAGCCACGUCUCGCAAGCAGCGCCGCCGUCACGGAGGGCCCCGAAGGAGCCGCAGGCGGGGGCGGCGGUGGGCGUUGCGGCCGGCGGCAACAGCAUCGGCGCGGCCUCAUCAGCAGUAACAACAGCAUUAGCAACAGCACACGUGACAGCACGCGUGCCAGCGGCAGUAACAGCAUUACAGUAUCAAGCCGGCGGCGUCAGGGUGCGAGCCACCGCCGCCGGUCAGGACUGCACGCGGCGUUGGCCCAGGUGGCGGUGUCGCGCGCGCCCUCGGGCUCAGCCGCGCUGUCAGCGCCGGCCGCUGAGGCCCUGCGUGCUGCCCCCCGCCGGCGGCACCCCAGCGGCUGCACAGGCAGCCGCUCCAACGCAUCAGGCGGUUCCACAAGCACUGGCGCGGGACUGGGCGUUCAAGAUGAGGGCUGCAGGCGGCGGCGGCGCGGGCGGGCGCGUGCAUGCGGCGCUGCUUCAGGCGAUGCGGCCCCCCACAGGCCAUGGCUGCUGUCGUCGCCAGCGCACAAGCUGGACCUGGGCCGCCUCCCGCCGGCGGCGCCCCAGCGGCUGCACAGGCAGCCGCUUCACCGCAUCCGGCGGCUCCACAAGCACUGGCGCGGGACUGGGCGUUCAAGAUGAGGGCUGCAGGCGGCGGCGGCGCGCUCUUUCCCGCCCCGCCGCCGUCCGUGGACGUGGCCCAGGGCUCUGCCUCCUCGGCAAUGCGGCGCAGGUGGGUGGUGGCUUUGGGCGUGCAUGUGCUGGCGGGGGAUGUUUGGGGGCGGGGCGGGGCAGGAGCGAGGCGCGGCGCGGCGCGGCGUGGCGGUUCGUAGUGUAGCGGCGGGGUGACGUGGCGUGUGGCGUGGCGCGUGGCGGCGCGGCACGUAGUGGCGCGUGAUGGGUCACCGCGUGCCGAGUCCCUAUUUAAGCUCCGGGCUGCGGGGUGAUGGGGAGGUAUGUGUAUGGGAGGUAGAUAGGCGCGCAUGGCUAGACGUAGUAAGUGAGCCGCGUCAAAGCGCGUGCCGUCGCCAGCUGUGCAUGACUCCCUGCCCCGGCUUCGCCUUGUCUCUGGCUAUGCACACACACCCUACCCCCGCGCACCCACCCUCAACCCACCCUCAACCCCGCUCCUGUCCCUGUCAGACCGCAUGGCCCAAGCGAACGACAGUACGGUAGUGCGGGUGGCCCGGCCUGGCUGCAUUGGCGCGGCAGGAGGCGUGAGGGCGGUAUGGGCCAGGCUGACUGCCCACAGCAGCUGUGCGCGGUGGCAUGCAGCAGGGGGCAGGUAGGUGCCAGAGCGCUUGGUGUUGUGGCAAGCAGGUGAAUGCACAUUGAGCAGCGACUGGAAUGUCCGGUGCAGGCUCGGGCACGCAGAGGCUAGUAGAACAGGGAUGGCGGGCGGAGGCAUGCGCCGUGUGCGCAGCCAACCCGCAGCCGGGUACAUGGACGCACGUGUGGUAACAGCUGUGGUCGCCGUUUACACUUCUUGGUCCUACCCGCAUGUGCACCGCAUUGCAGGGAACUCCUAUGCCGAGAAGCUCAGCAUUAGCUGUGCGGGAGCGGGCGUGCGGGAGAGGAACGGAGGCGCGCUGGGGGCAGAGGGCGGCACGGCGCAUGGGCUCAAGCUGGUGCAGGAGGUGGGUGCGGCGGUGGAGGGGGCGUGGUGGGGCCUGCGUGUGCGGCGGAGGCUUCGCGAUGUGGGCCACCGGCCUGUGCGAACUAGCGGGAUGUGGGUAAGCGCCGCGCGGUUUGGGUACAGAAUACUGAAUUACAAUUAGUUUGCGCGGCGUUGGCGUCUGGAGGUGGCCCUGUGCGUUGGUCGCGUUUUGGCACAGGUGAGCCGCGGUUGGGUCAAACAACCGCCUGCCUUGCGCUGACUUUCCCGGCUCACCAUGGCCCCCCUGCCGCCCGCCCGCUAUAAAAGCCCAUCCCUCCAUAGCCUCCUGCAUGUACACCCAUUCACCAGUGCUGUGCAACUAGAGCCCUACUGCUUCUUACAACCAAGUGAGCUCAGCGGUACCCCAGCUGCCCGCCCCGCCGGUUUCCUGUACCACCACGUUCUGUUUGCUUUGAGCUAAGAUGGAGCUCCUUAGCAUUCUGAUUCCCCUGCUCCAGUUCUCGCUGGCUGUGGCCGUCCUGGCGCAGUCCGCGGUUGCGCUGUCCGUCCUGGAGGGCGGCAUGCUUACUUUGGUGAUGGCGCUCUGCGUUUGCGCUGUGUCCAAGUGCCCUGGGCAUGAGGAUUCUGACUGCGAGGACCGACUUGUGAGUAGUGCGGGCUGUUGCGGUUUGUUUAGACGCUUGUUGGGCGAGUGCUGAGCGCAUGCUGAAAAGGGAUGCUGCCGGUCAACGCAUGAAACGGGGCGUAACGAGCUGUUCUCUAUUCUUGGCGACUCUAGGUCUCCGACGAUGACCGGCCCUCAAGCCCGGCGUCUUCUAUCGGCGACAAGAUGGACAUGCACAUCGCCGACCGCGACGGCUUUCCGCCUGCUGACAACGAGCCCAAGCCCAAACUGCUGUGCGCUGCUGAGACUCCUCUGGGCUCGCUGGCUGAUGGCUCCCUGAAGCCUGCUGUCACCGCCCCGACCUGCGACACCAACCCCACCUGCCCGAAGCCCGACGCCAUCGACGGUUCCGACACCGAUGCCCUCGACUUCACCAUUUGCUCCUGCCUGCACGCGAGCGGCUGCCCCCUGGUCAUCAUCGACCACUCCGCCGACGAGGUUGCUCCCUACAAGCCCGCUGGCUCUGGCGCGUACCGCCUGAUGUUCCAGACAUUCACGAAGCACUGGGCCGGCGUGCAGCAGGCCUGGGACACCAUUCAGGCUCUGAAGGCUCGGGCCACGAACCGCCUACAGCAGGCACUGCGCUGCCGUUUCGACAUGACCCAGAUUGGAUCUGAUCUGGUGCUCGAGUACCUGGCUCAGACGGUGUGCGAGCUUGAGACCCAGGCUGUGUGGGACCUGCAGGAGGCCGGCCAGUGGGAGGUGGAAUGGCAGGUCCGCCUGCAGGCCAUGCAGCUGGCGGUGCGUGAGGCAAAGGCCGUGGCCGAGCACGGCUGGCUGGAGAGUGUGGUCUCCGUGCCUGGCUUCGUGGUGUGAAGGCCCUGUGCGGCCGGCCAGCGGGGAGAUGGACUGACCUAUCAAAAAAUCGGUGUUUUUCAACACCACCCUAAAUGGCAUCCUGGUUUUGAGCUCGGGGUUGGGUGGGAACAGGGAACGGACUGCAAUCCGUGCAGGCGGCAAGCAAUGACGUACGGUACGGUACAGGCAAGGUCAAAUCGACAAGGAGUUUCAGUACAGGACCGUGAUGGCACGGAGUGAUAGUGCUUGUCUUGAGGAGUCGAUUGACGCCACUUUGGUAUAAGAUGGAGGGGUUUUAACCCCUACACACCAAGGUUUGUCCGUGUGUGUGUGUGUGUGUGGGUGUGUGUGUGUUGGGGGGGGGGGUCGGUCGUCCCCUCUAGGAGUGUCCCGAGGGUUUCGGGGCAUGGGGUCUGGCACUUUGUUUCCUACCCCCCCCCCUGCCCCCUCCACCAGGACCUCGAAGUGAGCCCAAGCUUUACAGUCGUUGCCUUGAAGUAAGCCCACGGCUAGUCGACCGGAGCUGGAUGAGAGCAGCCAAACCCGCGAGUGUCACCCCUCCGCCGCGACCGCAGGCUGCCUGACUGGACAGGUUCCGUGAAGCACGCCACGCAAAACACGCACACGGCCCCCAGACCUGGCUCUGGGCUGCAUAAUUCAAAUAUAUUAGGCAUAUGGUCGUGUUGCAUGCCAGACUGCGUCAUGCCGCAAGUAACGUAGCUGUCACACAGCCGGCUCCGAUGCAGCUGCUGGCUGUGGACCCGGACAUUUUCCUGUGCACGUCACUUCUAGAAUAAAUAUUUCACCACAUAGAUAUACGUAACCGAGUACGAGAAUGCCAUCCUGAGCCAGGAGCAUGUCCAAGCCGCCAUGAACUUAGCUCGAGACGCCACAAACCUGCUUUCUGACGCCCCGCUGUGUUAAGCGCCGAUCUAUGGCAUAUAUCACUGUCGUGGGUAGCUGUCAUACGGGGACGGGGAACCUGCGCCUCGGCAACGAGGCCCUGCAGGUCUGGCGAUUAGGGUUCAGGCUGAGCUCAGCGGGCAGCCGGGCGAACGGCACAUGGCGCUUGUAGCAUAUGGCGUGAGGAGGCUGGGUGGCAGCGAUGUAGUUCUGCCGAAGCGCCCACGGUAACUCUCAGCGGCCGCUGGGAGCUGCUAGCGCGCUGGCCAAAGCUGGUCUUUCCCGCCCCGCCGCCGUCUGUGGACGUGGCCCAGGCCCCUGCCUCCCCGGCAAUGCGGCGCAGGUGGGUGGUGGCUUUGGGCGUGCAUGUGCUGGCGGGGGAUGUUUGGGGGCGGGGCGGGGUAGGAACGCGGCGCGGCGCGGCCCGUGGCGGUUCGUAGUGUAGCGGCGGCGUGACGUGGCGUGUGGCGUGGCGCGUGGCGGCGCGGCACGUAGUGGCGCGUGAUGGGUCACCGCGUGCCGAGUCCCUAUUUAAGCUCCGGGCUGCGGGGCGAUGGGGGGCACGUGAGGUCGCAGCAGGGGACCACUGAGCGCAUACCGGCAGCGAGUGAUGCGUGUGGAGACAUUGACUUGGACAACGCGGAACAUGGGCGUGGGCGUUGCAGCCGUGGGCGUUGCAGCUGUCCGCAGCGCCCUGCGGGAGCGCUCGAGUGCUGCUGCUGGCUAGCUCGUGCAUUGGGGGUCUUGCCAGGGUCGUCCUAGGGCGGCGCGGCUCAGCCAGCCAACAUUCAACUGAGCCUGCAUCGUACCGUGGGUAUGGUGGCUGCGAUGCCGACCUUGCGCCGCGUUGUUGCUCUUCCCCGUGCUCAGGUCAAGUGCAAUACCUGCUGGCUCGGCAGCCGUGGGAGCGCUGCGGCGGCCCACAGGUGCGGGCGGAGCUGAUGGGCACACCCACGGGCUCUGGAGACCUGACGGAGGCGAGGAGCAUCUGCAGGCGCUGGAGGUGGGAGCGGUUGGGGGCGAUGUCCCACGCUUUGUCUGGUUGCACUUCAUUUCGACUUUCCAUCUGGGUGGUUAUGUGGCUGGGAUGAGUGCGUGAGUACGUAUGCCCUGGAUCGUCUCGACCCACAUGCCCGGUAUCGGCUGCAACCACCGGUGUGUGGGAAGGCGUCACCCGACCAAGUUCGACUUGCAUGUCAGUCCCUCAACUUGGAGUGCUGAUGCGCCCCACAACAUUCUGAUAUUGGCCGACUGACGAUGCCCAGUGUGUGAUGCGAUGUGCAGGAGGUGGGUGCGAGUGGACUCCUCAGCCACGUCUCGCAAGCAGCGCCGCCGUCACGGAGGGCCCGGGAGGAGCCGCAGGCGGGGGCGGCGGUGGGCGUUGCGGCCGGCGGCAACAGCAUCGGCGCGGCCUCAUCAGCAGUAACAACAGCAUUAGCAACAGCACUAGUGACAGCACGCGUGACAGCGGCAGUAACAGCAUUACAGUAUCAAGCCGGCGGCGUCAGGGUGCAAGCCACCGCCGCCGGUCAGGACUGCACGCGGCGUUGGCCCAGAUGGCGGUGUCGUGCGCGCCCUCGGGCUCAGCCGCGCUGUCAGCGCCGGCGUGCUGCCCCCCGCCGGCGGCGCCCCAGCGGCUGCACAGGCAGCCGCUUCACCGCAUCAGGCGGCUCCACAAGCACUGGCGCGGGAAUGGGCGUUCAAGAUGAGGGCUGCAGGCGGCGGCGGCGCGGGCGGGCGCAGCGGUGGCGCUUCGUCGGUGGCCCUCCACAGGCCAUGGCUUCUGUCGUCGCCAGCGCUCACGCUAAACCCGUGCCGCCCCCCGCCGGCAGCACCCCGACGGCUACACAGGUAGCCGCUCCACCGCAUUCAGGCGGUUCCACCAACACUCGCGGCGUGGGACUGAGUGUUCAAGAUGACGGCUGUAGGCGGCGGCGUCGCGGGCGGGCGCGUGCGUGCGGCGCUGCUUCAGGCGAUGCGGCCGGGCACAGGUCCAGAAGGCGAAGGGGCCGCGGAGGAGUCGGAAGGUGAGCACUGUGCAGGCCAGCAGCGAAGGACAGGAGGUGGAGAGGCGCGCAGGGCUAGACGUAGUAAGUGAGCCGCGUCAAAGCGCGUGCCGUCGCCAGCUGUGUAUGACUCCCAGCAGGGGACCACUGAGCGCAUACCGGCAGCGAGUGAUGCGUGUGGAGACAUUGACUUGGACAACGCGGAACAUGGGCGUGGGCGUUGCAGCCGUGGGCGUUGCAGCUGUCCGCAGCGCCCUGCGGGAGCGCUCGAGUGCUGCUGCUGGCUAGCUCGUGCAUUGGGGGUCUUGCCAGGGUCGUCCUAGGGCGGCGCGGCUGAGCCGGCCAACAUUCAACUGAGCCUGCAUCGUACCGUGGGUAUGGUGGCUGCGAUGCCGACCUUGCGCCGCGUUGUUGCUCUUCCCCGUGCUCAGGUCAAGUGCAAUACCUGCUGGCGCGGCAGCCGUGGGAGCGCUGCGGCGGCCCACAGGUGCGGGCGGAGCUGAUGGGCACACCCACGGGCUCUGGAGACCUGACGGAGGCGAGGAGCAUCUGCAGGCGCUGGAGGUGGGAGCGGUUGGGGGCGAUGUCCCACGCUUUGUCUGCUGGUUGCGCUGCAUUUCGACUUUCCAUCUGGGUGGUUAUGUGGCUGGGAUGAGUGCGUGAGUACGUCUGCCCUGGAUCAUCUGGACCCACAUGCCCGGUAUGGGCUGCAACCACCGGUGUGUGGGAAGGCGUCACCCGACCAAGUUAAACUUGCAUGUCAGUCACUCAACUUGGAGUGCUGAUGUGCCCCGCAACAUUCUGACAUUGGCCGACUGACGAUGCCCAGUAUGUGAUGCGGUGUGCAGGAGGUGGGUGCGAGUGGCCUCCUCAGCCGCGUCUCGCAAGCAGCGCCGCCGCGACGGAGGGCCCGGAGGAGCCGCAGGCGGGGGCGGCGGUGGGCGUUGCGGCCGGCGGCAACAGCAUCGGCGCGGCCUCAACAGCAGUAACAAUAGCAUUAGCAACAGCACUAGUGACAGCACGCGUGCCAGCGGCAGUAACAGCAUUACAGUAUCAAGCCGGCGGCGUCAGGGUGCAAGCCACCGCUGCCGGUCAGGACUGCACGCGGCGUUGGCCCAGAUGGGGGUGUCGCGCGCGCCCUCGGGCUCAGCCGCGCUGUCAGCGCCGGCGUGCUGGCCCCCGCCGGCGGCGCCCCAGCGGCUGCACAGGCAGCCGCUUCACCGCAUCAGGCGGUUCCACAAGCACUGGCGCGGGACUGGGCGUUCAAGAUCAGGGCUGCAGGCGGCGGCCGCGCAGGCGGGCGCAACAGUGGCGCUUCGGCGGUGGCCCCCCACAGGCCAUGGCUGCUGUCGUCGCCAGCGCACAAGCUGGACCUGGGCCGCCUCCCGCCGGCGGCGCCCCAGCGGCUGCACAGGCAGCCGCUUCACCGCAUCAGGCGGCUCCACAAGCACUGGCGCGGGACUGGGCGUUCAAGAUGAGGGCUGCAGGCGGCGGCGGCGCGCUCUUUCCCGCCCCGCCGCCGUCCGUGGACGUGGCCCAGGCCCCUGGCUCCCCGACAAUGCGGCGCAGGUGGGUGGUGGCUUUGGGCGUGCAUGUGCUGGCGGGGGAUGUUUGGGGGCGGGGCGGGGUAGGAACGCGGCGCGGCGCGGCCCGUGGCGGUUCGUAAUGUAGCGGCGGCGUGACGUGGCGUGUGGCGUGGCGCGUGGCGGCGCGGCACGUAGUGGCGCGUGAUGGGUCACCGCGUGCCGAGUCCCUAUUUGAGCUCCGGGCUGCGGGGCGAUGGGGGGCACGUGAGGUCGCAGCAGGGGACCACUGGGCGCAUACCGGCAGCGAGUGAUGCGUGUGGAGACAUUGCCUUGGACAACGCGGAACAUGGGCGUGGGCGUUGCAGCCGUGGGCGUUGCAGCUGUCCGCAGCGCCGUUCAACUGAGCCUGCAUCGUACCGUAGGUAUGGUGGCUGCGAUGCCGACCUUGCGCCGCGUUGUUGCUCUUCCCCGUGCUCAGGUCACGCGCAAUACCUGCUGGCGCGGCAGCCGUGGGAGCGCUUCGGCGGUCCACAGGUGCGGGCGGAGCCGAUGGGCACACCCACGGGCUCUGGAGACCUGGCGGAGCCGAGGAGCAUCUGCAGGCGCUGGAGGUGGGAGCGGUUGGGGGCGAUGUCCCACGCUUUGUGUGGUUGCGAUUUCGACUUUCCAUCUGGGUGGUUAUGUGGCUGGGAUGAGUGCAUAAGUACACCUUUCCUGGAUCAUCUGGACCCACAUGCCCGGCAUGGGCUGCAACCACCGGUGUCGGGAAGGCGUCACCCGACCAAGUUAGACUUGCAUGUCAGUCCCUCAACUUGGAGUGCUGAUGUGCCCCGCAACAUUCUGACAUUGGCCGACUGACGAUGCCCAGUGUGUGAUGCGGUGUGCAGGAGGUGGGUGCGAGUGGACUCCUCAGCCACGUCUCGCAAGCAGCGCCGCCGCGACGGAGGGCCCGUCGCUAGCGCUCACGCUGAACCCGUGCCGCCCCCCGCCGGCAGCACCCCGACGGCUACACAGGUAGCCGCUCCACCGCAUUCAGGCGGUUCCACCAACACUCGCGGCGUGGGACUGGGUGUUCAAGAUGAGGUCUGUAGGCGGCGGCGUCGCGGGCGGGCGCGUGCGUGUGGUGCUGCUUCAGGCGAUGCGGCCUGGCACAGGUCCAGAAGGCGAAGGGGCCGCGGAGGAGUCGGAAGGUGAGCACUGCGCAGGCCAGACAGGAGGUAGAGAGGCGCGCAGGGCUAGACGUAGUAAGUGAGCCGCGUCAAAGCGCGUGCCGUCGCCAGCUGUGCAUGACUCCCUGCCCCGGCUUCGCCUUGUCUCUGGCUGUGCACCCCACCCCUACCCCCGCGCACCCACCCUGAACCCACCCUUAACCCCGCUCCUGUCCCUUUCAGACCGCAUGGCCCAAGCGAACGACAGUACGGUAGUGCGGGUGGCCCGGCCUGGCUGCAUUGGCGCGGCAGGAGGCGUGAGGGCGGUACGGGCCAGGCUGACUGCCCACAGCAGCUGUGCGCGGUGGCAUGCAGCAGGGGGCAGGUAGGUGCCCGAGCGCUUGGUGUUGUGGCUAGCAGGUGAAUGCACAUUGAGCAGCGACUGGAAUGUCCGGUGCAGGCUCGGGCACGCAGAGGCUAGUAGAACAGGGAUGGCGGGCGGAGGCAUGCGCCGUGUGCGCAGCCAACCCGCAGCCGGGUACAUGGACGCACGUGUGGUAACAGCUGUGGUCGCCGUUUACACUCCUUGGUCCUACCCACAUGUGCACCGCAUUGCAGGGGACUCCUAUGCCGAGAAGCUCAGCGUUAGCUGUGCAGGAGCGGGCGUGCGGGAGAGGAACGGAGGCGCGCUGGGGACAGGGGGGUGGCACGGCGCAUCGGCUCGAGCUGGUGCAGGAGGUGGGUGCGGCGGUGGAGGGGGCGUGGUGGGGCCUGCGUGUGCGGCGGAGGCUUCGCGAUGUGGGCCACCGGCCUGUGCGAGCUAGCGGGAUGUGGGUAAGCGCCGCGCGAUUUGGGUACAGAAUACUGAAUUACAAUUAGUUUGCGCGGCGUUGGCGUCUGGAGGUGGCCCUGUGCGUUGGUCGCGUUUUGGCACAGGUGAGCCGCGGUUGGGUCAAACAACCGCCUGCAUUGCGCUGACUUUCUCGGCUCAGCCUGGCCCCCCUGCCGCCCGCCCGCUAUAAAAGCCCAUCCCUCCAUAGCCUCCUGCAUGUACACCCAUUCACCAGUGCUGUGCAACUAGAGCCCUCUGCCUUUUUACUGCUGCUUACAACCAAGUGAGCUCAGCGGUACCCAAGCUGCCCGCCCCGCCAGUUUCCUGUACCGCCACGUUCUGUUAGCUUUGAGCUAAGAUGGAGCUCCUUAGCAUUAUGAUUCCCCUGCUCCAGUUCUCGCUGGCUGUGGCCGUCCUGGCGCAGUCCGCAAUGGCGGUGUCCGUCCUGGAGGGCGGAAUGCUCACUUUGGUGAUGGCGCUCUGCGUUUGCGCUGUGUCCAAGUGCCCUGGGCAUGAGGAUUCUGACUGCGAGGACCGACUUGUGAGUAGUGCGGGCUGUUGUGGUUUGUUUAGACGCUUGUUGGGCGAGUGCUGAGCGCAUGCUGAAAAGGGAUGCUGCCGGUCAACGCAUGAAACGGGGCGUAACGAGCUGUUCUCUAUUCUUGGCGACUCUAGGUCUCCGAGGAUGACCGGCCCUCAAGCCCGGCGUCUUCUAUCGGCGACAAGAUGGACAUGCACAUCGCCGACCGCGACGGCUUUCCGCCUGCUGACAACGAGCCCAAGCCCAACCUGCUGUGCGCUGCUGAGACUCCUCUGGGCUCGCCGAUGGCUGAUGGCUCCCUGAAGCCUGCUGUCACCGCCCCGACCUGCGACACCAACCCCGCCUGCCCGAAGCCCGACGCCAUCGACGGUUCCGACACCGACGCCCUCGACUUCACCAUUUGCUCCUGCCUGCACGCGAGCGGCUGCCCCCUGGUCAUCAUCGACCACUCCGCCGACGAGAUUGCUCCCUACAAGCCCGCUGGCUCUGGCGCGUACCGCCUGAUGUUCCAGACAUUCACGAAGCACUGGGCCGGCGUGCAGCAGGCCUGGGACACCAUUCAGGCUCUGAAGGCUCGGGCCACGGACCGCCUACAGCAGGCACUGAGCUGUCGUUUCGACAUGACCCAGAUUGGAUCUGAUCUGGUGCUCGAGUACCUGGCUCAGACGGUGUGCGAGCUUGAGACCCAGGCUGUGUGGGACCUGCAGGAGGCCGGCCAGUGGGAGGUGGAAUGGCAGGUCCGCCUGCAGGCCAUGCAGCUGGCGGUGCGUGAGGCAAAGGCCGUGGCCGAGCACGGCUGGCUGGAGAGUGUGGUCUCCGUGCCUGGCUUCGUGGUGUGAAGGCCCUGUGCGGCCGGCCGGCGAGGCGAUGGACUGACCUAUCAAAAAAUCGGUGUUUUUCAACACCACCCUAAAUGGCAUCCUGGUUUUGAGCUCGGGGUUGGAUGGGAACAGGCAACGGACUGCAAUCCGUGCAGGCGGCAAGCAAUGACGUACGGUACGGUACAGGCAAGGUCAAAUCCACAAGGAGUUUCAGUACAGGACCGCUGAUGGCACGGAGUGAUAGUGCUUGUCUUGAGGAGUCGAUUGACGCCACUUUGGUAUAAGAUGGAGGGGUUUUAACCCCUAAACACCAAGGUUUGUCCGUGUGUGUGUGGGUGUGUGUGUGUUGGGGGGGGUCGGUCGUCCCCUCUAGGAGUGUCCCGAGGGUUUCGGGGCAUGGGGUCUGGCACUUUGUUUCCUACCCCCCCCCCUGCCCCCUCCACCAGGACCUGAAAGUGAGCCCAAGCUUUACAGCCGUUGCCUUGAAGUAAGCCCACGGCUAGUCGACCGGAGCUGGAUGAGAGCAGCCAACCCCGCGAGUGUCACCCCUCCGCCGCGACUGCAGGCUGCCUGACUGGACAGGUUCCGUGGAGCACGCCACGCAAAACACGCACACGGCCCCAGACCUGGCUCUGGGCGGGGGAUGGCGCGCGGUGUGGGCUGUUGGCGGAGGCGCGGAGCCCCUAAACCCUGGGCCGUGAGGGCGUGAGGCAUCCUGGGACCCGUGGACUCCUAGAGACACGCGGAAGGGGCAGGGCUGAGGCCUGAGGGAGCACACUGCAUGUCUGCAUGCAUGUGGCAUUGUGGGCACGCUGUGAUACCGUACUGCGUGUGUGUGGUAGUCCAAGGCUUGAACGCUUGGUGUGCAAGGACCCCUCAUGCAUCCCUGUUUGGAUUUGGUCUGGGACUCCGGCAUGGGGUGGGAACAGGCACCGGUCUGCAAUCCGUGCAGGCAGCUAGCAAAGUGGUGGGGUUAUCGGGCCUACUGGUUGGAGAUGUCGAUUGAAAUUGGACAGGCAGGUAGGCAAGGGCUGCAGUUGGCGGUUUGGAGAGGCGAGUGGCGGCUCGUGCUGUGCAAGUGAUCACCUUCCGGCUACAUGAGGGCAGGCGAUGUGGGCUUGAGCUCCACAUGCCUCCUAUCAGUCCUUGCUGCGCGUUCGCUGCCACACGACGCCCUGCUGCCAAAGCGGUCGCACGUGCAUCAAUCAGCGCGCCACGGGCAUCUGCAGUCAAUGGCAUCAUCUACCGUAACUAGCGCUGAGCUCAUCGCCUAGGCUGCCUACUCGGAAUGCCUCUGCACCCCGCCUGUCCCUCCUCCGCCCGCCCUCCUGCACGUUCAUCGGCACCUACUCUAAUCACAACCACCACGACAUCUGCCAGUCGCAGCCGCAUCACGUCAUUCCCACCGACACCCCACACCUGCAACUCACUCCGCUGGCAUACCGUACCACGGCGCCCAAGCGCACAACCUGCCCGUUCCCAGCCACCUCAACGCCCUCCUUUACCCGGUGUGGCCCCGCCCCCGCCUGCCCCUGCCCCUCCCCCGCCUCCUAGCCACGACGUCCAGCUGCUGAGGCUGCUGAUGGCGGAUAGGGAUGCGUCCACGGCGGCCGCGGCGGCGGGCAUUGGCACCUCGCCCUGCGCGGUCAAGCAGGACACCACAGGGGUGCAGCACGACAUGAAUACCUGUAUCGGUAUAAUGGGACUCGGAGAGUGUGGACGCAAUGGGCGGGUGAGGACAACGUAUUUCAUGACGCGGCGACCCGGAAUCGGUAUGAUGGGACUCGGAGAGGUGGACGCAAUGGGUGAGGACAACGUAUGUCAUGACGAGGCGACCCGGAAUCGGUAUGAUGGGACUCGGAGAGGUGGACGCAAUGGGUGAGGACAACGUAUGUCAUGACGAGGCGACCCGGAGCUACUUGCUGUGCCGCGUACACAGCAUCUUGCAGCAGAGCUCCACCCCACCCACAGCGCUUCUUGGGUUUGGAUACUCGUACCCUUCCCCCCCCUCGGCAGCAUGCUACCCACCCAGCUUAGCGCCGCCAGACCCUCCUUGCAGCGCUUUAUCUCGUCUGGGCUGAAGCUGAGGAUGGUUGCGAACACGGGCAGCAGCUUCUCGGCCUCGCCGGUCAGGAACAUCUUGAUCACCGUGUUCUUCAGGUACUCGGCGUCGAUGAUGUUGGCGCCUGCAGGGCGUUGGCACGGGGGCAGGGGUGAGGGGGUUUUGUAAGUUUAGGGAGAGGGAGGGGGAGGGAGGCCUGGGGAGUCACCAACGAAGCGCCGGGAGUGGGACGGAAGGUGUGUGUAGCGGGUAGCUGGAGGGGGGCGAGCGCCUGUCGAGCUGGGAACAUGACAGCGCAACGGCGGCGGCGCUCAGGCUCUCAGACUCCGGAUCAGAGCAAUGCGCACAUGCCCGCGGCACCGCCCUGCGCCCGCAUCUUUCUGGCUGCCGGCCUGUCUUCCUGUCUGCCGCCACAACCCCUGCCUUACCCUUGGCCGCCCGCUGCAUGGACCGCUCCAUGUCGCGCACGCUCUCCUUGAGCGCCCGCUCCAUCUCCUCGCGCAUGGAGAUCUGCACGACACACACGUUGACGCGGCACGGCAGGCCGUGUGGGGGUUAUGCGUUGCUGGGUGUUGCAAAGAGCACACGGAAAGCAAAGCACAAAGACAGUGUAGCUGCUGGGUGUGCGCGUCAGUGGCGGAGGUGAUGGUAGCUGUCAGGGGCGGUAUCGGCAAGCAGCAACCCCGACCAGCCAUGCACCGGGGUCCGGGGGUCCACCAAGUGGCUGCGGCCACACAAGGCCUGCACUCGCACGCCGCAAUCCGUACGGAGCCUGCCACCCAACCCCCGAAACGACCACAGCCCCCCACCCUUCGUCUGCAGUCUUCAGCGCAUCCUGUACAACUUUUCCAACCAUCUUUGCAACGCCCCCGGUUUGGUUUGGGCUGGUAUCUACCCCCCCCCUCCCCCCACACACACACGAGAACACACACCCCGCCAAGUACUCGCCUCCGCCCCCGCCCACCUCCUUCUCCAGCUCCGCCACCUCCCGCUCCAGCGAGGCCACGUGCCCCCGCAGCGACGCCACCUCGGUCCGCGCCGCCGCCAGCGCGCCCGCCUCCGCGCCGUACGCCGCCGCCGCGUACAUGGCCGUGUAGUCGCCCGAGGCGGCGGCGGCCGCAGCGGCGGCGGCGGCGGAGGGCGAGGGCGCGGCCGCGCCCUCGCCCGGCGGCGUGGGCGGCAGCAGUGCCGCCGCGGAGCCCGCCAUGCCGCGGGGCAGGGAGGAGGGGCCGGCUGCCUCAUCGCCGCCGCCAUCGGCUGCCACCAGAGUCGAGGUGGGCAGCCCAGCGCCGCCGCUGCUGCCGGCGCUGCCGCCGGCGGCCCUGGCGGCGGCGGCCGCCCCGGCGGCGCCGUCGGUGACGGCGGCGAGGGAGAGGGCCUCGGGUCGGAUGAGGCUGCCCAGGAUUUCGGUGCUGGCGUUGGGGUUGGCGGCGCCGACUGGGAGCAGGCCGUUGUCGCUGACGCGCAGGCUGCGCCGCGAGGCACCCGGCCCCGAGGCGCCGGCGGCUGCCGUGUCGCCGGCGGGCGGGUUGAAGGCGGCGCGCGCGGCCUCCUGCAGGUGUGAAAGGUGGGGUGCCGUGCGGCGGACGGAUCAGGCAUGGAUGGGCGGAUGACACGCACAUAUACACACGAGCGGUUAUGUGCGCCCAAGAAUCAUCAUGGCAGGCGACCAAGCGAGUGCGGCAAUGCGAAAACUGGGACGGCACACAUGGAUGGGACGUAGCCCGCUCGACCUGAGCGGGCCCCGCUGGUGCUGUUCCACGCACCUCCAGUCGCCCCUCGUCGUCCAACAGCGCCGCCCGCCGCGCCCGCGCCUCCAUUUGCGCCGCCGCCGCGUCCGCCGCCGCCUGCGCCGCCGCCGCGGCCGCCUGCGACUCCGCGGCCGCCGACUCCGCCGCCGCCAGCGCUUGCCGCGCCGCCACCGUCUCCUCCUGCAGCCAGCAAACCCGCGCGGUGGUGUGUUGGACGCACAACGAAGGCUGGACACCCCAUGGGCCAUGGCGGGGGCCGUAUACUCGAGACGCAAACGACAAUCAUUCCUGUCCAUCACCCAGGACAGCCCUGCCACGCCGCAACGAGCCCGUCUCCCUGCAUCCGGCCACCACCAUCCCGGCAGCCCCCCAUCGUGUGUUCCCCACCUCUAUCGUCCCUCCCUCCCUCCCUCCCUCCCACCCUCCCUCCCUUGCCUCCCUCCCUGCACCCACCCACCCACCUGCAGCAGCGCGUUGCGGCGCACCAGCGUGAGCACCUCGGCGUCCUUGGCCUCCAUCAGCGCCUCGCUGGAGGAGCGGAAGGAGCGCAGCUCCUCGCGCACAGAGGCCAGCUCCGACUGCGUGGGGAAGGGGGGUAGCCGUUGAUGCGGAGAAUGCAGAAGUGAUUGCAUCAUAAGUUCUUGUAAUGUCGCAUUCAUACGUUUAUUGUGAUGAUUCGGGGAGGGGCCCUAAACGUAUCCCAUAGGGAACAGUAGCGGGGAAGGGGGGGAGGGGCAAAGUGGCGUAGUUGCGAAGGUAAGGAAGGGAGGUGGUCGUGGGCAGGUGGUUGGGAGGUGGUGGUGCACACAGGGGCACACGGGUCAUCGACUCAUCGUACGGCAUGGUGGUGAGGGCUCGCCUCCCUUCCCGAACUUGACACGUGUUGGCAUGCUACGAUACGGUACCGUACUUGUCGCCGCCAGCAGCUGUGAGUGUGAGCCACCCCCGUCAUGCACCCUCGUGCCCUCGCGCCUACCCGCCUGCGUGGAGGCGCUCUGGUCCUGCACCCCACGUGUCCCUAUGCGUUUCUGGAUUACAAGGUUGGGACCCCCCCCCAAAGCGCCACCAAUUAACCCCCUUUCCAACACCAGCCCACCUACCAAGCCCCCCACCAACCCACACCGCCGCCCCGCCCCUACGGUACCUGCAGCGCCGCGUAUCGCUCCGCCGCCGCCGCCAGCUCCUCCGCCGCGCGCCGCCCCGCCUCGCCCUCCGCGCUGUGGUGCGCCAGCCGAGCCUCAAGCGCCUCCACACGCCGCGCGUAGUCGUCGGCAGCCGCCUGCGCGCGCUGCGUCAGGCCCUGUAUGUGUGCGUGUGUGUGUGUAUGUGUGUGUGUAUGUGUGUGUGUGUAUGUGUGUGUGUGUGUGUGUGUGUAUGUGUGUGUGUGUGUGUGCGGAAAAAAGCGGCAGCGGCAGCGGCAGGACACGUGAGGAGCGGCACAAGUGCCACGAAGACAGAGGCUCGCGACAUCCCAGGGACAAGCGAGGCUUUCCUGCCAACAAUCCUAUUCCCUGACUUCUUUCCCCCAUACCGUAUUCGCUCACCUCGUAGUACUCGGCGGACGACUGCGCCGCCUCCAGUGCCAGCCGCAGCCGCUCCGCCUCCGCCGCCGCCGCCUCCGCCGCCCGCUCCGCCGCCUCCGCGCCCUCGCGCUCCGCCGCCUCCGCCGCCGCCAGCGCCGCCGCCAGCUGCUGCCGCAGCGCCGCCAGCUCCUCGCUCUCGGCGGCGGCGGCGGCGGAGGCGGCCACCUCCUUGGCGCGGGCGAUUUCCGUGUCCUUGGCCUUGAGCAGCGCCUGGUGGGAGGCGAGAGGGCAUGAGGGGCAUGAGUGGCGAGAGGGACAAGAGAGGCACGAAGGGCAUGCCUUAGAAGGGCAUGCCUUAGAGGGCCAUGCGAGUUGCAAAUGUGGGGGGUGGGAGGGUAGCCGUGUGAGCAGGACGGAGUGAGGAAGCAAACGUAUGCCCCGCGUGUCCUGUGACCAGCCAGUUAGUAGCCGGUCACUGCGCGCCCGCAUUCCUCAUGACGCCCUCUGCUCCUAUCCAUGCCCCUUGCUCCCUCCCCCCUCCCCCCCUUCCUCCUCCUGCCCCUGUCCGCACCUGCGCCCUGUUGCGGUAGUCCUUCAGCUCCGCCUCCAGCGCCUCCUUGUCCUUCCGCACGCCCUCCAGCUGCUGACUCAGCAUGCCCAGCUCCACACGCACGCCCGUGGCCUCGGCCUGCAGCAGGGGGAGGCGCGUGGUGGUGGCAAGGAGGUGGUGCAUGGGGGCUUUAUAUUCAUGAUUAAUUAAGAAGUGAAGUCGUAGGCAGGUACAGUUGGGCAUGAGACAGGGAGCUGACUCCAGGGAUGGAUCUGGCAAAGCAGUACACUGGACAGUGAACUUGUUUGCAAGGGCUCUUCCCACCCCUCACCCGAUGUUGUACAACAUCGGGUGAGGGGUGGGAAGAGGGAUGCAGGACGGUGCGAUUGGGGGACCAUUCCUAAGCAGCCCCCAUCCUUUCCACACACACCGGACUCCAGACCCCGCCUGAGCCCCCGCCCUCCCCCCUGUGCUCCGCUAGCUUGGCUUGGUUUGGUUUAGUUUGGGCUGGUAUCUACAACACCCCCCUGAAAUCAUCAUGAAUGUAACCCCCGCACCUGGCUCUUGCCGCGCGCCUCCGCCAGCGCCACCUCCGCGGCGUGCUGCGCCUUCUGCGCCUUGGCCAGCCGCUUGCGCGCGUCCUCCAGCGCCUUGCUGUUCCUGUGGGCGAGCACGUGCGGUGAAGGGGUGAGUGUGUGAGGCGAAUGCGUGCAGGCAGGGGGCAACAGCACACCUAAACACACGAGCAAGCUCCCCGCACACACACACACACACACACACACACACACACACACACACACACACACACACACACACACACACACACACACACACACACACACACACACACACUCACACACACACACACGCGCGACGCUCGGUAAAUUGGUAGGUAUCGGUAAGUAACUCCGGCGUCGUCUGGGCGGGCUUUCGUUUCGUUUUUCAACACACACACACACACACAUACACACACACACACACACACACACCCGCGCGCCCGUGAAGCCGCACACGCUCACUUGUUCCGCUCCGCCUCCAGCUCCUUCCGCAGCGCCGCCACGUCGCCCCGCAGCACCUCCGCCUCCGCCCGCGCCGCCGCCUCCGCCGCGCUGCUGCCGCUGGCCGCCGCCGCCGCCACGCGCCGCGCCUCCGCCGCCUCGGCCGCCGCCGCCGCCGCCUCCCGCUCCGCCCUGGCCAGCGAGGCGGUGGCUGCCUCCAGCUCCACCUCGCGGUCGCGCAGCCGCGUGGCCACCUUGUUGAGCGCCGCCUCGUGCUCGGCCUGGUGGCGGUUGGCGUUGGCGGUUGGUGAUGGCGGUUGGUGACGGGAUUGCUUGGCGGGCGUUGCUGUUGUUGGUGUGCGGUCGCCUCACAAGGUGUUGGCACUGCGAGUGCAUUUUCCCCUCCCUGGCUCGCUCGCUCCCUCCCUGUGCAUGAUUGGUUUAGUUUGGGCUACUAUCUACAAUACUCCCUCCGUCCGCCCCCACCCUCCCUAAGGCUGCUGCGCCUCACCUUGACCCGCUUCAUCUCCGCCUCCAGCCGCGCAGUGGCCUGGCCCGCCGCGCCGUCCUUCUGGGCCGCCAGCGCCUUGUACUCCUGAGGGGGUGGAGGAAAGCGCGGGAGGCAUACAAGAGAGGUUUGAGUUGAUGCGAGGAUGAGAUGAUGCGUAGACAGCAGGCGGCAGGCGUGCUUGCCCUGCCAGGUUGCACUUGACUGUGCGCUCACCCCCGACCCCUCCUCCCACCCACCCUCACUCCCCACUCCCCGCCCCAGCAGCAACAUUCGUCGGGUCUACGCGCUGGAGCUGGCUGCUGGACUUCACGGACAUCGGUAACAACGCGCCUGCUAUACGGUACUACUGUUCCUGGCUAUGAUUUCACUUUUCAAAGAUUCAUGGAUUCAACCCCCCACCUGCAGCAGCGCCUCCUGCUUGGCCGCCUCGGCGUUGGCAUUGGCCUGCUGCCGCAUUAGGUCCGCCACGCUGUUGGACAGGUUGGAGACCUGGCAGUAGCAGGACGAGCGGCGCAGCGGCAUUAGCGGUGGUGGUGGAAGGAGCGCGAGCAGGAGGCGAUUUGGUGGCAGUUACAGCGGCGAUUGUCCCCACCAGGAGCACCAAUAGCAGAGCAGGGUUGAGCGGGAUGAGGAGCAUGUGUGACAUACGUGUUUGGAGUGGACACCACUUCUUGCGGUGCGGUGCCCAUUAAGGGUCCCCCUUCGCCUUCCAUUCACAGUUGCCGCAACCCACCUGCGUCUGCAGCUGCUCCUUCUCUGCGUGCGCCGCCUCCAGCUGCCGGGCCGCCGCCGCCGCGGCCGCCUGUGCCGCCUCCAGCUCCGCCGCCGCCGCUGCCCUGGCCGCCGCCAGCUUGGAGUCGGCCUCCUUGGCGGCGGCUGCGGCGUCGGCCUGGCGCUUCUUGGCGAGAGCCACCAGCUUGCGCUUGGCGUCCUGCGAUUUGAAAGGGUUGCAACAAUACAGGUGAUCGGGUGAUGCGGGUGAUGUGGGCAAGCCUAAGAGUGUAGACAGCGGUAUACAAUGGGGAGCUGGAAAUGGUAAGGCAGCAUUGCGCCCAACCAAGCUCUGUCUGGCGCGGACCAAGCCCAAGGGAAGGACUGCUGAAAACGGGUGCGCUGCACACGCCCAACCGCCCACACACCCACCCACCCACACACACACACACCUGCAGCUCCUUGGCCAUCUUCUCAUUCGCUUCCGCCAGCUCUGCCGCCUUGUGGCUCAGCUCACCACUGGCAGCAGCCGCAGCCGUCUCCGCCGCCGCCGCUGCAGCCGCGGCGGCGCCGUCGUCGCCACUGGCACCUGCGUCGCCGGCACCGCCGUCAGAGCGGCUUGCACCCUCGCCCACACCCUCGCCCGCAUGGCCUCGCUCCUCCGCUGCCGUUGCCGCUGACGCGGCCGCCGCCAGCUGGGCCUCCAGCUCCACCACGCGAGCCUGCGCCGCCGCCGUCGCGUCCACCGCUGCCGCCAGCUGCGAUUCCAGGUCGGCGGCGCGCGCCAGCGCCUCCCGCGCCUCGCCCUGCAGCCUCUGCACCUGCUCCUGCAGCUCCGCCGUCGCCCUGCCCUGCUCCUCUCCAUCGGCAGCGGGGGCGGCGGCGGCAGAGGCGGCAGCGGCCUCGCGCUUGAGUCGACCCACCUCGGCCUCCCGCUCCUCCAGCGCCUCCCGCAGCUCCUCCACCUCGCCCGCCAGCUCCGACACGCGCCACUCCGCGUCCGCCGCCGCCUUAGGAGACGCCGCCGCCAGCUUCUCGCCAGCCGCUUCCAGCUCCGCCUCCAGCUGCGCAAUGCGCGCCCGCAGCUCCGCUGCGGCCUCCGCCUCCGCUGCCGCGUCGCCUGCGCGCUGCGCGCCCUCGGCGCCUGCCUGCUUCGCAGCCUCCGCAGCCGCCUGUGCCUCCGCCAGCGCUGACGUCAGCUUGCCCACCUCUGCCUCCUUGUCUGACAGCAGGCCCCGCAGCUCCUCAAGCUCCCCGGACAGCUCCGAGAUACGCCACUCCGCGUCCGCCGCCGCCUUGGCGGCGGCGGCCUUGGCGGCUUCCACCACCGCCUCAGUCGCGGCCUGGCUAGACGAGCCGUCGGCGGCAGAUUGCUGUUGCUCCUCAAGCUGCAGAAGCACAUGGACGGUCGCAAGGUUGCGGCGUGGCAUCCGUUGGCUAGGAGUGCGUUGUCCUCUAGGGUAGCCGUACCCCCACACGUACGCCAACCAGAAAGACAACGAGCAGCGCCAGCCCACGACGCACGGAACACGUAGGACGGACAUGUACACCAACGCACAAGAAUAAUUUCACAGAUGACACGCUCCUCUCGACCCGCACCGCACCUGCUGGCGGAGCUCCUGCAGCUGCGAUUUGGUCUUGCCCACCUCGGCCUCCCGCUCCUCCAGCGCCUCCCGCAACUCCUCCACCUCGCCCGCCAGCUCCGACACGCGCCACUCCGCGUCCGCCGCCGCCUUGGACGCCGCCGCCUCCGCCGCUGCCAGCUUCUCGCCCGCCGCCUCCAGCUGCUGUCGCAGCGCCGCCGCCUCUGCAGACGCCGCCUGCUCCUGCUGCUCCCGCUCCUGUUGCUGCUUCUGCUGCAGCUCCCCUAGCUCACUCUGGGCCGCCGACAGCUGCUCCUGCAGGCCCUCCAUCUUGUGGGAGGCCUCCUCCAGCUGCACAGGGAGUGGGCGCAACGGGAGCCGUCAGUUAGUCGCUGAAAGCAGGUUGCGGCACUACCGCAUGAUCAGCACUGACUGCCUCCACUUCUCCAGCUUGGACCCACACAGCGCCACGCGCUCUCACGAACCCCGCCUGCUUGACGACCACGCCUGGUUCCAUAACCACACACAUACAAACGCCAACAACCACGCGCGGCACUACAACGCUGCUGCUCGCCCCGCACCUGUUGGGUGACCAUGGCCACGUACGCGGCCUUGUGCUGAAGCUCCAGCUGCGCCUCCGCCAACUGGCCCCGCAGCGCGCCCAACGCCGCGGCGUCGCCGCCGCUGCCGCCAUCACCGCCAGCCGCUGCGGCCCCCUCGCCGGCGCCUGGUGCUGCCGAGGCCGAGGCGGACAUUGCCAACGUCAUCGCGAGCCGCGACAGCGCCGCCACCGCCUCCUCGCGUUCCUGUUUACAACACGACGCGUGUUUACCGCUGGUGCCACAUGCCCUAAAGGCAACAAGUAUAAACGAUGGCACUCUGUACGUCCUCCACAGCGGCAAGCCAUGAGGAACGGAAGUGCGGAACAUCCAAGGGGACUGCCCAGCAUCCACACCUGCGCGCGCGCCGCCGCCCGCUGCUGCGCCGCCUCCAUCUCCUCCACCGCCGAGCUCAGCGCCUCCGCCCCCGCGCAGAUGCGCGCCCGCGCCUGCAGCACCUCACUCAUAUGCUCGGCAGCCUGUGUGACGAGUGUGGGUUGUGGGCACAUGCACCAGGUGUAAGUCGGCGCAGGAAGCAGCAACCAGGAACCGGCGGCCAGGUGACCUCUCUAGGCGCAUGCCCACAUCUGCCUCCAGCGGUUCAGCUCUCUUGGUGUGGUCUGGGCGCACGUCAAACUCCAUUCCCCCCGUCCCAGACCCCGCGAACACCCUCACGGCGCGAUGCGACUCACAUGGUCUCCGCCGCCCGCCGCCUUGUCCUCCACGUCCUCAAGCCGCGCUGCCAUCUCCUCCAUGGACGCUUCCGCGUGCUGCAGCAUGACCUGGCCGGUGGGGGGUCCCAGGCACGAGUGCUUAAGAGAUGGCGGUGUUAAGUCGGCGCAGCGUUGCGGAGAGGAUUUGGAAAGCUUGGCCAGGCGAGCUCACCCCUCCCAUGUUUCCAUAAGGCCACAGGCCUUACGAACCGUCCCACCACCGCCUCCGCAUCUUCACCGACCCUCGUGACCGCGCAGCUGCUGCACACACACGGCUUCCAGCAGUGCCAGACCUGCCAUGCGCCCCUGCACCUGUCCGUUGCCUUUCGCAGACCCGCCCCAGGUCCCAGACCCCUGGCCCCUGGCCCAAGGCCCAAGGCCCUGCCCCGCCCCGUCCCGCGCCCGCCCCGCCCCAUCCCAUCCCGCGCCCGCCCCGCCCCAUCCCAUCCCGCGCCCGCCCCGCACCCGCCCUCACCGUCAUGUUGCUGAUCUCGCGGUCCUUGUCCGACAGCGCCUGCAUACGCUUGGUGAUCUCGCCCGCCGCCUGGUCCUGCAGCGUUAGCAGCUCCUCGCGCUCGCCCGCCAGUCGCACGUUCGCCGCCUCCAGCUCCGCCGCCCGCGCCUGCGCCUCCACCAGCGCUGCCUCCACCUCCGCCAGCCGCUGCUGCGUCUCCUUCAGCCGCGCCUCCAGCGCCUCAUAGCGCUUUUUCUCCUUGGCCACCGUGGCCACCGCGCCGUCCUCCGCCUCCGCCAGCUUGCGCGCCGAGGCGAUCAGCUCGCCCUCCAGCUCGGCCACACGCGCGUUGGCCUCGCGCAGCGAAGCCUCUAGACCCGAGCCGUUGGAGGUGGAUCCGGGGGCAGCGACUGCGGCAGGUGCAGAAGCAGAGGCGGCCGCAGCCUCCGCCGCGGCGGCCUUCUGCUCAGCAGCUGCGGCCUUCUCGUCGGCCUCCGCCGCAGCUGCGGUAGCGGCGGCGAGAUCGGACUCGAGGCCAGCGGCGCGCGCCUCCGCCUCCGCCAGCUGCUCCUGCAGCUCAGCGGCGCGCUGGCGCGCUUCUGCGGCCUCUGCCUGCGCCGCCUCGGCAGCGGCGCCGGCGCCGCCCGCGGCGGCCUCCGCCGCUGCCUUGGCUGCCGCCAGCUCUGCCUCCAGCUCGGCCAGGCGAGCGUUUGCGGCCUCCAGGUCGCCGCCGCCGGCAGCCGCCUUGGACUCGGCCUCAGCCAGAGCGUCCUCAAGCUCGGCGAUGCGCUCGCGGGUCUCACCUACACAGUGGAAAUGGCAAAGCCGCCUCGUAUGAUGGCCAGCUCGGGGCCUCGCCCGCAUGCAGCAUCACCGCGUCAAGUGCAUUUAUCCUGACCCCGCGCCCGUCCCUCUACCCGCUUGGCUGCCCUGCAAUCCCUCGCACCGCCACUCGCCCUCCCAGCCCACCCGAGCCCCCACGCACCCAGGCGGCUGAACGCGCUCUCGCGCUCCUCGCUCAUCUCCUUGAGCGCCGUCUUGAGGGAGCCCAUCUGCUGCCCCAUCGCCGUCCGCUGCUCGUCCCAGUCGCGGGCCGCCUGCUUGGAGGCUGACAGCGCCUCGCGCAGCGAGUUCAGCUCCUGACACGGAAGAGACAGUGAAGACAGGUCAAUCAAUAAGCAGCAGACGAAUCAGUAGCGCACCCAUACCCACGCCCGCCGAGCCUGGCCUGGCCCGGACACAACGUGCCAUGGCCGCACCUGCAUUUGCUCCUGCAUGCGCUCCUCGUUUGCCAGCGCCCCGCCCCGCGACUGCGCCACCAGCGCCUCCAGCUCUGCGCGGGAAGCCUCCAUCGCCGACUGGGCCUCCUGCGCGGAGGCACGCACACGCACUUGUGACCAAGCUACCCCGUGGAUAGAAAAGCAGGCUAACAGUUCACAACGAAGCGGUACCGCCCGCAGCAUGGUUGGUAUCAUUGCUAAGUAUAGGCUCGUCAGCGUGGCGUGCCGCCCACCCACCUCGGCUCGCUGCUUCGCUUCUACCAGCGCGUCCUUCGUCAGUGCCAGCUCCGCCCGCAGCCCGCUGGCAGCCGCCUCGGCAGCGCGCGCCGCCGCCUCCGCCUUCUCGGCGCGCUGCAGCAGCUCCGCAGCUGCUGGCCCGCUGUCAGCCUGCGAUGCGAGGCGCGUUGAAAGGAUGCUCGGUACGGGUGUUGCGCAUGAGCCAUCAGUGCGGUCUGUCGUACUGUCGUCCGUGCCCAAAGGUGCGUUGUUGCGAAGUACCGCAUCAACCCAUCCACACAUGCACUGCGUGCGUGUGCAUAUGCUGUUGUGUGCGCACAGUUGUUCCCUGUAGCCCGCCGCCGCAGCACCGAACUGCGUCCUUGAGUGUCAGAGGUGUUCACAAACCCUGUCAAACCCUUUCCCGCCCUCACUCACCACAGCCCCCCCAUCCGCUUUCUUAGCUGCGCCAAGUUCUGCAGGUACACCCAGCAAAUAGGCCGAGUGAGCGUCCUCCGGCGCGAGACAGGCAGAAUCCAGGUCAGCAAGGGCGGGGCGCCAGCUGGAGCGGCCCCCCGCAGAACCGGGAGCCAGUUACCUUCAAUUUUCUUGUCCCGGAUUUUGAGCUUUUUCAGCAGAUCCAAGACAUAAACCUGGAGCUCUUCCCUGGUUUUGUUGGCGAUUACAGCCGGCACAGCCUUCCCCUGCGCCAACUCCGCAGGGUCAAUGCCAUGCCUAGUGCGCCCACUGCGAGUCCAGCUAGCUUACCCCCGUGACUGUGGAAGCAGUCGAGCGCCUGCUCGUGACAGACACAUUAUCGUCGUCCAUCUUGCGGCCCUAUAGGCGCCUUGUCGAUCAACCUGUUGCUGCUCGACAGGUCGCUAACCGUGCGCGCACUUCAUAUAAAGAUACAUCUAAUAUAAGAGCAUUGUAAUGGUGGCGUGUAAUAGACGGAACAAGCUGCAAAAGAUAUGAGCUCGAACUGUUAGUCCUUGAGCAACGAGCUUUUCCUAUAAGAGCAUAUUGCACGCUUAAGUAAUGUUUACACCUUAUGCGCAACAGACCGGGCGAGGCUGCGGCAGGCGUUCUCGGGGUAAUCCACUUGGCGAGCUCCGGGGGUCGGGUCCGCGGUAGCUUUUGCCCCUGUUGGAUUCUCCCUACGCAGCCAACCCGCCCAGCCCCGUUCGCCAGCUCCCGGUGAGUUGCAGCUGUCAACCCACCCCUUGGCCUCGUUCGAAGGCCAUAGGGUGCAGCUUUGGUCACGGUUUGUCAGUACUGCCAGGUACUGCAUCCCGGGCGCGUCAUGUAUGCGGCUCCGAUAUGGAGCGUCACAGGCACCCAAGUGCAACACAAGCACAGCUCCAGGUCGGAGGGGAUGAUUGGGCCAAGCCAUCCUUGCGUUACUGCAGCCAUUCAAGCCAUCCAUGCCGCUGCGCGUCCACGGCCUCCACAGGUCAGCACAGGUCGCUGCAGAGUGGAACCAGGCCCUUGCUGAUAAAGACAGGGACAUACCUCACAAGGCGGUCCUGCUGAUUGGCGACUUAAUCAAUAACGCUUGGUUUCCCGUCCGAGUGCAGCCGAGUGGGCACACUACCCAGGCCCAAUUACAGUGCAGAUGGAGCUGGAUGGAGUGAAGCGAUGAGCGGCCCACAUCGUGGAGCUCUUGAGGGCUUGAUGCAGCAAGGGACCGCCGUGAUGGCGUGGUGGAACGCGGGCAUCCGUGCCUCGUUCGCUGCGGCUUCCAAUGCUGGCUUUCUGGGUGGCCCCUCGGAUUCAUGCACUUUGGACAGCUCACUGCUCAGCGCACAGCCCCUGACCACAAUACUCAUAUGUUCCGCUACCAUCCAAGUACAAGCCUCCCGACAAGGCAGUAAACACAUGAUAACAGCCAGCGCACGGGACGAACCUUCCUUGCGACCACCUUGUUGUAAAACCCGAUGCCGCUCGCCUAAUUGCUGUUGCUAAAUUUCAAUCAAACGAGCGUACCUCACUGGCUUCCUGGGCGUAAGACGGUGACAGGGAGCGCCAGCUGUGCUACUAACUUGCGUUUGCUUCUGGCCUGCUGCCGAGCUAUAGGUUGUUGCCAGAAGCACGGGUCAGGCUGUAAGCUACAAGUAAAUAUGCAAGAGCGCCAGCGGAGCGACUGCUGCCUCUGGUUCUUCCGAUUCGUGAAUAUAAUAACAGCCUUAAGCGCUGUACUCUGCCUAGUUGCAUUUUCAAUGGCUAUAGUCGUCGGCCCACCGUUCACAGACCGGGCGAACGUGAAGGCGCAACUUUUGCGGUGAGAAUGUCGAUCGUGGCGCGCGACAGCGGGGUCAGGCAAAGUUCCAGUGUACGAGGCUGUGUAUGGGUCGGGGGUUUCACUGCUACGGGAGUAGCCGCCGGGUGGGGUUGGCGUGGGAGUCGGCCUCGAUAGGCGGGGUGUACCCGUGCGUGUACGGGCGCGUGCCCCCGCCUCGCUGCUGGGUCAGUACAACGGAGGUUCUCUUGUCCCCAGCUGGCACCAUGGGCAUCCCCAAGCAGUCGGUACCACUUACAAAAUGCGCCAUGUUUGUGGUGCAGUGUAUACGGCGUGCUGUGGGCAGCUGGCCUGGUGCUGGUGGAGACGGAGUUUGAGUGGCUCAUGCAGUUCUGCCGCGCUCUGGAGUUCUGGUUCGCGCGGGGGCUGUGCCAGGUGCGUGCAUGCGCGUGCGUUCGCAAUUGGCGUAGCCAUGUGUUGCAAUUGCAAAGCGUCACGCUGCAGCUAGGUAUGGGGCGUGUAGGGCUAGGGUGUAGGUGCCUCCAGCGCACCCACACGGCGUGCAUCCAUAUUUGAUGAGUGGAUCAGUGAAGAGAGUGGAGUGCUUGCCCGGGAUCUGUGACAGAAGCAUGGAUUCCCGUAGGUGCGCUGCAGCCGCGCUACCCGUUUACGCACCUGACCAAGUCCCGCUCCCGGGUUGUCGCAGGGCUUCCUAGCCAUCAUGACGCUGGAGCUUGUGCACAGCAGCGGCAACAGCGACUUCGACAAGAGCGUGCGGCUCUACCGCACCGUUAGCGGCAUGUGGUAAGUGGUUCAUGCAGAUGGGCGGUGGGCGGGGAUGAGGGUGGGGAAGACGACGUAAGGGUGGAGGGGCGCACGGAAUGGACCGGCGUGGUGUCCGAACCUCCAGAGAUGAGUCGCUGGGACGGGGGCUUGAGGCGGAGCGCUCAUAUGGUCAUGAGAUGCAGUUUGGCGCGAGGGGAAUUUGGCCCGAGAGGCACGUGGUUGCGCCGGGACAGUUCCGUGAGCCAGUGUUGUCUACAGCCAUGUAGCAGCCCUCGUACAGCCACCGUGACCUUUGCAUGGUCUACUGGUCUCUGGGUUGGCGGGGUUCACGGGGUAGCCGUCAGACGCUCUUUUACGCCUCGUGUCCCUCGCUUCCACCCACCCAACCCUUAGCCUGCUGGGCUGCUCCGGCUUCUACAUGCUGGGCGGCCUGCUGUGUCUUGGCACACUGCGGAACGGUGAGCGGCUGGGGUGGCGUGGUGAUGUGGCACUGUGACUAUCUCAAUGGGGCAAUCUAACAGAGUCGGCACGAGCUAUGAGGGAUAGCCGUGAGCCGUGAGGCCACCCUUCUCACCUACAUUUACCUUCCGGCCUUGACGCUAACCCUAAACCACCUCAUAUCCCUUUUCUCUGACAGCCCGUUACAAGCGAUUCAAUGAGCGGCUCAAGGUGGAGCGCGACCUUGAAUCCCUGGAGAAGCAGCGCGAGGAACUCAAUCGGCUGCUUGUCGCUUAUUCAAAAGAGUGACGGUGAUCAAUAGUAAUUCUUUGGUGAAGUGGUAGAUACUGCGGGUAGGAUGGGGUUGAUGAGGUGAGGUGGGAGGAGAGACCAGAUGAUGAAAGGCCGCGGUACUGCAAGGGACAAGUAGAUGUUUGAUGCCGUACCGAGAGUGGCUGCAGGUAUGUGCGUCUGGCUGUGGUGAGGACCUCCAUGUAGGAUGCAUGUGAGCCAGGGUUUGCUGGUACGGGCGCGUUCUGUACCGCCGGCAACUGCACUGGGUUCCAAGCCAAAGAUUGAGCGCAAAGGGCAGCCUUGCGCCAGCCGCAUGCAGUGCGCGGGGCUGGCGUAGGUCCUACGCGUGCAUAAGGGUACUAGGAGUGUUGCGGGCCUUUACUUUCAGGUCCUGGCUAGAGCAUGGUGUACGGCGAGUAGUGGCAGGAACGCGCGACGAGCAUCGACGGGUCCAUGGACGAGAACAGCCCACAGGUCUUUACUGUGCACACUAUCAAGGCGACUUGUGAGGCCCAGGUUUUGCGUGACAUGGAAGUUGGGGGCGGGGUCCGUGACUAUGGUUGAUGAUGGAUCUUGAAGGCGGGGCGGGCGGAAUGAAGUGUAGUGGAAAUGGAAUGGAGAACACCCUUGACCCUUGGCAUGCGAAGUUGUGUGCCCGUUCCCGUCAAGAUUCCCAGUCCACGGUGGGGCUGGCAGGGCAUGCGUAGCGUCAUGACAAGUAGUGCGGCUGUUGACAACUGUGCUGCGUCUGGCUGCGGUUCGCUCUGCUGAUCGCGAUCGCUAGGCACCUCGUUUGGCAAUGUGCCUGUGGAAACUGACCCCGGCUAUGUCCGGAUGAGGUUGUUCGGCCUCAGACUGUGGAGGUGCUCAGCCCCUUUUCCCGUGACCGGUGAACACUUGUCUUGUUUGGGCGGUUUUGCCGCGGCCUUCCUCCCGAGGAGUCGACACGCGUGGCGUGCCGACGGGUGCAGCCCGCGGGAAGUCGCACACGUUCGCUACGGUGCACCCAAUAUAUAUGCCUUAUUGCGACCAUACUUCACAGCGAGUAUUUUAUGGGAGGCGAAACACAUCCAGUUUGCUCUGACGCUCUGUACACAUCCGCAGCGUGGCAGUCGCAUGCAGUUGCCUAGCCUGGUCCUAUACAGCUUUAGCUAUAGGCAUGCAGGGCGGUAUAGACUCCACAGCCGCAUCAGCUUAAAGAGUCCACUUCCCUCGGGCUUGCGUCCCCAACUUCUGAAGCACCGCCUUCGUGUUUAGACCUGAAAUUGAAACGGAUGGAAACAUUUGAUAAUCACAGACAUCUUAAGUAGCGUAGUUGGCGGACUGUGCAAACAGACGACCGAGAGCGCUUGAGCCUCGAGCCUUGCGUACUGUUUUGCUCCUUGAUUUUCUUCUAACUACAAGCGGCCUGCUGCUCAGGCCGCUGCGGCGGCAGGCCGGUUCUGCUAGGCGCAAAGUCUAAGCGAGAAUGGCCGCACCAGCUAUGUUGCCCGGCCAGGCGGUUAAGACGCCUGGUAGUAUCUGGGCUAAGGCGAUUGAGCACGCAAACGAGGAGCGGAAAAAGCCUGGUACGCGGACUUUGUACUCGCACAUGUCGGCCUUGUUUGCAGGCCAAGGCAGGAGCAACAUGCUGAUGUUUGGGCAGCAUCAUUAGCCUUGCACCCUUGCAUGGGCUCUGUUUAAGCCGUGUCUGCUGUAUGGCUGUGUCUGCAGGCGCCGAUGGACGCGGAGAUGCAUUCUGCUACUUCGUGGGCUCGCGAGCGGCCGGCAAGAGCACGUUGCUCAAUCGCUUCUUGUAUCCCACGAGGGUGAGGGGCUGCGGGCUAGACUUAGGCUAGCUACGCGCUGCUGAGCAGGUUUGGGCACACAGGGCUGACGCGCCCCCGCUGCGACACACGUUCCCGCGUUGGCCAGCCCCGUGCACUCCCAGCACACCGCACAAGGAGUAGCAGGUUUGGGAAUUACCAUGGUGUCGCACCUUGCAACGGGCUCUGCUGCUUCUUGCCCACAGGCGGAGGUACCAAAGCCGUCGGAGGGCAUUGAGUACACGUACGCGCGCAAACCCGCCGCCUUCGACCAUGAAAAGAAGGACCUUGCUCACAUUUGGGAGGUUGGAGGCAGCCAGGAGUUUGCGGAGGAGAUCGUGAACUCGGACCAACUGUUCCUCACGGCUAAGCAGGUACGGCCGGACACAGCUUGUGCUGUGGGUUGGGGACAGGGUGGAUGAGCCGCCGCUGUGGUUUCGCGGUGGGGUUGGGCACGGUUUGGGCAAGGGUGGCCAGUGUGGUGACGUUCCGCCGGUAAGAGUUGUGUUAUGGUAGUGUGUGUUGCUAGAGCAAGCAGCUGCAUGGUAUGCUGUUCAGCCAACUUGUAUUGAAGGCCAGAUGCGCAAUAGCCAGUAGUAGGGCUUGCCAAGCCCGUUGUAAUAUGGCCUACCCACUGUACAGCUGAGCUAUUUGCUGCUUUGCUCGCCAAGCUUGGUUUACCCUGACCUCCGCCCUUUGCCCUGGCAACUCAACCAGGUGACGACCGCGGUGGUGGUGAUCGUGGUGGACUUGUCGGACCCCGCCGGCGUGUUGCCAACACUGCUGUACUGGGUGGAGCAGGUGCGGCGGUGCCUGGGCUGGUGGCAGAAACUGCCUAGAAGAGAAAGGGCUGACACCUGGGCUGGCACCUGGGUGUGGGUCGGGCGGCAGGCUGGUCCUUACUGCUGCAAACGGCAUAUGGCAAGGGAGAUUGCUCCAAAUUGGAUCGAUCUCGAGGGCAUCGCUGGCGUAUGGGUGGACGCCAUGCAGUGGUGACGACGGGGAUGUGGGCAAGGUGGAAGCGGUGUGGAUGGGUUGCGACCCCUCCGAUACUACAUACAACUGCACUUCAACGCGCGCGCACGCAUGUCACAGGUGAAGAAGAAGCUGGGCUCGACGUAUGAGAAGUUUGAGAAGAAGGGGCUGCAGCUGCCAGAGCAGCUGCGGCAGCGCGCCAAGUCCAAGCUGUACAGCGCCAACGAGGACAAGGACACUGUGUACCACAGGUGCGGUGCUUAAGGAGGCCCAGACCUAGAGGGCUGGCCACUGGGGGCUGGCUGGCAGCCUCGCCCGUCGCUCGGUCAUCGCGGGUUAGCCAAUGCCUAGCAAUUGUGCGCUGUGUUUCUGGCCUCCAUGCCCUGCCAUGCCCUGUCUGACGAUGUUGUCGGUGCCCCCUCUCUCCUGACGUGCCUCCCACGCAGCGGCAUCUCGCUGGUGAUCGCGGCGACCAAGUACGACGCCUUCAAGAACCAGGACCCAGAGGUCAAGAAGGUCAUGUCCAGGUGUGUGUGUGUGUAUGUGUGUGUAUAUGUGUGUGUAUAUGUGUGUGUGUCGGGAAAGGAGGGAGGAGAGGUAGGGGGCACUUUACUCCAGGGAGGUGUAGCAUGACGCAACGCAAAACGGGGAAGGGGCUGCAGGUGUCCCAGGCGGCGGAGGUUGGUUGCAGGGUAGGUGGCGCUGGACUCUGGCGCCAGGCAGUUCGGCGGUUUGCGUCAACGGCUUGCAUGUACACAUGCGUGCAGCACAUCAUGCUACGCCCCCUGACCGUGUGCAUGCGUGCAUGCGCGCCUGCCUGUCGUGCAGGGUGCUGCGCUACAUCGCGCACGCGCACGGCGCCUUCCUGUGCUACCUGUCGGGGCUGCACGGCGCCAGCGAGGGCAGCGGCGCGGAGGACGCGGCGCUGCUGGACAACUUCACGCGCCUCAUGAACCACCUCAUCUUCACCGGCCUCGAGAAGAAGCCGUGAGUGGUGUGUUACAGACCGGGGAGGGCAGGCAGGCGUUCUUCUGAGAAAGGAGGCUUGCAGCUCAUAAAGCAGGACAGGACCUACCAAUUUAGGGUUGCCUUCGCACAGACGAAAGCCUUGGCUCCAUACUCCAGCUUACACGCUCCUGGUCUUGCAAAUGUUUGCCGCUGCAGGGUGCUGAAGAUGCAGCCGCAGAUAGACCACACCGGGCCCAUCAUGGUGCCGGCAGGCUUCGACACCUUCAAAUCCGUGGGGCGGCCGCGCAGCCAGGGCGAGGGCACGGUGGCGGGCGGUCUGGCGGAGUGGCGCGAGCUGUUCGAGAAGAUGUUCCCGGGUGAGUUGUGGGCCGGAGCCCGACUGCCCGUUUACCGAUGACUAUGCACCACUGCUUCGCAAUCAGGGUAUUGCUUCAGCCUUCAGGGCGCUAGGUUCUGGCUGCUGACCCGCACCGUGGUGUGCUUGUGCCCCACAUAGGCGUGCGCGAGAAGGAGGCCAAGAUGUCGGCCAAGGGUGCCAAGUUUGUCAUCCCGGAGCAGUACAAGGAGGAGGGUGAGUGCUGCCAAUGUAGCCGUGGUCGUGGCCUGUAAAGCGCUUUCUGUUGUGGGACCCGUGGCGCUUCAGGUCGAGGGGCCUUUGAAUUUGCUUCCACAUGCCAGCAGCGGCAUGGCCGCCGGCACGGCACAGAGUUGCAGGCCAACUGCUCUUGCGGUUUCGAAUCAUGUUGUUGAUCUCCCUGUCGGCCCCUACACAUUACCCACUCACAGAGGUGGACGCGGUGCGGCAGCGGAAGGUGACGGACCUGGAGAACUUCCGCAAGGAGCAGGUGCGUGGCUGGGCCAGCAAUCCCGCAUGCUUCACCUUUUGCUGAGUGGAGCUUGCGUUGUCCGCGCCUCACGCGCUUGUCUGUGCGCGCGAGUGACCUAUCGAAUAUUCGAAUGUGGGCAUCCUGAAACAUGUACCGUUAUCUUGAUGCGUACCUUAUUAAUGUCCCGCCUCACCACUAAGAUUGCGCCUCCAUCUCUCCCUUUGUACCUGGGCCCUGCAGGCCGCCGCGGUGGAGGCCGCGAAGAAGAAGGCGCUGAUGGCAAAGGCGCAACAGGCCGAGGCCGCUGCCAAGAAAAAGGCCGGCGCGCCGGCGGCCGGCGCAAAGGCGCCCGCCAAGGCCAGCCCUAACGGCACGCCGCCGCGUCGGCCCUCCAAUGCCGGAAACCAGUGAGCGGCAGGCUAAGGGCGUUUGGAGCUGCACUCAGCAGGAGGCGGUGCCGCUGUGAUGAGCGAGCAGCUGGGGUCGGUAGCGCAAGCGCGAUGGAGAAUGGAAUGGGGUCGGGUACGUCAAGGCCGGAAGUUGACGCUGUCUGCGGCAGCCGCAGGGGCGCGUUACGCUUUCGUGUGAAGGAACGGUGGUGGGAUGUGUUCGAUGGCUCCAGUUGCGUCUCAGGACACGGCCGAAACGGCCAAGCGUGCACAGCGUGGAGCGUGUGUAGUGCAUGUACAUAAUCAGUACAAGACGACGAUGGUAUGUAAGGUGACGGUCAUGGUAGUUGCUUGCAGUGCCAAGCCAGGAACUGACAGGAUACGGUUCGGAAGGGCGCGUGUUAGUGCGAAGGCGUGUGGACCUUGCCGCAAGGGCAAGGCGCUGCCGGGCCUGGCAAUACCGUAUAGCGCGCAGCUAUCGCAGACGGAUAUGCAGAGAGCGCGUCAUGGGAUCAUGCGUGUAAAGUGAAUGUGAGCUUGCAACAGGGCUGCCUGCAAGCUCCUGGAGCAGGCCAAGGCCCCGCAGUUGACAUGUUUUGGACCUGUGCGGGCAUCCCGCAUGUAACAUCCCGUGUGCACCUCACCGCGCACCUUUGCUGCGACAGCCACCUGAGCUUCCAUCAAGCACCAGCGAUCCGCCUGUCAUACAUGGAGCAGCUUCCUGCCCAGAAGUCCGGAACCUGCACGAGAACGUGUACGCGGGACCCACACGGCCUCGCGGGAGAUAGCAAGCCCUGUCGCAUGUCGUGCGGGGCCGCGUCCGGUCCUCGACUCGCACACCCCGCGACUUACCCACAUAGGCUAUGUAGUAUUAUAUAUUCACCCAUUUCCUGAUACUUACUUACUGAUUGACUCGUGGCGUUUGCUAUGAGGGACCACUGCAGCAACCAGCCUUUGCCGACACUAUGAUGUCUAGUUCGACGUACGUAUAUACGUAGUCAAGGCACCACUACUGUGCUGUUAGCAGCGCCAGGAGGUAGCUUGUUGACAGUCGGAGCGCUUGACAAACAACGGAGGCGAUGCGAGUUGGCUCUUCAGCUUUAGACUUUGCAGUGCAAGGUACUGCAACAAGAAUGCGGGAGCAAAGGGAUGCCGAGAGGAGCCCUGUGCAGAAAUGUCCGGUCGCCGCUUCUGCCUUCUGGGGGUUGACUCUGUCCAACGUUACGCACACACAACGAAAAAUACACAGGCUCGCGCGCUGGCGUCGCAUCUGGUCGCGACGACCGUGGCGGACUGCGCAGCGACCGGUGCGUGUUUCCAUCCAUGGCUUCCCACGCACUCCACCCGACGGGCUGUGACACCUGCCGUCAACACCGCCGCGCAAACACCCUGCUCACGUUACUCCUCCGCGCCUCUCUCCUCGGCCACAAUGCGCAGGGUUGUCGGUAGCCCGUACCUGCAGGUAUCCAAUGGCAGCAACGAGCUCAUCGGCGGCCGCCGACCUGCUUCGACGGCCUCCCCGGGCGGCGGCGGGUUGCAGGCGGUUCUCGGGGGCAGCGGCAGCGGAGCGCCGCUCCUAGGUGGUGGCGGGAGAGCGACCGCCGCGAGCGCUUCGGCAGCCGUACAGGAGGCACACCAACGCCUGGAGCGGUUGCUGGGGCCGCAGGUGCGCCUUUUCGGGCCUGCACGGGGGCGGCGGUUGUCCUAAGAAGCGGUUGCUUCGGCUUCCUUUGUAUCGCAGUCAGCUUGGGCGUCAUUCGUGCCGAUUGAAGUCCGGCUGUGGCAGCAAUGCCCAGCAACGCUCCUUUCCAUGGCCUGAGCGCUUGGCCUUUUUCGCACAUUGCAUGGUUGCAGGGCGCAGCUGCAGCGAGCGGUGUGAAGCGACCCAUCAGCGCGCCGCUCACGGCAGCCGGCGCCACUCCGGGCGCUGGAGUCCUCGCCGGCGGCGGCAGCGCUACCCCCCUGGGCUCCCGUCCCGCCUCUGCCAACCUGCUGUACUCCUCCAAAGGAUACAGCGGCGUCGGCGGUACCGCCGCAGGCGGCGCAGGCGCGGGCGGCGGCAUGGGGCCCACAUUCACGCCACUAGCGCCGCCCGGACAGCCGCCCAGUCAGCACCGGCCACUGGGCCGCAGCCUUUCCGCCUCAUCGGAGGCAGGCGGCGGCGGCGGCGGCGGUCUGCUGGCAGCCAUGGGUGCCGGCGGGCUGGGCGCAAGGGCCGGCCUGGGCCUGGGCGGUGGCGCCAGCGGCUCGGGGCGAGGCGGGUCUGUGAGCAGCAGCGGCGGGGUGCCCGGUGGGGGUGGCAAGACGCGGCCGCUGUCACCGUCGCUGAACCGGGGCAGCAACGGCACCGGCGCCGGCACUGCUGCUGUCGGUGCUGGUGCCGGGUUAGGCGGGUCGGGAAGCGGCAGGAGCAGCGGGACGGCACUGAGCAAAAGCGCGAUGGACGCAGGGCGGCUGCUCGGAGGCAUGCUGGAUGGCUCCAGCGGCGGUGGUGGCGGGCCGCUGACCUCGCCUACAGGCGGCAGCGGCGGGGGUGGGAAAAGGAGUAUGGGCACCAGCGGGAUCAGCGGCGGCAGCGGCGGCGGCUCAGUGCCGCUGACUCCCGGGUCACCCACGGCAGCUGGCAAGCAGCUGCAGCGCAGGCUGAGCGGCGGUGAGCGCGGCGGCCGGAGCAUCCUGUCCGCCAGUGCUGAUGCCGCGGGCGCUGUGGGGCAUACGGCCACUCCUGUCGGCGGCGGCGGAGGGCUGGCUAGUGGGCUGGGUGGUGGUAGCAGUAGUGCCAACUCAAGAAGCGCAGGGUAUGUAGGGGGUGCGGAUGGCCCAAGCAGCCCAGAGCCCGCACACGGCGGACGCACGCCGCGUGGCAGCUCCAGCCGCAGCGCCACAGGCAGCGGUGCCGCCGGUGGCGGCAGCAGCAAGGCGGCGUCCGGGAGCAGCGGCUCGGCAGGGCCGGCUGCCACAGCUACCCCUGCGGCUAGUGGCGGCGUCACGCCUCGAGGGAGCUCCGGAAGCAGGACUGCGGCGGGCGGCAGCACCGGCGGCGGAAGCGGCACCUCGGCGGCUGGCACGGGCGGGAGCGGGGGCGGCACGCGGCCGUCCAGCGCGGGCAGGACCAGGGCGUCAAGUGCCAGCGCGACAGAUGCCGCCGGCGCCAGCACGUCAGGGACAGCGGCGCCGGCCACUGGCAGCAGCGGUGGCAGCAGCAGCAGGCGGCUCUCGGGAGAAGGCCUGCGCUCCAGCGGUGGCGGGGUCGGUGCCAGCGGCACUGGCGGCAGCGGCUCCGGCGGCAGUGUUGCUGGGGCUGCUGGCGCUGCAGUUGGCCGGCCCUCGUCUGCAGAGCGCAGGCGCCGAAGCUCCAGCAACAGCGACACUGGCAGCGCUGGUGGAGCCUCGAUUCUCGGCUCCGGCCCCGCCGCGGCCUCGGCUGGCAGCGCCUCCGCAGCAGCGCCGUCCGCGAGCGGUGCUCCCCUCCAGUCGCUGUCGCUGUCCGCCGCCGCGGCAGCGGUGCAGGGGGCGGGCAGUAGCCUUAGCAGUAGCGGUAGCGGCGGUGCGGGGCAAGGAGGAGCGGGUUCAGGGGCUGGUGGCCACCACCCGGGGCUUUUCGGCGGCUCCUCCCUCACCCGCAUCAAGCCGCCCUCAAUCGACCUGUCGGUGCUAAGCUCGGCAAGUGCCGACGACACCACGCCCAACUUGAUCCGGCCCGCCGUGCCCGGCGGCCUCAUGCCGGUCCGGUCAUCACGCACCGCCUUAACAUCCUCCGCCAACUCCGCCGCUACAGCUGCUGCAGCUGCUGGCGGCAGCUCCGCCUCCGUUGGCCGCGCCGGCAGCGGUGCGGGGCCAGCUGGCGCGGCGGGCGGGACCACGGGGGGCGCGCUGCCGGCCUCUGGCGCGGGCGAUGGCGGCGGCACCUACCGCGCGCUGACCGCAGCCCUGGAGGCGGCGGGGCCGUCCCUGACUGCAGCGCACGGCGGAUUGCAUCAGCUCCACCACACCGCUGCCGCCGCCGCGACCCACACGUCCUACAGCUUCGCUGGCGGCCUGGGUCCGGGCAGUGCAGGCAGCACGCCGCGCUCGCCGGGCGGCGGCGCGCCCCGCUCGCCGGGGGGCAGCGGCACCUUCACGCCGCCCGAGCGGGGCGGCACGCCGCCGCCGCUGCUGCCGACGCGCUCGCCCCUGCAGUCCCCCCGCAGCGUGCUGGGUAUGCCGCGUCGCAUGCGCGGCUUCAGCGGCAGCGGGCUGGGUGGCAGCUGCGGAAGCUUCGGCGGUCUGCCGGCGCACUGCCGCUGGCCGCGCAACGCGCCGCUGCCCGAGCCCGGGCCGGCGGCGCGCAUGCCCGAGUCGGCUGUGGUGAUGCACGACCUGGCGGUGGCGGGGCACGAGCUGCUAGGCCUGUUUGGGGGUGGCGGCGCCGGGUUCGUGGAGGGGCUGCGGGAGCGGUACGUGGAGGCAUACCGGGCCAGCCGGCGGGCGGCGGUGGCGGCCAAGGAGGCGGCGAGUGACCGGUAGCGGGAGGGAUGGGAUGGAGUUACGAGGCAGUGGGAGGUGGUGUGCAAAUUGGACAAAUUCAAGGAAGCGAGGCGUAGAGUGCACGGUGUGCCCGAAGGACUGAGCAAGUGAGAGCUUGAGAGAAGGCCUGUACCAAGGCCGUGAAGCUGUAGCACUGUUGCGUCCCACACUGUGAAUCCGUGCCAAUACGGAUUCACAAGCAGUGAACCCCGCGUGCUGUGCAAUCUGGUGGCACUUGCCUGACCAGGGCUGCAACCAGACGUCAACUUGGGUGUGGACCAGCCGCCUGAACAUGUCCAAAAUUUGACGGUUUGCGAUUACACCGGAUCGCAGUUCAACCUCUGUGGUGCCACACGCGCGUACGCCGAGUGCAGUUCAGCAACGCUGUCCUGCACUGCACUAUAGUCGCUACCUGAACGCCGAGUCACCAACAUACUGUACUGCGCCUAGUCCAUUACACUAUCGGUCACCUUCCUACCGCUACUUGGGCUCUACAGCAUCUACUCGUGCUACUGUUGUUACUCACCCUGCGCCUGCACGCGCUUAGGUCACUAGACUCACUACUAGAUAGUCAUCGACGGGUUCUAUGUUGCAAUGUGCCGCCCACAGCAGGCCGCGCGACUAUGUACUCCUUGAAGGGCUGAGGGUCACACGGAUUAGGGUGCGUCUCAUGCAGGCUACGCCAUUGCUUCAAUACACUCGCACGCGCAGUGUACAGAACUUCUCAGCACUAGCGAUUCCGCUGCCUCCCUUGCCUAAUUUCCCAUACCGUUCACAGGGUAGGGGCACCGCACUGGGGUAGGGGGCAACCCGAACACACAUGGCUGGUCUGGAUGUCGCUUGCGCGCCAAGCCCCCCGCCUGGCCUCAUCAUACAAUCACACUUUUGUAAUCCGGGCCGUGUUAGUAAGCACCGGUAUCGUAGCCGUACGAACCGCGCGCGCCGCCCUGGCUGGUCUCACUCAUUUCGCUCGCGUCCUCCGUCGUCAGCGCGCUCCCGCCCGUUGAGACGGCGCGGUGUGGCAUCAGCACCGCGCCUGCUGACCCGCCGUCAGUGCCACUCCCUGGUGCGCCGCCCUGGUGCUGCAAUGGCGCUGCCUCGGCCGCGGAAGGGCCGCCGCCCCCGCCUGCCAAGCGGAGGGCGGCGCCCAUUGCUGCUGCCCAGCCCUCGCUAGCUGGGGGCGCUGUAGCCUGGGGCCACGCUGGAGGCAGGUUCGGGUAAUGCUGCAACUGCUGAUGCUGUUGGUGCUGCUGGCGCAGAGAGCCGCCAGCAUUCAGAUCGCCGCUGCCGUAAAUACGGCUGUGGCCGUAGCCACCUGGGGGCCCAUUGCCGGCGCCGUACCCGGCGCCGUUGCCGUACGCGCUGCCGCCGCCGCCGCCGCCGCCACCCGCCAGCAGCACACCGAGCUCCAGCCCCAGUUGCGCGGCCCGAGGCACGGCAGCAGCAGCUGAGCCCGUGGCCGCAUACUGCCCCGAACCAUCGGCCGUCACCAAUCCCAGCGCACCCAGUGCCUGCUGCUGAGCCCGCGGGCGGCCGUAGCCACUCAUCACAUUUGCAGACCCAUCGCCCCAGGCGGCGCUGCUGGCGCCCGCUACGCCUGAAGCGGUUGACGCAGCUGCCGCCGCGGCCGAAUGAGCUCUCAAAUGCAACUGCUGCAGAAUGUCUGCAUGCGCCUGCUGGUACUGGUACUGCAGGGUUGCUGCUGGGCGCGCCUGAUGGUAAGGGUCCUCGUAUGCCCCGGCACGCAGUGUAGCUAUGGCCGCGACCGCAGCUGUCGCGGAGGUUGUUUGCUGGUGCUGAUGCUGCAGAUGCUGCAGCUGUUGACGCGGCUGGGACUGGUUGCUACCGAGCAGCAGGUCCCAGGCUGCCCCGCCACGCCCGGCAGCCCCCCAGCCCUGGUGCCCAGCUAUCGCCUGCUGUUGCUGCUUGGAUUGGUGUAUCAGGUGUUGCUGCUGGGGCGGCUGCGACAGCAGAUGAUGCUGUUGCGUGCGCCACGCCGUGCCGGCGUUAAUGUCAUACGUGCCGGCGGCGCCGGCACCGACCGCCGGCCCAGAAAGGCCAGCGGCGCCAGUUGCACUGCCGCCAAACACCGCGCCACCAAUGCCUGCGGGGCCGAGGGCGGCUCGCACGGGUCCCAGACGGUCAGCCACCAGCCCCGCCCCCGCAUUGCUCUCCUCCUGCUCCUGCUUGACCAGCUGCUGCUGCAGCGGCUGCUGCUGCUGCUGUCCGCUACCGCCUGCGCCGCCUGCGGCGCCUGCUGCACCAGCCAGUCCUGCUCCUGCGGCGCCACUAGUUGCCAGCUCGGCGGCCUCGUACGGCGCGCCACCGCUCAGCCGCGGCUUGGUCGCUGAGGGCUGCGACGAGUAGCAGAACCCAAACAGGUCCAGGCCCUCGCUAAGGCGCGGGUUGAGCAGCUCGUUCCAGUCCACGCUGGCCUGUCGCGCCAGGCGGCACGAGGCCAACAGCCCGCCCGGUGUGGCAGAGCCCAGGCCUGCGCGGUGCAUGCACAGGUGCGUGGAAGGGUUGCAUAGUCGGGGUAAGUGGGACAUGGUGAGACUUACUUGACACAGGUGCUGCUGGCUGGGGCGAGCACAAGCAUAGACAGCAGUUGCAGCAGGCAGCAUGCAUGGUAGUGGCACACACACACACACACACACACACACACACACACACACACACACACACACACACACACACACACACGGCCAGGUAGAUGGGCGUAACAGGUGCUUCGGGUAAGUAUGGUCUCGGCUCGGCAGGUCGGUCGGCUGCGGUAACUGGUAAGUAUACUCUGAAGGUAAUCCGCGGCCGUAAUUCUGCAUCGCAUACACUGUCCUACGCGUAAUGUUUUCCUUGUGCUCUUUAACACACGGCCAGCAGGUCGCAUGCCAUCGCGUUUUGCCCCACCUGCGAGGCGCAGGAUGGAGUUUUGAAGGCUCCUGGCACUGCCGAAGCCGAGCGCAUCCGCCAGGCUGCCGUCCUCCCACGCCGCUUCCGCCUCCUCUAGGCCGGGAGGCAGCAUGCCGCCGCUGAAUACCGUGCCAAGCGCCCCGCGCAGGCGAGGGGCAGGCGUUACGGAGCCUGGCCCAGCACCACCACUCGGACCGCUGUGGCGGCCGCCGCUGCCGCCCGGUGCCGCGGCCGCGCCAGCGGCGGCAUUCAUGUUGCCUUCAGGUGGAGUGGAAUUCUUCUGGCGGGCACCAACCACCCCCGUGGGGGCGGCGCCGGCACCUGCUGCCGCCUGCUGUCCAGCAUCCCUGCUAAGCCCCGGCUCCGAUGCAAGCGAGCCAAAGGCGCUGACUACGUUGGACUGGCCCGUGUUGAGCUCCGCCUCGCCCGCCGCAGCCUCCUGCUGUGCAGCACCGGUGGCACCACCCCCAGCCUCAGCGCCGCCGCCGCCGGGAGUGCCCGUGUAGUGCCUGCCUUCCGCCGCCUGCUGACGGGCAUCGGUAGCUGCCAUGCCAACAGCGGCGCCGGUGCCCACCUCAUCAAGCGCAGUCACCUCGCCAAAGCUGAAGCGCACCACGCGCUGCUUUCGGACAGCACGCGGCCCGACCUGCUCAUCCAAGCCGCCAGCAUCCCCCGCCGCACCCCUGCCGCCAGCAUGAUCCAGUGCCGCGCUUCCAUCAUUGGAGCCUGCACGUUUGCGCAAGCUGCCACCAGCGGGCAGCAGGCCCGUGGCAAGCAUGGACUGCUGCUGAAGCCGCGCUGGUGGCGGUGGCAUGCUCUGCUGCAGCAGGGACGCCGGCGACAUGCCGGCCGCAGCCGCCGCGCCAUCGCGAGGGCUAGCCCUCAAGCCGCCAGCGCCUCCGCCGUUCCUGCUCAUGACCAUGUCAUAGAGCAGGUCGUCGUUGCUGCUGGGCGCCCUGCUGCGCACCAUCCGCAGCAGGAAGUGGUGGUCAUGCGACUGCUCCUGCGGCGGGUGCUGCACGCGGCGCUGCUCCUCCAGCUGCUGCUGCUGUUGCUGGGAGUGCAGCAGGUGCUGCUGCAGCUGCAGGUUGUAGGCGGAUGAGUCCCGGCCGCUGGUGAACAGCGGCGGACUGCGGGCGGCGCCCAGCCCCACCAGCGAGCCCGUCACCGCGCCGCUGGUUCCUACGCCGCUGAUGCCGAAUCCAGCGCCGCCGUCUCCGACGCUGCGGCAGCCUUGGGGCCAGGCUGCCACGGCAUCGGCCGCUUCCGCUGCCGCCGCCAAGUUGCCGAUGUUGGCAAGGGAGCGGCGCCGGCGCCCCUGGCGCGGCCCCUUGUUGCCCUUUGCCGCGGACCCGCUGCUGCUGCCCGUACCAAAGUUCUCGCUGGCACCGUAGUGGUACGGGAAGGUGCCGUUACCAGCGGCUGACAAGCCACUGGGCCCGCCCGCGCCUGCCGCCCCAUCGGCAGACAUUGUGGAAGCACCCAGCAUUGCCUCAGCGCUGAAAAUUUUCUGCGCAGCCGCGGCCGCGUUGACCACAGCGGCGGCAGCAGCGGCAUCUGCAGCGUUUUGGGCGCCGUAGAGGAUGGCAGCGGCCACGCGUGCAGCUGUCUCGCGCGGGUCCGCACCCGCCACCGCCGUGAAGGGCAGUAGCGCUCCCGCGCCCGCAGCCAAGCCACCUCCAGGCCCGUCUGCCACCAGCCGCCCUGCGUCCUCAACACCCGCACUACGCCCAGGCAUGGGCAGUAGCAGGGGUGCUUGCGGCCCGGCAUCGCCGCCGCCUGGCAUUGCCGCUGCCGCCACUGCUGCGGCCGCCGCCGCCGAGGCCGCGAUUGCCUCCGCUGCCGCUGUCAUAAAGGCCCGCGCGUCGUUCGCGCUAGCAGCACUCAGGUGGCGCCGCCUCCGGGUGGCAGCGGCAGCGGCUGGCAGUGUCGCACUUCCGCCAGCCGCCGCCGCCAUGGCGGCGGUGGCCUUGGCGGAGGAGGGAUGCGCGCUGGCGUUGGAAGCGCGCUUGCUGGACUUAAGGGGCUGCAAUGGAGAGAAGAGUGGCGAGGACGCGCAGCUCUUCUUGCCGCGCAUGCGGGCGCUGCGGUAGGCGGGUUGCCCAGCCUCCAGGGUCCCGUGCUCGCCACCGCCGUCACAGCCCAGCCCGCCAGCCGACGCGGCACCGGGCUGUCCGCCGGCGGUUUCCACCACCAUGCCCUCCUGAUCAUGCCGCUGCUGGGGGUGUUGUUGUAACUGUUGCUGGGCGGGACGCGGGAGCGGAUUGGAGCCCUGCAGCUGCUGCUGCCAGGCGAUGGUCUUGCGGCGGUGGUGUAGCGUGUUCAAGUCCUUGCCGGCGCCCGGUGGCUCGGUGGUGCCUUGCCGCGACCCCUCCUCCCGCUGGUCUGAAGAACCUGCCACGGCCGAGUCCGGUAGAGACCUGUCAGCCGCCGCGGCAACUGGCACACCCGACGCCGCUGGCAGGCCUCCAGAUGCUGGUUGUGCACGUGGCGGCACCGGUACCGCCGCCUGCGCGACUGGCAGCGCGCCUGCUGCUGUGGACGCGGAAGGCACAGGCACGGAUGUGCGCCGCGGGCCGGUGUUUCCCGUGGCCGCACCCGAAGGUGGCAGCGGGGCCGCAGCCGGGCGACCUGCGGUGGUUCCCUUAGUUCCGUUGCAGACUGCACCUCCAGCCGCUAUCGCUGCUGUAGCCGCUGCUGCACCUGCUGUCACCGCUGCCGCCGCCACCGCCACCUUGGCCGCACCUGACCCAGAUGGCUUACGCCACGUCUGGGAGGCGGCUGCGGCGGCAGCACGCCGUGGCGGCCGGGCGCUGGGUGCCGCACUGCUGUCAGCCUCCGCCGCCGCUGCUGGCCCAGCGGAGCCAGCGCCAGUAUCGGCCGCGGCAGGAGCAGGAGCCGGGGCUACGGCCGCAGCCACCGUCUCAGAAAGCGGCGCCUUGGGCCCACAGCUGUGGUCUGGCACAACUGAACGUACCUUCGCCUGCGGCUGCACUUCGUGCCUGUCUUGCGGCACCUGGUGCUCCUCCGGGCCCUCCUCGUCGUCGUUAUACUCCUUCGGGCUUGAAUCAUCGCUAGACGUGUGCGUUGAGCCGGGGUGCUGAGCCCCGCCGUGUCGCCGCUGCCGGGCGGCGGCAGGCCGAGUGCGAGGAGCGGCAGCGCGGCGUGGUACUGCCUGGCCUGCCCCAGUGCGCAACUCCGACCGGCCUUCCGCCACCUCGGUGUCCCCGUGCUUGACGCGUAAAGCGCCUUCCUCGUGGCCCUCAGCGUCCGUGCCGGAGUCCUCAGCGCUGUUGUCCUCCUCAGCCUGAGGUGUGGCGUAAACAGCAGCGCACACCGGGCGGGGACAUGUGGGUUGGGUAGAUAGUUGCGGGAAAUCGAGGGCGGCCAGGAGUGACACAAGCACGCACCGAGCUGGCUAAAUCCCUGAAACAGACGCCAUAAACCGCGCCAGGCACGAGCACGCGCACCCAUGCACGCACGUUUCCAGCCCGACCCACAUCGUCAUCCUCAUCGUCCUCGUCGCUGCCGCUGGAGGAAUCACUGCUGACGGAGCCAUCGCUGCCUGAACCCAAGGAGCGCCGCUGGUGCCGCCGCCGCCGCGAUGCCCUGCGCUGCUGGCGGUAGCGCCGAAAGUAGGCCCGGAUGUUCGCUUUGGGCCUCACGCCCUCUACAAUAAUGGGUGCGUGAAGGGUGUCGAUUUAGUUUAGGCGAGAGAGGUGCGAAGGCUUUGUGUGCUGUGGGAGUCCCAGGAAAUGUCGACUGCAACAAACAACUGUUCGUCUGUGGAAGACGCAACUUGUGUGGACGCCUGUGUAUGCACUGUGCACGCAGAGGCAUCAGCAUACUUACUCGAAUGGCGCUUCGUCUCAAGAAAUGUCGGCCGGAGUGCGGGUUCCGGCCACACCGUCUCCGCAUUGUCGUCGAACCACCUGGGGAUCAGCGUGGGGUUGGCAGGGUUGAGAGAUGGCGCAUGUAGACACUCAGAGACGGCCGGACGGGCCAGUGGCGGGGACUGCGUCUGACCCAGAUCACGGACGGCACGCUGAUCCUUGGCUAGAGACUCCACACAUCCUCCUAGCUUUGUCCCCUUGAAUCACGCAGUCCGGGUGCACCGUACGUAGCCAGCAAAGGACCGCAGUCCCGGUAUGCUACUUUAAACCCCUGCCUCGCAGGCUGACGGCGUCCAGGCUUACUGCUUGAUGGUCGCAACUCUGGGCUUCUUGCCCGUUUCGUCAUAAUGCUGCCGCGCCCAGUCGUUGUACUGGUCCCAGAAGAAGGGAGGUCGCCGCUUGCUCUUCAUUGCCGCCUGCAAGCACAACAGCUGAAAAUUGCCAGAUGUCAACCAGUGCGCGCCAUAUACCUGCUGCUUGAGGAGGCUGCCGUCCAGCCCAGUCCACCUUACCUCCUGACUUCGCUAAGCGCCACGCCCAAGCUGGCGUAAGCAGGGGUGCUAAGCCGCGCGCGGUCGCCGAUGGUCUCCCGCCUGGACUCAGGAAUGCAUGCUGGGCCCACAGCCUUACAUGAUACGUAAUUUAACCACCAAUAUACAUGUAACGCUUGCAGCUGCGCUGCCCGAGGCAGUUUGGAUGGAAGGCCAAGGGUCGAGGUGCCUUUUGCUGGGAGGGCCUUUUGCGAUUAUGGUCAGCUCCAAUACGUGCGCUAUAUGUUGACUAUGUGUUUAAAGAUGUCCACAUCAAAAUUGGGCGCGGCCAAGUUCAAGGCCGGGCGAUCGAUCUUGGAACCCGGAAUCAUAGGCAAACAUUACAGCUGAGUACAACGCACUUAACUGAGCGUACAACUACAAUAUCUAGACUCGUAAAACUUACCGCUGGGCCGUUUGCACUUGACGUGGAUUAAAGUCUGAGCUUGUUGCGUUUGUCGCGGCGUAGAAUCGCCUGAGCGCUAUAACAUGGGCGCUGGUGGCGCUUCUACCACGGUAGCGAAUGGCGGGAUCAAGUUGGUAGGGCACAAGAAUUUUGUGCGCUAUAAUCCACAAUCCGACCGGUUUGCUAUUAAGAGGUUCCAUAGCUUCGAGUUCUGGUGCGCGGAUGCGACCAACACAUACAAGCGGUGGGUCGUGCGCACUCGACAAGGAUAAUAGUGCGCGUCGCCAAGCUCUGAUACAACAUUUGUACAUCUGCGCAUCUGUACCUGGCCAACAUCUGGCAAUAUCAAGCGGUUGGAUGCGCAUGUAUGUGAACGUGGUUUCUGCUUGCAUGUGUUGCAAUGGCCUGAGGUGUUCUGCGGUUGGCUGUUCGGCCAGCAGGGGGAGCUCAGUUCGCGCGGGUCUGGGUACGUGUGCCUACCUGUAGGGCAAGCACACGGCAUGGCAGGGGCGGGGUCGCCCGUAGAGUAGAGAUCAGGAUCAACCAGUCAUGUAGCACGUUGCUACAUGCGAUGUGUUAGUAGGCUCGGCAUAUGUGUUGAGGGCUGGGCCUGUAUGUAGCCUUGAUGUACACAUGUUAGUUACAGGACUUCGGUACGGUGUCGCCGGUACCGAUCCCUAGCGGUGGCAGCCUGACGCGUGAAGAAGCCCAGCCCUCACCACUUGUCCUACCUAACCCACAGGUUCUCUUAUGGCCUGGGCAUGCCGCUGGUCGCCAAGUCCGACCAGUCCACCAACAACCAGCUCUUUGCCUCCUACGUGCUGCGCUCCAACGACCUGGUCUUCACCUUCACCGCGCCCUACAGCCGCAAGUGCGCCUCGGUCAGCGAGGGCGUUCCGCUGCGUCACUACAACAUCGACCAUGCGUAUGAGUUCAUCAACUCGCACGGGCUGGCGGUGCGGGCAGUAGGUGCGUAGGAGGAUAUGGCCGUGGUUGCCGGGAGCGAUGCGAGCUUCCGAUCACAUCUAGACUGGCCCGCUGCACCCUGCCGUCGCCUUACUUCUUUUCCCCAGGCCUGCUGGUGGAUGACGCCAAGACGGCGUACGAGGUGUCUGUGGCGCACGGGGCCAAGGGCGUGCUGCCGCCGGUGGAGUUGCGGGAUGAGGCGAGCGGCACCAGCCAGGUCAUCUCGGAGGUCAUUGUUUACGGGGACGUCGUUUUCCGGUGCGUUCCAGUGCAAGAUGGUGCGCCCGCAUGUCGGGAACUGGGCUUGAGGGAUGACGGAUAUUUGAUGCGGGAGCGGGAUGAGGGUGAGGCUGCACUGCACGGUUGGUGUCCAAGCCUUACCUCAGUGCUGAACCCAACUACCCGCCUUACCCCCGCACCCCCACGCAGCUACGUGUCGGGCUCCUUCGAGGGCCCUUUCAUGGCCGGCUACACGCCAGUCACAGACUCGCCGGUCGCGUCGAUUGGGUUACAGCGCGUGGACCACGCGGUGAGUCCAGCAGGGGGGAGGCAGGGGCAGGUGAAAUGGUGAACGCCAUGCUCCAAGAGGUAUGGACCGCAGCGGCGGGUAACAGGUGCUAGGUAGGCUGUGCGCAAGUGGCUACCCCAUGUCUUCGGUUCCUUACUGCAGGUGGGCAACACACACGACCUGAUCAAGGCCGUGGAGUACAUCACCGGGUUCUGUGGUGGGUGAGGGAUAUGAAUUGAUGACAAAAAGAAGACUUUAAUUCAGUGUCAUCAUGGCGACACGUGCGCGCGUGGGUAUGCGUGGAGGGUGGCGGUGGUUGCGUGGCACAGCGCCCUCGCCGUGGCGCCGCCAUUGUCCCGGCCACUGGUCCUCAGCCCCCCUGAUCACCUCGCUCCUCCAACCUGCCCUCUGUCCCUUCCACCAGGCUUCCACGAGUUCUCAGAGUUUGUUGCGGAGGACGUGGGCACUGUGGACAGCGGCCUGAACAGCAUGGUGCGUGCGGCUGCUGGGUAUGGGGCGUGGCCCUGUGAGUGUGUGCGUCGGCUCACGAAGGAAUCUGCCCCAGCGCGGAAGCUGCUUAGUCAGCGGCUCCUAGGCUGCUGCCCACAAUCGCAUAAACGUGCAGGGUGCACCGGGGCUCGGGCCACGCCACAGUUGUACACAUGCUACAAUACGGGUGUGUCAACUCAAUCCACCCAGGUGCUUGCCAACAACGAGGAGACCAUAUUGAUGCCUGUGAACGAGCCCACCUUCGGCACGCCGCGCAAGAGCCAAAUCCAGACCUACCUGGAGCAGAACGAGGGGCCGGGGCUGCAGCACCUGGCGCUGCUCAGCAACGACAUCUUCACCACCCUGCGGUGAGUGGCCGGGUUCCGUAUUUCCAUGGCUUCAGCUGGCGCUGUGGGAACGCAUUGGCUGUAUCGGGCAGCCAUGGUGUGGUUGAAGGUUGCGAUAAAGUAACCGCGCGCUAACGACUACGCCUUACCCGCGCAUGCAGGGAGAUGCGCGCGCGCAGCGAGCUGGGUGGCUUCGAGUUCAUGCCGCGGGCAAAUGCGAAGUACUACAAAGACAUGUACGCCCGCAUCGGCGACUCGCUCACGCCGCAGCAGUACAGGUGGGUCGGCGGGCUAGGCCCGGCAAGAUGGCCAUCCAUCCACCGUCCGCGUGCAGGGACCGUUGCGGUUUGCUGGCCUGAGUCGUGAAGGCUUGGACAGUCUGGUAUGCCGUACACAAUGCCUGUGUUUUCACUUCUGCCCCGCACCGCAGGGAGGUGGAGGAGCUGGGCAUCCUGGUGGACAAGGACGACCAGGUGCGCACGUGCGCGUGUGGGCAUAUGGGCAUGUGUGGGCUCUUGUGUUGGAUUGUAUGCGACGGCAGGCUCGGCUUGGGGAGGCCUUGCCCGGCGGCACACCAAGGACCUAUCGCGGCUCACCAGGCAGUCUGGCCGCAGGCGGCUCACGCAGCGCAUGUGCCGCCCUUCGCCGCUUGUCCGCAGGGCGUGCUGCUGCAGAUCUUCACCAAGCCGCUGGGCGACCGGCCCACGGUGUUUAUUGAGAUCAUCCAGCGUGUGGGCUGCAUGCGGGAGGUGAAGGAGCCUGCUACGGGCGCUGUGGUGGGGACGGAGCAGGCGGCUGGCUGCGGCGGCUUCGGGAAAGGCAACUUCGGCGCCCUCUUCAAGUCCAUUGAGGACUAUGAGCGCACCCUAAAUGUGUAGAGCACGUCAGAGCUAGGCUAGCAGCAGAUAAGUAACGCAGGAGGUCACGAGAUAUGUGGUGGCGGUGCCAGGUGCACCGUACUCGAGUCAGGUAGAUUACAUGCUAGCAGAGCGAGGUAGCAUGCGCGCUCAGUAGGCUCAUGUCAGCCGCUGGAUUGCAAUGGAAUGCAACGGUGCGGCGCUACUGCGUACGCUCUUCAGUUGGUGGGGUGUGUGCGCAAUGUGCUUAGAGUGUGCACUGUGUGUGUAGCAAGUGAAUGGGUCCCGCGCACUAUGCUGAAGGUGCGUGGUGGUGGCGCCGCCGCAUUGGCCUAGAGCCACGCAAGCUUGUGGUGACCAGGCUGUGCAUAGCAGUUGCAGGUCCCAGGAGCACAUGGUCGUAAAAACAAAAAGGCCCUGUGUGGGGGGGCUGGCAGUGUAUGAAGGAGUGGCAAUGCGCCCAGAUGCUGCAGACAGGCAGUUGCUGCGCCUACUCAGCGCCGCCUAGGGGCUGACGCCUAGAGACGUCAUUUUGACAUCAGAUGACGUUAUGUGCGGAGCCCGCGGGCACUGCAGCACAGGGGGAUGCUGGUGCCCCUAAUCAGCGAUGCAUGAAAGGGGCGCGUCGGCGUGACAGACCAAAGCUGCGCGAGAGAACAAGAGACUCGCCGUUACACGACUGCUCUAGUCCGUCCAUUUGAAUUGUACAUGUCACAUGUGCCCACCCCAAGACCCAGUGCGCGGCGGCUUGAAUGCUUUAAUGUCAUCUGAAUACAUCUGCCCAGAGAGGCCCAAGGCGCCAACGUGCCCUGGGCACUACCAGGCCCCUGCGCAAGCAUGCCUGAGCAUGCCCAUGUGCAGCGGUUGGCACCCGAGCUGCGACUGGCGCUGCCAGGUAAAUCGCUCUUGACUUCAAUACGCGCAGGAUCAUGAUAUAUAAAAGCCAAUGCUCACAGAGCGAGUACGCUGGCUGAGGUUGGAAGUCGCGGGGUCACGCGGGGUCGCUAAUUUGGGGGGCACAAUUACGCUGAUGACGAGCUGCCGCUUCUCCCGUACCUUUAUUCGCCUACUUAUGCAUGCGUUCAGCGUGAUGCCUGAUGUGUAGACAGCUCCGGCACCCUUCGCCGACGUCAGAGCGGUGUCAGAGCGAUCGAGUGCAUCGAGUCUGGGGUGCGCAUUCGCUGCUGCUUUCAGCAUAAAAUACUGUCAUGCGAACUUGAUAUACACAACAUCAGCGCUAGCGCCGUUCGCCGUGUCUCCAGAACCCAGAAGGCCUUGUGACUGGUCACGCUCGCGCGACACGACUUACCGCUCCAUUUAUAGCCCAUACCAACUAUGGGAGCGGGUGGUGCAGGCACCGGAGAUCGGGAGGGGGGCAUUAAGCUCGUGGGCUACAAGAAUUUCGUGCGCCAGAACCCGCUUUCAGACAAAUUCACCGUCCACAAGUUUCAUCACAUCGAUUUCUGGUGCGGAGAUGCAACAAACACAUCGAAGCGGUAAGAGUUGCAAGGGGUGAGCGUUUUUCGGGCUGGUUCGGCUACGUGGAUGGAACGUUCGCUGGGCCACGCGGACUUCUGGUGUGGAACUGCCGUUGCAUACUCCUUGAGAGGAACAAACCAGCGCAUGAUGGCCCUCAAAAUGCAUGGCGGUGUUAACUUGUGUCUUGCGGGUUCGUGGGGACCGGGGCGCUGCGGGCGCGUGGCUGCGGUACCCAAACCUGGUCCUCAGGAACGACCGUGUACCUGGCACCUCCACCUUGAUGAUAGAGGCCUGCGAGUUCAAUCUAUGUGUUCAUGUCAUGCGGCGCAGGUUCUCCUACGGCCUGGGCAUGCCGCUGGUCGCCAAGUCCGACCAGUCCACCAACAACCAGCUCUUUGCCUCCUACGUGCUGCGCUCCAACGACCUGGUCUUCACCUUCACCGCGCCCUACAGCCGCAAGUGCGCCUCGGUCAGCGAGGGCGUUCCGCUGCGUCACUACAACAUCGACCAUGCGUAUGAGUUCAUCAACUCGCACGGGCUGGCGGUGCGGGCAGUAGGUGCGCAGGAGGAUAUGGCCGUGGUUGCCGGGAGCGAUGCGAGCUUCCGAUCACGUCUUGACUGGCCAGCUGCACCCUGCCGUCGCCUUACUUCUUUUCCCCAGGCCUGCUGGUGGAUGACGCCAAGACGGCGUACGAGGUGUCUGUGGCGCACGGGGCCAAGGGCGUGCUGCCGCCGGUGGAGCUGCGGGAUGAGGCGAGCGGCACCAGCCAGGUCAUCUCGGAGGUGCUGCUGUACGGCGAGGUCGUGCUGCGGUAAGGCGGGCUGUGGAGCGCGCAUUGAUUGAAGUGUAUUGCACACUAAACCCAGUUACGCAUGGCAUGGAUACAAACAGAUUACUAAAUGGGGAAACUGUAGAUGGCUGCACACGCGGCAACGGUGUACACCGGGGCUCGGGCCUGCGAUCAUGCGUGCGGUUGUACGGUUGGUAUCCGAGCCUGAAGUCAGUGCUGCACCCCGCCUUACCCCCGCACGCCCGCGCAGCUACGUGUCGGGCUCCUUCCAGGGCCCCUUCCUGGCCGGCUACACGCCCGUCACAGACUCGGCCGUGACCUCCUUCGGCCUGCAACGUCUGGACCACGCGGUGCGGCAGCCAGGGGGAAAGCAGGGCCUGGGGAAUCUGGGAGGUCCGGAGGGGGUUUGGAGGAUUGGUUACAAGGAGCUGGAAUGCGAUGUAAAAGGGGGGUGCUGCCUUGAUGCGCGGGCGCGUCUACUGCUAGGCAUCGUGAAGCUUCCUUCGCGCCUAGCUGUCCACAGCGGUGUGGGCUGUGGGUAAUACACCGUAGAUAACGCUUAGCGCUUCGUAUUUGUGCUAUAUUGUGUGCAGGUGGGCAACACCCAUGACCUGAUCAAGGCCGUGGAGUACAUCACCGGCUUCACAGGUGGGUACAGCACUCACCAAACACCAUAAUUAAUUGGCCACCACAUUGGCAAUUUGCACUGCCUCCUUCGUUUUCUUUCACCAGGUUUCCACGAGUUCUCAGAGUUUGUUGCGGAGGACGUGGGCACUGUGGACAGCGGCCUGAACAGCAUGGUGCGUGCGGCGGGGGUGAGACGCGGACUGGCCCUGAUUGGUACUUACGGGCUCCUUGGGGAUUUCGGGUUUACAAAGGAAUCCACCCCAGCGUAGAGGCUGCUUAUUUAGGGGACCCUAGGCUGCUGCCCACAAUCGCAGGUAUGCUAGGCCGCGCCAUACCCUCGGGCCACGCCACAGUUGUACCCACGUUGCGGUAAUGGUGUGUCGUUUCGAUGCGUCCAGGUGCUGGCCUCCAACAACGAGGCAGUGCUGCUGCCUGUGAACGAGCCCACCUUUGGCACGCCGCGCAAGAGCCAAAUCCAGACCUACCUGGAGCAGAACGAGGGGCCGGGGCUGCAGCACCUGGCGCUGCUCAGCAACGACAUCUUCACCACCCUGCGGUGAGUGGCCGGGUUCCGUAUUUCCAUGGCUUCAGCUGGCGCUGUGGGAACGCAUUGGCUGUAUCGGGCAGCCAUGGUGUGGUUGAAGGUUGCGAUAAAGUAACCGCGCGCUAACGACUACGCCUUACCCGCGCAUGCAGGGAGAUGCGCGCGCGCAGCGAGCUGGGUGGCUUCGAGUUCAUGCCACGGGCAAAUGCCAAGUACUACAAAGACAUGUACGCCCGCAUCGGCGACUCGCUCACGCCGCAGCAGUACAGGUGGGUCGGCGGGCUAGGCCCGGCAAGAUGGCCAUCCAUCCACCGUUCGCGUGUAGGGACUGUUGCGGUUUGCUGGCCUGAGUCGUGAAGGCUUGGACAGUCUGGUAUGCCGUACACAAUGCCUUUGGCCCCACUUCUGCCGCACUGCAGGGAGGUGGAGGAGCUGGGCAUCCUGGUGGACAAGGACGACCAGGUGCGCACGUGCGCGUGUGGGCAUAUGGGCAUGUGUGGGCUCUUGUGUUGGAUUGUAUGCGACGGCAGGCUCAGCUUGGGGAAGGUCACCCCUGUGGCUUAUCCUUGACUAUGGAUAACGCGGCAAGUCAGCAUGUUCGCCUCGGGCAAUGCUCACGCAGCGCAUGUGCCGCCCUUCGCCUCGUGUCCGCAGGGCGUGCUGCUGCAGAUCUUCACCAAGCCGCUGGGCGACCGGCCCACGGUGUUUAUUGAGAUCAUCCAGCGUGUGGGCUGCAUGCGGGAGGUGAAAGAGCCUGCUACGGGCGCUGUGGUGGGGACGGAGCAGGCGGCUGGCUGCGGCGGCUUCGGGAAAGGCAACUUCGGUGCCCUCUUCAAGUCCAUUGAGGACUAUGAGCGCACCUUAAAUGUUUAAGCUGAUUGUAACUGAAGUCACGGGAAUUAGAAUGCAGAUAGAAACAACCGGAAGGUGCAGAGAGCCAGCGGACUACCAGGACUUGCAAAUGACAGUGAUUCAAACAAAUGCAAUCACCCGGUAGUUGAAGUGUACCGCGUUCUUACUAGGCAAGGUGCGAAGAGGGCUGACGUGAUGCGCUGGUGUUCUGGUGUCAGGGUAUGAAGCUGUUGCGCACUGUUGCAUGAGCAGUUGCAGGCUGGUGUGUGCAAGGGGUUAAGAGGUUGUGAGUGUUUGCAGUUACAGAGGGUGCGCGCAGGCGGUGAGGGCAAGAACUAACCGGUACGUAAUGAUAGAUGCCAGCAGGAUUUGGGGAUGAGCAGGAGGGAUUUGCGAGUUGCCCAGGCAUCCUUAUGGAGUCAUGGUGUAUGCGCGGCAAGAUCGCUUGAGGCAGUGCAUGUUCCACGUAGCUAUCGCCUACCGGUAUUGCAUGUCACCAGGAGCAAACCACAGGUUGCUCAUGCCUAUAUCGGGUAAUCAGGGAUCCCUUGCAAGGCAAGGAAUACAGUUGUACCUCAUGGCCUGACGACCCUCCGUAUCUGGCUGCGGUGCGCGUUUGUGCUGGGCCCGCAACCCCGGUUGGGUUCCCAAAUCCGGCGGGCUCUGAUGAAGCGUUGCCGGCGGAGCGUCCCCUGGCCCUUAGGAUGGACACUACCUACACUACCUACAAGCCCGCCCCGGUGUGGUCCAACGCUCCACUCGCCAACAAAUUCUGCCAACCGCUCUGUACCGUGGGCAGGGCGAUGGGCGGUUGGCGUGUGGGUGGGGCUGCCGACUGCUUACCCUGCGACCAGCGCUCUAGCGCGCGGAACAAGGGCUGCGGGCCUGGGCUACGGAAUACCAUGCCACCGGUGCAUGCUGCUCUCGCCCGCUUGGCUAAUUGCGCGCACGAUUGGCGUUCGCAGUGCAGUUGAUUGUGUCCUGGCCCACGCGCGGGACAUCAGUUGGUCUUGCAGUUGAUUCAAAAGUAUGCUAAUUGCGAGAACACAGCCUACGCACACCAGUUAACCAGGAACUUCUGCAAAUAGACACAGCUCCGCAACUCAAUCUCACAGACCCAACUUGCGCUGGAGCCCGGCCCGCUUAGCCCGGAGCUGUGAUCAUGGUGCCCUGUAUGAGCUUCAUGUCAAGAUGGACAUAAUAGAGACACUGACAGGGCUCGGAGAGGCGGUGCGCUGCGGCCAACUGGAGCUUGGUUUGACGGACCCCCGACGCGGUUUAUCGACUUCCUACAUUGUAGUGCAUUAGCGCAAGUACAAACGGUCAAGGAUUUACCCUCAAGCGGGCCGCCUCGCGGGUGGGUUCGCGCUCGGUUUGAGGGCGGAGAACCGACGCUUCGCUCGCUAGUCAGGGUUCUGCGGCGUGGUAGCUGGAAUGGAUACUGGAGUUUUCAACCGUGUUAUGCUAGAGGGCUACGGGCGCUGUGACCAACUUAUAUUGCGCCCAAAUUGUUGCAGGGCUGGCCCUGCACGCGUGCACGCGUGAGCAGGCAGUAUGCCUGCUGACCCUGAUAGGGAUAUGGACGUAGAUAUGGAUGGCGAGCAGUGGGGCGGUGGCGAUGACAUCAAGAAGGGCGCCUGGACGCCGGAGGAGGACGCCCUGCUGACGAAACUCAUCGCCACCUAUGGCACAAAGAAUUGGAGUGUGGUGGCGGCUGGCAUCAAGGGGCGGUCUGGGAAAAGCUGCCGACUCCGGUGAGUCAAGUCGUCGCGGCCCGUCCCUUUUGUGAGCUCGAUUCAUCCGCGCAUUCCUUGCGGGAUCGUGCAUUGCAGAUGGCAUAAUCAGCUCAACCCGGAUGUUAAGAAGGAGCCGUUCUCGGAGUGGGAGGACGCUGUCAUCAUUUUGGUGAGCCGGCUCGUGGUUAGCCAAGGCUCUCGCGGUUACUCAGCCCGGAGCGAGUGGUCAUGCUGGAUGCGGGAGACAGCGGAGCGUCUGUCUGCGAGCGAGGGAUCGGCAUGCCGUGGCAGCAACUGUGCGUUUGCCGUCCGCUGGCGGUUAGUGCGUGCCAACAGGCACGGCACCUUGUCAACCGCUAAAACCGCCAACCAAGGCCAAACCAACUGCACAUCACCGCAGGCACACGAGGUACACGGCAACAAGUGGGCGGCGAUUGCGAAGCUGCUGAGCGGGCGAACGGACAACAGCGUUAAGAAGUGAGUGACGCUGUCGAGGGGCCGGACCGAGGCGGGCUAACUGCCACGGGUGGGGGGGUGCUGAAGGGCCGACUCGGGUACGACUAAACAGCACAGACACGGUUUAAUUGCCGCGCAUGUUCAGCGUGGGGGAACGGAAGCAGCGAUGGAAAUACAUGCCGUUGACAGCCUGGCUUGCUACAGCCCAGGUCGAUACUCGCCUCGUGAGUCGUCCCAGGUUGCGCAUCUGUCACUCCAACCGCCAUUCUUGGCACACGUGUCCCUUUCUGCUGUCUGCGCAUGCAGCCACUGGAACGCCACGCUGAAGCGCAAGGUAAGGCUGGACUGCAGGGGGGAGGGAGGCGUGGUGCUGGGGCGGGGCCAACUCAGGAGGGAGGCCUGCGGUUCCAAGAUGCAGUUGCGGCCACCACUCACCACUCGCCGGCCUCCUGCCAGCUCCUCCUCGACUCCGCCUACUGCCCUCCCAUCCCUUCCCCGCAACCGCGCACUACCCCUCCUGCUCGCUCAGCCGUAACCCGCGCCCACACCUGCACCCGAUGUUCCAGUUGCUCGCCCGCAUAGUCGCCAACCGCAACCCUCCGCAUCAUCCAUCCCCUCCCCCCCUGACCCAAACCCCUCUCCCUCCGUCUGUCCCCAAAGGUGAACACCAACACGCUGCGCAAUCGCUUUCUGAAGGAGCGGGUGGUGCUGCAGUGGCUGCUGGACCACCCAGAGCUGGACACCAGCCGGACCAAGGACGCGGUGAGGCCGGGAGGGGGCUGGGAGGCGAGGCCGGGAGGGAGCCUGAGGGCCCAGAGAGCAGGGGGACUCAGGAGGGGGGCACGGCUUUGGGGGAAAGGCCAGUGAGAAGAGCGGAAUGAGGAGGGUCUUAAAGUAGCCGGGCUCGAGCUUGAGCGCAAUGGAGCGCAGCGUGAAAUGGAGAUGUGAAAGCGGGUGCGUGACAGCCUAACCAGAUGGAAUGGACAGCCUAUGGGCUACAGCUGCGGUCCCGCCAAGCGCAAUAAAGUGACGCUCGCGCUACCCUUUGGCCGUGACCGGCUACCGAUCCCCGCGUGAUACACAGCAGCAGACCAAGGCGGAGAUUUCCAUCAACGGCAACUGGGCCGGCAAGGUGAGUUGGCUGGACUGAGCAAUGUCGGGUGGAUGGGUGGCUGAUUGGGAAGGGGGCGCUGCCGCGGAUCGAUUUUGAAGGCUGCCACACACUUUGCCGCUUGCAAAGCCGGCCUCCCUAAAACACUGGGCUGCGUGCCCCCUUCUUGCCUGUCCUGCACACAUAGGCCACGCGGCGCGCGCAGGCCACAAUCACCGCCGGCGGCAGCGGUCGCGGCAGGUCGCGACGGAACCGCUCGCGCUCCGCUGAGUCGGGCUCGGCCACCGAUGACGGCGACGACGACGCGUAUGUGGAUGACGGCGACGGCGACGACGGCGGCCCCGGCGGCGGCAGCGGCCCCGGCGGCGAGCAGCACGGCGCCAGCAUCAGCACGGGCGUCAGAGGUGUGAGCGUCGGUGCGGGUGCUGGCGAUCGUGACCGCGGGGACCGCGGCGACCGUGGGGAUCGUGGUAACGGUGGUGGCGGCGCGGGAACAGGCCCGAUCGACCCGACGGCGGCGCUUCAGCAGCUCAACAGCAACCUUGCGCUGAACGUCAACGCACUGGGAGGCGGCGGCGGCGGGCCACUGGGACCCCUGGGGCCCGUCGACUUGGGCCUUGGCCCGGGAGGCUUUGGGCUGGGCCCGGGAGGCCCACUUGGUAUGGGCGGCAGCCUGGGGCCGGCAGGCGGGCUUGGGCUCGGGCCAGGAGGCCUGGGAGGGCUAGGGCUGGGGGCUGGGCCCGGCGCUGGACCAGGCAGGCCGCUGGGCCGUACCAACAGCGCAGCAGCGGCGCUGGCGGCGGCGGCGGCGGCCGCUGGCGUGCUGCCGCCGCCGCUGGGAGCCAGCGGCGGCAGCCGACAGCUGCUGGACCUGCUGCCUGGCGGCGGCGCCGGCGGGCCGGUCGGCGGCGGGCCUCUUGGCGGUGGCGGCGCCGGCGGUCGCGGCGGCGGUGGUCGUGACCUGGACUACGGCAACGACCACCGCGGCCGCAAUGACAGCUACGACGGCAGUGGCCACAUGGACCUCGGGCCCGGCGGCGGCGGCGGCGGCGGCCCCUUCGGAGGCCCACGCAACGGCGGCAUGACGCAGCCGCAGCCGCCGGGCCGCGCGGGCGGCCCCGGCGGCAUGGGCCCCGGUGGCGGCGGUGGCGGCCCUUCCCGGCUGCCGCCUGGCCCGGACGUGGGCGGCGGUUCGGGCCUGGGUAUGCCGGGCGGUGUGUCGGACAUUGAGCUGUUCAGGUCACUGCCUGAGGCCACACGGCUGUGCCUCAUUGAGCUGGCGCGACUGGCAGGGCCGGCCACGCUGAGCAUCAUUGAGCGGGAGCGGCAGGAGCUGGCGGCUGGCGUCCUGGCCGGCGGGCUGGGCGGCAUGGGCGGCGGCGGGGGCGGCCAUGGGUCCUGGCAGCAGCAAGGCAUCGUGGGGCGAGGCGGUGUGGCGGCGAUGGAUGACUUCGGUGGCGGCCGGUCGCGAGAGCAGUCGUUGAGCGAUGGGCUGGACAUGGCCGGCCCGCGGGGCGGCAUGGGCGGCGGGCCUAUGGGAGGCAUGGGGCCAGGCAUGCACCACGGCGGCGGCGGCGGCGGCCACCGCGGCAGCGGCGGCGUCACAGGGCCGCAUGGCGGUAGCGGCAACGCUAACGGCUAUAACGGCAACGGCGGCGGGUACGGCUCCAACGGCAGCAUGCACAUGGCUGGCGGUGGCAGCGGCGGUCCCAAGGGAGGACCGUACAAUGACCCUUACGGCGACAUGGGCCGCGGCGGACGGGGCGGCGGCAGCGGCGGUGAUGGCUAUGGCGGCGGGGCUGGCGGCGGGGGCAUGCGAGGCAUGGGUGGCGGCGGCGGCGGCCCGGUCAGCCGGCGAAACAGCGGCAGCGGGUAUGGAGGCAUGGGUUUUAACGGGAGCGGCAAUGAUCCCAUGAUAAUGGGUGGGCCGCUUGGCGGCGGCGGCGCCGACGCGGCGGCCGUGCUACGACAGCUGGCGCAGCGCGGCGGCGGCGGGCCCGGGGGCGGCAUGGUCGGGCCAAUGGGUGGCGGCGGAGGCGGCAUGGGCAGCGUGCCCGGCGGUGGCCUUGACGGCUACGGCGGCGGCGGCGGUGGCCGUGGAAUGUUAGUCGGCGGUGGUGGCGGCGGCGGCUUGGGCCCUGGCGGGCUUGGGUCGCUGGGCGGCGGUGGUGGCCUGGGCGGCGUGCCCGUGUCCUCAGCGGAGCUGCGUAUGCUGCAGGUGGGUGUUGUGGGCGGCUGGAGGGCAAGGGAGAGCACAUGUGCAGCAUGGGGCGCGUGGAACGCGCGCGGCGGCGACUGGACGUCCACUUGCAUCGGCUUGCGGCUCCUUCCCUUGCCUAAGGCCCUUACGGGCCCUCGCUAGCUGCUGGAACGUAUUCAUGCUUGCUUGCUUCUUGCCUGCACGCGCAUUGCCCACAACUGCACUUCACCUUCAUACGUGUGUGACUCGUGUGUGCGUCACCUGACGUCUCACUCCCACGCGACAGGGCUUCAUGGGCGGCGGCGGGCGCAGCGGCCUGGCGGGUGUGCUGCAGAAGCAGUUGGCGGCAGCAGACCCAGGGCUGUACCGGGGACUGAGCGAGGAACUGGCCCACCUGCUCACCAGCGUGGACCCCGGCAGCUACUAGCAGCUGCUAAGGAGCUACGGAGCAGCAGCUUGCCUGGCCAGGCGUACAGCCGAGCCGGCUGGCUGGGUGGUUGGCAAUCAGCCUGCGUGGUCGGUGACCUACUGGCUAGGCGGUCAGGAGUGGCUGGGUGCGGCAGCGGUCAUGGCCGCGCGGCGGUUCGCAGCAAUAUAUGCGGAUGCCGUACGGAGAGGGGACAUUGGAUAAUGUCCUGAGAACAUGUGCUGGUAAUGUAUGAAGUAUCUGCCAGGAUGGGACUCACACCGGUGCCAGUGACCCGCCACGCAUUUGGCAGUUUGGCUGUGCUGAUGUGGGUGUCAAAAGUAAAGGAAUGAACUCCAUCCGUCAUUCAAAAACACGCAAGCCAGCAUUUGUGGUUGGCAUGUUCUGUCUACAACGCAAUAGUUGUGUUGCAUGUCCAGCAAUGAGGCAUGCGCAACAAGUUCCCAAGUGAUUGCCUAGUGCUUGUUGCGUCCUGCGCAUGCAAGAGCGGAUGCUGAUCCUACAACGCUGUCUGUCCUCAUUCUCUUAAACCGCCACUAGUGGCGAUGCAUGCACACAGUUGGGUGCCCCUUUAGUGACCGGGGCGUGGCGCUGGUACUUGCCGUCGAAGGCGUGUAAGUGCCAAAUGGUCUAUUGCAUGAAGCGGGCGCGGGGGAGCGCCACAGCUGGAGGUGGCGGCAUCCGUGACAGGUCGUUGGUCACAUGAGGGAGAGCCCGGGCUGGGACCGGAGCACCUUAGCAGGUGUGAGCAGCUCUGGUGGGGAUCGAGAGGCAUGCUGCCACGGAUAGCGCACACGCGCGCUCAGGAAUGGUAGCAAUAGCGGUUCGGCGCGUUUGUCUCGCCUGGAGUGCUGCCGGGGCAAGGACCGAGUCCAGAAGCAGCCCAACUUGCCGUCAAGGCGUUGGGGUUACUGCAGGGACUGUUGGCGUGCAUGCUCGCAUUUGGUGAAGGGGUUGUGGGUCUGGUCAUCUGGUAUGCAGAUGGACGUGAGGCCGCUUGGGGGGAGUUGAAGGGCCCGAUUGCAGUUAUGCAAAUGCAUCGCUUGUACCGGCAAUGGAGCGUUCAUGCGGAUAUUGCCGUACAUGAAAUAAGAGGCCGCCUGUGCUCGCAUGCAACGCGAGCACGUGACACUCCGAACCUGAGCACUGACGUAGUGUGCUGCCGGCAGCAGGCGCGGGGGAAAGGGUCGGGGGAGGUUGCGCAUACAUGCGUAUGGUGUGAGCGCACCGGCUUGCUACAGCUACAGGCUUACGGCUGGGAGCUGCUGGCUGAUGCAACGGGGUGCAUAUAUUUAGAGCACAGGUUGGCACUUCGCUGCGCGGAACGCAGUGCCAGCCCCCCCUAUAAAUUCUUGGUUGCAUAACUGCGGUGCACACAAAGUUGGGUAGCCAAAGACGCAGGAGGCGCAUGAGACUGGCCGAGAGCGGGGCGUGGGCGUCAAGGGCCUUGAGGAGUGGCUCAACAAAGCAUUCAUAACGCGUCUUGCUGGGUUAGGUGGAUUGCAACUGUUGUGCACGUGUGGGGGGGUAUUCGCGUGUGGUCACGGUCGGCACCAGGACGCCCGUGUACGCCCGUGUCGUAACACACGAAGGACGAGGCUUCCAGUGAUAGGCAGAUGGGGGCAUUCAGGAGAGGGUCUGCUAUAUGGCUGCCAGGAGACAAACUACUUGGUUAUGGGUUGUGAAACACGUGGGUGUGAAAGCAGAAAAGACACGAUCUGGGCACUGCGCACUGCUGGAUGCGUGAGUGCUGAGGCAGGCAAUACCCAAGCGGCAGCUGUGCUGAAAUGAAGCAUUCUUCCGACGUGGGCUCAGUGCACGGAACAGCUGGCGUGAAAAGCGUGUAGGGGGUAGAAAGCGGCUCACUGCUGCUUCCAGGGUGGUCUGGCAUUCCUGACACAGGCCACGCGCGUACCACUCCGGGUUUCAUGGCCACGGUCCUUGAGUCCACUCCAUAUGCAGUACGCCCGAAGCUUACACUGUAAAAUUAAUACAUGGAAGUAUUAUAGACGCAUCCGGCAAGUGCACAAGGCGUGAGAAGUGGCGCAGUGCACCAUGCAGAGGGCACGGUGAGGGCAGAGGGCACCUAGGCCCACGUGGCAGCUGGCUUCACCACUCCGCUCGCUCCUUGUACAACAAAUUAUUCAUUCUAUGUACUGUCGAAGACCACAGGAAUGAUUAGAGGGUAAUUAGUACGCGGGGAGAACUGGGAUUUACAACGUGCUCAAGUCGACGGUCCCCAGUAAAGGGACAAAAAUUCAUGUAUUUCUUCGCCUACCGACAAUUUGUUUGGUACAUGUUUCUCCUGAGCGCCCAAAGCCAGAAAUCCGGCUCCUGCUAAUACGCUAGCUGUUCCACAACUGCAAUCCUAGCCAUAACGAAACGUCUGCGAAUUACGCGUGACCGUCAAAUGGCUGAACAAAGGUGGACCGCAGCGCUGGACGGCCUUCCUGGCUUGUCAACGGCGGAGAAAGGCAAGGCGCGCGUUUUGCUUCUGCGGAAAUCUCAGGAGGAGGCCUCGCUGCUUGUUUCGGGCUUACCAGACGUGGCCGCCGAGGCAAUUAAGGAGAUCCUUCGCCAGGAAGGUCAGUGGGUACUCGCACGAGAGCAUGCGCGACCCCGGUUGUGUGCGAUUGGCUCUUGACCGCUUGUUCGCUCGAGUGGCGUUCUAUUUGGUACUUCGGGGAUUACAGGCCGCAAAAUGCGGAAGGGGCAACCGAGGGCCCGGGAGGUUGGGGCGAGGCCCUGGACGCGGGGGGGGGGUGCGGGGAGGUGGAAGGAAAGUAUCGAGAGGGGAUAAGGGCUGCGGACCAGGGCAGUUCAAGAGGCUGGCUCCGCCUAGGCUCAAAGGUGUCGAUGACUGUCUGCAUCCGCUGGGGCUUCGCGGCGCUCGGGCUCUGGCCCUUGUUGGCGGGGCGUGUUUCGUUCCCCCCUGGCGAUGCUGACUACCUGCACUGCCUUGUGAUCGCUCUCACGUUGUGCAGGCGCGGCGGCUGGCCUGGGCACAACAAGAGCUGGUGAGUGGGGCUUUUCGCAUAGAGUCGACGACACGCCGCAGUUCUGAAGGUGGCCGCUGGACAGCGGUGGUGCACAGUGAGGUUCGUUGGGGGCAGAUGCCAGCUUUGUAGGUGCUGCACGCUGUCCCUCCCCGUCCACUAGGCUGCAUCGGGCACGUGCGGCGUCGGUCCAACCUGCGCAUGCCUUUCGUUCACGUCUGCACUUUGUUUGCAUCUGCGUUUCGUUCGCUUUCGGGUGAUGCAGGCGCGGCGGCUGGCCUGGGCGUGGGGAGCGCGGCUGGAGCUGGUGGGUUGGUUGUGCUAGCCCAGACUUGACCUGAGCUAAGACUCUGGCUCUAGUGCCCCACGGUUUAGUACGCAAGUGUUUGAGCUAUCACGAAGAGCGCAGCACAGUACAAGCACAUGGGUAGUGUGUGGGAGGCCAUGGGCGGGGUCUUGUGUGUGGCGGAGCCACCAUCCAGGCUGUCUGUCCUUUCCACGAAACCCUCCUUUCCAUGCUGUGACUCUCUAAGGCACUCUCGCGUAUCAAAGAAACCAAGCAAAUUUGCAUGCCGUGUUCCCACAACACACAUGCGAAGCUUUCAUAUGUGUAUACCCCUGCACCUAUGUGUACACCCCUGCAGAGACGAAGCUGUACAACAACGUCACCGUAUUCGUGCCGGGUUACGCAACACCCUACGCAAAGCUGGACUACAAGUACCUCACCAAGAAUGACUUCGUCAAGCAGAUGGAGCGCGAGCGCUACUUCCGCGUGGUGACGGUGGCCGAGCAACCGUCCCAGCCCCUGGCGCUGGAGGAGUGCACCGCCAACUCUGUGGACAUUAGCGAAGUGCAGCUGCAGGACGAUGUGAAGCUGGCCGUGGUGGUUGGCGCGGAGCAUGCGCUCCACAAGGUUCAGCAGCAGGUUAGUUGAUUGGUUCACUUUGCGCUGCACCCGCUUUCAACGGUCCAUUCAUUGAGUUUGGACCGCUUUGUAUUGUGCCAGCAUGCCUGACAGCAGCACACUGGUGCCCCGUCCGACCUGACUGCUUCAGGUGAAGACGAUAAAGGGCUGGAAGGAGGGCCGAAUCAACAAAGACGAGUACAAGGCUGCGGAAUGGGCCACAAUGCACAUCGCCGGCGAUAUGGGUGAGGGCUCUGCAUCUCAGCAUACGGGGUCGGCAUUCUGCUCCUUAACUGGUGUAGUUAAGCGAGGUUUACACCGUGCACUUGUUGGGGUUUAUCACAGCAUCCCCCGGGCUGCUGCUGGGAGCAAGGCGCCCAGGGCUCAAACUGAUGUGGUCACAUGUCCAUGCUGGGCUCAUGGCUUCACUUGUACUCGCUCGCUUUCAAGCAUGCAUGCGGCUUAUUUUUGCAGCACAUCAGUUAGGCAACUAAGCGCACGUGAGGGAGUUGAACCAUCACGACUGUGCCCUUGCAUGGCGUAUCGCACUCCCGGGUUCACCCAGUUGGCUGGCCAAACACCGGGCAUCAAGAGUGGAGCGCCAGUGGGUUCACCUGCCUAGUUGCUUGGCUGACUGGAUGGAAGCGUGACAUCAACAUGCCGGAUUUGCAAUGCCGACAUGUUCCACUUCUUGCGCAAUGCCGCCAGCAGGUGCCAGCCGGUGGUGCUUUAAAGAGAUCAGUGGCCUCGUUGACGCUGACAAGCUGAAGAUCGAGAUCGACGGCAUGGCCUUCUCCCUGGAGCGGGUGGUGCUGGUGGAGCGCAAGCCACGCAUCAAGCUGAUGUACGUGCAGGAGCUGGCGGACAAGAUAUGGAAGCUCAUGUAAGCCCGUGGGAGGCUCGGCUUGUGUGUGCACGCCUUGGCCAAAGGGCCAGGGCUUUACAGGAGCGACGCAAGGGCUACACGGCCCUCGUGAUCGUUGCGAAAAACCUAUAAAGUAUGGUUGCUUGCGUAGGAAGUGUGUGCUUUUAAGGCAUGUAUAAGCGCAUACGCACACACACAGCAGCAGCAGCAGCAGCCACGCGACUACAGGCAUUAUUGCUGCGCAUUGCUUCCAGAGGUGGUGGCAGCGUUCGGUCAACAAUGGCCUCAAGCCACCAGCCCACCACGCACUGUGCCGCCGGCGCGCACCCAUCUGACCACCUGACCACUGAGCACUCGCGCCACCUGGACCACCAUGUAUGUGUCCACACGAUCCGCGCAGGAAGCUCGUGGCGGCCGGCGCGCCCAACACUGACAUGCUGCGGGACCGCUUCAGGCCGGAGAUCAAGCCCCUGGAGGUCUUCCUCAUGGCGGACGGUUGGGUGGACGACCCUGGCGAGGCGGCGGCGUGCGCAGUCCGCAUGGAGGAGGCGGGCAUUGCGCCGUUGCUGCCCACUGGCGACGGCGGCUACGAUGCACGCGGCAGCUGCGGCCGCUGGCCAGUCGACGACGGCAUACGGCGGUGCGGACAGGUGCGGUGUGCAUGCCAUUGCGCUCGAAUGGGCCCGUCAUCCAUGGGCUUUUGCUGCGCGUUGAUGAGCUGCUGGGGGUAGGUUGUACCGCAGCGUGUGCGUGCGUGCGUGCCAAGCCCAUGCGCCCGGACCGCCGUUGGCAAACAAUUGCUGAACACUUCCUGAAACACAUCGGCACGCCUCGCCCACCCCGGACACAGAACUUUCUCGCCAACAACAAGCCGGGACGCCGGCAGCCAAAGAGGUCCGGCAGCAGCGCGGCAGCGGAUGCCAGCGGGAGCAGCGGGGCCGGCGGGGCGGCGGGGCCCAACAGCGCGGUGGGCAUCGGCCGCCACGCCAGCAGCAGCCAGCAGGCGGCCUGCAGCCCGGCGCAACCGGCGCACCACCUGCGCACGCACGACCCCUUCAGUGCCACCAGUGGCGCCUGGCUGCAGCGCCGCGUCGCGCCAGUCUGCCGCCCCCUGCACCCGCCGCCCCUGCACCCGCCGUGCCACCACCACUACAGCAUGCCCAGCGUGCGCCGGCUGUAGCUGCAGCGCGCAGGCUGUAGCAAGCUGUACUCUCAGCGCCCCAGGCUGUAGCUGCGAUAACAGCAGAUACGCGAGGCGUAUGGGGCUGCGCCUGGCAAGCGGGGACUGGGCAGCAGCUUGCGAGGUAUAGCGCCGAAGGGGGAUGCUCGCCGGGGCCCGGGGCGGGCUGAGAGCUGGGCGGGUUCGGGGCGGCAGCAGCUAGGCGAGGGGUCUGGUUCCGCGGGUACUGCGGCGCACUAUUCUUGCCCGUGUUGUAGUUGGCGGCACUCGUGCGGCUAUGCGUUUGGCGCCUGACCGAGAGCGUAGCCUGUGCGUGCCGGUGCAUACCGACUAAAUGAGAGUGUUGCGUUUGCGUGUAUGCGUUUUUGUCUAACCGCAGCCAUGAACUGCCCAACCCUUUCCAAGAAUGUUUUAAUGCCAAGGCGUUGUUAUGCGCCAACUUUUAUGCUUGCUUGAGGCCGGGUGCAUUCUUGAAACAAGCUGUUUGAGAGCUUCAACAAUUGCGCACCGAAAGCAGGUCUAAGACCAGCGUGCAGUAGAAUCGCGAGUGGGUGAUGGGCUGAUGCCGGAUGAUGCUCAAGGCUUGCACAGUGGGGUAGGUGAAGAUUUUUGCUAAUAAAUCGAACACAACCCGCUUGCUGCAUGUUGUCAGAUGGAAAUUCAAUUUAUGGAUGUUCUUGGAUCAAUUCCUUUCCUCUUUCUUUUGCGGCUGGGGUGUGCCGGGGUUUGGGGUUUCCGAGCAUGGGCGUUAGGCAUACCUGGGUUGGUGCCGUGUGUACCGUACGUGUGGAAACAGCCCCGCCAUACCGUGCGUAAUGCUUUCCAACUCACGUCUAAUUGAUGUGUUAUCUCAAACUGGGUGCGGCUAUCUACGACCCACCUGAGUCAGUAGUCCUGGUGUAGAGAGCGUGUGUGCAUGGUGUGUGAUGGGACAGGGUUUGGGCAGGUUGGCGAGGUCCCGUAGGGUGCAGCUGACGCCCAUAUCCCAAGCAGACGGCAAACAGGUUGCAGCGGCAGAGCAGAAGUGCAUGGCUGGUCGAACGCCGGAGUUACUGUGUGCAUGGUGACAGGAUGGACAAGCAAGGCGGCGUGGAGGUCGUUGGUGGCAGGCGCUUUUACUUUGGCAGGGCAACGACACACAGGGAACAUGCGCGGUUAUGGGUAACCCCCAACUUUGAGGCGCUGUGACAAGCCACCAUGCAACAUGAAAAUUUCGCGCGAUGACGGGCGGCCCUAGGGUCGGUUGGGUAGGGUAGGGUCCUGGCGGUACACGCAGAGUGUAUGACGACACGCUGGGUGUUUUGACCACUGGCCCUGUGACCACGGUGCUGUACGGCGGGAGACGUACGGCGCUCAAUUUCGGUGUGUCAAUCAUCCUCAGCAAGAGUCUCUGUGCACUGCAAGGCGGUCUUCUGCGAACCCUGAAUCCAAGCUUACGUUCGUUGGCAUACGGCAGGAGGGCAUGGACUUGACGGCCCGCCCCCCGUCCGUGUCCAACAGCACGCUUUGGGCAUGCGGGAAGUCGUCCACGCCCACAGCCCAGUCACUUGCAAUCGUAAACUUCUUGGCGGCAAGUUGGGCAUCACAACGGGCUGUAAUCUCGGCCUGACUAGCACGGAGCACGGUGUGCCGAAUCCUCAAUCCUGCGCAUUCGGUACACCGUAUCAACCCCGCCACCAUCCGCUCGCUCUGCUAUGGCAUGGCGCCACCGCCCACAGUCUCCACGGGUGUAGACAUCAUCACAGCGCUGCCGCGCGCGCCUCAUCCUCACUCUGGCGGGGGGCUGCGCCCUGCACACCCGCCAAGACACCCGCACCGCACGCUGCUGCAUGCACUGCAUAAUGCACUUGCCUCAACGCCCCCACGCUGCAGCAGGUAACCUGCCAGGGCCGUGAAUGUAUUCCGAGCCGACCUAUGGUUGCAUCAUUCUUGUUCACUCCCCCCCGGUCCGGUGUCUGCUCUACUGUGUCUAUACCAUGCCGCAUGCGCUCCCUUGCCCCUUGCACGCUCAGAUUUCUUGCACUGCAGCAAUGACAUGCACCAGCCUACUUGCCAUGCAACCAACUGCAUCGUGCUGGAGUACUUGGGGCCUGGCAAGGUCCCCAAGCUCCUGCGUAAUUCGAGCUCCCCACUCGGUGACUGGCUCCUCAAUCGAACAGCCUCUCCCCGCGCGCAAAGAAGUUGAAGACCAACAUGGCCUGGAAGCAGAUGGCGGCGCUCACGGCGUGCGCCACGUACCUGCACAGAUGUGUGUCAGGUAACAAGAAGGGGAAGGGGUCAGCAUCUUGCAUGCAGAGUAUGCAACGUGUACGGUAUGUUGGGUGAGGUGGUGUGUUGGGUGCGGAUGAGGCGGGUUCCCAUUCGGCUCGCCGUGAAAGGCACAUGCUGGGAUGCUCCGGCAUCCACCCAUCGCAAUGUGUCGUAGUUUCCGGCUGGAGUUCCGCCUCGGCCCAGGAUUGGAAUGGAUGCCUAUCCACCCUCCCACACGCCCAGUCAUCCCACACGCACGCUCGUAGCCUGAUCGUGCGCACAACGCACGGCCUCGCCGGCUCACCAGCCCAUGACGUUGUCGGCUCCUCCCCAGGCGUCCAGGAUGUAUCCGGUCACCGCCACUCCGAUGACGCCCGAUACCGUGCCUGGGUGAGCGAGCAAGCGAGCGAGAGGGAGUCAGGAACAUUGAGCGAACGAUCGAAUCAGUUCAGGCCAGAGCGAAUGAGUACAAGCGAGCGAGCAACCGAAUGAGCCAGACGAAAUACAUUAUAGCGGGAGUGUGUCAGCGCGAGGUGGAGUGCGACUGAGCGAGACGAGGUCGCGGCGGCAGGCCAAGCACAUCAAGACAGGGUUGAUGCCGCGGGGGCAAUGGCAGUGACGAAGCGGUCUGGAGAUGUACUGGCACCCCUGUGCCUCCGGCUUCAUCUCCUGGCACCCCAGCCUUCCUGACGCAUCCCACCCGCCCACGCAGUCAGCACCCACACGGCGUGUCCGUUUCCGCCUGCUCCUGCCUCUGCUGCCCCCAUAGCGCUUACCCAGCCCCCAACACACUACCAGCCCCAAGCGCAGAGCCCCUCCGCCGCCUGCUCCUGCUCACCCGCGGUGUUGGAGAUGCCCAUCACCAUGCCGGCGUACUUGGGCGCGAUGUCCAUGUGGUUCACACUGAACCCGCCGCGGCUGAAGCCCAGGCAGCCCUGCGGGUGGUGGUGGUGGUGGCGAGGCACGGGGUUGGGUUGGGGUUAGGUAACGCCGGAAAAGGGGUUGAGGAACUUCAAAUGCAUGAGUUGGGUGGUGGAUGCAGUCGAUCGGAGCAAUCAGGCACGGGCGCAUGCAUGCGCCAAGGACGGGGCCGGGUGUAUACGGGGGCCGCCCACUGGGCCACGCGGUGUGGCGCAGGACUGCAGUAGCGCACCCGCGCGCCUGUACAGUGCUUGCGAGCCCAUGCCCCCACGUCAUGCAUCACCCUACACCCGUGACAGCGGCGGCGGCGCGCACCAGCGUGAGGGUGGUGACCGCCACUCCGUAGGUGACGCCCUGCGCCCCCGGCAUCAGCAUCAGCGCGAUGGCGCUGCUCACGAAGCCUGAGGCAUGAGGUGUGACGUGGCGGGUCAGGGCGGGUGAGUCAGAUGGGGCUGGUUAGGAGCCAGGAACCAUGUCGACGGGAGGGAGUAUGAUGGGGAAAGGGAAUGCGGCUCCGCAUGCGCACCACGCGUGGCGCAGGUGCCACAUACCCGGGCGGCUGGGACCCUGACCUUGCGUGCUGUGCUGCCUUGCUGCCUUGCAUUCCCCAAACACCUACUCACCCACCCACACGAAACUUCAGUAGCCCAGGUGAUACCGGUCACUGCUGCGGGCCCCAGCCCCCCGCCCCCUCAGCUGCUGGGCCCCCUCCACCCUCCACCCUCCACCCCUCACCCAGCGUGUUGACUAUCUUGCGCGCGGUGCCGGUGCUGUUGCGGCGCUUGAGGAUGAGCCAGUCUCCCGCCCAGCCGCCCACGUUGCUCAUGAGGAACAUGACCAGGUACGGCACCGUCUUGGCGCCGCCCAGGCUGUUCAGCUCCACCUGUACCGCGUUACGAAGAGUUAAGGACAGGCAGGGUCGGGGAUAGACGGACAGCACAUGUUUUGUAGUGCUUUGAUGAUAGUGCGGGAAAGGUCAGGACGUCAAGAGGUCACAAGGGCAGGAGCAUCGUGCGCCGGUACCGGCAUCUGCAAGACCGACACCGCUGUGCCCCCCCCAGCCUCCCGCCCCAUCCGCGCACCUUUAGCACGUGGUUGAAGUAUGUGGGCAGCCAAUUCAUGAUGACGUAGAAGGCGUAGUGAAAGGAGAAGUUGUUAACCACGAUGGCCCACACCGCGGCGCUGCUCAUCAUGCGCUUGUAGGGCGUGGGGCCGGGCCGGCCCUUGGCGUUGCCGUGGCUGUGACCGUGGCCUGGUGCAAAGGGUAGGGGGUUACAUUGAUGAGAUUAGAAGUGAAGUUGUGGCCAGGCACAGUGGGGCACCAAAUCCUCCUCAAUUCCAUUGCCAUACCACGCCACAUUGCCCCUGUCCUCCACGCCAGCCUCGUCCUUUCCCCGCCUCCUGCCCGGCCCCUCCCUUUCCCCUCCCUGCCCUCUCCGCUCCCCUCAGGCUUGGACUUGAACUCUCCCACCGAACGAACUAAUUCCCGCGUACCCGGCUUGUCCAUGGUGGACAGCGGAAUGACGGUCUCGCGGUGUGGGAUGUCGCGCCCCACCGCCAGCCACAGACACAUCCACGCCAGCCCCAGCCCGCCCACGAUCUUGAGCAAGCUGGCCGACCCCAGGCGCGCGGAGAAGUACGGCAGCACCAGCAUGGCACUGGCGCUGCCCAGGUACAUGCCUGCGGAAGGGGGUCAUGAAAGAGGGGGGUUCGCCAAGAUGGUACAGAGAAGUGUAGCGAAGUAGACAGAAGGUGGGCGGGGUGGGUUGUAACAACCAGGCGCGAAGUGCGCUGGGCUGCACUUCGGGGAGUAGGGCGGAGCGGGCGAGAGGGGCGGGGCAGGGUACCCAGUGGUGCGCUAUGCUGUACCGCUUCGGGAUUUGGGGCCACAGGGUCGCAGGGUGGUUCGGGGAACGUUGCCGAUGGUCAUGAAAGCGCUACGAUGCGAGGAUGAGCUGUCGUGGCCCGUCUGCGGAUCGUGCCGGUGGCCGUCUACCUCUCCUAUCUGUUCCCCCUUCCCCUCCCCCUUCCCAUCCCGCUCCCGCUGCUGACUGCCUGGCGCAUAGGUCUGACCGGCUGGCUGAUGGCUGUCCGGCAGCCGGUGGCGCAGGGGCCGGCCUGUCCGGUGUCCACUACUCACCCGAGGUUGUCAGCGACACGGCGCGCGCGCGCUCGUGCGGCGGGAUCCACUGCGACAGCACUGUGUGCACGGCCGGGAUGAGGAAGCCCUGCGCCACACCCACCUACAUACCACAAGACGGAGGGGUGGAAGGAAAACAGUUAGCCAACGAGCACUUGACGUGGCAUGGCAAGACACGCAUACACCGGGGGCAGGCACCUUUGCCGAUCGCCGCUGCAUCGCUGCCCCGCCUGCCGUUUGCUGCAGCUCGGGGGCGCGGCAUCAAGCCCGAAACACUGGCGCAGCUUCAUGCCACCACGUCCAACCCCAGUUCCGCACCACUACCACCACCACCACUACCGCCCCGUUCUUGGCAUCACGCCCCGACUCGCCCCGCCAUGCCAUUUGCCCACCCACCGCCACGCGCGCCGCCACAAUGGCGUAUGUGUGCCGGGCGUUGGUGGGCGUGAGGAUGGAGGCGGCGGACCAGGAGGCGAAGCACAGCAGCAGCAUGAUGCGGCCGCCGUACUGCUGGGCCGCCCAGCCGCCGGGGAUCUGUUUGAAUUGCAAAGUGGAAAGAGACAUGCGAGGCGGUUAAGCCAAACCCUACGGGAUAGCCCAUCUGCGUAUUACUAUGUGUGCCGCAGGCAGACUUGGAUGGACAAGUGGUGGGUGAAGAGAAGGCGCGGUGGGAGGGAUUGCAGGAGUCAGCGGGAGGCCUCUCGAAAAAAAAACCAGGCAGUCGGCCCCCUUCCCUGAAUGCUGCCUCGCUAGCAGCCCUACGACGCUCCACCUCCGCCGCACCUCUGCCUCGCCAACCGCUCCCUUUCCUCAGUCUUUCCAGCCCUUCAUGCGCUGCUGCGACCGCCUUGCUCCAGUCCCGCAUAUGUCCCGGCCGCUGGCAGAGCAGUCCAGCACACACGCGGUGUUCACCCAAUACACGUUAUACACCCCGUCCCAGUCCCGCCCUCCCUCCCCCUUCCUCCCUCCCCCUUCCUCCCUCCCAGUCCCUUCCCCUUGCUCGCGGUCCUUCCUAGUCCUUCCCUCCCAGUCCUUCUUCUCCCAGUCCUACCUAGUACCUCGCUCCCUUAACCUCCCUUCCCUCCCAGCUCCCUUCCGAACCUGCGACAGCGCAUAUCCCCAGUAGAAGGCGCUGAGUACUGCGCCCUUGACGGACUCGUCCACGCCCGCCUCCUUGGCAAGGUCCGUGAAGGCGAUGGAGAAGCCCACGCGCUCCACGUAGGCGGUGAAGGUGGCCAGGAACGUGGCCAGCACAAUCACAUACCUGUGGCGUUGCGCAUUUAAGGGACAUGCCAGGGUGGCCGCCACAAUGGUAAGAAGUAAGGAAGGGGGGAGAGGGGCUGUGGGUCGUGGGCGGUAAGUGGGUUGGGGGAGCAGCGGUGAGAAGGAGCGUGAGGAAAGGGCGGCGCUGGAGGGCGGCAGCGCCGGACAAGGCGGUGUGUUUCACGAGGCCGCCGCGUGCUCACACGCCUCGGAGGCUGUGUGCAACCCCUGGCGCUCUCCUGCACGCCUCCUAUGCUCGCACCAACGCGACUGCACAGCAUGCCCCUCGUACCUAGGCUCGAUGCGAUACCGAGACCGCGUCGCCACCGUCAUGGCGCUAGGUUGCUAGGGAUUGCCGGCUAGAGCCCGCAGCAAGCCGGACAAGACGUCGGCUCUGCAGGCGCAUCAAGCGGGGGUGUUGCGGGCGUGCAGGCGGGGUUGACAGCAAGUAAGGACAAUGGUUUGUGGGCGGAGCGCCUGCAGGAGUCUUGUGGGCGUGCCGGCUGCGGGGCAGCGUGUGCAGCACAAGUGCCCCGGAGGCUGUGCGGCGCGCCUGCCCCGCCCCGCAGUGUCAAGCUACACUAGGUGGCAUGCAAACACGGUACUCAGCCCGACAUAAUUAGGGGUGCCCUGGCCACACGGUGGCCGGCCGCCCGGAAGCCCCUUCUGGCGCAGCGCCAGGGCUUUUCGUAUGGGAACCAUGGCUGAUAACGGGCUGCAGGCUUCGACUCCCAGAUCGGAUUCGGCCGAGGCCGCCUGCCUGGCGUGGUGUGGCUGUCCAUACCGAAGACAGGACACGCCGUGUCUGGGGCAAGCCGCCCAACCCUCCAACCGACAGAUGCAAACUAGGCUAUACAUUGCAUCAUUUCGUUAUCGUGGGGGCGAGCUUGAGGACUGCAGCGCGGUCGGUUGCUCCCGAGUCAAUUGCCGCUGGCUCCCGCGAGGCCCGCACUCUUCGGCGAGUUGGCAUACAUAGCAACUUACAAUGUCGCUCCUCCGUUGCAACGCGUCCAGGCUGCUCGCCAACACUACAGCCUCUGCCCUCCCGACGCAAUAUCCUUUCCUUCGUCUAUAGUUAUUAGUAGUGGCAAUGUAAAUGAGAUCUUUGAAUCAACUAGAUCAAGUCAUUUGUGCUUCUACUUAUGUCUGAAUGAUCAGUUUCAACCUUUCUUCUUCUCCUUGCAUACGGAUUAGCCCGAAUAGUGAACUAUUGUAUACAUAAGUUCCACACUAUAGCUGUUAGCGAGCCGCUGUGGGCACUCCAGCGAUGCGGCAUGCCAGCCUGCCAGGAUCCGAGCGCGUGUUGGAGAGGGUUUGUGCCGGUGGUCCAACAGUGUUGACGCUGACUUGCAGGACCGCACCGCCUGCCCGCCUGUCCUCUGUGAGCUUACAACAUCUGCGUCUGGAGGCACAGCCUAGACCCUGCCUUCUCACGCACGGUAUGGGACCCAAGGUGGGACCUGCAUCCGGCAUCCACUGAGUCCGCCAAUAAUCCUUUGGCACAAGACACACGCUCUGCCAGCCGGCCCAGCCCAUCCUGCUCCGCGUGAUCGACUUCCAAACAGUUGUAAAAGUAAAGUGAAAGCAAAGCUGCAGCUGCCCAGCUACCUGCAAUCUCCGUCCUACGUGAACACAAAAACACAGCAACACGUAACCUCCCGGCGCCGCACACCCACACUUGCUGCCAGGCGCCGCCUCCACCCCACUCGCCCACCAUUCGCUGCCUCCGUCUGCCAUCCCGUUCCACCUCAGCACCCCGCCCCGUUACACAUCGACACAACCCUCCUGCCCUCCAGCAUGCCCGCCUCCUCACGUCUCCAUCGGCACCGCCGCUGCGGCGGCCGCUGACGACCCAGCUGCACCUGCUGCCGAGCCGGCGCCUGGGCCCGACAGCUUGCAGUUGAACAGCGCCUGCUUUACCAGCUGCGUGCAUGCAACAGGAGCACAAGUAAAUUGGUUGAACAGGUGAGAGAUGCAAGAUGAGAGGUUGGGCACUAAGCAUGCGAAUGUGCAAGCUGACAGCGGGCCAGCUAUGGAGUACAGGACAAGGGAGGGCAAGCUCUACUUCAUGUCAUACAAGGUCGGCUACGUUGCUUACGCAACCGAAAGCCUUUGACGCCGAUACAGGGUCGCGCUCGCUUGCCCUCGCUCUCGCCCUUCCCCUGCGCAAGCCGCGCCGCCGGUUCCCACCCGUCCAACACGCAACACGCCGACCCCUAGGGGCGCGCACCUGCGUUGACAGCCCCUUGAUCUGCUCCGCCGCCAGCUUGGAGGUGUCGCGGCAAAUGCGGGCCAGCGCGCUCUCCUCGCCGCCGCCGCCGCCGCCGGCCGCGCCGCUGCCGCUGGUGGCAGGCUUCUUCUUCUCAAAGUACCUGUUGGCGAGUUUGUGGGCGCGGAAAUGAGUCGUCAGGUUUUGGGUUGGUAGAUUGUGGUGGUCAGCAGCGCAUGCCUGCCUGGAUUUGCGUAUGAAGAUUACAUGCUGUACAGCCAACGAGUGUGGUGCGUACCGCACAGACCCGACCCGACAGGGCCUGCGUAUGCAAACACCGUCGCAGUCACCCCACGCCGUCACCCCCAACACAUACCCUCUAUCGCGAGCACCACCACCAACAAGUACAGUGUCCCCUGUGCCCCUGCCCGCUGCCUCUCCAACCGCCCCCGCUCUGCCCAGUCCGCCCGUUGCCCACCUGCCCAGGCGCGCCCCGUGUGCCAGGCUGGACUCGGCCUGCUCCAGCUUCUCAGCCACGUCCGCAAUCUGGGGUGCGGGAGGGCGCCCCGGGGAAGCAUUGGUGAGGGGUGCAGUUUUGGGCAAAGGGAAGGGCAUUUGAACCCAUGUAUGCACCAUCAGUAUGUUCCCGUUCUCAUAGCCGCAUGCAGCGCGUCCUCUCUCAGCCCUUCCUGCACUCCAUGCGAACCCCCAGCCCCGUUGAGUCGCAGCAUCGCCUGUCGCUCAACCUUCGUGGCCGCUCAGCCGGUACGGUAUAAAACCUCCUGUUCCCACCCCGCACGUCGGGCUUAGCUUUGGGUUUGGUCCAAGUAGUCCCACCCCGCCGUCGUCCUCCCGCCCACACCACCCCUUCCUCCCAACUCCGGCCUCCCGGCCUCCCACUCCCCCUCCCUCCCCGCUCCCGCUCCCGCUCCGCCCACCUGCCCCGCCGCGAACUCCCUGUUGCUGAUGAGCGGUGAGGCGGACAGGGUGGCCACCCAGUACUUGUUCCACAGCAGGUCCAGCAGGUGGCUGCGGGCGGAGGCGCAUGGGGCAGGCGCAGGCGCAGCGGCAGCGGAGGGAGGUGUAAUGCAGUAAGCCAGUAUGGAAGUGUGUACGGCAGUGGCAACAUUCCGGCUUUCUUGGCGCGGCCGCCGGCACAGCGCAGAGCCGGCAGCGGCCCUGGCAGCAUGCCACCGACAGCGCCUGGGAACAUUCAAACUUAAGCCUGCAUAGCACCAGCCAGGGAUGCGAUGGGGCAGAGGCCCCCACGCAGAAGCCCCCCACGCACAAGCCCUGCCGGCGCCGCUCGCCCUGCUGCUCCAUGACGCCUCGGCCCACAUCCCAUAAGUAUUAUCGCUUGCAACUAACACCUCUGCCUGCACUCCGCUCGUUUUCGUUGGUUUUGGUUUAGUUUGGGCUGAUACUUACAACCCCCACCCCGCCGCCGCCGGCGCCGCCCGCCGCCUCCUGCCGCGCACCUGUCAGUGCUGCUCUUGAAGAAGGUGAUGUCCAGCGGGUAAUAGGACUUGGCGUGCACACCAAAGUCCUCAAUCUUGUCCAGCGGAAUGGUCUGGUACUCGGAGGGGCCCUCGUCCGCGGGCUUGUAGUCCUUGGGGUAUGUCCUGCGGUGUGCAUGCAAGCGUGUUCGCGCAAGUGCUAUCUCAAUUGUUUGAUGUUAAGCGCGCGCGGGAGCGGGCGUGGGAGUGGCGUGCGUGUUUGGGCCGUGUCCGUUAGCGCGUGUGGCCGUGUGCGUGGCCCGCACAAGCGAGGCACUGCUUUCAGAGGUGCUAGUACGGUACACAACAAUGGGGCCCUGCUGCAUGGGCCCCUGCGCACUCUCGUGGAGCACACGCACUAUACACACGCCUAUCACCUCAUCCCGUCUCCGCACCUCCCAUUCUCCGCGCCUCCCCCUCCCGGCGGCCUGUGCCCGCAUCAUGUGCGGUUUCCCAGCAGCCGCGGUCCCCUGGCUCUCACCUGAAUGCGCCAAUCUCCACCUUGCCCGCCGCCAUGGUGCGCAUGGGGUCCACAACCACCGCCAGCCAGGGCUCCUGGUACUGCUGGUUCAUCAUCUGCGUGCAUGAUGGUGGCGUGGAGGGGGGGAAUCGAUAGCAAGCGAAAAACGAACCGGACACCGCGAGGCACAACCCGCCACCAUCUCCCGCAUGCUAAGCACUGCCCCACCCACUCUGAUAUCUUUACCCCCGAGCCCCCGCCCCCAAGUAUCCAGCCGUACACGCUGUAGCGGUGCGCGCGCACACCCGCACACACACACACACACACACACACACACACACACACACACACACACACACACACACACACACACACACACACACACACACACACACACACACACACACACACACACACACGGUGGUCGCCCACCGCCCGUCUCUUUCCCAAAUCGCGCAACCCCUAGUAUAGUUCAUUGGGCUGGGACUGGGCUGCGUGUUUGCUCUUGCUCGUCGCGCGCCGCCGCGCUAACAUGUUCCUUCGCUCUUGUUCGUGACACUCCCCUGCUGCCGCCCUGUGCUCUGUUGUUUUCUUAUUCGCUCGUAGGUGAGCAUUUCAUCGAGGAUUGGGCGGGAGCUUGGACUAAGCGGCCAGGAGUAGCGACGCGGAGCUAGGAAUCGUAGGAGUGCCUGGGCCUCACCGUACCGUGAGCACAUGCAUGGGUUUGCACCCUUGAGAGCGUGUGGACACUAAUCCCCCCUCGAGGUUAGAGUAGCGGGGGUUGCGCGAUUUCCGGUUGGUAAGACCGGCGGCUCACCGCAGCAGGUAUGCGAGGUAACUUCAGGUAACAUCCGUAAACCGUCGCUUUGCUGCAUCGCAUACACUGUCUUUGCGCAACGUUUUCCUUGUGCUCUUUAACACACACACACACACACACACACACACACACACACACACGCACCUGCGUGUUGACGUCGAUGCCCGACAGCCAGCAGCCGUAUCCGGGGUGGGAGUGAUACCAGCCCACCGCGUUCUCUGGCCGGUGCACCGCCUGUGAGGUUAUGAAGGGGAGGACAUGGGGGCAGCAACACGACGUGAGGGUCCGCUGCCCUGGCACAGUGACACGGCUCGCAUGGCGUCGGCUAGCACCAGUACCCAGCAGAAGGCACAUCACAGACACGACGCGCUGAAUUUGAGGCAUCACUACAACAAAAUCCAGCUCCCGCCUUAAAGUUGCAAGCAAACACCCACGUGGCCUUUGCACGUGUAUCGUCGUAUGCUUUUUGAAGCCCACACACGCGGCAAUGUCCACCCUUCCACCCCAAUGUGCUUUCCUAAAACAUGUACAGGCUGGGCCAUGUGGACACGGCUACACACGCACACCUCAAACACGCCCGCAUCCAACACCGCACCUUGUUUGUGUCCAGGAAGUCCACCAUGUAUUCAUACGCCUCCGCCUGUGGGAGUGCCCAGUGAUGCAGCGCCCACCGCAAAGUCGGCGCGUCGAUGCAUGUGUGUUAAUGAACGCACGCACCCAGUCACAGGCACAGGCCCACCCGCAUGCAUGCGCGCAAGCGCACACCCACUCCAAUGCACGCAUGCACACACCCGCCCGCCCGCACAUGCCCGCGCACCUGCGCGUUCACGCGCGUCUCCGUGCCCUCCACCGGCAGCGCGAACGAGUCGAUGACAAUGAACGUGUCACCCACCACCUUGCCCUGCAGAAUACCCAUGACCUGGAAUGGGGCGUGCAGUGGGAGCAGCAGGGAUGAAGAGCGGGGCUUAGUGUCCAUGCACUCAUUUAGCCAGUCCAGCCAGCCAGUCAGCCAGUCAGCCAGUCAGCCUGAGAACCGUUGCAUGCCCCACUCCCUACCCUCCAGGACGUGCGCCAUCCGGCCUCCAGUCUCUACACAGUGCCCCAUAACCGCGUUCCCAGCGAACUCUGCUUAGCAGCCCGCACCGCCUCAGCCCACACGACCCCACCCAACGCGGCCCCUCGUCAGAGGUCCAACACGCGCUGUCCGCACCUCCAGAUUGCCUCCCGAGCGCGCGUGCAUCGCAAUCUUCAGCAGCGCCAGAGCCGACAUGCGCACACUGCAGGAGGCGUGCAGGAGGCCCGACAAGGGUAGCACGCGUGUGGGUCGAGGCGAAACACAAUGGGGAGGCCAUGGUGCCCCUUUCCAGGCCAGUAAAGCAGCUUCCAGGCCGCAUCCCUCUUCAUGGAUCUUUGCGACAAGACGCAUCAGGGGUGGUUGGCCCGGCGCUGGUAGAGCUGCCAGUCCGGGGCCUGUUGCCCGCAGCGGGCGAGAGAAGUCCUAGGGGUGAUCUGGCGCCCUUUCGCGCUGCCAAUCCGGCGCAUCGCCCCACCCCCUUCCCGCGCUCACUGCUUAUAGUGGUGAGGGUCCUUCGCCCAGGGCUUGCAGCUCUGUGCUAGCUGCUGCUCCGCCGCGUCAUACUUGAAGAGUGCAUCUGUGUCCUCCGAGGCUGCAGGAGCAAUGUUGUUUUCAAGCUCCCAUCUCACACGUGCGGUGCUAGACUCCCCAGCCAUCGUGCGGAAAAGCCUAGCAAGCCCGGAACAGGAGGUGCGACCCUAGAUUGCACGGGAGUUUGCUCCAGAGCCGGGAGUUAAGUAUGUGGCAGAUGUAAUGGCAAAUCCUUGGAAUCGGUAAUCAAGUGCAAACAAGUAAGUGUCGGGGAGCUGCCCUGUUUUGCCAUUGCAACACUCCAUGGGCCCGGCAAAACUCUAUCCCUUUACUUUGUUGUUUGUGACUUCUAUAACCACGAGCUACUCAGAUAAACUAUUUCGCGCUUAACCGGCCAAAAGACGUGAUUAUAAGGACCUCGUUUAGUUUUGGCAACGAAUUAGCAAGGUCCAUUUGUUGAAUGCACCAUAUCCUGCAUAUGAUGGCUUACAUGUCUUCAGAGUCUUGUAAUUUGCGACCAUAGCUCGACGCAUUCCUCGCAUUGCGCGGUGGUCGCGGCCGCGUGCCCGGCCGUAGGCUGCAGACAUGGACAUAACCAGCCCCAGGGACAUGGCAGUAGCCUCGGCGUCGGGGCGUCAGGCGUCGGAGGCGCCCGGCACGGGACCCCCACCCUUCUCGCACUCCCGGCUCCGGAGCUAUGCCAGCAAAGUGGAGGGGCUCCUUGGUGCGGUGCUGAGAACGGGUUGCUAUGGGCUCGAGGGACGAGCUGCUGAAAAUGGCCUUACUGCUCCGGUGGGACCGUGCCAGUCCCUGCUUACCCCAUGCUUCUUGCAGUCUUGCUUCACCAACAACGCGCCUCCUAAUCUGAUUUUGUUUCCACUGCCGCAGAUCCCAAGAUGGUCCUCAGCAGCUCAGUGGCGCUGGCGGGCUCGGGCCUGGCAGACCCCUUCCCCUCCGCUUCCAGCUCCAGCGCCUCGCAGCAGCUGCUCACACCCAAGUCCGCACGGUUCGCCGGAACCGGCGGAGGCAGCAACGGAAUCGCCGCAGCCCGCCCUGGUGGCCACAACCAGCCAUCAGCAGCCGCACUAGGCUCGAACGGUCAGCAUUCACACCAGCAAGGCUCACAGCCCCAGCAGCCCCAGCAGCAGCCGGCGAGUGCAGAGGAGCUGGCGGCGGCGCUGAACCAAAUACAGACCCUCAAGGCGGAAAUUGCGGGCGUCGAAACCGUGCUGGGCUACCUCAAAGGCAAUGAGGCAGCCACCACCACCAUGGGUCGCAAGGCCCACAAGCUGCCCUCCCAGCAGCAGCUGCGUCAGCGGGCUGACGCGCUCGCGGUCAGCCGCGCAGCCGCCGCGCGCACGUCGCUCGACGCCUCCGCGCACCACCUCUCCCCGCUGCGAGCCAGUCAGGGCCACGGCAUAGGCGCAGGAGGCGCAGGCAGUGGGGGGGCUUCGUCGGGAUACGGCUCUCCGGCGGCAGGCGGCUCGCCGGCGCGUGCGCGCUCGGCGGGGGACCCGGGCGGCGCGGCGGGCGGCGGUGUGUUUGAGUCGCUGGCGGCGGAGACGCGGCUGGGGCGGACGUGGCGGGCGCCCAAAGGGCCGCAGCCGGUGGGGCGAGGAGAGGCCGUCAUUCUGGAGGUGAGCACUGCAGGGGUGUUAGUGGUUUGGUGGGUUUGGUGGCUGCUGUUGUUGAUGGCCUUGGGGGCUAUGGGUGCGGAGGUGUAGUCUGGAGGCGGUCGUGGGCACUGCGUGUGCGGCACUAGCGGGGUGGCACUGGCGGGGUGGCAGUGGUGGUCCGACGAGUGGGCCAACGCCGAGGCGGUGGGGCACCGCCACGCCACGCCACACGCGCGCACAUGCGCACAGACUGUGGCAUUGUGUGCCGUGUGCCGUGCGCGUCUGGCUGAUGGUCUUCAACACACACACACACACACACACACACACACACAUAUGCAAACACACAAGCGCGCACCUCCCAUUCAUGCCGCCCUAACACGCGCCCGUGUGUUUGCACAGGGUGCGCUGGACGAGGCGCUGCCGCCCGGCUCCAUCACCGCCAAGUACGGCACGGGGGCUGGCGCGGCCGUCACGGGGGGGCUGGAGCCGGCCUUCUGGUCGGGCGGCGAGGCGCGGCGCGACUUCGACAUGCUGGACAUGGUGCAGCGCGAGGUGGCCAGACAGGUGGGGGGGGGGCCAGACAUGUGGGGGCGGAGGAGGGGGAAAGGAGGGGCGUGGGUGUUUUGACACGUGCUGCGCCCACGUGGACAUGGUGCAGUGCGAGGCGGCGAGGCAGGUGGGACUGCAGGUAUGACUAACUAGAAACUGUGGAGAGGUGGGAGAGGGGUUGCGUGGUUGGAGCAGUGGGAAGAAGGACGGCGGGCAACACAGCAGAUUAAUGUGGUUUGGAAAAGGCGUUGCGAGUCGGAGGUGUGAAGCGGGAAAGGAGAGGGGGGAGGCGUGUGUGGGUUUGGCGCGCGUGUCUGCAUCUGUCGGCUGUGGGGUGGUGCAGUGCGAGGUGGCGAGACAGAUGUGAUGGGAGGCGAAGGGAGGGAAGGGUCGACAAGGCGAUUGCCGAGGCAAGGCGUCGGGCAUUCAGUGACAUGAGCCUGGAGGGAGCCAGUCAGGCAGUCCAUGUGCACGCAGUGGAGGGAGGUGCGGAGCACACGGUGCCUGAACUUCAGCAGCUGCCCUAUACUAGUGCGUAGUCCAUAAACUCACGCACAAAUUACUAUGCACCCGCGCCCCGCCCCCCGCUACGCUGCGCCGCUACCCCCCAGGUCGCUGCCUCCUGCUCCGAGCGCGGCCGCAUCAUUGACAAGCUGGCGGACAGGCACGCCGAGCUGUACGGCGCGGUGGCGGCGGCGGCCAGGUCGGCCACUGAGGCACAGCGGGGGCUCAGCGAGCGGCUGGCGGGGGUCACGACACGCGCGUCGGAGCAGGUGUGUUUGGGGCGGGGGCGGGGGGGAGUGUGGGGGAGGGGAGUGGGUGGAGUGGGGGGGAUUGCAAGUGGGGUACGCAGGAGUGUACGAGGCGCGCGCACUGUGCGAUGCGCCGGUCAAGGUUGACAUACGGGCGCCCCCAAGGCGAUACUUCAGCGACUGGAGUCCUCCGCAGCAAUUCCCAUCCCCACCAACACAACAUCGCCGACACAACCCCCUCCACCUCCUCCACCUCACCAACACCACCUCCUCCACCUCGUCCACCUCCUCCACCUCAUCAACACGUCAGGCCACGGAAAUUGCGCGCCUGCGCUCCGAGCUGGCGGCGCGCGGCGCGGAGGCGGAGGACCUGCGGCAGCAGCUGGCGGAGACGCGCACGCAGCACGAGCACUACGUGUGGGACUGCGAGCAGGAGCUGGAGACGCUCCAGGGGCAGAGCGACGUGAGUGCGUGUACAUCUUGAGGCCCGGGGGGUUGUAAAUACCAGCCCAAAUUGUAGGGGGUUGUUUCGCCGUUGCCAUUAAGGAACUAAGGGAUCAUGCGAGCCUCGCAGGGUGCAGGCGGGGCGCGGGGCGGGGAUUGGUGGAUGUGGCGGUGCGCAGUACCCAGGACCCAGUCCACCGCCAAACCCUGGAAACCAGGUUGUGUCCGAGCACGCCCUCACCUCACACGACUCGCCCUACACCAUCCCACCCGCCUCGCGCAUUUGCCCAUUCCUGCCACUGCAAUGCGCAACCCAACAUCCACCCCACUCCACCCUCCACCCCACCUAAAACUCAACACCCACCACCCCAGAUCCUGGCCGCCGAGGUGGAGCACCUGCACGUGCGGCUGGCGGAGGCGGUGGCGGACAAGGACGCGGCGCUGAGCCGCGGGCUGGCGCGCCUGGAGGCAGACCUGGAGGCGGUGACGGACGAACGCGACGACCUGUCGCAGCGCAUCCGCUUCCUGGAGAGGCAGCUGCACAAGUGGGUGGUUGGGGUGGGAUGGGGGUCAUGUGCCCGGGCCCAAUAGGCCCCAAGAAUCAAGGAGUCAUUGCCACGGGGGUGGGAUGGGGUGGGAGGGAGGGGUGGGUGGCAGGGAAGGGUGGGUUGUGUGGGUGAGUGGGUGGGUUGGGUUGUGUGGGUGAGUGGGCUGGGUUGUGUGGGUGCGUGGGUCGAUGGGUGCGUGGCUGGGUGGGUGGGAGGCUGGCUGGUUGGGCGUGUGUGCGGUUGUGCGUGUUGGGUGGGGACGCGGAAGCCGGAAGGCGAGUGCGCAACGCUGACCCAAUACCCAUGCUUGCCGGCCUACACAAUGCUUCUCCACGCGCCCAUACAACCACCACGCAGCCACACCCGUACCCCGCCCACCCCACCCAUCCCAUGUUUUCACUUGCUGUCCCCGCUGCCCCUGCUUAUAGUCUGUUCCCAAUGAAGCAACACUGCAACUCCACCCACCCCUGCACCCCUUCGCCUCCCCUCCCCAGGCUGCGGACGGAGAUGAACACUGCUGUGGUGACUGCGGUGGCGGAGGUGCAGACCGACCCGGUCAACUGGGCGGCGGAGGAGCCGGAGGAUGUGCCGGUGAGCAGGGAUGUGCCAUGCCGGGCCGGCAGGCCAAUAUCGGCAGGGCUGGGGUGGGCGCGAAUGGAGUGCAUGGGCGUUGGCGGCAUUGUGACUGCAAAAGCAAUAAGUUCUAGCCAAAGCAUUAAAGCCACAUCCAACACCUCCCCCGCCUUUGACGCAACACUUGCAUACCCACACACGCCCCUCCCCUUCGUGGUCCAGUCGCUCCGUUCUUCACAUGCACGGUUACACACCAUCCUCAUCAAUGGCUACCUCCCCCCCCCGCUCUGCACCGCUUUUCCAACCACCUUUGCACCCCCCUCCCCCUACAUGAUAUAACCAUAAUCAUGAAUGUAAACCCCCGCCUCUCAGGACGACGUGAGCGACACGCCCUCCCUGGCGGAGAUCCGCGCCCGCUACGCCGCCCACGGCUACGGCGCGCUGAGCCCGGAGGAGCGGCUGCGGCUGGGGCUGCCGGCGCACAUGGACGGCGAGGGCGGAGGCAAGAGCGGCAAGGGCAAGAAGCGCAAGCGCGCACUGGGGCACUUCCAGGUAGGUGGGUGGGUGCGAUGUGAGUACUGUAUGCGUGUAAGGCGAGAAGAGUGCACCGUAAGUGGGGGCGGCAUUGUGUGGGCAUGUUCGGUGCAAAUGAAGUAUUGAACCCCUCAAUCCUCUCACCCCAUCCCCAUACCCAUGAGUUCUACUGCUCCUCCCUUACUCUGUAACCCAAUGCAUCCCUCACAACCCCUUCCAAGUUUGAACAACUCACGCCCCUCCCCAUGCGCCUCUCGCCUGCUGCUGCUGCUGCUGGCGCUGCUCCCGCUGCAGGGCCUCAUCACCAGCGACAAGCCGGGCCGUGUGCGCGGCCUGCAGUGGACCGUCAACGCCAUAGCCACCAUGUACUACGACAAGGUACGACAGACAACACGACUGCCUCCCGCAGCCGACCUGGCACCUCUUUGAGGUUCCCUAGUCGCAGCAUACACUCUCCGCGUUGUUCGUUUGUCCCAUCCCUGCAAAACGCCUCCCGCCCCGCCGCCUCCUGACCCCCAUUUCUACUGGACGUCGGCCCAUCAUGCUUACAUGAUCUACUCACCCCGUCUCGCUUGGACGGCUGCCCCCUCCUGCAGAUGAAGGCUGACGCACGCAGUGACCUGGAGGGCAACCCCCGGCAGCGCCUGGCGGACUUUGCAGUGGACUGGUGGGUGGGGUUCAGGGCGUGGCGUGGGAUGUGGUGGGGUGGGAGUGGCGGUGGGAGGAGAGCUAGUCGAAAACACACCGGGACUGUGGGACUGGGGCCUGGCAUGUUCGGUGAGCAGUGGCUAGUUCGUGUGCCCACCAAUACUUGCUGCCUUUAUUACCUCGGCACGGCGCGGCACGGCGUGUGGCCGCGUGGCAGACCUUGCACCCUGCCGUGGGGCGCUUCGUGUUCGCUCACACACUUCCUCUACUCCUGCGCCCACACGCCCGCAGGCACAUGACGCGCUUCGGUCUUCGCAACCUUGCCGAGCUGAACCUGCUGGAUCUGAUCGCCAGUGUGCGGCAGCACUACAAGACCGCGGUGCGCGUGCGCUGGUUCGGCCAGUUCACAGGUGGGCGCGGUUGGGCUGCGUGAGCGGUUGAAGGGGGGAGGGUGGAAGGGGAGGAUAUGCUGGGGCGGUCUCGUGGGGUCCUCGUGAGGGUAGUAAUGUGAGGAGCGUGCGGGGAUGGGUUGGCAUGAGGUGGUUGGGGAGGUGCAAGGGCUCCCCAACGAUGGUUCAGACAGACUGGUCAUGAGAGACCGGGAAAGUUUUCGGGAUUGCGGUUCGUUCACUCAUACGCUGUAUCCGCUUCAACUCACCCGGCUAAACCACCAUCACCAACACCAACACCAACACACAACCCCGCCUUUCCCCACCAACCCCAGGCCUGGUGGAGGUGGGUGACCAGGUGGACACCACCCCGCACGUGUCCUUCUACCUGCACCUGCUGGCCUGCCUGGCCGCGCCCAACUCCCUGGUCAGCCUCUUCCCCGACACAGCCGCCUCGGGCGGGGCCGCCAGCGAGGAGGCGGGCGGCGGCACGCCCCCCGUGGCGGUCAAGGCGGCGGUGCUGCCGGAGGCGAUCAAGGCCAUCUACAGGUGGGGGGCUAAGGGGGUAGCCCUUCAUUUGGAGAACCGAGUGGGGGGGGGGCGGGUGUAAACGCCAGCCCAAGCUGAAUAAAAUCGAACUGAGCCGCUCUCCCCCACACUAUCUCGCAGGUAUCUUAACGAGCCCGAGUCCGCCACCGCCUUCCUGGCCCGCGCCUGCGACCCCCUGACCGACCCCGACUCCCAGACCGUGCCGCUGGACCCCCUGGUGGCCCUCCUCAUGGCCGAGUACCAGAAGAGGGUGAGCGGGGGGGGGGGAUCGGGCAGCAGCCAGAAUACGAAACCAAGCCAGCGGAGCGGGGGGGGGGGGUUAUGUGCCCGAGCCCAACGAAAUGGGUCCUGAAUAGGCGGGAUGCAACACGGAGACGGAGACGGGAGAGGGAUUAGGUCGUCCACUGGUGGAUACAGCAGCUACAAUUCUUGGGGGCAACCGCGUGCGCCUGCUGUCCCUGAACGUCGGCUGCUCCACUUCGCACGCUCAUCCCUGCGUCGCCGUGCCCCCUCGCGGCCUUGCCGUGCCCUGCCUCGCGCCCACCCACCCCCUGUGCCGUGCACGCAGUGGGAGCGCAAUGCCGCUCAUCUGCGGGCGCUGUUCCGUGCGGGCGACUACGACGGAGACGGCCUCAUUGGGUGCGUGGGCUUGUGUAUAUUGUUGGUAGAUGGUGGAAGUUGGCACCUUGAUGCAGGGGGACGGGGAUCGCUUAUAUUGUGGUUUGGUUGCGAGACGCGUGUGCGCUCGUGUCGAUGUGGGCGCAAGGCGCCGGCAGAGUGCCGGGUGCCGACCAGGAUGCCAGUUGCCACGGCUCGUUGCAGAUGACCUUACACUCGCACCGCGUGAUAAAGCUGGACGCCCGCUCCACACACAUAGUUCAACAGCGAUAACAACAGCACAGCUCACCGCAUAGCUCUCCAACCUCAUCUUUCACAAUGCAUCGCAGCUACGACGAGUUCGUGGCCAUCGUCCGGCAGCUGCUGCCCGACAGCGGCGACCGCGCCUUCACCAAGAUGUACGGCGAGGCCAUGCGCAAGCUGCCGGCGGGCCAGAACCUGCUGGACGUGGAGACCUUCCUCGGCGUGGCCAGGGCCUUCGGGUGAGGGGAGGGGGAGCUCUUUGCCCGAGCCCAAAGAAAUAAGUCGCAAUAAGGAGGGGGGAGGGCGUGUGGGAUGGGUGGGUGGGCGGCUGGGUGGAAAUGGAGGAGGGCGCAGCAGUGGCUGGGUGAUUGUGGAGUGUGGGUAGCGGAGCAGCCAAAGGCCCGUGGGACAGCGGGAGCGUGGCCCGCGAGGAAGGCUAGCCGCCCGGACCAAUGGAUGUUUGACGUCCGUAAUGUACAUGCUCGAGAGCGUUGAAGCAUCCCGUUUACCUUGAGCGUGCCUACCCUCCUGCGUUCCUGCCUGCCCGCAGGUGUGACCGCUGGCGCAUUGAUGCCGGCCCCACCGCCUCAGCUUACGGCGGCGGCCCGUACGGCAUCGUCACAUCGCCCUCGGGCGCGGCGGCGGGUGGUGGCGGGCUCAACGGCCCCAGCCGCAGCGGCAGUGUGUUGGGCUCGGCGCCGAGCAUGGGUGAGAUACGGCUCCGGCGGUGGUGUGGGAUUGGUGGUGGCAGCGGCGGCGUAGAAGAGUCCUUGGAUUCACCAGUGCCCCCAUGCAACUGCUCAACAACCUAACCACAUCUUCCGCCCUCCUCCCCUCCUUCACCUGCCCUCCUUCUCUAACCCCUCUCCCACCCCGGCAGUUCCAUGUUUCAUACAAGUUUUCGCAUGAAUGGCUACCCCAAUUCCCCUACCUCCUUCCCACCCGCUCUUUACCUGCUGCCCGCCAGGUGCGCUGCGCGCCCGCGCCACCUCCGCCGCCUCCAACCUGCGGCGCACGGAGAGCGUGGUGGGGCUGAGCGAGCCCGACCGGGCGCUGCUGCGGGUGCUGGACGGAGCCGUGGAGGGACUGGAGCCGCCGCUGGAGGAGCAGGUGGGGGCGGCGUGUGUGUGUGUGUGUGUGUGUGUGUGUGAGUGUGUGUUUGUGUGUGUGUGUGUGUGUUAAAAACGAAACGAAAGCCCGCGCAGACCACGCCAGAGUUACUUACCGUGUGUGUGUGUGUGUGUGUGUGUGUGUGUGUGUGUGUGUGUGUGUGUGUGUGUGUGUGUGUGUGUGUGUGUGUGUGUGUGUGUGUGCGCGCGCGUGUGUGUGUUAAGGAGGGAGGCAUGUUAUUUUGAGCGUAUGUAUCCGGGGAUAUCCGCACGCGCGCAUUUGUGUACAGUAUGCGUGUGUGUCACCGUCCACACUCGUGGUCCACACGCACAUCGUCCACACGCACCACCCCUCACCUCGGAACCGCCAGACCCCCACCGCCCCCCCACCCCACCCUCCGUACGCAGCUGACCAGCCUGCUGGACAAGCUGCGAACCUCCGCCGCCGCCACGGCGCAGCGCGCGGAGGCACUGACCGCCGCCACCGCCGCCCUGCCCGGCUUUGAGCUAGGGGGAGGGCCCAAUGCCAAGGAGUUGGCGACGGCGGCGGCGGAGGACAACGCUAUGGUCAGUGUGGCCUGGGGUGGGGUGGGCUUGGGGCGUUUCACAGUACCGUACCCAGCAUACACCAGCAAGGGUCUAGAGGAUAGCUUUCAACGUUGCCCUUGCUACCCGAAGCGGGUGUUACCACCACCCCACCCCACGCCGCUCCUCUGCCCCAACUCCCCAUUCAUGGGCCUCAUUCUUUUCCCUCACCCCCCUGCUACCCUCUCCUUCUCCCCCCUGUAGAUCUCCAAGCUGGAGGCCCAGUACUCACACUUCAAGACCACCUACGAGGACCGCACGGACCCGGCGGCGGCGUGGCUGGCUUUCAGAAUGCUGCUCGCCAGUCUGGCGGCGGCAGCAGCGGGGUGAGCUUGGAAGGGUGGAGGCGUGGGGAGGGCGUAGGCUCACGUGCCCGAGCACAACGGAUGGCGGGACAAGGGUGCAGAGGCGGGCGCCGGACGGGCGGCCUGGCACGUGUGCUAUAUUUUGUAGCAUCAGUACCAUCGGCACCCUCAUCACCCCGGCCGGCUUCACCGCCAGGGUCCGCCUCCGCCAUCACGACAGCCAACCACACUGCCAAACUUUUACCCCCACACUUCUCUCCAAACCCCUCCCACCAACCCCGCGCGCCAUGCCCGUACCGACGCGCAGGGCACGCGUCAAGCCCAACCCCUCCAACGCGCGCUCCCGCCCCGGCAGCGCCAAGUCCCAGGCUGGCGGCGACCGCCACUGGGCGGGCGCCAAGGCCCUCGCCCGCCUCACCGUGCCUGCCGUGCCCUUCCGCGCCGGAUCCAGCGCCGCCGCCUCCCGGCCCGGCACCAACGGCAGCCUAGCAGCUUCGGGGCCAUCAGGACUGCCAGGCAGCCCGAGUCUUGGGCGGGGGCUGGGCGCGGGUGGCGGCGGGGGCGGAGAGGGCAGCUAUGGCCCGGGCUCACCAGCUGCGUAUGCGUCGGGGGGAGGCGCGGGCGGAGGCGGGGGUGGGGGAGGUGGCGGGGCGGCGGGGCGGCCGCGAAGUGCGGCGACACGGUCGCCGGAGCUACCGCAUCGCCAGGUGGCACUCACACAGGUGUGAUCCGUGGUACUGGCCUCUUCACAGUGGUGCCUUGCGGCGGUGCCUGUCCUCGCCGGGGGUUUGCGUCGCCGUUCUUAUUAGCCCGCAAAGCAUUAGGCCUUACACAUUUAUAACAGGUAUCGCAAACUGCUGCCUUAACAACAUGCAGAUGAUGCAAAACGUGGGCGGUGGCGGAGCCGGAGGCGGCAGCGGCAGCUUCUCCGCUGGCGACCGGCACUCGCUGGUGCAGCCGCCGCCGUCUGGCGGGAGCCCGCUGCCCAUGCACCGCAACCCCCUGCCCGCCACCACCGGCGGCCGCAUCAGCCCCGGCGCCGGCGGCAGCGCUGGCGGGGUGGGCAGCGGCGGCCUGAGCUCGCCGGGGAGUGCGAGCCCGCAGAAACGCGGGGUGGCGUUUUCGCUGUCGCAUUCGGCAACGAAUCCGGCGGCGGUGGCAGCGGCGGCCGCCAAUGCCGUUUCGUUGGCGGCGGCACAGGCGGCGGCGGGAGCGGGAGGGCAUGGGGGUGGGUAUGCGGAGUCGAUGGAUUCCCCGGAGCUGUCUGUGGGGCGUUUCGAGGCGCUGUGAAGGGGAAGGGCGCGGGGGAAGGCGAACCGGCGGCGACUCUGGCGGUCGAGGCCCAUGUGGCGGUGCAUUGCGUUAAGCCGUUAAGAGCGUCCUGGAAUGGUUAUAUCAAUAUAUGCUUGGCAGGGCUAUACGUCUUGCAUGUUGCGGCGCGUGGGAUAAAGCGAAGCCGGCGCCGCGUGUACGCGCGGCGGACUCGACAGGGCGCGACGGAUAAUGCAUUCAAAGUGUAGCGCACCAAGGUCCAAAAUUCGCUCGCAAGCAGGCUGCGCAUUCACGAUGUAUGAAAAUGCAACAGUUGCACAUUGUGAGUUCCUGGCGCGGCGCACUGGCUCGAGCCAGCUGUCUUGCGCUGAACAAACCGUGUCCGACAUGCGCAACUGCGUUCUCGCUUCGUGUGAUUUCUGAUAUCAUCGCGCCUCAUUCACAUAACUUACACUGCCAACUCUUUUCCACGCUGCUCGGUGUGGAAAUUUCGGCCAGAGACACGACUAGACGAAACCCUACGCGCACGCAGUCAUUAGUUCGAGUUACAUGAAUGCAAGGCCGAUUGUCGCCGCCGAUUGUCGCCUAUCUAAUUUGGGCUAUCGGUCCGCCACUGCUUUCGUAGAUUUUCGCAGCGAAGAGCCCUCUUGCGGCCGUAUCUGUAUCCGCGUAAUGCUCCACUGCAACGAGUGACGCGAUGGAGCUUUGUUGCUAUGCGUGAGCGCCCACUCCCACGCAAGUCAACCCCGCCGUGCGCGGUGUGGAGUUUUACCAGCUUUCGCAAAUUGACAAUCUUAAGCGUAAUCGUGGUAUUGAAUUCCAGACUAGGCACCGACUGCGUUGCAGCUACUGCGGCCGGUGGCGAACGAGCGCUUCUGCACGCGCUGCAGCACGGGCUCUAUCAUAGCUCGAAUGCGACGCAUGUAGAUGAGCUCAUCACCUCAUUGGAGAAGGUCAUAUGGCACUCCAGGCGCAUCCUCAAAAGCGGCAACUUUCAGGAGCAUCAUGUCGCGCACACGAAAUUGGAGCACGCCAACCUCACCCAAGCCAGCGACCUCACAUCCUGGGCGCGCGCUGCAACGGCAUGGCUUGGAGCUGCAAUGCGCCUACAGGCAGGCGACGCCGCAGCGGCCACACAGCAGGGGGGCGGCAUCUUCGGUGGGGUUGCAGCGCGGGUGUCGCAUGCCCGGGAUUCACACCGUCGCCGGCGGCGUCAUUUGAGCAGCAGUGAGAACGUCUUUAGUACUAGGGAGGAUGACGGUGCCGAGGUAGUUGGUGACGAUGGUGGUGAUAGUAGCGCCAGCAGGCCGCGGCAGAGGCGCGUGUUGCACGGCACGCCAGCGGCGCAACCACAGCUAGCGGCGGCGCGUGUGCUCUCGGCAGAGUCUGCUUCUGCUGCCGCCGGCCGCCUGCUUCACAGUAGUGACGACAGUAGCAGCGGACCCGAUGCUGGCAGUAGCACCGGCGGCAACAACAGCAGUGCCACCAGCACCACCGCUGCUGCCACGCCCACGACGCAGCUCCCUGUGAUUCUCUCCUUCACGCCGGAGCAGGAGCGCUUAAGGCAGGGCUACCGGCAGCGUGCGGGGGAGCUGGCGCCCUCACCCUGGCCCGCCCAGCAGUUGACGCUGUUGGUGCCGGUAAUGCGGCGGCUGCUGCUGGCGCAGUUGCUCAAGGCCUGGCUGCGGGACAUGCGGCAGCAGCUGCCGGCGGAGCCGCAGGCGGCGCAGGCGCUGGCGGUGCUGAUACGCAAGGUGCGUGCGGAAGCAAAGGGGCUCACAGUAACCUGCUGGGCAGCCCCAACAGUUCCGAGCAUGCGCGCGCACCUGUUUGAUGUUUGCUUCGCCAAGCGGUUCAUCCCUGGCCUGGCCUCACCCCGGCACCCCCUGCCCGCAACGCAGCUGUUCGAAGUGCAUGUGGGCAGUGUGGUGCAGCGGGCGGCACUCGAGUACUUCCACAUCUCCAAGGCAGGAGGCACUAGCUGGACAGUGGCGGCCAGUGAGUGGGCGGGGCGGGGAAGGCAGGACGUGUGUGGUGCAUGGGAAAGCACAAGGGUAGCGGGUUAGGACAUGUGUGCGUGCUUGCGUGCGUGCAUGUGCACGCGUGUGUGCGUGUGUGCGCGUGUGCCUGUGUGUAUGCGUGUGUCCGUGUGUGCGUGUGUGUGUGUGUGUCUGCAUGUGUGUGUGUGUGUGUGUGUGUGUUUGUGUGUGUGUGUGUGUGUGUGUGUGUGUGUCUGCGUGUGUGCGCGUGCAUGUGUGCGGGCGUGCGUCGCCCACCACAUACAACCUGAUCUCAGUUAAUUGGGGUAUGCUGAGGGAUUGUGCCCCUUUCAACCGCGCAGAGAGCAACAAGUGCCCUCGGCCAGCGGCGAGGGGCUGCCGCGUGAAAGAGUUUGACGACUCGUGUCGCUGGCUCAACCGCACAGCACUGCUGGAUGUGGGCGUGCCACAGGGCCGCCACCACAAAGCGCCGUGAGUGCAGGAUUGAUGCGCGCCUGACCGCACACCUGACCGCCUGCAGCCCUGUAACCCCCUCGUCAGGCUCGGGCAUGUAACCUGGGACCCAUUCCACAUCGGAUGGCAUUUGACUUUGCCCUCGCCUGGCUCCGUACUGUGUGCGCUGCCGCCAUCCAUUUGGGGGGGUGCUCACAGGUGGGGUCGCUACGGGCACGUGGACCGAAGCACCGAGUACGCCACGUGCGCCCAGCGGUACGAGUACGUACGGCGGCGGGGUUUCGUGUACACCACCAACGAGUACACGCUGCACAGGUGGGCGCCGGGUAGAACCGUACUUGUCUAUGGUACUUGCGGUACGGUGCGCGCCGUUGGCCCGUUUGUAUUACGUUCGUUUCCCACCCGUCGUCCGCCCGCCCCCCUACCCUCAACCCCAAUUACGGACACUACUGCGCUGUUGUUUUAGUCCACUGUCCUCUGCAAUAACUGUGAUUGCGCUGGUCUCCGUUUUCUUUCUGUGCCGGGCGGUUUCUGUUGGCAGAGACCUGGCGCCGGAACGCAGCCUGGAUGAGCGCGCUGAGGUGCUGAGUGCGGAGCAGGUGGUGGAACGGCUGCAGUCACCCGAGGGGCAGGAUGCGUGGCACUCGGCACACCUGUGCCCGCAGUUCGUCAACAUCCUGACCGUGCGGUGAGUGAGGGAAAGGAGGUGGUGUUUUCGGGGAUGUACAUUGGAGUGUACAGCAUUCCUGAGCGAGGAGAAGGAGGGUGGAGGGCGGCACAAGCAAGGUCUCAGUUUGCGCAGUCCAGCAGCUGCCAUCGCGUUCCUGCGUUGAUUGCAGGCGUGCACUGCCUGUGUGGACAUUACGUGCGACCUCGUUUCCUGGCCCUCUGCACGCAGGGAGCCACGGCAGCGGCUGCUCAGCAACAUCAACUUCAUGCUCCCAUUCCUGCAGGUGUGGGUCUUAGGUGUAAACCAUGAACCCUGAAUUUGCAAUCAUGACGAUGGCACUGAACUUGGUACCGUAUUUGCUUACAACUGCAACGGAGGAGUCCAUCAUGACAUGGUUGGUGUUGAUGUGCGCUGAUGCUGUCUUUGGCCUAUCUCGAAACCGCAUGCCCAACCCGCCCAGUUUGUGCAUGCCUGCCCCGCCGCCGGCCUGUUUUGACAAAAAAAAAGUUCACAUAUCUGCGCACAUUGACGCAUGAAACUUGCACUGACAGUGCGGCCCUUUCUGCUUUUGCUCACGUUUGUGCUAAGCACAGAGCCAGCUGUUCCCCAUCCGCAAGCGGAACGACACCCAGUCCGCCGCCCAAGUCGCCGACUUCCAGGCCAUUUUCUGUAAUGCGCCGUCGGAGACGUGGGAGACCGUGGUGCCGCCCGUGGCUGACAACUACAACGUCCGGUGAGAGAGCCCUCUGUCGCACGGCCCCGAAUGAUGGGGGCCAGGCUGGGAUCCGCAGCUAGCCUUUGGCAGAUGCUUCACUGCGGUUUUAACCCUUCAGCAGGACUUCUUGGCUGCGAAGCCUGUAUCUGAGUCUGCCGCAUAGUGCAUCCUGUUGCACCCCCAAACCACGCUCCUGCCAUCGGCCACCACCGCACAGGACGCUGUUGGGCGAGCUAGGGUUCCACCUGCCGCUGUGGUCCGUGGGUCCCGAGCACGUGGCCGCAGCCGAGUCCCAGCUGCUGCGUGUGAGUGGAAUAGGGUGCCGCUGGCCGGCCGAUGCCAGCCUGGUAAAAUUUUGGCUCCCGUUUACCGUCCAGGCCGUGAGGGGUGUUACAGGCGCGCGUCUUGUUGCAAACCGCAUGCGUACAGAGCUGCGUGCACGCACGGCUGCAUGGCUCCAUUGCCAUGUGCGAGCCGGUUGUGGGCUCCACCCACCACCGUACCAUCGUGCCCACCACGGCCGCCCCGCUGCCGCCCCGUACCGCCCUCCCGUACCUCCUGCUGAUCCGCCUCCUCCUGCUGACGCACCUCCUCCUGCACCGACCUCUCGCUCGCCCGCAGUUCGACAUGGUGAUGGACCUGAACGCGGGCAGUGGCGCCGCCGACCUGGUUCAGAAGCAGGGGCUGGGCUGGCACGUGACACUGGCCGAGGUGCGUGGGCGCAGUGUGCGGCUGCAAGCUGCCCCUUCCGUACCUUCUGGGUGUCGAUUAUGGUGGAUCGAUGCUGAAACGCGUUGGGCUCGGGCAGUUCCGACGCAUCAAGCCGCACUAGCAGCCUAUCCCUCUUACGACUGAGAAGUGCGAGCGCUUGUCGUCGGUCUCGGGCUUACUAUCCCCUCUGUUGCAUGGGUGCAGGUUCAUGCCCUGGACUCCAGCCAACGGCAGGACCGCGUGCCGUGUGGUCUGGGCAACCUGACAAAGCUGCUGGAGAGGCAAGGGCCGGACCAGCAGUGGUACAGGUGAGCGGGAGGGGGCAGGAGGGACGGGCGAUAGGGACGCUUCCUAUCGGGCCGGGCUGGGCAUGAUGUGAGGUCAAGGAGAGCGGGGGCGGGGUGGCUCUGAGCGCCCUUUGGGGCACAGACGACGAGCUAUGGCCGCGACAAUGGCCGCAGCAGCCAAACCUGCACAUACUGACAAGAGCUGCCGCAUGUGUUUCUGUCCCUCUUGCGCGCGCGUGCGUAUGUGUGCCGCUCUGCCCAGCUUCGCGCGGGUGGUGAGCUCGCUGGACCAAAGCUUCCUGGCUAUGGCACGUGGCUUAGGCCUGGAGCCCCUUGCUACAGCCGGCGUGGACCCCAUCGCGGCUGCAGCUGCUGCUACAGCCGCUGCCGCUGCUACUGCUCGGCAAAGAGGGGCGCCGGUGGAGGGAGACGGCGCUGCGGAGCCGGUGCCAGUGGAGGAGAGCACGCCGUGUGGGCUGCUGGGAUUGCUGGCGCCGCUUGCGUUGGAGGGGCCAGACGGCGUGCCGAUAGGGGCAGGUGUGGGAUUGGCCGUGGACGGCGUGGGGCAAGGCGGGGAUGACGAGGAGGACGAACGCGAGGAGUAGCGAGCGCAGUGGGCUGGGUUGCUAUUAUCAAGAACAAGAAAAGGUGGCUCUCCCUCGCAAGGGAAAUGCUGGCUGCGCCCAUGCCACGUUGGUGCACGUUGCUGGUCGGAGGCCAAUGGUUUCGAAACUACGGUACCUCAUCUCCCUAAUAUUGCCGAGGUCGGUUCGUACAGGCAUCGCUAGCCAUGUGUCCAGCCGCGUCCCGCUGUCAAGCACAAAGCACAGCAGGCGCAGGGCAACCACAUACAGGCUAUGCUCCGCUCGCCAGCAAAGUCUGUAAACCAGACACCAGCAGGUCCGCGCCAGCACCUUUUCUCGGGCGGCGCCGCGCUCUCCUCCUCGGCUUCUCCACGUGGCCUCACCUGCCUCCUCCGCUUGUUGAGCCCACUGUGCAUGUGGCGUUUGGCAUGUAGGACAGUUUACAGGGGUGCUGCUGCUGCGCACUGUAUGAGAGUGCCGCUUGGCCUGAGAAGGAUGCGGGUGCGGUCAUCAUGAUGUAUGGUGUGGUCGUGGUAUAGGGGCAUACCUUCACCUGUCGCGCGAUCGCGACUUCCCAGUUCCGCGAGUUCCCAUCCGCGGCAGUGGUCGUGCCCCGUUUCGCGCUCUCGGCCCGGGGAGGCAGGCCAAAGGCGAGCACCUGGCUUCGUGCGCCCGCGCCGGAGCUUCUCUCACGGCUUCACAUCGCUGUCUUCGAACUGCAGUAGGGCUGUUCCAUUGCCUCAGCACCCUUGUCACUCGGUCAUCAGAUGCUUUUGAUGCCCGGCGGGGAUGGGGGGGGGUGGGGGAUGCGCAUCUGGCGCUGCCGUGCCUGCACUGCACCCCUGUCGACAGGUGUCGGCCUUGCCGGCACCAGCACUUGCGGGCGUUGCGGCACGCCGUGAAUGCCCAUGGCAACAAUGAAUGCCGCAGACACACCGACUGAACCCGUAAUGUAAUUUUCUAUGACCAAGCUGUUACUAUGAUACUUCUAAUCGGACGAUAAGAGACAGGCGUAGCAUUUCUACAAUGCCGCGAGCAGGCUGAGUGCGGAGGAGAGGCGCGGAAGCCGCCCCUCUGAAAGGACCAGGGAGAAUGCCAAUACUGCAACUGGACCGCGCGGGGAGAGAGCGCGAGGUGCGAAAGUUUGCUCGACGUUGUCAGGGCGGUCCUAGUCGGUCUUGGGCAUGCAUGCAGCCAGCGUAACUUGAAUAAAUACCACGACUGCGCUGCGACGGGUGUCCCUACCCCUCCGCAAAGGAUUGGUUGCGAUUCGAGUCAACACUCGCAAGCGUCCCUAACGUCUAAGACGAGCUUGUCUAACUGAUUGGCUGAUGAAUGUUCGAUGCGCGACGCCGUAUCAUUUUCAGCUAACGUAGUCCCUGCAACGUACUGGUACUGGGAGUGUUAGCGGCGAGCGAAGUGGCUUUUGCGCUGUGCUAGAGGUGUCAGUGAAUGCGUAGAGUGCUGGUUACGCGAUCUGUAUGCACUGCAACGUCAAGACGGCGGGCUGUUGACGGAGACCGCGUCCUUCUACGUGGUUUCCUUGCGCAGCCCUGCGCUUCCUGACCUGUUCCUGAUAGCUGCUCGAUGCAAACGUUUGCCCUCAUUGCCCAACAGGAACCACCGUGUCACCUGGACCUAUCAAAGCUGAUACAGGCCGGGACCAAGUCGUUCUUCAACAAUCCCCUGUUGUCAGACAUUGUUCUCGUCUGUCCGGAUGGACGCGCGCUGCACUGCCAUUCGGUCAUAUUGGCAGCGGCAUCUCGCCGACUAGCCGCCGCCCUGAAGCAGGGUGCGUUCGCUGUCGUGUUUCUCGACCCGUGUACUGCUGACGCCCGACUGUUGUGUCGUUUUCCUCGCGCACCCUGCGAACUUCAGCGCCUGGCGGCGAUACCCAUGCAUCUAUGGGAACACGUGGGUCACAGCUAACGCUAACCACUUGUACCUCCCCGCCUGCCAACACGGUAACGUGCUAUCCUCUCACACUCCCUCCACAAACCUAUCAGGCAACUGGACGCCAGGGCAACAGAUGCCUGUCAAGGGGGUUGACAGCGAUGCGUUAGAGACGCUCGUGUACGCCUUCUACACAGCCGAGUGCCCGCUGGAGCUGGCGCGGGUGCCAGCGCUGUACGAUGCUGCGAUCAAACUGGAGGUGCGGCGAUCACACGGUGUGAAAUGCGCAGGGUGGCAAAGUUUUGAAGCCCCACCCGACCGCUUCGAUCCUCGGCCACUUCAGCGAGUUUUCACUGUAUCUUCCCAACCGCCACAGCACCUAUGCACCAAGCACAUUUUCUGACGUUGCGCACACAAGCACACGCACGCGCACACGUAUAUAACUUCUUCUCUCUCGUUCUGUACAAUCACAUACACUAUCACACAGGUGCCCUCUCUGGCGCCCGCGCUGGAGCAGUACACGGCCAGUGCGCUGCAGCCGCACAAUUGUUGCGCCGUGCUGGAGCUGUGCCUGGGCGCCGGCGUGGGGCCGCUGGCAGAGCUGGUGCUGGAGUGGAUUCGCAGCAGGUGUGGCGGCGGAGGAUGCGGCGGGCAGAGGACGAAGGGGAAGAGCGGGGCGCUGCUCGCACAGGAAGCAAAAGGGAACGCCAGAAGCUGCAUGACCGGGGAGCGCAUAAUGUGAUGACUCAUGGGCGCGAUCUGGUUCGGAGUUGUGGGGUAUGAUGUCGUGUCAUCCUGGGCCAUCCAUGCGAUGCAGAGUCGCGGACGUGGUGCCCGGCCCCGAGUUCCGGGCGUGCCGGUUGGAGACGGCGGCGCUCAUCUGCAAGGAUCUGGCGGGUCGGAGCCAGCUCGUGGGGUUGCAGGUGCGGCGGGGUGGCGGAGGAACAGCAGCAUGGGGCUGCGGCUGGUAUUUGCCGUGCCGGCAGGGUGGCGAAUUCAGGCUCCUCUGGGGGGGUUCACUGAAGGUUGCUGUGCACCUGUGCGGCCGUGUCCCCGAGUGCUGGCCUCGAGCGCACUGAGCUCCACCCGCACCCGUGCCGUCGCUCUACUCACAACAGGUGGCUGUGGCCUGGCUGACCGCCUCCAGCGCGCGCGGCAGCCUGGUGGGUGUGUUCGCAGAGGCCACUGGCCUGGCCGUGGACGCCAUACAGGCGGUCGCCAACAGCGGCGGCGCGCUGGGGCCCAUAGGGGGUCUAGGGGCAGCCGGAGGUGGUGGCGGAGGAGGAGCGGGAGCCGGCGGCGGCGGGAUGAGUGGCCUUGGCGGCCUUGGCGCGUCGCUGUCGCUCCAUGGGCCGCACGGACCCUCGAUCAGUCUGCAGCUGGCUGUCGGCGGGGGCGGCGGCGGCGCGUCGGAUGGGCUCGGGCCGCUGGGGCUUGGCGGCGGUGGGGGCCUGGGCGGCGCAGGCGUGGGCGGCAGCGGCUCACAGGUGCUGCAGCUGCUGCCGCCGCCGGGCGGGCUCGGAGGGGGCGGCGGCGGCCCGAAUGACCUCAGCGGGCUUCAGUCGCUGCUGGGAGGAGGCCCCGGAGGGCUGGGCGGCAAGGCCGGCGCCGGCAUGGCGGGUCUGGGCGGGCUGGGGGGCCUUGGUGGGCUGGGCCCGGGGCUGGGCCUGGAUGCGCUGGCGGACGCGGCGGAGGGCGAGCGCAUGCAGAAGCGGCUGCGGCUGGGCGCCGGGGGGCCGGGCGGCUUCGGCGCGCUUGCCGAGAGCGGCUCGGCUACGUCACGGGGUGAGUGGGCCAGACCAAUGCGAGAGGAUGGCGGAGGACGACGAGGGACCCCGAGCUGUGGGCAGGGAUGGAGAUUUGCUCGACAGAGCGUUGGGCGGCGUGGAAGUACCGUACUGUCAACGCGCCAGAGAUGAAGGCAUGGGGGGCCGACACGAUCACUCGUGGGGUACUGGGCUCACCGUCAGGGGUGCCGCCCUGGCAGGCCGCGGCUCACUAGCCUUGGGCGGGCAACACUGCUGGGUUGACGACAUGGAUACGACCAGGCCAAAGGUCCGCGGCACAUUCAUGCUAUCCCACCUGCUUCCUUCUCGAUUUGAGCCUAACGCAUUUCCGCCAUUCCCGCCCACAGACUUGUCUAGCGCGCUGAUGGAUGGUCCGUUGCGGCUGGGCGGCGGCGGCCCUGGCCGUGACCUGGACCUGCCAAGCCUGUCCAUGGGCGGCGUGGGGCUGGGUGGCGGAGGCCUUGGCGGCGGGCUGGGCACGUCCAGUGGGCUGAGCGGAGGAAAUGGGGGUGGAGGAGGAGUUGGUGGCGGCCGCGGCCGGGGGCGUGGCGGCGGUCGGCGGCGGCGCGGCACUUCUGCCAGUGACGAUGACGAGGAUUACGCACCCGGCGGCGGCCGCAGCGGCGGCUCGGGCGGCCGGAGCCGCGCGCAGGUGUGUGGCGUGGCGUGAUGGGGCGUUUCGUGGGGUGCGGGAGCGUGGGGCAACGGUAUGGCAGGAACACUCUGCAGGAAGGAAAGCGUCAGCGGAUGCGUCGGGAGCGAGUGAUCUGCCACAGCGCGCACAGCGCACCGGACACGCACACACAUCACCUGUCGUCCUCGUGCUGCAUGUACUGUUCACGUACCCUCCAAGCAGGAGCUCGUCUACGAUGCUGACGCGGCGGCCAUGGACGACCCCGCCGCCGGCUCAGGCGGCGGUGGCAGCGGCCCUGGCGAAGACGCGCCCAGCGGCGGCCACGGCGACGACUCUGGGGCCGGCGGCGGCGGGGGUGGCAACAUCCCCGCUAACACGCCAGUGCUCAUGACGGGCCGGCGCACGCCGGCACAGAAGGGCAUGUGCCACGUGCAGGGCUGCAACCGCAGCCUGGCGGGCCUGAGGGACUACUACCAGCGCUACAAGAUUUGUGAGCGAGGGGGGGGGGGGGCGGGCGGGCGGCGCAGGCGCCGGGCUGCAGGAUGGCAGCGACUGGCGCAGGGGCACGCUAUGGCUUGGGGACGGCUGGCUUCUGGUCUGCGACCUGUGCAGGGACAAGGAACCACAAAUUCCUACGCCUCAACGCCAUGUGCGCUUCAGGCAUGUGCUGUUUGCCAGCGCCCUUCUUGACCACCGUAUCAUUGUGCUGCGCGACCACCACGCCGCACAUAUUGAUACGCUGGGGCACACGAGCUCAUGCACUUUGUCCCGCACGCACGCAGGUGAGCACCACCUCAAGGUCAGCCAGGUGCUCAAGGACGGAGUGCCACACCGCUUCUGCCAGCAGGUGCGGCACUCGCGGGCGGGCUCUGUGUAAUCUAUGUGUUCCAAGCAUUACUGCGCGCGCGGCCGUGCAGUCCUUGCCCGCUCCUCUCUGCCGUUCGCGUCAUGCAAACAUCGUGCUACAUCCUGCCAUCGCCUCGUCCCGCCGUGUCAACUACGAAACAUUCUCUCGGUUUCCAUCCUCGCUGCCUUCAACCCACGACCCGUCUGCCCCUCAACACACCUUUGACUCCUCCGCAGUGCGGCCGUUUUCACCCGCUGACGGAGUUCGACGGCGACCGGCGCUCCUGCCGCACCAUGCUUCAACGGCACUGCCACCGCCGCGCCAAGCAGAAGCAGGAGCUGGCGGAGGUGCUGGCGCAGCGCUACGAGGAGAAGCAGGUGCGGCAGGGCGACAAGGGUUCGCGGAGAGGGCGGGUGUGUUCGCUAAAGCGCACCGUGUAUCGAGCUCAAGGUCUGGGAUGUCCGCGACCAACAUCCAGCGGCGGGCAGCCAAUGCGUGCCUGUCGCGACUGUUGAGCCUCGCACUUGCACACUCCUGAUACCGUUAUACCGGCUGCAACUUCAUGAUAAAAUGCUACGGUGUACGCAGGUGGCUGCGAGCAUGACGGCCGUGAUGGCGGCCAUGGCCCGUGGCACUCCCGCGGGCGUGCCCGCACUGCCGCCCAUGCUGCAGCUGCAGUACCUUGCCGGACUGCCCGCCGCCGCUGCAGCCGCCGCCGGCCGGGACGACGGCGGCGCCAAGGAUGAGGACAUGGAUGGCCGAGGCGGCGGCGGCCGCAGCCUGCCUGCAGGGCUGCACUCGCCGCCGUCGCGAGCGGCGCUGACGGAGGCUGUGCAGCAGCGUGCGCGUAAGCAGCAGGCGACAGUGCUGUCGCAGUCGGGUCUGCUAGGGCUGGCAGGCAGCGGCGAGGGCCUGCCUGAGGGGCAGCUUGCGGCCGCCAUGGCCGCUGCCGCGGCGGGCCUGACGCUGGGUCUGGACAACCUGCCGGCUGUGGGGCAGCUGCCGGGGAGCGGCGGGGUGGCAGAACGCAAGUUCGGCGACCAGGAGCUCCUGACCGGAGGCGGCGGUAACGGCAAGGAGGAGCAGCGUGCUGGGGCCGCAGGCGCUGGCAGCCCGCCGAGCGCGGCGGCGGCGGGCCGCCGCGCCGGCGGUGAGGAGCCGGCAAGCGGGAAGCACGAGCCCGCAGACACGGAAGGAGUCGGCGGUGGCGGCGGGGCAGGCGACAGCGGCGAAGAUGGCAACGGCUCGCGGCCGGCGACGGGCGGCCGAUUUGCUGCCGCCUCCAAGGGCGAGCCAGGUGGCGGCUCUGGUGAUGGGCUCCAGCGCGUGGAUGGCGGCGGCGACUCGCCUGGCGGGAACGGCGCAGGCGCCGUGGGGGCACAGUGGGGGGCGGGCGACGCUGCCGCGUGUGGUGCCAGAGGUGGGAGGGACGCCGCCGUGCCCUCUGGCCUUGACGGUAGAAGUCAGCCGCGAGACCUGUGACAGGUGGGCACAUCCCCCAUCACAGCCGCUACCAUGCAUGUCAUGUGGCGCCGUGGAGUAUCGACGGGUUGGUUCGGCCGCGAUUCGCGGACUCAAUGCAAGAGCCUUUUCUGCCGGGCACCUAGGCUAUCAUGCUGCGCGCUAUUACUAAGCUCCCGAACUGACUAUGCAGAUAGGUUGUCGCAUCCGGUGUUGGAUGGCCUUACUGAUGUGUGGUGCGUGUCGCUACCGUAUGCUAGUUUUAUCCUUACUCAUGGCCUCAACUGCGCGCGGGGCCCGCAUGAGCUCACUCAAUUGGCUCAUCCAAGUGACGUAUCCAUGCAAUGCCACGCCCGGGCAGCGCCUGGAGCCCAUUUCCUUCAUGUUGUUACACGCUGUUAGAGUGCUUUUGAGGUGACAUGACGGCACCGCCGCUGUGGGGUUUGGUUCUCCGAGCUUUGGUUCACCGUGAGGGGCGCUCCAGUCGCAAUGCCAUGCGUCAUCUCUUUUCUGUCGUGCAAUUGCAUCGUGUGCGCGGAGGCCCAGCUGAUAUGGUUGUUUUGAUGUUCGAGGGACCCUCGCGUAUACUACUCUCCAUGCGCUGAUCGCCCACAUCACGGCGAGAUUGUUGCUAUGCUCAAGACUUCAACAGGUGACAAGCCGGGAAUGCAAUGGCUGCGACGCUAGUGCAGACUGCUUGGGAUCGUAUACGUACAUGACCACAGGCGACAGACCCGCGAGAGUCUGACGUUGCUGGCAGGGCGUGCGUUGUCGUGUCACAGGCUGCUGGUAGCAUGGAUAUGCGUGAUUGCAUGUUAGGGUGCCUGCGUAUAGGUGCAAACGCUGCUGCUGGAGCGGCUGAGCACUGGCGCUUACCACGCCAUGCAAGCGCACGGGGCGGGAUGUGCGGGCUGGUAUCACCUGCGCGUGAGAACCGCGAGACCAACCUCGUGCGGGCCAUGUGACGCGAACGGCGGGUAGCUGGACUUACAUGCAGUAUUGUGCUGUGCGGUAGCCUUAAUGGUCGUGUUGUGGAGCUCGAAUGGAAUGAGCAGUAUCAGGAUGCACCCCACAACAAGUUGAAUCGCGGCUUUUGCUUCGACGGCGCCUGAACCCUGAGGUUUGGACAUGGCUGCUGAGGUGGCGCUAGCUGUUUUGCAUUGCAUUGUUUGAACGUAGCCAUGCCAUGAGACUUGAUUUGGCAAACGGGGGUUGGCGAGAUUUCAACGCUUAGAGAGUUUGCAUGGGCGACAGGCUGAACCGGCACAUACGUGCAAUUACAUGGUCGGCGCUGGUAUGGCAGAAUCAUGUUUCCGAUGAGACUGUUGCAUCUCUUUCUCAAUUGACAACAGAGAGCUUCGAGAAUGGUCAUCUUGGUAAUGGUGUGAGGGGAUGGGGGAGUCCUUUUAUGGGGUGCCGUCAAACCAAUGCGCGUGGUCAUGCCGGCGAUAGCACUCUCUUUCCAAUGCUAGCGCCGGGAACUGGACGCCACGGCUGAAGCUCCCGUGCGCACACGAGCUAAACGUGUGUCAUGUGCAUGGGCUCAGCCCACUUGUCCAUUGCGACGGAAAUUUUCUUGUUGUUUACGAAUAACGCGAUUGCAAAGACAGUUUGACUUGACGUGGACGGCGGACUACCACUGCGUAGGGGUUUGAGGGGUAGCGUAUCUGCGUUGAGGUUUAAGCAGUUGCUAGCAAUGACGUGUCACCGCAAAGUGGAGCAGGCGGCUGCGGCGAUGCAAAGCAAUCAAGCGCCCCAGGAGCCUGUUGAGUUUCGGAGCAGUCACGACAACACAAAUGAUUCCUAUGCAUGAAGCUACCCCAUCGUCCUUUCUUUAGUCCCAAGAGUACUACGGUAUGCGCGCGCGCGUGUGUGUGUGUGUGUGUGUGUGUGUGUGUUGUGGCGUCUGGUGUUGUAAAAAUGCUAUGCAAAGCAAAGGGGAGUACAACCAGUACCGGUAUCUGCAAAAUUGUCGUCAGGGGCGGUAGGCCGGCAGAACACGGCCGGGGGCGAUCGGCUGAACGGAGGGUCUUCGGCAUCAAGAUGGGCCGACCGUGCCCGUGUAAGAACCUCCGCUCUUCUCUUCCUCUUCAGCUCAUGGGCAUUCGAGCACAGCAGGGUCAUAGGGAUGGAGGGGGGACGCAGCGGAUGGGCGGUGACAUUUUGUACUUCGGGGACAGGUUCGAUGUGGUUUGAGAGCUCCCCCUCCAUGCUGGGCACGUGCUCAAAUGAUGUGCAGCUCUAGGGACUAGGGCAUAAGGUAAGCUCUAGUUGGUCAGUUGGUGGCAUCUGGCACAUCUGCCUGUGUGGGUGUUAACGGAUGUUGACGAAGGCGGCGGCCGCGUUGGCAGUGGCGCUGUAGGGGCUGGCGCCUUGUGGCCACAGCGCUAUCGGAAAUGUCGCCGACCAACUCUCUCAUAUCUCCAAGCCAGGUUACAGCCCAUCGGCGCCCAGGCCAGACUGCAUAGAUGUGUGUCACGAUCCUUCCCACAGUCCCCAUCUUUUUCCUGAUGCCGUCCCCGCAAGCGCGCCGGCACAAGUGUUGGUUCGGCACAUGGAGGCAUGGUUCCAAGCAGCCAGUCAUUGCGAGAGCAUUUACCAUGGUGAACAGCCUCGUACAAAUAACAGUAAGUUGCCACCAUUGCCGACCAACGCCGUGGGUUCAAAAGUGUACUUCGCACGCAUGGGGUUCAUCCGUGGGGCGGGGCGGCACGUGUGGCUCUCGGCAGACUCCCCAUGUCUGCACGCCGUAUUAAAGUAGUGUCCAUGCUUUACGCCUUCUGCAGGCGAAAAGCGCUGAACAAACCUGGCCUGGAGGGCCUUGACAUCACGGACCUAGGACCGGAUGGCCGGGGUUUGAACCGCUCCCUCAUCUCUCCUCGGACUCCUCAAGCCCUGGCGCCUUCUGGUUGCUCAGGCCGGAUGCCUCAUGACUCGAAACAUACAGAACGACAACAGGGGUCGUGCGGCGCGGCGCUGUCCCUGCGUCCUCCAACGCCUUUCAAUUCCCUCACUCUCCUCUAGUCCUCGCCCAAGACAUAAGCCAGAUCACAAUUCAGAUAAAUUUAGUUGAGCAGUAAGCCUGGUGCAGUCCAACGCAAAGGCGCGCAAGCACUUCACGUCGACAGCUGCCUCUAGUGUGCGCAGUGCGCGCCGGCUGGCUGAGCGGCAGUGGACAAGAUGCGCAGUGCGCACUCAGCAACCGCAUGUGCGGCCCCAUAUCAAGCAAGGCACCGUGCUGGCAAUCAGUGCCGGUAUUGACGAGCAGUAUUGGCGAGUGGCAAGCAGUAGCAUCAGCUUUUAGGCGGCGCUGGCGUCCUCGGCACCGAAGAAGCGAAUGCUGUUUUGGAAGACCAGCAACCCAAUCUGCGGGCACGUUGACAGCGCUUGCCGGCGUCAGCAGGAGCACCAAGUGCAGGGACAGGCGGUGUGUAGUAUGGUACGUAUUCGGCAGUAGGUGGUUGACCAGUUCUGUGCGAUGCUGCGUGUGUAGCCACCCGACUUGACAGGGCUGUCAACCGCCCCGGCGAACGGUGACCAAGUGCACUCGCAGUUGCGUGCCAUUUCCGGAGCGCCUGCUGAGCGCCUUGUAAGCGCCCCCUGCCUACCCCACGCACGGGACAGCAUGCCUUCCUGCCCUUGCCCCUCACCGCUCCUUCCCCUCUCUCACCGUCUGCCCGAUGCCCAGCCUCAACGCCUUGGGCACGAAGCCCUUGUACAGCGCCCGUGGCCCCUCCUCCACGUAAAUGCGCCGCAACGUGGCCAGUGUGCUGGUGUAGCCGCGCGCCACCCGGUCCUCGGGCAGCAGCGCCUGGAAGCGGCUCUUCACCACGUCUGAAGUCGGUGAUGGAAGGGCAUUGGUGUGAGAUGUUGUUGUUCGCGACAUGUGUGUUGUUGGCGGCAUGUGUGGCGGCGGCAUGUGCACUUGUUGGCGGCAUGUGUUAUGAUGGAGGGAUUAGUGGCACAACGUGUGUGGUGUGCUCUCGGUCAAAUUGUUUUGGCGGGCCCAGGUGGAUACCUGUACACCCACCACAGGUUCUGUGACAAGGCAUUCCCCUCACGUCGCCCUUACCGAAGGGCGCGUUGAAGCAAGUGGCCAUCAUGCCCACCCCCGUGCCCACCACGAUGGUCCUGCAGGAAGCGGAGACGGAACGCGCCAUAGUGCAUUACUAGGAGCACCUUCCCACGAUCACUGGCUUUAGUCUAAAGGACAACAGGAGCAGUAGCUUGGAGGACAGCUGGAGUCACGUGUUUGGAUUCACAACCAAACGCUUAAGCACUGAAGGCAGCAAAACGCCGUGCCAAUCGCCAAGUCGCCGUGUCGGUCGCCAAGCAGCAAGUCUGGCCUAUCCUCACCUCGCCACCGCCAGCACGGGGUUCUCAAUGGGCGUCAACAGCCCCCCGGCGUCUGACAGCUGGUGCAUGGUGCCUGAAGGUGCGCGUGUUUGGACAGACCAGGGAACUUGGGGUCGACUCUGUGCAGGCGGAGCAUGUGCAAGCACACAGCACGCCCGCAAGUGUGCAGAGGCGCGCACUUAUGCAAUUGGACAACGGACCGAGCUUACUGUGCAAAUUGUACUGGAUACCGUAGAUGGCUAAAUGCUGAUGCGGUGUACCUGGAUCAUGUCCAUGCGCCUUGUGCUCUGGCCUCGCGCAGCACGUCUUGUCACCAUCUGCUGAUCCCUCACCGCCACCCUGUACGCCCUUCCCAUCCACCAUUUACACCGCCCAGCCCUCCCCUGGCCCAGCCACUGAGCUUCUCUGUUUAUCGUGCCCGCCACCUCCCAGCGUUCACGGGCAUCCAGCUGUCUGUAGCCGGCAUUGUGACAUGUAUCAUGCAAUCAUGCGCCCUCGCUUGCCCCCCACCCCCGUGCCCCAACUCCUCGUCCCUCUUGCCUCCCCCCGCCCUCCUCCGCGUAGCCCGCACCGUAGUAGGCGGCGUUCCAAAUGGUGUUGCGCCACAUGGUGGGCCCCAGCCCCGCCGUGAGGGCGGCCGGACCCUCCUCCCGCAGCACCCGGCCCAGGCAGUCCCAGCUGUUGCGGUAGCGGCCGAGGUGCUCUUUCGCCAUCAGACGAACCUGCGUAGACCAGGAGGGGGAGAAGCAGUGAAGUGGACAGCGAACGGUCACAUGGCCAGGAUAAUUUCAAAGGCAAACCGCUGCCGUGCAGGCAGCGGCUGCCGCAUGGGCAUGCCAGAAACGCCUUUUCGCCAGCUCCCGCCCCGCGCCGCCCAGCGCUUUUCCUCGCGCGCCUCGUUCCACUUAUCCUUCCCCGCUUCCUCUCCCACCCUCUGCCCUCCACCCCAACCCUCCUUCUCUCCCUCUUCCCCUCCCCCGGGGCCGUAUUUCUCUCCCAAGUCCCCACCUUGAUGACCUGGAAGGGCUGGAACGCCAGACCCUCGCUCACGCCGCUGAGCGCCCCACUCAGGUAGCCGCCCGCGCCGCUGAGCACUCCGCCAUUGGCGCGCCGCAGCUCGCGCUGGCUGAACUCCAGUGUGGAUAGAGCGGCGGUGGCGCGCGGGAUGAGGCCUGGGGGAGUGCAAGUCCAGUAAAGUGGGAUGGACCAAGACGUUCGAGUGCAGGACAAGCAGCGAGUCCAGUAGUAGACAGGAGUAACGUGACUGCAGCCCGUGCAAAGCCCUCACACGAUCCACGAGUAGCACUUAGUCACACCAGCCCUUCCCCGGGACUGUAUAGUUCGUUCUACUAGAGGAAGGAGCGGUAUGAUUGCCUGGCCCUGGAGAUCUCACCCACUAUCUCUGGCAGGCCCCCCCGGUAGAACUGCAGGAAGCCGCCCUCGCGCAGCACGUCUCGUAUGGUGGGCAGCAGCUGAAGCGGCUGGCCCGGGUUGAUCUGAAACCUGUAGCGGUGCGACAGGCGGGUGUGCGAAUCAGGACUGCAGGUGCGGAACGGCAAGACGACACAGUCACGGAGACAAAGGAGCGCUCGACCGCCUCGCAGCUGACCGCAGUGCCGCACCGGGUCUUCAACAGCUCCAGGGGCUGUAUACUCAGACCUUCCACAAUCUGUGAGCGUGUGUAUGGGCGGAAGGGGUAUUGCCUCGGCAUGGCGGGGCUAGAAGAUAUGGGUAAUGGACUGCUAACGAACGUGGAGCGGCGAGCCCCGCACGCGGACACAUACACAGCUGGCCAGCCACUACUGUAGCGCCACCACCGACCGAACUAAAAGCCAGCGCGGCCUUACCCCCGACAGCGCUCCGCUGAGAAACACAUAAUGACUUCGGUCUGCAGGUGCGGCCGGAGGAGCUUCCGCCGUUGCAAGCUCGCCCAUUUAGCGCCAAGCCCCGAACCGAUGUUUUACUAGCGUUUGUUAUUUAGUACAGCUAUGAUCUAUGCUGCAAGUGUUCUGCUAAAAAGAACGUUGCUAUACCCGGACACUCUGCAGUGCAGUUCCCAAGCUUGCUUGACAGACUUGCACAGAAUGAAUCUUGAAUGGUACCGCUGUGGAUAACUACUAACCCGUAUGGGGCAUAACAUCACCUGUUGAUGAAUUUGGCUGGGCACAAUUGUUCCUUGCAUGGGCGCAAGGCGACCACUUACUACUAGCAACGGGCUGCUGCUUUGCCUUAUGACACCUAAACUUAUGUCAGUGCUAUCGAGUAUCUAUUUGACAAUUCUUAACAUACGCACACGGUAGAAAACACGGGACCUGUUUCUUAACUGCGCUCUCGUUAUUGCCUAGUGAAGUAUUCUGCGUAUUGCUUGUAUCUAUAAACUCUCAUUGACGUAUCUGCUGCUUACUAAACGAGCGCUAUUUGUGCAGAGGUAGGUGAAGCGGCGAAGGGACGUAGCAGUUUGUAUAGCUCUAGUUUGCAUUCUUUGGUAGAGCAUCGAUUUGUGUUUCCUGUAACAUGCUGCUACCGCGGUGGCUCGAGCAUUUGCGGGGGCCUUGUCGAGGGUCGGCAUCCGUCGCACGCAGCUUCGUAUGCUCGCGCUGCAGCCCUGCCCGCUUGCCCGACUAAACCUAAUUAUGCUUGUGAUGGAACCCUCCACAACAGACGCGCGCCAGGCGGCUGCAGGGUUAGGGGGCCCGUGCGCAUUUGUCAGUUCGCGGACAGUAUGUUGCAACGGGCAGACAGGCGGCACGAGCCAACAGCUUAGGCAGAGCUUGCAAGGAGGCAACAACAGAAAUGGACGUCGAUGCUGCUGGUCGUCCCCUGCAAGCACAGGCCAACCUGCGUGCUGGCGACAGCUUGUGCGCCGCGGCGGACUGGCUGCUUGACAGCGUCGCCGGGUGCAGCACCGGCUGCAUCACGGCACCGGCCGGAAACGCAAAUGCACUAGCGUUCGACCUUCAUGCUUCAGCUCAAGCGGCGGUCGCGAGCGCUGCCUUGGGUGAGGGCGCGGAGCUCGACAUCCCGGCCGACAUCGACCUGGACGACCUGAACUGGGAUACCUUCCUUGAAGCCGAAGGCAUGCAGCCAGACGUAGCUGGCAACGCGGCCGCUCAUGAAGUCCCUCUUGGCACCGGCGUCAGCCCACACAGCUCUGCGGGUUGCUGCACCGCGCCCGCGACCUGUGGCAGCCCGCGCCCAACCGCCAUCACCACAGGCGCACCGGCUCUUGCGGCACAGCAGGGGGCGGCGGCGCCAGCGGCGGCGGCGGCAGCCCGACCUGACACGCUCGACCCACAUCCCGGGUAUCAUCACCAGCAGUCCUCAUCAAUAAUGGUGACAGCGCAGCGGUGCCGUGCCCAUCCGACCCUGCUUUCAUCGCCGCGCGUGCAACCCCCCAACCCGGGCCACUCGCGCGUGCUGGAGCAGCAGCCGCCCCUUCUGUACAGCAGUGGCAGCAGCUGCGGGCCGGCUGUUGCCCUGGCCCCCAUCAACCUGCCACCUCUGCAACGCUGCCCUACCUCGAGCCUCCCCAAGGGCGCCAAAGCAAGCGGUCAAACUGGCGUGGAGGCUACGGCCGCCGCAGGUAGCGAGGGCUCGCCGCAGCCCCUUGUGCCAGCCUCGACCCUCACGAUGAGCAGCAACCAGACCGCUGCCGCCGCGGCGGCGGCUGCAGCAGCGGCGGUGCCCGCCAUUGGUCUCCACGCCGGUGAGGGUGGCGCCACCGGCGGCCCUGGUGAGGACAGCGACUCUCUGCUCAGCAGCAAGGGCAGCCAAACCACCAGUGCAGGCACUGCCCUGUGCCCGGCCGCCGCUGCCGCCGCCGCGACUGGCGCCGCCGCAUCCGCUGCCGCUGACGCAGGCGAUGACCAGCUCCCUGUGACGUCGCCCAAGCAGCCGUGUGCCGACGACACCGCCGGGCCGGCGCACAGGCCGUCGCUGCCCCUGCUACCUCCGCAAGGGGGCGCAGCAGCACAGCCAGCGGCACUACCGCUCGUGCCGCAGCUAACGGCGCCGGCGGCUCCUGCUGGCACGCCGCAGCUGCUGUGCAUGCAGCCCUCGGCACCGCCGCCGCCACCGCAGUUCACACCGGCAGCAUCACCAGCGGCAGCGGCCACAGCCAUGGCUCCCCAGGCCAGUGGCUGCCUGCUGCCGGGCCGCGCGUCCUUCUCCUCCACAUGCGCCUCUUCCUUCCUCACACCCGCCAGCUCGGCCGCACAAAGCUCCCUCGACGGUGCCCCGUCCAUGGCGGCUACGGCGCUCGGUGACUCUUCCCUUCAUCACCAUCAGCAAACGCUGUCCCAGAACAGCCACCACGGCCAACAGUACGCCCGCGGCGGGUUCCUGACGCAGCCGCAGAUCUCCCUGCCCUGCCUGCCGGCUGCACACUCCCAGCCGACGCCCGAGCUGCUGCCACCCACCAGGAGUUCGCCACUGCAGCCGGGGCCGCCGCAUGCGACCAGCGCCCUUGCGCCCAUGAAGUCGCAGCCGCUCCAGCCAGCUUCUUCGCAGCAGCCGCAGCAGCUGCAGCCGUCACCGCUCCCGCCACCGCUUACUGCGCGGCAGCUAGCCAAGGCCGCGGCGGCGGUUGCUGCGGCGGCGACGCUGGGACUGCCACCGCCGGACCUGGUUGGUUUAGGGCUGCUGCCUCCUGGUCACCGCUUCCACUUCCCGGCCACUCCCGCCAACGGCUCCGGCGCAUCACGGCCCACUGCCGCCACCAGCACAGCAACGGCCAAGUCAGCCACCAGCAGCAGCCGUGCCACCAUGGCCCCCCGCCAGCCGCCGCACAUGCCGAUGCCAAUGCCGGUACCAAGCAUGGCGGCGCACCUGCCGGCUGCCGCCGGCCGCUCACACACUGGCUCCCUGCAGCUGGGCGCGUGCGGGUCUGUGUUUGGCGCACCCGGUGCAGCAGCGCUUGCGGCGGCGGUGGGCGCCAGCCCACCCCGCCACACCAGCCCCGUCCCGGUCACAUCGGCCGACAUGCCGCUCCCGAUGCCCAUGCCGCGGGCAUUGCCGCCACCGCUGCCGAUGCCGAUGCCAGCUCGGCAGUCGUCCGCACGGCGGUUGGCCGCACCUGCUGACAGCUCUUCGCCGCCGCAGCAGCAGCUGCCCAUGCGGCGCUACCACAGCACUUCUCUGAGCGCGAUUGCCACCGCCGCUGGUUGGCCCAGCGCAGCGCACCACCCCUACCAGCGCCCCGCCUCCGCUACGGCCACCAACGCAGCUGGUGCCGCAGCUACGGCCGCAGGCUGCAUGGCAACGACCAGGCGCACAGCCUCCGGGGCGGUGGCGGAUGCCGAGGUGAUGGCGGCCUGGCACAGCGGCAGGCCCGCCGGCGGCGGCAGCGCCGGCCGUGGCGGCUGCGCCCCGUACGCUGGCGAGGCAGCCAGUGGCCAGCAGGCGGCCGGCGACGAAUGCCAGCAGGGCAACGACGAUGCGGGUUGGGACCUGCGUGAGCAUGACAUGAUGGAAGACGUGGCUGGGCCUCCUGCCAUGCUUGGGGGCGUUACUGGCUACGGUAACAGCUACUGCAGCGGCAACGGCAACGGAGGCAGCAGCGGCAACGGUAAUGUUGGCGGCGGUCGCGCGUCCUGCCCUGUGCUGCCAGGGGGCCGGCACGCCGGCGCUGGCGCGGUGAUCACCACCGGCUUCCCGGACAGGCCGCCGCUGGGCCUUGGCAUGUCCGCAUUUGGCAGCGACCAGGUGUGGGCUAGCCGGCGGAGCAACUUCAGUGCUGGAGGAGCAGCAGGCGACGCUGCUAGUGGUGGCGAAGCCGACGGCAACGAGGAUGGUGCUGCAGGUGGCGAGGAGCUGGAUGAGCUGCUUCAGUCACUCAAGUCGUCUGAUUUCGACUUUGAGGACCCGGGCCUGCAAGGAGGCCACAUGGAGGCAGCGACGGCCGCGGGUCAGGACGUGGCGAGAUACGCCGCGUGCCAUGGCGCAGCAGCAGCAGCAGGUCCCUCGAGCGGGCGGCUGGCGGAGGAUCCCGGGCAAAGCAUGGCUGCAGCUCCUGUGGUGGGUGCUUGCGCGGGUGCUGCAGCCGACGCACACAUGGCAGAGGCGCAGCAAGGCCACACCUGCGCGCAACCAAUUCAUGCCCGGCACAGCAGCAACGGCGGCUCACAAUCGCAGCGCCAGCAGCCGCAACAAGCGGCACCCAGCCGGUUCAGCGGCGGCGGUGGCGGCAGUCAAGGCACCUGUGGCGGCACCAACGCCGCCGGUGGCUCCGCAGCACAUGGCGACGAUCGUGACACGCAGCUUCUCCAAGCGCUUCUGAACGUCCGCAGCAGCUGUGGCGGCUGCGAGGGCGGCAUGCCUCGCCGGACCUGGUCACUGCCCGAGGCAGUCCAGGCGCCCACAGACAUGGACAUUUGCACGGGGGGCGCGGAUGCGGCGGUGGCGGCGGAGACAACCGCCACGUCCAGGGCAGGCGGCGGAGCUGGCGGCGGCAAGGCCGCGGGCCCUCUUGAUGUGCUGCGGGCGUCGCGGGGAGGAGCGCGCCCUAGCGGCGGCGGCGCAUCCCUUCACGCGUUCUACAGCCUGCAGCCAGAGGCGAUGGCGGCAGGGCUGGCGGGUGUGGCGAUGAGCCCGCUUGAGGCGCACGCGUCGCUGCAUCACCCCAGCGCUCUGCAGCUGAGCACCGGCGGCGGCGCGCACUCCCCCGCUACUGCUGCUGCGGCCACGCCUGCGCCCAUGCCGGCAACCAGCUACCGCUCGCUGCCCUACACACAGCAGCAUCAGCCGCCGCCGCAGCAGCAACGGCAACCGCAGCCGCAUGUGCAGCACUACGGCGCGGAGCCGAGCCGCUCCUCCUCUGCCAUGUCCUACGUGGACAACCACCAACAGCAGCCCUGCCAGCGGCUGCACAGCCUCCUCCAAACCCAUCAGCCUCAGUCUCAGCCCCAGCACCAACACCAGCACCCGCACGCCGCGCCUGUGGCCGCUGCAGUGGCGACGUGCCAUGGAGGUGCAGCGGCGCACUUCAGUGCUCCUGGCUAUCCGCCGCCUCACUCCUACUCGCCACCUCAUCAGCCACCUUAUCAGCCGCCGCCGCCUUCGCAGCAGCAGCAACAGCAGCCUGCAGCCAGCUGCACCUGCGCGGAUUGCUACAGGGCGACGGCAGCCGCGGCGGCGGCAACAGCGGUGGCUGCUGCGGCCGCCGCGGCUGCAGCGAUGUCGAGUGGGGCUGCCUCCUACCAUAACCACCACAAUCAGCACCACCACAGCUACCGUCAGCACGCACACGCCAUUAUUGGCCAGCAGGCGCCACAGCACCCCCAGGACCCCUCUGCAGCGGUUCCAGCGGGCGGCGGUGCCAGCAGCAGCGGCCACCAGCACUACGCAGUCGCCCAAGGCUACGGUCAGUAUGCGCCUAGCUAUUACCCCGGAGGUUGUGGCAGUCUCGCCCAUGCCCCGCAUCAGCAACUCCACCAGCACGGCUACCAGCAGCAGCUGCUGCCGCAGCACCGCGCGCCGUCGCCGCCACACGGGUUCCCCCAUUCCGCCCACGGCUCACAGCAGCCGCCGCCGCCAGGGCCAUGCACGCUGCCGUGCUGCUACCCGCCCCGCCCGGCGGCCCCUGCCGCUGCCGGCUGGGCCGCGGCAGCGGAGCAUCAGCACCACCAGAACCCAGCGAGCAGCUAUGGGUAUGCAAGCGCCCAGCAUCCAUACACGCAUCACCCGCACGGUAACACGGCGCCUGUCUGCGGCAGUGAGUAUGCGCCAUCAGCGUCCGUGCGCAUGCUGCCUCUGCCGCCGCCGCCGCCGCAGCAACAACAACAACAGGGGGAGUCGCAGUAUGCGCCUGCACAUGCCGGGGCCGCUACAGCAGGCGUGUACGGAGCGCCACCGCCAGGCCCGGGCGCCAGCAGGGCCUUCCCCACCCUGUCAGAUGCAGAUGGGAACGGUGGCGCCAAUGCUGGUGGCAUGCGGGGCAAUGCAUCCGCCCUAGCAGGGCACAGCAGGGGAGCUUACGCAAUGGCAGGUGCUUACACGCAUUGCAGCCACUCGGGGCAGCCGCUGAUGUUGCCGCCUGGCACAAGUUAUGGUACAACCAGCUACUAGAUAGGGUUGAUAUUCAUGGCCUUUCAUUGACGACGUGUGACAAGUGACGUGACUAGGCACGGAUUGGCGAAGCUGGAUACCUGCCAGGUGUACGCUACGAUCAGGACAGUUAGGGUGUUGGAAAGUCAUGCAAUGGGUGAGGACCAAUUGAAGGACAUAUGACUGGCGCGCAGCCAUGCGUGCCACACUCACACGGCGGUGUACUGUUUGACGCAUGAUCUUGACAUUAAGACAUUUUAGACUGUCGCACGCGCUGCUUGUGCCGUUAUAAUUCUAUCCAUGCACGUGAUAGUCAUGAAUUUCCGCAAGUAAGGGGCCAGACCCGCCGCCGGAUGAUUGCACCGGUGGGAGAUAGAGGAGCUGUUGGCUAACGCCACGGCCUCGCUUACGUUGACCAACCGGACCAAAACCUUCCCAUGACAAAGAACUUAGUGCAUAGGCCUGUGUGCUCACUGUGCUGACGUAGCACGUGAAAGUGUGUGCGUGAAUGAUGAUGAGCCCGACGCUAGCCGCUAUAGCUUAACAUUGAUUGUCUGUUAUUCUCUAGGGCUCAUUCACCGCUGACCCUAACCAGAGCAGGGAGAUAGCUCCCUGGAAGGCCGUAGCAUGGCACCCUAGAACAAUAGCCUCGGGCCUCCAUUCUUUGCUUCUGUACAGUAUGUGGGUUUGGAAUGUCGUGGCGCAAGUCAAGUAAAGCGAGUAGAUUGAUCAAGCGUAGGGAAUGCGCCUUUAGUCAAUUAUGGCAGGGAUUUUACAUCUGAUUGCACGCACAAAUUGAGCAGGUACGGAAUGGCGGUUACGGUGUGCGCAGCAGCAUGUGAUGAGUACAGUAGUUGGUGGCUUCCGCUCUGACACGCAGGAGGGCCUUAGCCCUGGGGACGCUUGGAAGCGGGAAUGCUUGGAUGACUUGGCUGGGGACCCGGCUGGGCCUGGUGGCAACAACAUAAGGUCAGCGUCAAAGCUUUAAGGCCAAUUGUAAAUUGUGCUAGGGGAAUGUGUCAUCUGCAACUGUGCACGCGCAGUCCGGUUGGGUAAGAGUCCCCCUGGCGAAACAGGUGCCCGCCAUCAACGGGCAGGGAUGGCCUACGCUGUUAGCGCGAGAAGAAGUCAUAGAGCUAGGCAACCUACAUGAAGACUACCGCAAGGAGGGAAUUACAUGGGUUACAUCGGCGCCGGCGGCAAGGUAGGGAAUGGCAGGACCGGGGGAAGUGGGGAACUCGCAUGAGCAUUGAACCAGCCAACCUCCGGAUCCGGAUCCUGCAGUGCUAAUCCGCCCCUUCCACGUCACGUAGCGGCGACUUUAUGGAAUCACAACCGCGUCGUGAUUUUGCGGCUUGCAAUCCGCAUGUUAUGACCAAUUAUCAGACCAAUUAUACUCGGGCUUACCUCAAGUGGAUCGACUGAAUUCCAAAAUCAUGCUUGGCUAGCAAACAAUCUACAGUGAUCUUUGACUUUGGCGGACUAAAGCACUCGCGCGCGUCACCUGGGUCCUCCGGCCGCUGGCAUAGCUCCGCGGAGUCGGGACACUCCUAGAGUGAGUUAUACAGCCUUAGAAAAUUUGCGUGGAAUAUAUUCACCUACGUUGCAGUGGCAGUGCUCGCCAUGCUGCGCAUUACAGGGAGUCCUCCCUCUUUGCAAAUCCCGGUCGUGCGGUGGUGCAUGAAACAUGGACUCGUCAUGUAGCUAUCCUCUGUUGUCUGCUGAGUGCACCUGUAGUCCCCCGGCAACCCGCACCCUCUACCAGGGCACGCCCUCCCGCGAUUUCCGCCAGUCGCAGUUGAGGACCCUAAUACCAGAGGAGAGCCAUGGGCUUGCUCGAUACAUUCUACUCCACGAAAGGCCCUCUGGGUGUGUGGACGCCGGUUGUUGUGGUAAGACUUGCAUGUGUUCCAGCCCCUGUAAAGCAGCAGCAGUUCGGAGUGGCGCCGCUCCCAGCGCAGGGCUGCUUAUGCCGGCCCGAGCUAGUAAGCGUGCCUUACUCUGGUUGUAUCUUACGCAGGUGCUGCUGAACGCGCUGGGCGUGGCACUGGGCCUGGGGGUCGUCCAGGUAACCUACAGAUCACCCUGGCACACAAGCGGGCGCCUCUAUGCGCAUAUCGCUCCUGAGUCCUUACCGCGCCGCAUCACCCGCCACGCCACUCAACCGCCUCACUCCAAACUCCAAAGCCCCUUCUCCUGCUUACACGCACAAUGCAUGCCCGCUGCGCAGCUGUUCAAGUUCCUGUUGAAGCCUCAGUACGAUCUGGCCAAGCUGCCGCAGCCGCCCGUAGCCGACUGGGUGCUGGGGCACGUCAAGCACCUGCUGCGCAAGGGUGGGGCCAGCGGGAGGGGGGAGGGCGCAGAGGGGCCGGGGGAGGUUGUUUACACCAGCCCAAGCUAAACCGAACCAAAUAUAAAAGAGCGGGGAAGAGAGCGCGGCCUACGCUUUGGCAACGGAGUGGCACUUGAGGUGUGGGGUGGGUCACCGGGGGCGUUGGCAGCCGGAGAGGGUGAGCAUUGUGGAGUGCGUGGGCAGUGGGGGCAGUGUGGGUACGGCCAAGUGGAGGGCAGGGGAAUGAGUAGGCGGGGGGAUCAGCCUGCACAGGUGCGCGUGGGGGCUUGUACGGUGCAUCGUACAUGAUUAAAAUCCCGGUCCAUAAGCAGCACGCAGAUCCAGAGACGGGAUCCAGCACCCAUGCUAAUGGCGUGCGGCCUCAACCCACAACUCCUCAUGCCACCAUAACACGUUACCCACUUGACACGCAGACUACCACCGCGUCAUUCUGGGCUGGGCCAAGCAGUACGGCAGGAUCUUCAAGCUCAGGUGCGCGUGUGUACGACAACACCUAACAACAGCUGCGCCCGGCUGUGUUGGUUGUGCAUUGCGCCGAUUGCAAUGCGUGCGCAUGGCGUCGACAUGGACAUCGGCAAUUUGGCUGUUGUAAAGCACACACACUGUGGAAGGCCUGAACCCGGAGUUUGGACGCUGACUCUGUCGCUGGCACACACAGGAUCUUGAACGAGUGGACGGUGGUCAUCACAGACCCCGCGGCGGCGGCGCAGGUGCUGGCCACCGUGCCCGGCCGCACUCAUAACUACAAACACAUUGACGAGGUGGGGCAUGCCUUGUGGUUGGGGCCUGGGGCCUGGGGCUAGGCGGAGCUUGCGUGUGUGUGAUUGGCCGGGUGUUGCAGAUGGGGUUUCAUGGGCGCACCUCACCCACUGCUGCGUGCUGCACCCGCACCCACCUGCACCUAUGUGCAGGUCCUGGGCGGCCCUGGCAAAAUCAGGUGCGGGGCCCCGAAAUCCAUACUCCUAGCAUGCACAUGCACAUGGCCACCGUGACCCUAUGCGCCCCGGAGUUUCUCCCCUCGGGGUGCGUACUGGUACGUUGGCUUGGGCGCGUAAGCCUCCCUCUGCCCACACCAUCCUCCCGGUUCCCCACACGCAGUAUGUUUGGCACGCCGGACGAGGUCCACUGGCGUAACGCCCGCAAGGCCACUGCGCCCGCCUUCUCCAUGGCCAAUGUCAGGUGAGGUGCGGGCGUGGGGGGCAGCGCCUGCGACAGUGCUGCACAACGCAACGGAAACGGGACCCGCCCAAACGCCGGCGUUACUGGCGGAUAACUACCAACUCUGUGUGUGCGGGACGCGUGCUCAUGGUUUCGCUACCGUCGGUGCACUGCGUGUGCCUGCGUGGCGCAUUCCUCAAUUUCCAAGCACUCUUGCUCCCCACGCCCCGUGCACGCCUCCUCAACCCGCCCACCAUUCCACUCACCCACCCACCCACCCGCCCACCCACUCAACCCCUCAGGCGCUACUACGGCGGUGUGCUGUCCGCCGCGGGCGAGCUGUUGUCCCGCCUGGAGGCCGAGCAGGGGGCGCUGGGGGCCGUGGACGCGGAGCCGCUGCUGCAGCGCCUCAUGCUGCGGGCCACACUGGAGGGGCUGUACGAGGUGGGUGGGAGGGGGUUGAAGAGGGGUGGGGAACUGGGGUUACGGGUGGGGGUAAGGAGGGCACUCGUUUUCAAUUCCUUGUACUGCGGCAUCCCACUGCGGCACCCACUGCAGGUUCCUGACGCCACCGCUCUGCCGGGCUUUGACGAGCUUGCGUCCAACAUCCUGCUGCUCAUGGCGGAGGCCAACGCGCAGGUGGGGUGACGUGUGUACGUAUAUGUUUGUGUAUGUAUGGGCAUUAACCGGACCAAAACCCGACAUCAGUUCAGAGGUUGCGGAGGAGGGCAGGGCUAGGGCCUGCACGAGGGCAUGGUGAUGCUUCGAGCCGGGUCCACCGGGAUGCCUUACGUCGGCUGCAGCGGUGGCUUGCGGCAGCGGUGGCUUGCGGCUCCGUGCGUGUCUGGCUAUACGGCAAGUGCAAAGCGCGUGCUGCCUCACCAAGCCCACCCCACCCCACGCCACCUACACCUAGGUGACGGACCCCCUGCGGGCCUUCUUCUAUUUCACACCCAUAGCGCCGCUGGUGUCGAAGGUGCGUUGGGGCUACCACACGGGGUGCCCCAGUGCUCUCAUAGUCGGAGGCGUCUUCCUCCUGCGGCGUUUAGCCAGCUAGGUCCACUGCAUGUUUACGCUGCGCCGUCUCAGAUGCCGCGCUGUAAAAACUCUCUCUGGCGCUGACCGCCAUUGGCAAACCUCUUCGUUUGCGCCCCCUGGCCCACAACAGCAUGUGGCCAGGUGCCGGGCGGCGCUGAAGCAGGUUGUCAUGUUCCACGGCAGGACCGCCGCACGCAUCCUGGCCCGGUGAGCCCGCGUUUGUUGUUUGCUUGUAUGUCUGUGUACUACCUUUUCCUUACCUUUCCUGCAUUGCUGGAGGGUUACCCCGGUACAGUAGUGCGCCUCAUCUCACCGGCCGUUACCAGUCCAGCAAUGCAUCACGGUACAGCCUUGACCUCCUCUGCUGUGCCCUCUGCCGCUGCGGCCGCUGCCUGCACAGCCCCGAGCCCUCCCCGGACAACACGCUGCUGUGGGCGUGCCUCCACCGCCUGCGCCAUCCCCACACCGGCCGCAAGCUCACGCCGGGGCAGCUGCACCCCGAGGGUGAGGGGAUUGAGGAGGGGGCCUGAGGGUGCCGAGCUGCGGAUGAUGUGGAAUACAGGGUAACGACGCUGGUCUGACAGGAAGCGCAGCAGCGAUCGAGCCUCGCGACCUUUCCUCGCUCCCCUUCCCGUUUCCUCCCGCACCUGUGCUUGCUGCCUUAACAGUCUCUUAACUCGCUCCUGACCUCCAUACCCACACGGCUGCUGCGUGUGCAGUGGGUAUGUACACUGCUGCCGGCUUCGAUACCACCGCUUCCACCGUCGGCUGGUGCAUGUGAGCCAUUCGGGUGCGGGUGCGGGUGUUGGCUGUUAGCUAUGCGGGCUUCUCAGCCGACGGCGGCGGUUGGCAACCCGCUCCGUCCGAUCGAGUGAGCCCAGGCCUUCUGACGAUGGUCCUGUGCGUGCUACAGCCUGGGGGCACGGCAAUGCAACGAUGUGGCCAUAGCAUGCGCGUCCAUACGGUUGCCUUUACAGUUUACGUUUAUGCCACCAUCGGAUUACCUUUCUCACCUGGAUCCAUCUCCUCCCAUUUCGGCCCCGGGUGCAGGUACGCCGCCUCGCUCUGGCCGGAGCAGCAACAGGCAGUGGCGGCGGAGCUGAGGGCGGCGGGCAUUUUCGGACCGGCGGCGGUGGUGGAGGUGGCGGCGAAUGCGGAGGAGGCCGAGGGCCAGGUAGGCUGCGCAACGAGGUUAGUCUGUCGGGUCAGCUGUGUGGCAGCGAGGACGCAUGAAUGUCAUGCGCCCUCCUCUACCUUGCGCUCUGCAACACUAGCAACACGCAUGGUGCAGCAACGUUGCGACUUGCUUCUAUGCGCUGCUACAAAACUCACUUGUUGCGUUCUCGCUGCGGCAUACCGCACCGGGCGUGCGAUGCAGUCGGGCCCCCGGCGCCCCCCGCUGCGGCUGGACGCACAGCACUGCCCCGGUCCCGAGGAGCUGGCCAAACUGCCGCGACUCAAUGCCUUCAUCAACGAGGUAGGUUGGUGGGCCGCGUCGUGUGUCUUUUUGUUGGUCGUGUUAGAAAACACGAGGGAAGGAAAAAAUACGCACGGCAAUCUAUGAAUGCGGAUGUUACAGAGGGGACAGUCCCAGCACCCGAAGACGCCGAGCCAUCACAUGCUAUCAGGGCCCAACAUGACUCCACCAACCCCGACUUUGCUGCAAACCCUCCCGCGGGAAAAGUCCGUGUGACUCCGCGCACAGUGAGUCCUAGCCAAGCCUCAACCCGCCAGAGCCCCACCGCUGUGCCUCAACGCCACAAGCCUAGGCACAUGAGUGCCGAGAAACGUCUAGGCCGCAGGACACACGCACAGCGCACGCACUAACCAGGGCGCAAGCGUCCAGGUACUAGAACGGUCGCCCACACGUGCAUCCUGCCCACACACAAAGCCACCGACCACGCACAACCUCUCACGGCGAGGGAGGCGGGGAAUCAGCGUCUUACGGCAAGCGCAAAACCAUGCCGUCACCAACAGCCCGAGUCAGCUACGACGGCAAGUCCAAUGCUCAGCACCCGGGCCGACGGCAGCUUCGCUCGCGCCGCCAACCCGGCCAUAACCACACGCUGCCGACCAAAGUCCAGGGCAGACAUAGCAGCGAGACACACCACAUCCCACACAGGUGGCGCAAGCCCCGCAGGCGGGCGCACUAACCACAACUCCUCACGAGAGAAGGCACUUAGAGCCUCCUCCGGCAGGAAACCCAUAGCCAUCCCCAUACUUUCCCACAGUGACAGCGCAACAGUGCAGUCCCAAAACCAGUGACGCCGGUCCCCAUCCUGCAUGUCAACCCCACACGCCCAACACGGGUCAACAGCAACGCCGCGCGCACGCUCGCUAGCAUGCCGUGGAAACGCCCUGCAAGCGUUGGCGGCCACACGCCACGGUGCUUCCUUGUGAUGAUUCUCCCAUCUCAGCGACCACAAGCGGGCCAAGGUGCACGCGAAGGCCCCCGCCGCCAGGGCAGCCUCCACCCCCGACACACCCGCGUCGCACACAUAUUGCAAAUGCUUAGCCUUCAGGGCAGACAAUCUAUGCGAGGCGGCGUGUGGCGUGUCCUUCAGGCUGUAACCGGGCACAAGUGGGGGAUGGGAGGUGGUCCUGAUCAAAGCACAUUGUGGGCUAUGAAGGACCAUCAAGUGCGGCUGCUGCGUCUGCUGCACUCCUUGCCCCACAGGUGAUGCGCAUGUUCCCGCCAACCGCCGUCUCUGCGGAGAGGUGGGUCCUACAUGUGUAACUGCAGGGCUCGCGCCACCGAGAUUUCCAAGCUUGCUGUGUACUUCAAUUGAGCAUUGUUGUAACCUCCGUUUGGUCUUCUGGGCCGCGGCGCGCCGGGCCCUCCUCGCGCAUGCUUGCUUUCGUGGCACACGCUAGGCCUGACACUGGACGUACGCACGAUGCCGGGUUGACUUCUGCACACAGGCUGACGCCGGAUGAGCCUGUGACGAUCAUGGGUAUGACGUUCCCAGCUAAGGUGCGCACCACGUUCCUUCGAGACGGCAUACUUGUGCUGCUGCAUGUUGCUUAUGCGUUUUCGCCGUGCGCUCCCAGUGCUGCAAGUUGCACUGCUGCCACCCACAAUUUCCCGCUGGCCCCUCAAUGCACCCCACUUGCGCCAUUCCAACACCGCCAUCGCUAGCUACGAACUCAUGCCUGCACCACCACCACCCCGCCCGGCGUCGUUUUACCUCUUCCUGGCCUCCUCGCCCCCCGCCCCCCGCGCCCCGCCCCGCUCACCCCUUUCCCACGGUUCCCUUUCUUCCUCUGCACGGCCCCACGCAGACGGUGCUGUGGUGCAUUACGUACGGCAUCCACAUGAGCGAUGCGAAUUGGGAGGACGCCGCCAAGUUCAAGUGAGACAGCCAUGGGGUGUUGGAUGGUGCUGAUAGGCGCAGGGUGACAACUACGUGGUGGUGAUACCGGUAGCAGGCCCGGAGGUUGAGGAAGCCGGGGCGAGAUGUUUGCAGGCGUGUGGGCUGCCCCGCCGCGCCACUGCAGCAGCGCCUGAUGGCAUCACGGCUCAGUAGGCCAGGCUGGUACCGUACCACUCAUGCGUACCGGAGCAAACCCUGCCCACCCUACCCGCUGUGCGCACCCCUGCACAGGCCGGAGCGAUGGCUGGAGGACCCCCGCUGCGCCUUCGCCAAGAGCCCGGGCGCUGGCGGCGCCGCUGCUGCGCCAGCUACAGCCGGCGGCGCCGAAGGCCCGGCGGCGGCCAUCGGCGGCGCGGCGGAGGAGGAGCCGCCCAACACGGCGCCGCGCCGCUUCGUGCCGUUUGGGCAGGGUCCCAAGAACUGCGUGGGACAGGUGGGUGCACUGGGGGUAAUGGCAGUGGGGGCUGUGGCAGUGGGGCAGUAGCAGUGUGGGUAGUGGCAGUGGGGGCACCGUAAUCUAGGCCUGGUGGGCGAUGGGCGGAUGGUUGUAGGCACAGGAAGCACAGACCGGGGGGGGGAGGGUACGGUUGGGAUGGAGGCAGGGGUGGGUCGGUGCAGGACCAGGCCGUGCGUCUGCUCAACAACGUGUGUCUGUCUCUCUUCGUACACACACGUGACCAGAACGUCCAGCAGGUAGCUCACACAUCAGCACUUACGGUGCCCCUCCCCAACAUCCACCCUGCAGCCCCCACCCCGUUUAGUUUGGGCUGGUAUUUACAAUCCCCCCAAGAUUGCGUACCGUCUGCCAUUUUCAUAGCUAAUCAUGAAUGCAACCCCCAUGCAGAACUUCGGCAUCACCGUGGUGCGGGCGGUGGUGGCGCUGCUGCUGCGCCGCUACCACGUGGACCUGCACCCAGACAUGGACACAAGCCCCGAGGGCGACAAGCUGGGAGGCGGGGGUGGCGGCGGUGAUGGCAACAGCAGUGGCAGCGGUCAGGCGGGCGGCUGCCGUCACAGCGCGGAGGACACGGCUCGGCUGACGCACGUGGCGGUGAUCACCAAGCUCAAGAAGCUGCGGCUGGUGCUUCAGCGCCGCGACGACUGAGUGAGCGGCGGGUGAGGUUGGGGCGGCAGUGAAGAAAGGGAGGAGGAGGAGCGACAAGAGGAGGAUAAGGAUGAGGUGGUGGUGGAAGGAAGGCGGGUGGUGAGGGUGCCGGGUGUGGUCAGGUAAUGGGCAUUGUAUGUUUGACAGCACAAAGUGGCGAAGGGCCUGUUGCAGGUGCUAUUCGAAUAUGGCAUACGGUACGUUUUGCAAGACAGUGCAUCUGGCAUCUGCGAAUGACUCUACGAUAUUUGCCACUUGCUUCCCGCGCCCUGUCCCAUCGCACUAUACCGUAGUUCGGCCGUUCCGGGCGUCAAGCUAGUUGCGUAUGUGCGAACGGGUGGAAAUGGGAAAUUUGAUCGGAGCCGCGUCGAAGUGGCGGGUCAGCGGGUGGGGCCGCAGGGUGCGAAGGGACUCAUGACACGCCUCUGUUCGUGGAAGGGUUGCUUAACUUGCUCUGCUUCAAUCUAACAGAAGUCAACAUACAUCCAUGUCCGCGUAAUCUCAUCUUAAUGCACACAGCGAGCCGCACGGCCCUUAAGCUGACCCGACAUGACAGCAGGCCUUCAAGGUAGUUCCCGCCACGCUAGCCCACCCCACCCUUACUGCGACGCCUGCGACCUUGUCAGCAAGGCCAGCCUAGAGUCCUCUUAUUUCGCUUGACACUCCUGGCCUGGGUACUCUAUGCGUGCCUGCCUGUGACUUUGUAAACGGUCCCAGCGCCAACGUCCGCAUCGCCGCACGAAAACCCCAUGCAUACACACCGGCGCGCCUCCCAAGGCGCCCCGCCCAAUGCUAGUCAUGUAACGCUUCAGCGAGCCCCCAGUACCGUCCUCAUUUCCUCCAGUGCUUGCCCCUUGAACAAAAUAGUGCUGCCGCAGGCUGUGCCGCAGGGCGCCUCCUUUGCUACCGCUCAUCAUCACGACAGCGCGUCUGCUACUGUCACCUGUCAUGUCUGCUACAACCUCCCCAUACCGACUCUCUGUAAACCGGUCCCCCGGCCCGCCCCCUUGUACGCCCCGUCGGCCUCGUGCUGCCUGCUCCUCUCCGCCUUAGCUUGCGCCUGCAGGCCCCCAGCCUCUCCCCCCCACACCCUACCGCCCCCCCCCCUCACUGCACGGUGACAGUGGUCUCCACCUGCUGUCGGCACAUGGGGCACACGCCGGUGCGUGUCAUCACGUCGGCGGCGCACUCGGCGCACAGCACCAUGUGGCCGCAGGGGAUGAGCACAGUGGUCUUCAGCGCCGCCAUGCAGGCGAUGCAGCAGUGCUCGUCGUCUAGCAGGUGCUCCGCCUGCACCUGCGGGGGCGGCGGAAAGGGCGGCGGGGGACACAGCACGUAAGUGUCAGGCAGUGUGGGUUGGUUGCAGGUGUGUGUUGCUGUGGAGGUCCAUGAGCCUGUGUGUUGACGGCGAUGCGGUCAUGGUUGGCCGCCACAAGUACGCCAUCCCAUACACCGCGCAUUCGCGCCGUGCACUCCAGCCCCAGACCCUGCCCUAUCCUUCAUUCCCCACUGCCCAUCAGUCAUGCCCUCAUGCCCCUCAUUCACGCCCUGCCGCAUUAGGUAAGUGUACUUCCCCCCGGCCUCGCACAUGCAUCCCCGCCCACAUUCCCCACCUGGUUGUUGCCCGCUAUCAACGCCUCAUCCUGCAGCAGCAGCGCCGAACUGAUCAGCGCGUGCAGCGCCUCCGCAUCGCCGCCGCCCGAGCCCGCAGCCGCUGCCACCGACGGGUCCCGUGUGGCGGCUGCGGACUGGGCGCCGUAGCCGCCUGCCGCUCCUGGCCCUGCCGCUCCUGUUCGGCCCGCUGCGUAUGGCCCCGCCGCGGACGCGGCCGCUCCAGUUGCGCUGCUAGUGGGGGCGUAGCCGACUUGCCGGUAGGCCGCCGGCGGCGGCGCCGCUGCUGCUCCUGGCCGGUAGGGUGCCCCAACGGGCCCCGCGGUGGCUCGCCCUGCACAACAGAACGUGGCCGAGAUGGUCAGCUCCUUGUGCUGCGGACCGGACACCCCUUCGCACUCGUUCACAGGCUGGGCGCGCGCAAGCUGCCCGCACCAGACCGGCACCGUCUUCCGCGGAUUGCCACGAGCACCCCCAGCAGAACGCCCACCUACGUUACCAGCAUCACCAUCACAACCUCUAACCCCGACCCCCAACCCCAAGCCAAAGCGUCCCCCCACCUGACGCGCUGGUCGCUGGCGCCGCGGCAGUGCUGGUGCCAUGAUAGGCUGCGAGCAGGCGCUGGCCGCGGCCCCGGUCCUCCGCGCUGGCCGCCGGGAUGGUCAUGUUGUCUAGCCAGUCCUGGCGGCUCCCGUCCGGCAGCUCCACCCACCACUCGCCGUAGCCCUGUGCAAAUGGCCCGGUGGUAGAGGGGAGUGGGGCAUCGAAUUUAGAGGUGAAUGACGGCCCCGUCUCCAACUGCUUGUCCCGGUCCGACAUCGAGCUCAGGGACUUAAAUGCCCGAACACGGGGAAAUGCAAACCAGGUCCUGCCUCAUUGCCCCUGUGCCGCACCUCUCCCCGACUGCUCCUAAGGAUGAUGCCCAUGGGCUCCAGGCCCUCGGACACCGACUGGAACGUGGUCUUGGUUUUGUAGCCGCCGCUAGUCACCACCACCUCGCCGCUGGGCUUGGCGAUGACAAUGUCGGUCUUGUGGAAGCGCAUGCACACAUCGCCACCAGCGUUGCGGUACACCUAUCCGAGGUUUGUGAGUGGGAACGAGUUUGGCAGGGGACGACACUUUGGCCAGUGCUUUGCAGCUACAUGGGCUUCGGGCUCUGCACGCCGAAAGCAACGCCUUCGCGUCUGCCGUGAUGUAUCCGUGUUGGGCCCUUACGCCCUACUGCCUUGGGCCCUAGCGCCCUUAUCGGGCUUUACCUUUUGAAAGGUCUGGUAGUAGGUGUCAGUCAGCGGCCGCCCCUCAUCGUCGUGCGUGCGGGCCCGCGGCGCCCGCGGCGGGGGCGCAGCCUCCGCGGCCCCGAGGCCGUAAGGCGCACGCGGCAUGACCAGCGCCGCCGAGGGUCGCGGCACCGGCAGGGCGGCGGCGCGACUGGAGCUGGGGCCAGCGCCUGCGCUGGGCCCCCGAGCUGCGGGUGCAGCCGGAGGCCUGGAGCCGGAUGGCCCCGCGCCAGCGCCGGAUGGCCCUGUUCAGGAGGCGGGCAUUGUUUGCACCAGCCCCAUGAGGAAACGGGGAGUUGCACCUCGAAAACGGUCGGAGCCGAGGUGGCCAGUUCGCAUGCGGAGGACCCCGCUUCGACGGCGUGGUGAGAAGAGGGAAUGCACCCUCGGCAGUCGUGCCACGCGUGUCUUCGCCGAACACUUCACCCCGCGCCGCUCCCCGCCAGCUUACCCGUUGGGGGCACGAGUUUCUUCUUAUUCUUCUUGGACACCACCUCCACAAACUCUUCAUCACUAUUUAGUUCUCCACCCAAACCGGCAAGCGCCGCGAAGGCACCGCCAACAUAGCCAUCGUCGCCGUCUUCAUCGUGGUCCGAUUCAAACGCCGAUGGGUCAUAUUCUGGGAAUCCAUCAGGCCCAAUCCGUGUUGCUGCGCCCGCGGGUGGACCUGUGUUUAAGUCCGGCAGUCGGCGAUGGAGGUCACGCGGCAGUCCAUGGAAUCGUCCUUGCUCAGGUUCAUUUGGUUCAAAUCGCACCAUUGUUCCAGUCGUUGCGUUUGCCGGUACGCUCUGCAAGCAUUUCUUGCAGACUUUUUUUGGUAGCUUUUGUGCGCGACAUCCGUGUGAUAGAACCAACAGACAAUCGAAGUUUACACAAAAUAAAAAGAAUACAUGCUUAGGAGGAUUCCCGCCUGAGUUCCCGCCCGAAUUGGAAAACACAGUCUGCCACGGUCCCGCCCGCUUCGCAUGUUCUCCCCGCGCCCCCCAACAUGAACUUGGCAUUCACGUCCAGUUCAAUCAACGGGUAUCAGUAGGCAUUCCUAUUGCCACUAUAAACCCGGCCCGGCCCCUGACCGCCACAUCCUCAAGCCCGCUUCGGCCAUUGUGCCUCCACCUGCUCCCGAAACAACCGCAUCCGCUCCGCCUGCUCGCCCAUCACCCGCUGGCAGGCCAGGCCCUGCAGGGCGGCCUCCAGGUCAGACUGCUCCACAGGGCUGGGCACAUCUGCCCUCUCGCCUGCGCCCACGCCGGCUGAUGCGCCGCCUGCCUUGGCGCCCAAAAGCUUGCGGGGUGUGCCCCUUGUCUGACGGCUCCCGGCGGCGCUGCUGCCGCUGGAGGCUGUGGGGCCGGCGACGGCAGACUUGCGGCUGACCGCACGAGAUGACGCGGCACCUCCCUGUUAGCGAUGAAUGUAGGUCAAGCAGUGAUAUGAACGGUCUACUGCGCAUGUGUAUUGAUUGACACGCCGAUGCUGUUGCAGGGAGAACCAAGCUACGUAAGCACGGCGCUGCCACGCAGUCGACCUAAUGACGACAAGCCCACGCGACUCACUCGCCGCGCUGAGGCCGCUGCUGUCGCCGCCUCGCACAUGGCGGCAAGCGACCCGCAAGUGAACCCCUCCGUCUGCCUGUACCGACAGAAUUUGCAUGCCAUUGGUGCCGUGUGACUGCUCUAGGACAGACACGCAUGCCGCCUGUACGACUGCAGCAUUGCACCAAUCCAAGUACCCAGGGCGGCUGAGGAAUGAACCGCUGUGCGAUAUGGGCAUGGAGCAUGGGCGUGGCGGUAGGUGCCCUCAUCCAUCGCCAUAUCGCUUUGAGAAUCAAACAUAUUUUGCCGCUUAGUGCCCACACUCACGUCACGAGCUGGUCGAUCUGCUCCACUCCAAGAGCUGCGCCUUCCGCUGCCAAUCGGGCUACCAGGAACAACUCCCGCGCGUCAGACUCGGGGGCACCCUGCAGGGGCAAGGCAGGCAAGCGACUCGGAAAGGAACAUUCGGUACGGUACGUUGGCUACGACGCAACAGUGCCGGUAACAUUUCACAGACCGGAGCAAGCAUAAUGCGGUUGGGGAAGGAGGUGGAGACAUGGGGCUAGCUAGCGUCUUGCGUCCACGCGUACCCGAUGUCUGAGCCCAGAGUGAGCUGAGCAAUUUCAACCCCAACACUUACUGCCAGUAGGCAGUCGCUGGCGCCCAGCCUGGCAGUCAUGGCGUCAUCCAGUUGCUCGGGGCGGCUGGUGGUGGCCAGCACCAGCACGCGGAAUGUAGGCGCUGCAAUGCUGCUGCUACUGCCGCUCGGGGCGGCGCUGUUGCGGCUGCCGGCAGCGGCAGGCUGCUGCUGGUGCUGCAGCAGGAGCGCGUCCAUAGCCACUAGCAGCUCUGUGGAACGAGGAGCACCGAAGCACUCUGUCCUCACAGCAAAGAACACACAGCUUCGAGUAUAGAAUUACAAGUUGCCAAGAUCCGCACGCAGCCUUGCUGACCGUACAAGCCUCUGGCGUUUGUCAACCCGGCGCUUACCGGUGCGGAUGCGGCGGCCCUCGGGGGUGUCCCGGCCCGCUGCCUCCAGCCCGACCAGCUGGUCCACGUCGUCCAGGUGCACCACCACUGCAGCGCCGCAGCCCUCAAUGAUGCUGCUGGCGCCAAUGCCGUCAACGUUGCCCGGGUUGCUGCCGGACGCUGAGGCUGACGCCACCUGCGGAGCAGGGGGAUGGGCAUAUUAAAUGCAGCCAGCCAACCCAAUGCCUAUGCUCGCGCCUUGGACACUGUCCCAGAGCCGCUACGGCUCUUCCCCGACGACCCACCCGGAAGACGGCGCGGACCACCGCGUCCAUGUGACCGGGCCCGUGGGGCAGCGGCUUGGCGCCCGCCACGGCCCCGGCCCUGGCAAGCAGGUCGCCCGGCACCCGCAGGUACGCCGCGCCUGUCUGCGCCGCCAGCGCCCGAGCCAGCAAACCCUUCCCGGCGCCCUGUGGACCGCACAGCAGCACUGCCAGGUUGCGCGCUGCCGUCGUGCCCUGGCGCGCAGCGCCUCCGGUCUCGCCGGCGCUGACAACGGCAGCAGGGGAGGGGGACGUUGUGGGAGAGCCGCUUGCGCUGCUGGGUGCGGUGGGACCUGGUGCGGCGCUGCUGGUGGAGCGGCCUGAGGAUGUGGCGCGGCCCGGCGUGCGACCGGGGGUCCGGCCAGUGGUGGCCACACGGGCGGAUGUGCGCCUCGGCGCAUCGGAGGUGCUGGGUGCAGCUGUUGCGCCGCAGCUGGUGGUGGUGGUGGUGGUAGCGGCGCCCGGGCUGCUGCCGGCGGCCGCGACCAGCGUCUCCGCGUGUGCACAGCAGAUGGCCUGUGAACAGAGUAAGGUCACGGUAGUGUACUAACACAGAAACCCUGCGUGUUAAGGAGCCCAGCGUGUUCUGGAUACACAGGCAUACCUGCAGCUGCUGCUUGGCGUCGUCCAGGCCGAUUAACUCGUUCCAGGAUACAGCUGCACAUUAUAGGCAUGCGGUAAUAACGUUUCAGUAGAGGCCCUUAUGCUUGUUAUGACGCCCGUGGUGCGCUCAACCUCUGCGGUAAUGGGGGGCAUGGCACUAUGGCAUCCACAUACCAUCGCCAUUGUCCACUCCCGUCACAGACGCCGCCGCCGCCGUGCCAGGUGCUGGCACCAGCAGGUUGUGCCGCACCCACUCAUCCAACGCUUGGGCCUGCGCUUCGUCGCUGACCACCGCUACGCGCCGCGCCGGAGUGCGCAGUCCCGUACCGGGCGUGCGGGGCAGACCCAGCACGCUCCCUACACCGCCAGUACCUCCGCCCAGCCCAAGACCGCCCAGCAGGCUUGCAUUGCCGACGCCGCCGACGGGCCGCGCCGCCGGCUGGGGAGUGGGCACGGGCGCCAUGGACACGGGCGGCACCAUUGCGAUACCCAUCAUACGCUGCAUGCGAGCUGGCGUCCGGUCCGUGAUCAGCAUCGCGCUUGAGACCGACGAAGCGGCCGCUACGACGCCACCUGCACCGGCUGCCGCCCGUCUGCGCCGCGCCUCUUCCAAUGCCACAUUGCCCGCUCCCGCGGCGGCUGCGUCAGCGCCAGCGCUGCUGCCAGAGGGCGCGCACGCAGAGGCAGUGUGCGUGGCGUUCUGGUGAGCAGUGGCAACAGCAGCUGCGGCGAGUUCCAUGGGGCUACAGCUGCUGCUGCCACAGCCCAUGGCGCGUGCGGCCGGCGUGCUUGCAUUACGUCCUGCCUGCUGCCGCUCGGCUUCUGCCUGGCUGCCAGCGCCGCCCGCCUCGCCGUUUCCCUCAGCGCCCAGCUCCAUGGCACUUGCACCACCGCUGUUGCCGCUGCUGGUGCCAGCGAUUGAUGCGAGCAGCCGCGCCGGGGCCAGCGUAGGCGUCAGCGGGCUCUGCUGCUGCUGCUGCGUAGCACUGGCCGCGGCAAUGUCGCCGAGCGUGACGGCCGCCAUGCGCGCAGAGGUUGCGGACGGUCCUGGCGACGCACCCACGCCAAAUGCGAGCCGCCGCACUGACUCCUCCAGCAGCGCCUCCUCCUGCUCCAACUGCGACAUGAGGUCGCUAUCCGGCACCUCCACCUCCACACCCGCACUCCUUUCCAUUGCAAGGCCCGCUGGCAUGAGCUCCAGCUCCGGCACGCCAACACCCCCGCACAGGACUGGUCCAGGCUGCUUGGGCGUCAGGUGCUGCAAGCUUGCCAAUGGGCCAGAAACCGCCCCCAGCGAGGUGGAGGGGAAGGCGGCAGCCGGGUACGGCGUCGUCGCCAUGAGCUGCGAGCCUUGCGCGUCUUGCGCCAGGGCGCGGGCGCGCAGCAGCGAGGCCGGUGCCAACCGUGAAACGCUGGGCUUGAUUUCGCUCUGAAGGCGCAGGUUUGCCAUCGAGGCUGCCAGCGCUGCCGCCGAAGCCUUCGCGGCUAGGUCGGCAAGCGAGGGCGUUCCCAUCAGCUCACAGCGGGCUGCUGCGUAGGCAUCCGCUGCACGCUUGGUCGCGGUGGCUGCAACCGUGAGUGGGUCGUCGGGAAGGCCGGUGGCAAUGGGGGUGGUAGUGGAGGGUGUCAGCGGUCGCCCAGUCGCCGGGGGCGUGGACAAGAGAGGCCCCGCGCUGGCCUGCAGAGUGGCGUUCUCAUCUGCGUCGUAAGCGCUGAGUGAACUCGGCGUCGCGGGUCCUGCAGAGGUUGUCACAAGAGGUUAAGCAUUCGACACGUCCGACGUCGCUGCAGGACAAAGUGCACGCAGGGUUCGGAUAGCGGUGGCAUACCGGGAGUAGAGCCUGCCUCACCCCAGGCGUUCAGCCCACGCUAUCCGUCUGCCCUUCCUUCCUAGAGUCCGCGUACCGCCAGUGCGCCUGGCCCUCUCACCGUCGCUUCCAUUGACGGGGCCAGACACCAUCGCCUUGGCAACUUUCUCCACCAAGUCGGUGCUCUUGCCAUUCGCGCGGACACCCAGCGCCUUCGCACGCGCCUGAAGCUCCCUGUAAUUCAAUGCUUGCAGCGCUGAUCGCGCUUCCUCCAUCUUGUCGUCGGUCAGCUUGGAACUCCUUGCGUGGUCAGUCAAUGCAGACUACACUGGCGUGGCAGCAGGCCGGAGAGAGCGGAUUACCUAGCCACUUAAAAUCAAGUCGUUCAAGUUGCACGGUAAGUCCUCUUUUGUGCAAGGGGGCGCGCAGGGCAAGCUGUUGUCGAAGACUAGGAUCCAGGUCGAAAAGGCUAUAUGACACUUGUGUUUGCAUCAAUAAAAUAGAAUGAUUGGUUGAUGGUUUGGCAGAGGGCAGGAAUGCCUUGCAAGGCAGGCGCGACCCAUGCACAAUGGAUCCGGUGCUGGCGUUGGAGGGGGGUCAUUUCUUUCGCUGUGCAACUAGCAUAAUGUUUAUAAUCUAAUCUUAAACUGGCUCCAACGCAACUACUAGAACUGCAUCCACGCAAAACCUUUUAAGUUCCUGCCUCGCGUACAUCAGAAAUGCAAACACUUCAUAUACGUUGAACGAGUUUGGAAUCAUAGAUACACUACUUUCAAGGAGCAGUUUACCGUUCUAAUGUCGUCCUUGGACUAUGAUAGUCACGCGGCCGCGAAGCCGGGUGCGGGGGCACGCCCGCCUCCACUCCGUAUAGAAGAAAAUCCAAUUGUGGAGUCUCCGGGGCCAAGCCCCGGGCCGGGCGGCGGAGGACCACCGCCGGGACCGGGCGCACUCGUGCCGAUGCCCGGUGGGAUGAUGAUGCCAUACAUGCCUAUUUCCCUGCAGCCCCAGAACGCGCUCCAGCGGCUUCCGCAUCCAGUGAAGCAUGCACUGAUUGCCAUGGCCGGGCCACCACAGCGUCAGCCGCUGGUGUAUUCCGGGGACGCCGUGAACAGCCUUUCCGCGCUCCGCCAGGACAUGACGAGCAGCUACCGCGCGCUAUGCGCGGCUCUUGGGGAACCCGAGCGAGCUGACUUGAUCGGCGGCUACCUGCCUGCAGCAGCGGCCCUUGGGCUGCCGCUGCCGGCACCGCCGGUAGGCGGUGUUGGCGGCGGCCUGCAGCGCCUGCCGCCAUUGCCUGGCGCCAGCAGUGGCACGUUGGCGCCUCUCGCGCUUAUGGGCUCGCCGCGGGACGCAGAUGGUCCAGGGCCCAGCCCAGAAGCCAGUGAAGCGACUGGCGCGGCUGCCGCCGGUGCAGGCCUGGGCCCGGUGGGCAUGGGAGGAAUGCUUUUGGCCGGAGACGCCGGCGGCAUUGAGAGUGUUGGGUCGGGCGCAGACGCGCCUGCCCGCAUGCUCGGGGCGCAUCGCUCGCUGAGCGCGGGUCCCGCAAACCCUUACUCAAUGCAGCACGUACCAUCACUGGCACAUAUGGGAGGCGCUGCUCGUGGAGGCGCGUUGGCGUCGGGCUUCGGACUGCCGCCCAUUGGCGGGGGGUUGCAGCAGCAACCGCAGCUCUGGCCGCUGGGCCGGCCUUCGUGGCCACACCUCGGAGCGGGCGGCGGCGGCGGCGCGCUGCAAGGCAGUGGUGGCAGUAUGGCUGCGCUGAACGGGCCGCGCGUAAGCAUCAUGUCCGGCUUCUCCAGGCCGCAGGUCAGUGACCAUCAAAAACAACGCGCGAGGCUGCACGACGUUGCGGAAACUGGAUGCUGUACUGGAUGAUGUAAUGUGCGCUCACGUCAUGUGCGCACCCUGAGACCAAGCCCUGCGUCUGAUGCGCUAAGGAGUAACGCAACUGCACACAUAUGUCCUAUGCCGUUACAGGACCCCGGCAGCGACUUCCUAGGGGAGGAAAGCGCGCUGGUGUACCCGCCCGCCGGCCGGAGCUUUGGCGGCGGGCCCAGUGCCGCCGCACGCACCGCCUUGGGUGCUGGCUUCGGCGGCGGCGGCGGUGGCGGUCUUAUCGACCCCAUGGACGACUUCCGCUUCCGAGGAGGGGGGGCACGCAAGGCCAUCACCGUUGAGCAGCUUGGUGAGCCUUAUGGGGUCCCUCUGGGUGUGGCGUGCAUGGUGGGAUAGGGCGCCAAUGGCUGCAGGGCGAACGGCUUUGCCCUCUGUGUAUGAUACAUGGAGGAUACGGCGGCUGGGCCAAUGCUGCACGGGACGCAGGUUUACGCUCAUAUCCUCUGUAUGCCCGAUUGGCUGGUAUGCAGAUAACCUGGACAACCUGGUGCCUGGUAGGUCGCGGUUGCAUCACGGCGGCGGCGGUGAGCAGCUCGACCGAUACCUGCAGGUGAGCGCCCAUUGAGCAGGCAGUAUGGGCACGUGCUCAGUAGCUUGCAUUGCCGGAGCUCUUCAGAUUUGCCUGGCAGCCUGGCCAUCUGACCGUGUGCGCCGACUGCUCCGUGUGAUCCCUCCUACGCAGGAUUAUGCCCGGGACAGGGCCAAGCCGCCAUCGCUGCAGGCGAUCAUGUCCGGCAGCCGCUUCUACAUGCCUUUUUGACUGGGGGCGGUAUGGUAACGGUUUCUAGCUUACGUGCAUCAGAUAGAUGUUGCAAAACGGGCCACCGAGAGCCAUGUGCAUGGAGGCGCGGCUAUGGCCGUACGGUGUGCACCGUGGUGAUUUUCGGCGUUGUGAAGGAUCAGGUCGAGGGGCACGGUUGCGGUGACGUAACCGCACAUGUGCUAGUAAACACCUCGUGUGCGCGCGCGGGACUGUGGUCCGAAGGGUGGACAGUGCUCAAGCACGGUGGUUAGCGACUGCCCACGACGUGCUGUCUGAUCGUGUUGCACCACGCAUAUGCAGCAGAACCCCAACGAGUUCUAUCUAUCACCCGUUUCUUGCUUGUAAGGGGCACGUUCCUUCUCCUAUGCUCCCAUAAUGACUUGAUUAAUGCAGCUAACGUGGCGCAGUGCGCCGUGAUGGGUGUCAUGUUGACAACCAUGCAGACUGCCCCCUUCACAUUGCUGUCAAAGCAUACGUGAACGGCUGAAUCCUAAUACAAUCGGAUUGUUUGGGGGCUCUUGUGUGCAGCAUUGUUGCAUGAAAGCAAAAUGGAUCCAUGUGGGCCUUUCGUUGGUUACCGGUAUUGCUCUGUGGGGGUUCCCAGUAUGGAGGAGAGGCCUAAAUACGCGCCUUAAUGUGGAUGGGGGCACGGCUAUACCGACACCACUACCCGCUUACGGUAACUGAUGUGAUUUGGGCUGAGCCCCCCCAGCGCAGCGAUCCAGGGGGUGGAAGCGCCCCAGGAACUCCCUGUCUUUGUGCGCGUGCGUGCAUGUGUGUGUGCGUGCGUGGGUCGGCGCCAAACUUACUAUAAUACUGGCGCAGACCGCAAGUGGCUAAUGUUGUGAUGGGGAUGUUGGGCACGCUCAGCUUGAGGUGAGCAACUGAGAUGGUGGGUCGUGAUGUAACGUACGCAUUCGGGCAGCGACGCAACGCACGCAGAGACUCGUAUGGCAUGGCAUGGAUGUAAUCAGAAAGCUGGAACUGUGCAAAUGUGCACGUGAAACGGAUUUGUUUUUGAAGUGUUCAUGGGCACCUGGUGUGAGCGGGCUGCGGAGCAGGACAGGAGCUCAUCACAUGUGCAGUUUCCGGUCAUGUCACAACUAACGCAGAGUGUCAUCCCAACUUGUAAGCUCACAAUCAAAGUAGAGUCAUUUCCGGUGUCCUAGCACGGGAGCUGAACAAGCAAACGGGGGUUACGCGCAUGGACGGGACAGAAUGGGGAUAACUGCAAUUCAACGGACACGCCACGGACAUGAGUGUUGGGACCGCGGUACAAGCAGUAGGUUGGGCCGUUGGGGGCCAAGAGCCAUGUCGUGGAGGGGGGGCUUUCCGGUAGAGAGGCGCCGUACAUUUACAGUCCGUGGGCAGCCAGAGAGGCCCCAGGCGCACCUGCUGCCCGCACCACUGCGUCUUUCAAGGCUGCUCUGAGCCCAAUGUGACACGACUGCAUGAGAAGGAAGUUACAUCGUAUCGCUGCAGCGCCUUACAACUGCACAUGCGUGCGUGCUGUUCCGAGCCUUGGAUGAAGUGCGUUCAUUCGUGCCGUUUGCACCUUCACCCCUGACGCGGGAUCCGGUCUCGCUCUCAGCAGUCUUCCAGCAACUCUCACAAGCAUGCGACCAUUCUUUCGGGUGGUUGACACAUUCGCGAGUCAACUCCAGAGAUGGUGGGAAAACUCCAGCCCUAAAAAUGGGGUGGGGCCGAAGGCCGUGCAUGUCCGCUGUGGUCAACUCUCUCGCUCGUCAUCACAUCCGCACUAGGUAAACACCGACGCUCACACAUGCCGACGUUCGCUCUUCCCCGCCCACAGCCUUCCCGGCUGCUCUACUUCUGCCGUUUGCAGCAUCUCAGCAGUACACAGCACUCUGUACGGCAGUGCCCGCGGCUUGCACUGUCGCCCCUGCUUGCUUUGGGCACUGCCCAUCCACUGUACACCUCAUCUUAUACAGCUACCACUUUUUAUGGGCUUGCUUGGCUCUGUGUCAGUGCAAUUCUCGCCUGCUCCAGUCUUCUUGUGUAUGUGUGCGGCUAGUGCGGCAUGCGAGCAUGCUUGCAAACUCCAACACGCAUGCAUGCGAUUAGGAGGUUGAACACAUCCAGACACCCUUGGGCUGCUGGCUACACAACUCGUUUGCCAUCCCAUCCCACGCUGCAGCAAGUCAGCUGCAGGAACCAUAUGCAUUCAUGCGCCUACCUCAAGCUACUCCGAAUUUGAGCAACUCACAUUUAGGUUCGGUAGGUCAACCGGUUUCACAGUGUCCGGACCAGGCCUUGUAAUAUACCACUCACUCAUGUGGAGUUUGCAUGGUGGCGCCCUAGGUACCAUAGAACGCUCACGCUCAAAAAUUACUUAUUGUCUUCAAAGAAUUCAGGCCGGCCAUUUAGGCUACAGUACACUAGUAUGCGUUUGUGUCAUUCGUUCAUGCAACCUUCGCAAGGUGCCACCAUCAUCAGCACUGCUUCAGCCAAGCAGGAUGCGCCCGAGCUCGGCCCACUCCUCGUCACCGGCGCACCAGUCGUCGCCCAGAAGCUGGUGAUCCUGCUGGUGUUGCGGCAGCUGGGUUGCUGUGGCAGGAGUAGCGCCGACACCGGCGGUGCAUGUGCUGCAGGCGCCGCAGGCGGCGCUGCUGCUGCUGCUGCUACUGCAGCUGCGGCUAACGCCAGCAUGCGCCUUCUGUUGCUGCUGCUGGGCCCAGCCAGUGGCCGCCUCGGCUGAGGCGGGCUCGGUCUUGACCCCAGCAGCCACUGCGGCGCCAGCAGCAGCGGCCGCAACAGCCGCGGCAGUGGUGGUUGUGAUGCGGGUGGUGGUGGUGGUCGCCUCCAGGACCGAGCUGCCGCUGAGGGACAGGGCUGCGGAGGCGGCGGGUGCCAGCGAGUGCACGGCGGCCGCAACUGCGGCGGGCUGCGACGGCGCGGCGGAGGCGGCAGCAAAGGCAGCGGCGGCAGCAGGCGGCAGCUGCUGCUGCUGCGGGUGAGGGUGGAAGACGAAGGCGCCCAUGCCCGCAGACGGAGCAGCGGCGGCAGCAGAUGCAGCGGCACUGGCACCGUGUGCACCGCCGUACUGAAGCAGGUGCGGCGGGCGGACGGCCAUAGGCAGCAGCACAUGCUGCGGAGGUGCACCGGGGACAGACGAGGGCAGGAGCACGAGCUGCUGGUGGUGCUGGUGCUGGUGGUGCGGGUGGGAGCCCAGCAGCUGCAGCGCCGCGGCGUGGGGGCCGGCGGGGCCCAUGAGCAGGACGGGGCCGCUGCUGCCGUCGGCAGGGCCUGAGCCCUGGACGUGGUGCGGGUGCAGGUGCUGGUGGUGUUGCAGCUGGAAGGCGCCGGCAGGUGCACCGGCGCCGGCGCCUUCCAGCUGCACCAUCAGGUGCUGGUGGUGCGGGUUCUGGUGGUGCUGCUGCAGGAACGGCGGCGCCACGUGCAGGACCACGUGCGAGUGCUGCUGCGCCUGCUGGUGCUGCUGGUGCAGGAGGGCCAGCGACUCGUGAGACAGAAGCUGCACCCGGGGGCCCAUGAGGUGGUGCUGCUGCUGGUGCUGCCAGAAGGGACUGGCGCUGCUGCUGCCGAUCGCCGGCGCCGCCGACUGCGGAAGGGCGGCGAAGCCGUGCGGCGGCGGCUGCAGCGACUGCAGGGACAGCCGGUCACCAGGGGCACCAGCAGCGGGCACCGCGGCGGCGCCAAGCACGCCGCUGGCCGCCGCCACAACAGAGGCGGGCACCACCGGCGGCAUCGACACCACGGCGGCAGGGUGGGCCGGCAUUGACGCCGCGGCGGCAACGGAGCGCCAACCGCCAGCAACAACACCAGCGGCAACAACAGUCCUGGUGCCGGCGGCAUCAGUGACGACGGUAUCACCAGUGGAUGAGAGCCGGCGGACGCUGACGUCACCUGCUGGUGGUGGCCGGGCGCAAGCACGGCGGGCACACGCAUGAGCAUGCAAUUAGCGGUCAUGUGUGGGGCGAGCACGCCAUACCCACGCAUACCACCACGGCAACAACUGCAGGCCGAACGGCAUCCGCAGCAACAACUCCAUCAACAAGUGUGCGCUCGUGGGGCGGACAGGCGCGCGCUCGUGCUACCAUCUGCUCACCAGGACCAACCGGGCUCGCGGCAGCCGAGGCGGGGCAGGCAGGCGCGGACGCGGCGUCCUCUUGCGUGUCCAUGCCGUCGCCCUGAGCCGUGGGCGCCGCGCCGUCAGCGCCCACUGACACACUGCUACUGCGGCGGCUGGCAGCGGCUACAGCACCCGGCUCCCCGCCGUCCUCGGCAGUAGCACCAGCGGCACCCGAGCCGCAGCCGCCGUCCUCUCCCUCUUGCUGCUGGCUACGCUGCUGCUUCUCCAUCUGCUCGGCCACUUCUUGCGCCGCCACUUGUUGCAUGGCUGCCUUGUAGGCGGCGGCACGGGUGAGGGCGUCGGGGCCGCGCUUGUCCUGCUCCCACGACCCGCAAGCAGAGGCGGAGGCGGGCGGCAACGCGCGCGCGUAGGCGUAGACCAGGUUGUCACGGUAGCCGCGCUUUGCGCGCAGGGCUCUGUGGCCGAUAGGCAGGGAGGGGUGUGAUGGAGGAAGGUUCAGCACCUCGGUGCGGUUUGAUUGAAGGCGAGGCUAGCCCUGGUAUGCACCGUACGUGCACAUGCAUCCGAACGGCACCCACCCGAAGAAGAAAUUCUUGCAGUCAUUCUCUGCACGUAGUGGGGGCAUACGAAUGGCAUGGGGACAGAAGGUGGUGAGCUGAGACGUACUACAGAGCAGGAGACGCUCGAAGGUUGUUGGUAGUUCCGUGCAUAUGAGAAAGCAUAUAACUUUGCAGCAUACGUCAGUCGCGUACUCGCCCCUCGCGCGCUUCUGAAAGUCCUCCAACCGUCGUCAACAUGUCGCGACAUGACGCCCCGACUGCGCUGAAAACAGACUCACGAGUGCGGCCGGGCAGCUGCUUAGCGAUCUCGGUCCAACUGCAAUCAAUUUGCGAGGACAGCAGCGCAGGUUGAGCGGGUCUGUUGUCUUCGGGGAGUCGCGCACACGAACUGGCUUGGUUUGUUAGUUUUCCAAUUCGGAGCCCAAUCGCGCGCACCUGUUACCCAGCUUGACGUGGAGCUGAAUUAGACGAAGGGACUGUGCGCGAGACCAGUCCGGACGGCUUCGGCGGUGGUCGGUCUCCGUCAUUGCUCCAGCGGCUGCGACUGGGCGUCCUAGCGGUAUAUGGCUUGCAGGAAAAUGCAGUCGUUCAAUGGCCCUUACACUAGCUCAAUGUAGAGAGGGCAGCGCUUCUCAAGGUCAGAAAACAGAACGACCAAAGCUUGGAGUGGCCAGAGAGAGAUCGAAGGGGUCCGUUGGUUUCAAGGCGAAUAGAUUUUGGUGUAUGCUGGUGCAAAUGAUUUACAGCUGCUGAGGGUAUUCAGCCUGUAAAACGACUGCCCGAUGAAGGAUGGACUUCAUAGCGGACGAUUCGAGGUUCGAUCGUCGACGCGGACCCACAGUUGCGAACCGUGCGAACCCAUGCAAGACUGCACUUCCUGGGCUCAGCCUGGUACAGACACAUAAGUGAUUGUGCCUAUUACUGCAAAUAUUACCCAGGCCAUGAUUAUGGCUCACAAUUAAAAACCUGCCAAAACUCAGUCGGACGGACGGACACCGCGUCCAAAUCGACUCGCGAGCUCAAUAUUAUUGGCAUUCUCCUUGGUAAUUCAAUGUCCUACACCACCGGUAAACACUCGCAGCCCACCCCGGUUAGGUUCCGCCACACCUUCACCCCUCUCCGUCGGGUGAAUCCGUCGGAGUCCCCGAACUCGAGAGCUGCCACGUGCCUCUCCAACGGGGCAUUCUGCGUGAAGACUACGGUAACUGCAAGCCUCAGGAAUGCGCACAGCGAGAUACGCGCAGCUAAGGGCAGGGCGCGGCGGUGCGGACGAGGUCGGCCAAACCACGUGCACGAGUUACAGCUCGGCUCCUCAAGCUACAAGUCUCCCACCGUAAUACCUGCCAACCCGGGGGCUCGCCAGCAGCUGUGUACCAGCACCCCUAACCUUGUGUUGUGCAUGCUGCUCUCACUUGAGGCUCCUCCCGAAUUCCCGCGUAAGGAGACCCACUACAAGUCAAGGUAUGCUCGCAAGCAAAGGGGCUUGGCAGUGUCCCCGCGUCUCCGCAAUCGUGGCCCCCGAGGCACGUACCUCACCUGCUCAGCGCCUCAGCGGCGGCCACACCUUAGCGGCCACAUCUCACGGUUGUAUGGCGCUGCGGCUCAGGGUCCACCUGACCUGGCCUUGGAGCACUGUGCGACCCUUCCCGCCUGUUGGUUGUACAUUGUCAUGCACGAAACUUGAAGCGCCCCAUGCUCCUUUCUAAAGGCUGCGAUCCAGGCGGGAGGCGGAUUGUAUUAGGCGGAAGUGGGUUAACCGGCGUUACUCGCCCUGGCCGUGCCACCCACUCGCCUUCCCCUUGAGCCACCACUGUGCAGUGGCACGGCCGCACGCGUGCGCCCGCUGCUGCCUCCCAGCUUGCCUCCCAGGCAAGCCCACACGGUAACCCAAGUUAUGAAAGCGUGUGUGCAUGCUGUUUCUCAAUUUCAGUUGACGCCGCAAAAAAGCAUGCGUGGAUAGCGCCGCCGCCUCAAGGGAGCAAUCUUACCUUGCCCAUGUGGAUGCCAGCACGCUGUCGGCGUCUUUCCGCAAAGAGAGUAACGGCGCGGCGCAUUAGGGUCAGACCGGCACAGCGAAUCCCGGCCAGGCGGUACAGCGCAUGACUCGAUCCAGGUGCCAGCUUCAGGCAGCGUCCCCACGGGCAAAGCCCGUGAAGCACCUGUAUGCACCUUCAACAGCGCCUUGUGCUGACGCGCAGGGGAUCACCAUGCACGGGGCCCGAGUGAAGCGUACGCAACUGCGCGCGCCAAAACCGACACCGAGGCCAAGUCAUCGCCCACGCCAACCGUUGCCCACGCCACGGAUUAAGACGCCGGCGGUGAAGCCGUUGCCACACCCGGAGGCCACGCGCGAGGCUGCGGUAUGAAUCAUGGCACCGUGACAGAGUAGGGGCGCCAGACCGUCGGUACAUUGGACCCAGUGACGAGGCGGCAUAAGACAAUACGGUGCUAGGUGGUGGUGUGGUGCACCGGACCAGGAAUCCAGGAUCCUUGGUCAGUUUCGGGGGGUCAAACUGUCAAAGCUGGAGCAAACGAGCGCGUGUGUCAUCGCUCGGCCAAGUGUGGGCUAGAACGCGGAUUUUCCGCUUCCACCUGCCAUCAUCGGCGUCGCCGGCUGUUCCGCUCCUGCUGUGCCGCUCCGGCUAUGCCGCUGAGGCGCUGACCCGCUGUGUCUGCUCCGGGCACCACCCUGGCUCCUGCCGGAGUGCCCGUAUCUUGUAGAUGCCCUCAGGCUCGCGGCACCUACUCCGCGUAGAUGACCCCUUCCGGACCAUCUACGCCCGUUGUAAUUUGCAUGGCAGCAGCGUAACCUGCAUGUACCCUUUCAACCUCUUUGAAAUCAACGGACCCUUUCGACCUCUCCGUGGCCGCCGUGUCAUCUGCACGUACCAGGAUCCUCCGUGCCGCGUCACCUGCACGAGUUGUCCACUGCUGCACGUAAGCCUGCAUGUGCAGUUGUGCACGCGUUUGGCUACGGAAACGUACUCCCGGACGGAGGCCGGUGCAAAUGCCAGAUAGCUUUGCGCACACCAACCGUCAACACUCGCAGCGCACCCUGAUUAGGUUCCACCACACCUUCACACAUCUCUGUCGGGUGAGCCCGUCGGAGUCCCCGAACUUAAGGGCCGCCCCACUGGGGAUGCAAACUAGGAUAAAUUCCCCGUGCACCAAGGGCUCCAAGCCAGCCGCCAGGCACCUGCGCCAGAUUCCACGCUUUCAUCACCCUUUCCAUUCCACCCCAGCAAUAGCCGCCAAUACAUUCAGAAGAUGUCUUGCGGAAAGCUCCGCCCGUACAGCCCCACCCACGACCGCGGCGUCCGCAGGCCGCCCACCUCCCUCGCUGCUGCGUGCAGCCGGCCCGCACACACAGCCGCCGCCUCCUCCUUCCCCUCGCCCUCAGCUCCGCCCGCGGUCAGCGCCGCCAGCAGCCGCACGGCGUGCCCCGCCAGCGCCAGCCCCUCCGCCGCAUUAUCCCCCUCUGCCGCAAAGCACCCCAGCACCGCGUACGGCAGCCUCUGCCGUGUCGCCUCACUAACCAUAGGCCAGGGCGGCAAGCUGUGAUGUAGCUGUAGCUCCUCAUCCCGCAGCUCCUGCUCCAGCUCGGCAAGGGGGGCGGAUGCCAGAGCAGCCGCCGCGGCGGCGGGGCCGCCCAGGCCGCCGCCCAGGUCGCCGGCUGCGUAGGUGUACGGGUCGGGCGGAGGCGGCGCGGUGGCAGCGUGGAGGGCGGUGGCGGCGGCGCAGGCGGCGCGAAGCUGCUCCGUGCUGGCCAGAAACCUGAGCGGUUUGCAUGUGGAUGCGCCAUGGAAGAGGGAAGGUUGAGCGGGGCAGGAAGCAGAGGUCCGCCGCAGCUGCGGCAGCUGCACGGCCUGUGAGACACAGCUUGGUGGUGGUGCGGUGCCCAGCCAGCGCCCUCAUGUCGUCUCAUAGCGCCCUCAUGUCGUCGCCCCUCAUCCCGCUGACACAGUGCUUCCAACACUUUCCCCUCAUCUCCAGUCCUUCGGCUCUUCGGCACCCCGAGCCAUGCCAGCCAUCCCUGUCGCACAACCGUCCCAGUCCCACAGCCACCCAACAAUCCGCUGUUGCCCCCCGCGCACCGACCUGAACGGCGAGCUGUCCAGCUGCCUGUCUCGCCGCAGCUGCGCAUCAAGCCCCGUCAGCACUACCACACCCGCCGCCCCGGCUGCAUGCAGCCACGUCACCAGCUCCGCCGCAAACGCCGCCUGCCGGCCCAGGGCCGCCGGCGCCCGCUGCUGCAGGAACACCAGCGGCGGCUGGCUGCCUGUGGCAUGUGUGUGGUGUGGGCAUGGAAGCGGGUGCAUUGUGGUGAGGGAAGUAGAGGUGGAUGGUGAAGGAAACUGGUGUCGCGAGCACAUCGGUUCGAGCAUCAGUGUGACCGGCCCCCCAUGAUGCUUGCCUCACUGCCCGGGCUCGCAUACGAAGAGCGCGCAGCAGCUCGCUGUCUCACAGCACAACAUCUUUUCACUAGAGGCUUGCUUCCCUUCUGAUGAUGAAUCUGACCUGGGAUGCUGAACAACUCCAGGGCGGUGGUCAGCACGCCGGUCGUGUUGCCGUCGACGGCAUCAAAGGCGUCAUUGCCCACCACAGGCAGGCAGUUGGCGGACUCCAGCGGGCCCAGGGGGGUGACGGGCGCCAGCGAGGUCACAAGCACGUCCAGUGCCAGCUCGCCAACAUUAGCAUACGUCACGGCGGGCUGCAGAUAGGGUGGUGCAUAUAUGCGAGUGGCGGGGCCAGGCCCAAGAGCCAGGGUACGAUGCGGGUCGCGGGGAAGAAGCAGGCCUCCCGUCUCCGGCCCUCUGGACACCUCCGUGUGCUACCCUAGCACACACGCAGCAACGCCCACAACGCCCACAAUAACCACGCCAACCCCUGCGCCUUUGGUAAAGGCCAUGCGCCAUCACGAAUCCGCACGCACCAGCACGAUGAAGGCGCCUCUAAGCGCCUCAAGGGCUUGGGGCGAGCACUGCAUCUCAAGACUGGUUGACCCCUCCGCCAAACCAAAUGGUAAAUGUUGUUUCGUUGUAUCAACGGAUGACUGGUACUAGGUCCUGUAACAGUAUCGGACGGUUCUCCUGCGUCGGGCGCGCAGAUCCCAGGAGCCGAAGCCUACAGCUUUCUAUGUGUUUCCUGAGUGCAGUAGCAGUCCACAGUGUUACAUGUUUUUGGAAAGUUAAGAGCAAACUACCCUACGCCAACCCCAGCGGAUGGCCGAUGCGGGUUGGAUUCGGAAUUGAUUGAGUUCCUCCUGCUAACGUUGUUGGACAUUGCUGAAUGGUAUAACUGAACCAGCACAAUGUUGAGCACGCGCGCUGGACAAGGGUCUGCGUUGCAAGCUCCACGAGGAGCCAAAACAAAAACAGCGGUGCGCGCAUUGCCAUCGCUGUCUGGCCUACUCAAGGCUGUAAACCAGCGCCUGACUGGGAGGUCAAAGCAACUGCAGGUGAGGAGGACGGAUGACGAAGCACAUUGGCUGGUCGAAUAAGGAAUAGUCGCAGAGUGAAAUGGCUACGCAACCACGGUAGCGGCGCAUAGCCUGUGCGACACAGGCUGCGCAGGCCAAACCCUAAUGCACCCAGUGUCCAUGCCCUGCUCAACCGCUGCGCUGCGGGGGCCGCUCUGUCCCUUGAAGGCAGCGGACCCGGUCACUGAGACCAUCAUCCGCACGGAAGAGGCUGGUGCCGAUGCAUUCAGCACCGGCGGCAGAGCCAGCGCCAGCAGCUCUGCCGCUGCGGCCGCGGGGUUGCCUGCAGGCAGGAGCAAGGGUGGCCGCGGCCGCAGCUCCAUACGUAUGGAGGUGCGGGUGGUGGACAGCAUAAGCAAGGUGAGGUUGCGUACUAGGGUAGAACCAGGCAGGGUAGUGAGUUCCAGUGGGUUUCAGUAAGCUUCACGGUCAGUGAUGUUCAGCACAGCAAUUGUUGAUGGGCCGGGUGGCUUGGGCUCGCGACUCACGUCGCUUGUAUGCCAGGCUGGACACCUGCAAUCCGUGGGAGGGGCAAACGGUUCAUGGCGGUAGGACCGAAGCCAGUGCGCCCAGGCAUGUUGGCAUUGCACACAGCCCUAGGAUCCCUGCUUGGUCUGCGUGUUUUGCACCCGGCUGCUCAAGCACCAAACACUCUGCGCGCUUGGCGUCGUGGCCUCUCUUGCCUAUCUUGCCGGCUGUUUCGCGACACACCACAUUCCACCGACCCAUAUCGCACAGGUGCCGCAGCACGAGUGGGAUGCAGUGGUUCGCACCUGUUCGGGCGGCGAGGUAAACCCCACGCUGCUGUGGAGCUUCCUGCACGCCAUGGAGGAGAGCGGCUCGGCGGUGCGUGCCUGGGUACCAAGGCGGAGGGUAGGGGUCCCAGGGGCGAGUAGGAGUCUCAAAGGAGGACAGCACAGGUAGCACAAUCCAUUCUUCGAGCUUAAAACCCAGCCAUGGCGAAACCCGGCAACCUCCUGACUGGCAUUGACAGCAACGCCAGCACUCGCACUUACCCCACCGGGCCUUUGGCACCUUUCAUGCCCGCAGUGCCCGCGCACCGGCUGGCUGCCCCAACACGUCAUCGUGCGUGAGUUGCCGGGAGAAGAAGCCGACUCGGACUCGGAGCCAGCCGCCGCAGCAGCAGCCACAGCCACAGCAGCGGCCGCAGCAGGGGUGGACAGCGAGCGGCAGGCCAGCGGCGCCAGCGCCUCAACCUCCGCGAGCCUGGGAGCGCCGGGGGCAGCCGCGAGCAGGGGCCGGCUCUUGGGCUGCGUGCCCAUGUACCUGAAGGGCCACUCGUACGGCGAGUACGUGUUCGACUCGUCCUGGGCUGACUUCGCGUCGCGCCUGGGCCUCCGGUGAGCCUGGAGCGUGCACGGCAAUCAUGGUUUGCUGUGUGUUUGAGGGCGAGAGCGAACACAGAGAACAGUUCUUGCGAUGCAUUUGUGUUUCGAAUGUGUUGGCAUCGGGGCGUGCGCGUCCUUGCUCGGGGACUUGUGUACUUGCUGGCGGUAGGGUGCCCGCUGUGCACCCCCGAUCCCUGCUGCAUGCUCAGCGCCGGUGCCGCCCCUGCCGCUUCUGCUGCCCUGCAGCUACUACCCCAAGCUGCAGGCCGCGGUGCCCUUCACGCCUGUGACCGGGUCCCGGCUGCUGGUGGCGGGGGAGCUGGGGUUGGGCGAGCGGGCGGCUGUGGUGCGGGCGCUGGGCAGGGCGCUAAUCAGCAUGGCAGGUGCGUGCGUGUUGGCGAUCGGGACACGUGCGUGGAGGGUCCAGCGUGGCAGGUCCGGAAUGGCGCAGGGGACAGGAGGUUGGAGCUGUUCGGAUGCGAGCGGGAGAGGCGGGCGGGGGUUGGGGCAAAGGGACAUGAGGACGGGGUGCACAUCGGGUGGAGGAAUGGGCAAGGCGUACCGGUAUGCGCGUUGGCACUGGGAUAUGAAGCGAAGCUGGUGGCAAGCAGCUCAGCCUAGGUUGUGGCUGCUCCUGCCACCGCAGAUCAGAGCGACAUCUCCGGCGUGCACCUCACCUUCACAACCGGCGAGGAGUGGGCGGCACUGGCAGAGCUUGGGUUCAAGCAGCGGCUGGGCCUGCAGGUGUGUCCUGGGGCGAAAUUACUGGACCUUGCGAUGCUUUGGGCCGGAUACGGCUUUGCCAAGCCAAUGAAGUGGAUGAUCCUGGUGCGAGUACAGUCCAAAGUGCCAUCCACACGGAAGAUUAUGUUAAUUACCUCUUUGCCUUGCUGUGACCCUCCGCCUCAUCCACAUAACACCCCAAUCGCCACCAGUUCCAUUGGGACAACCCCGGCUAUGAGUCAUUUGACGCCUUCCUAGCCGACCUCAAGCAGUCCAAGCGCAAGAGCAUUCGCCAGGUGCGCGCCUGCUGGGGCCCACCAGCAGCUUUGCAACGGGAGAUGAAGUUGCAGGCGUUUGUCUAUCAUGUGUGUGCAUUUUGCAAAUCCUGCUCGGGCCCAAGCUCAUCGCUGCGCGCGCUGCAAAUGACCUGCGCUGGAUGCUCGUAACCUCCAUCUUGGCACAACCACAUGCGCGCGCUUUCUUCGCUGUGUAUACUGUAUGUGCUCUCUUGACACAGGAGCGCAAGAGCAUUGAGAAGGCCGGGCUGGCCGUGCACCGGCUGCGCGGCGGCGAGCUAACUGCGGCCCACUGGGACCGCUUCUACGAGUUCUACCUGUCCACGGUGGACCGCAAGUGGGGCAACGCCUACCUCACACGCGACUUCUUCCAGCAGCUGGGUGCAACCAUGCCCGAUCAGGUGAUUAGAAUGUGCACGCGGGCGGGCGGGCGUGGCGUGUGGGCGGCCGGGCAGGUGUUGAGUGGCUGAGGCGUGCGCUUUAUGCCAGUAGCAUGUGGCAUGGAUGGGCUGGGUGGGUUGGGGGAGGGCAGGAGACUGAGUGGGCGGCAUGUCAGGCGGCAGGGAGCGUGUCGGCACCUGGGCCUUGUGGGCCGGACUGGUGUGCUGGCGCAUAGGCUCGCGAUCCCCGACAAAUCAGGUCGGGCAGCACAUGGCGCUUAAGGAGUGCCAUGUCCGACUGUAAUGUGCCCAUAUCAUGCGGCGCCCAUCCGCAGUGCUGGCAUGGGUGGUGUGGGCUGGAGAUCUGGGAGACACGGAACAAGUUGAAUGCUCAGGUCGCUGUCAAUACUAAGCGUCCAUCCGCGAUGCCCGGGCGUGUGUGCAGGUGUUGCUGGUUGCGGCCACGGACGCAGGUGUUGCCGUUCCCUCGCCUGGUGCCGCCCCUGAGGCACAGUCCCUGGUAGCGGCCGCGCUCAACCUGGUAAGUGCCAAUGGCUACGGCUCUCGUGCAGUGGUGCGACCAGAUGCGUAAGCUGCACAUCCCCUAGCCUUGUACACGCAUGUGACAGCUUGCGUUUGGUCCCGCAGGUGGGCAGCCACGCUCUGUUUGGUCGCAACUGGGGUGUGGCUGACGGGCGGGAUGUCAAGAACCUGCAUUUCGAGCUGUGCUACUACCAGGUGGGAAGGGAGAGGGGGUUUUGCUGAGAGGGGAUCACAGAUAGGGCCGGGGGUGUAAGCCAAGGCAGCUCACGUCUGUCCGCCCGCUGCUGUACCGCGGAAGGUACCAGGCUUGCAGCUUGCGGCUGACAAGCGAUAUGGGGGCGUGAGUGGCAACGGUUGCUGCUCACUUUGCGGUGCGACUGACCGCCCACAUCGCUGUUUUAUGGACAGGCACUGGAUGAAGCGAUCCAGCGGCGGCUGCCGCGUGUGGAGGCGGGCGCGCAGGGCGAGCACAAGCUGCAGCGCGGCUACCUUCCCUCGCUCACCUACUCCUGCCACUACAUCCGCGACCCCAGGUGCGUGCCUGCGGCGACUUGCAAGUUGGUUUGACCAAGUAUGGCGCCCCUCCGACACUAGACUAGCCCGGGGCCGGGGCCAGGACCAGGGCCGGGGUGUUAAUAAUCGUGCAUCGCCACGUCCAAUGCAUGCGCCAGUAGCGCUCGUGCCUGCUUCACUCACUGUAACAGGCUCGGCGCGGCAGUCGACAAGUUCCUGUCCAGGGAGCGCGGGCAGAUCGAAUACGCGUUGCAGGUGGGUGAUGCGGUGCGAAUGACAUGUGGCGGGAUAGCGUGCACACGUAAACCAUAUUGCACGUCACGUCACUUUAAAAUGGCGCCAAACUUUGCCUGGAUCUGCCAAGCCUACAAACAUUGCCGCUACCGUACUCGCAUGCCUCUCUUCCACUUUUCGUGUAGCCAGCAUCGCUCUGUCGCCCCCACCCACCCACCCACCGACGACCGCUUCCACCCUACCGUCGGCCAACCAUCCACGUCCCCCAUCGCAGGUCAUGAGCCUGACGGCCUCGCCCUACAAGCAGGAGCGGACCAUGGAGUCACUGGUCCGCAAGGUGAACGCCUACAGCAGCCUGUCAUCGUCGUCGUCCAGCAGCGACAGCCUGGAUGAGGAGCUGGCGGCAGCUGCGCUGGCGGCGGAGCUGCGCGGAAACUGAUUGCGUAUGCUAGCGGGGCCGAGCGGGCCGGCAAAUGAGUGACAGCAGGUUGCGUAGAGCGAAGAUACCUUGUAUGAAAGGAGCCGGGCUUGCAGGUGUUUCACUACGAAAGUGACGGGCAGGUGCACCCGUAUGGGACACCUCUGGUGAUCUGGUGAUCUGUGGUGCAUGGAAUGGUAAGACUAGGAGCGAAGCGAGUUAGCGAGUCAUCGACAGGGGAUGCAGAAAUCAUAGUAAAGAGGCCUUGAGUAGACAGCAGCUGGGACCAUGCACAUGCAUGUUAUACAGGGGCUAUCAUGGUAUUUUAUUGAUUGGGCACUUGGGGAUGCUGGGACUACGGCAAGCACGACCAUGCUCGGGGCCUCGGGCAAAACUAGCGGAAGCGCACUUCUUGCCAUCGUGAACGUGCAUUUUACAACUGCAAAAAGCAACAUGCACUGAAUAGCUGAGGGUCCCGCGAGCGCCCCAGGCCCAGUCACCCUGAUGCGACCACAAAUCGAGCGCUCAUCGUCUCAGUUGAGCCUUAGUCCUCUUAAUUACGCCCUAUACAAACCGCCACACGUCCUGAGUGGUCGUCUGCUCUAGGCGCAAACUCCACACAUUGCUUCGGCGUGUGGGGACGCCGCGUUGGCGAGAGCCACGGAUGGCCCUAUUACCGUGGGGGCAUGUCGCACCCGUGGAGGGCACUGUAAGGAUGGGUAUGGUUGUACGGGCAUUCCGUAUCACAUUCCGUAUGGCAUUCGUCCAUUGCUCGGACCCCAUCCUUACCAAUCAUCAGCAAUAACGCACAUGCCUUACUAUCAUCAGCACGAAGAAUUACACAUACUUAGACAACCUUAAUUCCGUGUGCCGUACGUACGUGCGCAGGUUACCCAAUCCACACCAGACUUUAUUUGCACCGUGCUGCUGCCUUGAUUCACCGGUUGCUACAAGCCUACGUAGGCUUGCGUACCGUACUUCUAAGCUUGUCUUAAGUAAUGGUGGAAUAACCGUAGCAAAACUCUGCUAGCGCCACCAAUAACCACCACACCUCUGCACGUGUCCAUUUAGCUGGAACCUGCGCCAUUUAUUUCAUCAAGACACCACCCAUCCAUGUAUUUUGCUGGGCACUUGUACCAAUGCCCUAGCUAGGCAUCGAUGCCUAGGCAUAAUGAGGAACCACCUGGUGCAUGAAAGGCUACUUGCAAGUGACACGCACGUACUAGGGACAUGCUUGGAUCAGUGGAAAGCACUUGCUACCGUAGAUGCUUCUUGGAUCCACGGGUUCCCGAAAUACGGUAGUAACCACAAGCUCCGCCGUUUAGCAACACACACUGGUGUUGUCACAUCGAAGCUACUCCGCUCAUAAAUCGAUAAGAUAAGAAAGGUCUCAGGGGGAAAAGGGGCCAACCACUUAUUGUCCAUACCCAGUUGGCCAACCACUCUCUUUAUUACCCAUACCAUACUUCUGACCAUAGUUUCCAAGAAUACUCCCCCCCCCCGCCCCGCUACAAUGCACACUGCCCAGGGAGACAACGCGGGUAGCGGGAGGAAACAUGGCCGUGCAUAAGGAAGCACACAAACCUACAAACCAUGGAUCUUCGAUAUCUACGGCGUGCGUCCGCCGGUUGGUAGUUUGCCCAAAUAGCCUUCAUCAAUGUACGGACUCAAUUGUACGGACAGCAUUCCACGAGCUGACUCUACUGCUGCAGACUGGAGAGUUAUGAUAAUGCCACCUUAUCGCGUAUGAAUUUGUCCGAGGAUCUCUGUUUCCCGAAGAGCAGCAGUUGCUGGCUGCCCCAAACCUUACGCUCCAACGCCGCCCGCGCAUGCGCCGCUUGCCGCCACCAUCUCUCCGCUCACACCGGCGUUCCUGCCACCUCCACCUCCAAGCAGCCGGAAGCCGCCGCCGCCGCGCUUGCCGCCGCCCGCCUGUGCGCGCCUGAAGAUGGCCUUGACGUGAGCCCGCACGUCCAGCUCCGGUGGCACGUGGCUGAGCAGCGCGCUCUGCCGCAUGGCGUCUGCUUUGAGCCGGGCCAGGUGCGGCCACAGGAUGAGCACCAUGUAGGCGCAGAUGCCCACUAUGGUGCAGAUGAGCAAGAUCUGUGUGUUGGCGCAUUAAGGGUGCGGGAGGGGCAGAAAUUAAUGGAGCGAGGUAAGGAGAAAGGGUCGGGGUACACGUGGUGAUGUGGUGAUUCCUCACCUGCACGUUGCGUGCUGGCCCCCCGGGCCCCGGCCCCCGCCCCAGUUCCACCCAGCCCCUCUCCCAACCUCCACCCUUCUACGGCACCCCUACAUCUGUAUCGCCGCCUCCAUCCCCCUCACGCCCAUCCCCGCUCACCGUGUGUAUGUCCACCACCUGGUUGUAGCGGCUGAUGGAGUAGUCCACGAACAGCUGCGCCGCCUGCUGCAGCCCCUCGUACAGGUCGCGGGCGCCCACAUGGUACAUGUACAAGUACCUGCAAGACGGGCAGGCAGGUGGGCAGGUGGGCGUAGACAGAUGGGCAAGGGAAAGAGGGCAUGUAGACUAAGUGGGCAAGUGUAGUUUACACAGAUGGCGAAGGCAUAUACAAACAGCCGCACUCUGUGCAUACAGCUAUGUGAUCGCGGCCAUGACGCAUUGCCACAGCUCGGCUUUCUUGUCACGCACGGCGUUCUAGUCAAGGCAGCAUCGGCAGCCUUUCCGCUUCCCAGCCCAUACUCACGCAGUCCCCACGCACGCACCGUGUGCUGGUGUAGGCCACAUCGGCGUCGGCGUCCUCACUCAGCAACCGCAUUUCGGCCAGCAUGCGGCGAACCAUCACCUGUGCGCAGGCAGGCAGGCGCGGUGCAUGCAGUGACGAAGUGAGCGCGCAGCGGUGCAAGAGAGAACGAGUCCCACAAGUAUACCGGCGUCCACGUGGCAUUGGAUGGCACACACGCAUGAACCCAGUGCUGUUAUAGCAGCGCCUCACCGCUGCAGCAGUAGCCCCGCUCCCGCGCCCUGCUCCCCCCCCCCCCGCCCCCGCCAUCCAGUUGUCAACACGCGCACUACUGUACUCACAUCCAGGCCGUUGUGUGUGACCUCGUAAUACUGGUCUCCGGGCUUGAGGCAUGCCUCCUGGUCGAAGCGGAAGCAGCGCUUGGAGCGGAAGAACUCGGUGGCGAAGGCGGAGGAGAAGAAGGUGGAGGGCGGCACCGGGUGGUUGAACACGGCGGAGGUCUGUGGCGGCAGGCAGGCAUGUGCGGGAGCCAGCGCAUGACACCAGGGAGGGAGGGCGACGUAGGGAGUACAGGGAACGAGGUCAUGGGAUGCGCAUGAAAGGAGCCAAGCAAAGGCUACCGGACGGUGGAUUGGGCCGCACCCAGCCUCUCGCUCCAUCGCCAGCUGCCCCACACGGCAUCGCACCGCACGCUGUACCUGAGUUAUGGGCGUGCCGCCGUACAUGAGCGCAUUGUACUCUGCAACAUAGAAUGACGGCCGGGCAGAGGAAAAUAUGUGAGGUGCUGAUCGCAUGCCAGGUCCGCCCUGCCACGGCCACUGCCACUGCCACUGCCACUGCCACCCAGCCGCGGUUUAGGCCCAGGCCACGCUAAUUGCAAACACCAGCCACGCACCCGAAUCAAAGUAGCGCAGCUCAGUGGCCAGCAUGUCGCGCCAGAUGUCACGUGACGCGUCCUCGUCCUGCAUAAGAGUUCAUUACCGGGCACGCAAAUCAAGCACAGGUAGGCCGCCGCCGGCGCGUGGGAACGAAGGUUUGCAUUCAUGCCGAGACAAGCUCCCACCCGCUCACCUGGGACACGUAGCCAAAGGCAAUGGCGCGCACGCGCGUGUAGCGGUAGAUGAUGUGACUGGCCAUGUUGAGAGACGCCAGCGGGCCCUGCAGGCCUUCCAGCUGCGAGGACACAACGGCGAGACCCGGCAUGAUUGUUCAGCUAGGGAAGCUGCGUAGGCCGCGGUGGCGGCAGUCAAACAGCGUAAAGCUAUGCCCCUGGCUGCUUAGCCCACAUCAAGCCCCAACAAGCGCGUGGUUUGGAGUAGCGAGGCACACGACAGCUGGCGGAUAAGGGCUGCGCGAAACGCACCUGCACCAGACUAAUGGCGUACACAAUAACCAGCGCGAUGUUCCAAGCCACAAACGGGAGCAUGAACUUGGUGACAUUGACAAAGGACGGCCGCAGGGUCUUGCCGUUGACGCGCAGGCCGCGCAUGGUGCGGGCGGCCGCGCCGCGGCGGCCGCUCACACGGCCACUGCCUGCGACCAAGCGGCUCCGGGCGCCGCCGUCAUCCAGCAUGCCACCACCACUGCUGAUCUGCAUGAGCAGUGUGAAGCAACGAGUCGGAAGAGACACAGCGCAGAGGGCCUGUAAGCUGACGGGGUCGGAUCGUGUUGUCCGUGCCCCUCUGGCGCAUCUUCCUGUGAACACAAGCGGGCUUGGCCUAGGCCACGCUGCUAGCCCUGGGACCCUGGAACCCUAGCCCUGGAACCCUCAGCCGUCCUAGGGUCCAAUUCAUCAUACGUACGUUGCUCAUGUAACACGCAUGAUGAGCAUGCAUUCACGCACUCAUACACGCGCACGCACCUUGGCACCACGGUUCUGGGGCUUGCCAUCGUCAUCGCUGUCCGACGCCGCAGAGACGUCAUCCUUUUGCUCAGAGACAUCCCCGCCAGCAGGAGUACGGGCAGCACCAGCACCAGCACCAGCACCAGCACCAGCCGGCUUCUUGACCUUCAUCAGCUCUGGGUCGCUCUCAGGAAGCAGCCGUGACUGGCGGCGGGCCACGGCGCCGUCAGCACCAUUGGCCCCACCACCGGCGGCGUCACCGCUGUCAGCGUGGCGCACGCUCUUCAUUGCAGCGGGGGGCAAGGACCCGUAAGGCGCGGCCGCCGCCUCGUCAUCGUCUUCCACUGCCGCAGGCAUGCCCUGCUUCCGGGAGCGACCUCCGGCCGCCAACAUGUCACGGGCCGUAGCGCCGCCGACCCCUGGCUGCUGCACUUGUGUGCCACUGCCUGGGACUGCAUCUGCCUCUCCACUUCCACCGCGGGUGGCGGUAGCGGCGGCGGGUUGGGCGUGCCGGUGCUCUUCUUCGUCGUUAUCGCAGCUCUCAUCAUCAUCGUCGUCUUCCAGGAUCUGUGUGUGUGUGUGUGUCGUGCGUGUGUGUGUGUGUGUGUGUGUGUGUAUAUGGCAAGGUAAGGAGCUGGAAACAAGCAUGCUGUAUGCAGCAGGGCACACAUACUGUGCAUGUGCACGCACACGCCUCUAUCUCAUUCGGGAGCCCACCCUGCUGUUCCCUCCCCCAAACCCUACCUCACCGAAUGCUGCCACCCGCCGGCCAAGACCCCGCCUACCGCAUCAUCCACACCACAUCCAGCUAGGCAGCAGGCGCCCCACAUACACGUGCAGGCGCACCUACCCGUCCAUUGCAGCAUGCACACACCUUUGCUUCUUUGGUGGCCAGCUGCCUGAGUAUGGGUCCGGGCAGCCCCAGCAUGGCCAGUAUGGCGACCAGGCGGGAGGACUCCAGGCGCUGCACCAGCACCCACUCGUAGACGAGGCAAGACAUCUGGAUCACCAGCGCCUCAACCACCAGCAGCACAAUCAGGGCUGUGGAGCAGGGGUGGAGCGAGGGUGGAGAGGGGCGAGGAUGAAAGACAAGUUGGCGACUUGCCGCGAUCACGGCAGGGCAACAUACUGCAAUGCAUGACUCGUGAUAAGAGGUCUCGCUCAUGAAACGCAAUUCUGAACCUCGGAAGCUUCACGAGCAGCAGUACCGGAAUUCUGGAAAGAGAGAGGAGAAAGGGUGUGUGUCCAAGCCAGCAUCACGCAUUGUGACCGGCUGACCCGCCAGUUGCGUGCCACUACAGGCACUUACUCAGCCUGAGGCGAUCAACGGACUUCCAGGCCGCGUUGACCAGUAGGUCCAGGCUCUUGGCAUACACCUCGAACAGCGGUCCGAUGCCGUUGUCAACCAGGAAGUUAAACGUGCGGUGCAGCCUGCGGUGAUCACAAGCAAAAAGGCAUAGCAUACAUCAAAAAGAAAGAAGCGCUAAGGUCGGUACGUACGCGAUUAGCCCUCACAGAAACACCGUUCCGGCUAUCGCCUGUCCUAGGCGUCAAUCAAACCCAUUAUUGUUGCUCCGUGUGGGAACGCGGCGGAUGCGAGAAAGCUGGAUGCCCUGGCCUCAGAUGCCCCCAGCAGUCGGCUGGACAGCUUCAGUCUGCUGGUGAGGGUGAGCCGCAAGUAGCCCCGCCGUACGCAAGCACAUGCUGCCCCAUCCCCCGCCCAGCACGGCCCCGCUCCCCUCGCCCUAUCCGCACCCACCUGUACUGCUCCUUGAUAACUGGCAGCCAGUACACAGCUUCACGUGCCGCCGCGAUGAAGCGGUUGCCCAGCACCCACACUCCCGCACGCGCCGCCUGGAUCCGGGGCGGGCUUGUGUCCAGGAAGGCUGCAAAGGAGGGGUUAGCAAGGCGCGGGGGCACGAAUGUGUGCUGCGUGGUGAUGGAUGGGCAGACCUAUGGUGAAAAACCAACUGCAGCUGGCCAGAUGCCGCAUGCAUGCGCGCGGCAUCAGCAUGAUGAGGUGACGGCCAGCAGGUAAGCCGCACUGAGCAAACGGCGGAACCCAUUUCCCUACUGCACAAGCAACGCGGUACCAGCAAGGGCUCACUGUUGUAUGUGGCGGUGCUCUUGCUGGUCCAGAUGUUGUACACGUCGUCCAUCAGCCUGCGCACGUAUGUACAGUGUUAAUAUUGAUAGACGGGGGAGACGUGGACGCAGUCAGCAGAUCCAGACACAGGUCCGGGUGAUCACUAUACAUCGUUACAAUCUGCAUUACUGCUGACCAUGGCCGGCUAGAUAGACCGCCGGCCUCAAGCAAGGCAUGAAUGAAUCAGCCUCAAGAUACGGCCUGCGAUGACUUACAUGGUUGUGGCCGCGGCAUUGUCACCCAGGUAUACGUACUGGUGAUGCGCCUCCUACGUGUAAGCAGGGGCAGGGGAAGGGGAAGGGAGGGGGGCCAGUGUGUGCGCGCAAGGGAAGUGCGACAACGUACGAUCAACUGGAUGCGUUAUGCACAUUGAUCGCGCCAAUCCAGAAGGCCAGCAAACAGGUGAUCCUAUUAUAGCUGGUGUGCUUGCGAUAUUGUUCUCCUGUGCAGGACAAGAGGUGUUGUGUGGGGGUGGGGACGCUUCGAAAUGCGACUCUGCUGUAUCUGCUGCUGCCUUGCCAGCACCUGACUUAGUGACUGGAUGGCUGUGUUUGUCCAUGCGGGGGAAGCGCGAAAGAGAAGUGGAAGCCGCUAUCUGUCUUUCUCCCUCGUGUGCGGCUGGGUUCCAGCAGCGUGAUGUUGCUGCUGCCUGCUGCCUGGAUCCUUUCUCGCAGCCCUCACCUGCCCACACAAGAGUGUAGUUCACGGCGACUCACCAUGAGCGCGAUGUUUUCUUGGAGCUUGCCGAUGGUGUAGUUGAGGGUGUUGGCGCACACCGACACCUUGAGCGUCACGUUGGGCCGCUCGCAGAAGGCGCCCAUCAUGGCGCGCACCUGCCCGGUAAGGCACACAUCCACGCACGCACUCGCUCGAUGCGCUCGAGACGCAGACAGCUAGAGGGCUUCCUUAUGCGUACAAUUCAUCUUGGCCUGCCAUGGUUGUGGAUUCUCCAAGCACGCGGCAGUGUCACCAGUACGGAUUAGCACGCCACACAAGUCCACGCGCGCACGCCGUGUGAACUCACCGCAAUCAGCUGCGAGCGAUCCAUGGCCAGAGCUUGGCGGUGCACCAGGUUGACGUCAUGAUGCUCGCUUUUGAUUUCAUUGGAGACAACAACGUAGGUCACCACCUGUGCACGACACGGGAGCGUAACUAAACAUGGCGCGUGCAUGCACCAGGGCUAGCUAGGCCGAUGGCCGGCAUUCGUCAGUUCAAUGAUUGCGCGCGCAAAAUGUAACGCUUACGUGUGUAAUGAGCAUGAGCAGGAAAAUGGCAUAGGUGUGCUUGCGCAGCUUCUCCAGCGGCUCCAUCAGCAUGGGGCCGCACACAAGCUUCUGCAGCGCCUUCAGCAGCCGCCCGCGCCGCGAGUCAAUCACCAGCUCGCCCGCGCCGCUGGCAUCCGUCACACCUGCACAUGCAACAUGUUCGCGAUGUGGUCAACCGGGCGACGCCCUCCCCUUCGGACCCACGGUUCGGACCCCAGAAGGAUUUAUAAGGUAACAGCCAUCAGCUUACUCACUUGUGAAGCCGCUGGCCGCCUGGCUGCCUGAGGCGCUAGACGCCGCCUCACUGCCAUGCUCCCAGUCCUCGCCCUUGCCGCCGGCUUUGUCCUCCUUGCCGCCCUUGCCCACACCGCUUCCGAAGUCAUCCUCGCUGCCGCCACCGCUGCCACCGCCGGCCUGCAUCUGCUGCAUCGGCAAGGCGGUCACCUGCUGCACACCAGCCAUCGUCAGGCCGCUAUUGCCCAGCAUGGAGCCGAUGCGCCCGAACGGCGGAGGCUUCAUGUAGCCGCCGCCGAUGGCACCCGGCUGCGCCUGCGCUGCCUGCCUGCCAGCGGCCGCCACAGCCGCCUGCGUCAUGCCCUCCACGCCGUCCUCGGGAAUGGGCGCCAGCGCCAGCUCCAGCCCAAGCCCGCCCGGCGGCGCUGCCACGGGCGCGGGCGGCGUGCCGGGCGGAGCGCCCAGCGCCAGCGAUGGCUUGCGGCUGGGCGCGGAGGGGUCCAGCGCACCGCUGGUGUUCUUGGUGAGGGUGCGCACCCACUGGGCCACGAAAUCGGACUUGGAGGCGGCCUUGCCGUGCAGCCUGGCCUGGUCCUCGGCCUCCAGAUCGCGGCUGCAGUUGCUGCCGUUCGUGACGCGCGGCUUCCGACGGCCGCGCCGGCCCCCGCCGUCGCCACUGCCACUGCCGCUGCCAUCCCCACCCGCAUAGCUGGCGUCCUCGCUCACGCCGCCGCUGCCAUCCUCGCUGUGCGGCCUGUCCUCAUCGCUGUCACCCGUCUCUCCCGCCGUCUCUCCCUUCUCCGCCACGAUGCCCACCUUCGGAGUGCCCUGCUCGUUAGUAUCUCUAUCCUCGCCAUCCUCGUCGCUGGUCGCCGCCGGCGCGCGUGUCGGCGUAUCGUUGCCGCCCGCAGCAGCUGGCGCUUCAUCCCGGCUGGCGUCCGUCGCCUUCUUGCUCAUGGACUUGCGCAUGCUCCUCUGCCGCUGCGCAUCGGCGCCAGCUGUGGCUGCGCCAUUGCCGGCCGCGGCGCUGUGUUCGCCGGCGGUGGCCUCGCCGCCUGCUGCGCCGUCCUGGCUGCCGCCAUCCAGGUGCAGGACGCGCAUGAGGUUGGCGUGAGCCCCCGCAAAUGUGGUGUCCGGGUGCAGCGUGAGCGUGAUCUUGGGGCGGCCGCCAGGCGCCAGCACAGACACGCCCUGCGUCAGGAUCCUCAUGGUUCCUGCGGUGCGUUGAUGCAGAAAGCAAGCACGCCAGGUCGUACGGCGCAGGUUGUGUAGGUAACCACGCCAGCUAGCUAGCUCAGAGCCCCUGGCCUUGCAACCAACAGUAUGCACAGAGCACCCCUUUCGGAAAUGAGACUCCGUCCGGCGCCUGCACAUGGCAUGCGUGACGGCGAGGGUGCCCGAAAGACGCAGCCCCCUUGUCAUCCCAGCCACCCUGCAAGCAUGACGACGCAGGCGCACCGGUGUCGGGGUGCGGGCCGAUGAAGGGCAUCACGGGGCUGACUGUGCCGCGCGAGCUGGCCGCGCCCUUGAGCGCUGGCCGCUGCUUGGUGCCGUGGCCCUUGCGCGCGAACUGCGCCACCAGGUCGUCCCAAGCGAUGUCGAUGGGCAUGUCCAGGAACCUGCAGGUAGGGGCGGGAAGGGACGGGGCGGGGCUGGGUGGGGCAACGGCAGAGAUGUGGAGAGGUGUGUGUGUGGGAGGGGGAUUUGUUUGGUGCUGUGUCCCUGUAAGCGGUUGCGGCAGGUGGCUGCGUGUGCGGGACGCUCGUUCGGCAUGCGAGAAGCAGUUCAGGACCCCGCCGGUAUGCAAGCAACCCUGCUGCGGCCUUAGCACGUGUCAGUGAUCUGCCCGAGUCGAACGUAAGCUAGCACAUACUUCUGGAUGGGCUUUCGCAUCAUGGCUCCGGCGGGCACGCCCACGAUGAGCCCCGUCAUGGGCGAGGCGCGCCGCACCACCAGCCCCUCAUCCAGCUCCACCACGCCGCUCAGCAGGUCGCGACGCCACAGCGUCACCUGUGCGGCCAGAAGCAUGCAGCAAUCAACACAUGGACAGCAUCAGGUGUGCGGGCGGCUUGUGACAGACAACAACCCAAGCCAGGUGGGGAGAUGUUUUAUCCGCCUGCUUCUGGUCUUUUGCCCCACGCAACCCAAAUGUUAGGCGUCGCUUUAUGUUUUUGUUCAUCCGUGUGGUCAAAGGGCACGGCUGCUGGACCCGCUCACCGCCACCAGCGUGGCACCCUCGCCCUCGCCCUCGUUGCCAGCGGCUUCGCUUCCGUCCGCGGCACUGCCCGCCUCGGCCGCAUCGUGCAGCUCCACCUGUAUGUGGGUCAGGGAGGGACACGACAUGACAGGGCGUCACUAUCAUCCAGAGCGUGCGUGGUCCUAACAAAGGAACGCGUGGUAAUGCGGCUAGCAGUCGUAGUGCAUGCACACCUGCAGGCACGCGGACUUGGAGGCAAUGGAAUGCUUGGAGACCCCAGGGGCGCCAGGCACAGCGGGCAGGUGCGGGGCCGCCACGGUAGCAGGCGCGCGGACGCGCACACGCCACGAGGUUCCUGUUUGGGCGGCGAGCGAGAGAGCAUUGGUUGGCCGUGCCACUGAAUAGCAACUGCCGAAAGCGCAAGUCGGUGGGCUAAGCGGGUGGCUCGAAGAGCCUCCAAAUCCCAGCCCCGCCCGCACCCGGCAUCUCGUGCUCCUUGUCCAGCAGCGCCAGCAUUAGCAGCUGCAGCUGGCUCUCGCCGUUGCGUUCACGCCACUACAGCAGGAGAGCACGGGGCCAGUAAGGAAACUUCUUGCAAAGCUGACCACACCACCUCAAGUCCCUAUUUCAAAACGAGUUGCUCGACGCCCUGCCUGCCACAGCAAUCCGCGGCAUGCUGGGCGCCCUGACGCGAGUGACGCCACCAGCAGUAUGCUUAUAACCUGCGCAGGCGCCCACCCGCGCACCUCGGCAAAGAUGUCGAUGGUAUCGCACAGGCUGCAGCCCACCAGGUCGGCCCCGGCGAAGUCAAACAGCUCCGAGUCGGGCCGCGACACGGAGCGGAUGCGGCCACGGAUGUCGGCUGUCAGCACCCAGCGCUUCUCCUCCAGCUGCUCCUCCAUGCUCACCUUCUCGAUCUGUUAAGGUAACAAGGGCAGGAUAGUAAUAGGGGGUCCACGGCGCAUGUACUUGAGGCCUCACAAGUGGUGCCACAAAACUGAACAGCUGUUCGGCCUGUGCGGAAGGGGCGUGUACCCGGCCGGGCCUCCCUUGCCGCAUCUCGCUCGCUGUGCAACUUACCCCACCUAAACAGCAGAUCUGCCGACACACAAAGCUAUCCCGCCGAGCUAUCCAUGAGGCUUUCACAGCGGGCGCACGCACCUGCACCACGUUGAGCGCGCCGAUGUUGGCAUCAUUGACGCCGCCGCCACUGCCUGUGGCGGCGCUGACCUUGAUGCGCACCGGCACCGCACUGCCCGCCUCGUUCAGCAGGUGCACCACCUUGCCCGCGCGGCAGCUUGUGGGCGGGAUGUUGGGUGGCGGGUUCUGCGAGCGAGCGAGCAGCAGCGGCCGCGAGGCCAUGAUACAAGCAUCAGCCCGGCCAUCAGCAGACCGCAACCAAAAGGAGCAAAGCCAUCCGCCGUCCCGCGCUGCAUAAGGAAGAGAAAGCACGCCCAUGCCCACAUCUACGCCUUUCGCAACGUGACGUCCGCGCUGCACUCUCACCCAAACCACAGCCGCUGCAUGGCAUCUGCAAUCCUGCAUGCACUUCACGUACGGCAGCGUCACUCUUACGCGCCCUACCUGGGUCCACUUGGCGUGCAGGGUGUUGUAGGGCGCCGGCAGCAGCUGGUCCAGCCUCAUGGUAGCCAGCCUGCGGGCGGGGUAGCCCAGCAGCGCACUGACACCCGUGGAGGCGAAGCGCAGGCGCAUGUGGUGGUCCACCACCAGCACGUUGGUGGCCUUGUCGGCCCGCGUGCAGUCUAGCACGUAGAUCCGCUGCGCGUCCGUGCCUGCAGCAGCCAACACGCAGAUGACACGGGGCAUUGUAACGUGCGUGUGUGUACGUCAGCAAGUCUGUGCGGGUCACGGUUCCAAGACUUGGGGGCCACCCACCUCGCUGCCUUGUCAAUUCUGACCAAACCCCUCUACGCUAGGGCUUGUCAGCCCUAGUCAUCAGUGGCUUCGCCACUACCAAGUGUAGUUAUUCUCCCUGUCCCUGUCCCUGUCCCUGUCCCUGUCCCUGUCCCUGUCCCUGUCCCUGUCCCUGUCCCUGUCCCUGUCCCUGUCCCUGUCCCUGUCCCUGUCCCUGUCCCUGUCCCUGUCCCUGUCCCUGUCCCUGUCCCUGUCCCUGUCCCUGUCCCUGUCCCUGUCCCUGUCCCUGUCCCUGUCCCUGUCCCUGUCCCUGUCCCUGUCCCUGUCCCUGUCCCUGUCCCUGUCCCUGUCCCUGUCCCUGUCCCUGUCCCUGUCCCUGUCCCUGUCCCUGUCCCUGUCCCUGUCCCUGUCCCUGCCCCUGCCCCUGCCCCUGCCCCUGCCCCUGCCCCUGUCCCUGUCCCUGCCCCUGCCCCUGCCCCUGCCCCUGCCCCUGCCCCUGCCCCUGCCCCUGCCCCUGUCCCUGUCCUCACCCGCAAUGCCCACGACCACGUCCACGGGCACUGUGUCCAUGUAGCGGUGCCGCAGCACCAGGCUGGCGCGAAUGACGCCCGAGGCCAGCUCCACCUCGCUAGCGGCCCGGCACUGCUCCAGCAGCUGCUGCACCUCCACCGCCGCCGUCAACGAAAUGCCCUCCAGCGUACAGCCCACCUGGAACGGACACGGAGGGUGCGCAGGGACGGUGAACAUAGAAGAGGACGCCGUGAAUGUGAUGAAGUCAGCGGGUGGAUGGAGGCUGAGAGGAUACCUGCUGGACACACCCAACCCCACCCCAUGUCAUAGUGUCCGCCCAACAUCCUCAUUAACACCCAAGCCCAGCAGCACCAGCCCCGCAGCGCCUCUCUUCCCCCUCCCACAUGCCAGCCAACCCACCAGCUCUGACUCGGCGAUGCCGCACAUGCUCGCGAACUGCGUGUCGCCGCACAGGAACACGCCGUUCGGCGCAAUCCAGGCGCGCACGUUGAGACUGUUGGAGGCCAUAGGGCGGGCCACACCCAGGAACACACUGCAGGCAGAAGGUCAGGCCGUGAGGGCAGGGGCAGAUGGAGUGGAGACAGAGGGUGAGAUGAAGGAAGGGGAUAGGGGGAUACGGGAUUGGGAGGCGGAGCCACUGGCUUGGGUCACAUACACAUACAUGAAUAAGCGCUUGGUUUGGGGCUUCUGGUGAGCACAGCGAUGCAGGCUCUGCCUCACCUGUCGGUGCCAGUGCCACUCAUUUUGGUCACACAGAGCGACAGCGGGAACACGAAGCGGUCCUGUGGGCAGCGGAAAGUAAUUGCUUGAUGGAUGACGUGCGGUAAGGCAGCGAAGGGCCAAGAGAACGAGCAAACAAGGUGCAUGCACACGCACGCAUUUGGUCGAUUCAACCUCCCCAUAGGCAGCCAUAGGCUGCAUAUAUGGACGUACGUCCGCACAUGUCCGCGCGCACGCACGCACCUUGUGCAGCCCUACCACCUCCCGCACGGUGUCCAGGAUGUGCGGCUCGCCGCCGUUGACGUAGCGCGACAGGUAGCUGGGGUGGCGCUGGCUGAAGGGCUGCGGCAUCAGCAGGCUCACGUUCAUGCCCUCCAGCUCGUUCUUGGCUGCAGCAUAAAUGGAGUGGGAAAGCCAGAACGAUGUGAAAUGGGCGCGUGCGGAACGCCAUGCCAUAACGCCAUGCCAUAACGCCACACAACGCAGGAUAGCACGAAUUGUUGCCAUUGUGCUGCCGUAUGCGGAUGGCCCGGCGACCCACCAUAUCCGAAGACGCUGUUGACGGCCUGGCUGCACAUCAUGAUGGUGCCCUCGGCGUUGAUCACAAUCACGGCGUCGUCCUCCAUGGACAUGGACGUCAGGAAGUCAGGCUUGUCGGCGGCCGACUGGAUGGCAGACAGGUCCUGCAGGGAAUGGGUUGGGUAGGGAGCAAGCUGCGUUAGGGAGCAAGGUGCGGUCACUGGCAGCCAGAAGCCCUCGAGAUGUUGCGGGAGAAAAUUCUGUCUUGGGAAUGGGAGCAUCCGGCAACUUCCUGCAAACAAAAGGCAGUCCGCGGGUAACGGGCACGAUGGGCCAGCACGCACGCACCAGGUUGAGGAUGGCAUCGCCGCCGCCGUUGCGCGAGGCCUCGCCAUACACGCGGGCUGCGGUGGCGGGGUCGUGCUUCACGUCCUCCAGGAACUUGCCGUAGCAGCGCAGCAGCUUGCCGUUGUUGGGGUAGCGCUCCAGCACCCUGCGGCCAACCACGAGCAGCACAGCACUGACCACUGCCCUUUCCUUUGCUACCCAGGCCUUGCAUAACGCGCCCGCUCUGUUGCUGGCCCUCCCCCAGCAGGUUUGCGCAGAACUGUGGUCCCUCCCCCUUCGCUCCACCCUGCUCCACGCCCCAUGUUCUGUGCCGUUGUGCGCGCCACCGAACCAGCGGCGACAUUAGUCGCGGGCACCGCUCGCCCUGCCUCUCCACGACGCCUCGGCCCCUUCCCACAAGUAUUGUCGCUUGCACCUUUCGCCUAAGCCGGUGCUCCGCUAGUUUCGCUUGGGCUUGGUUUAGUUUGGGCUGGGAUUUACAACCCCUCUCUACGCCCCUGCCCCUGCCCCUGCCCCUGCCCCUGCCCCUGCCCCUGCCCCUGCCCCUGCCCCUGCCCCUGCCCCUGCCCCUGCCCCUGCCCCUGCCCCUGCCCCUGCCAUCGCCGCCGCACCUCUUGUACACCUGGUGUGCGCGCUGGCUGCCCGCCUCCAGGUCCUCCAGCGCCUUGUCCACGUCAGACACCCUCAGCACGGACCGCAUCAUCAGCUGCCACAGCUCCGCCUGCAGCAGCAGAACCUCCUUGUGCACACGCAGCACCGCCCUGUGCAUGUUGUGGGAGACGGGGGCAGGACACCCGGGCGGCAAGGAAGGAUUUCCAGGGUUGCGUGUGGGUUUGCGACAGCUGGGACUAGCUCACGCGCGCAUCCUAUCUUGAGCCGGCUUGCCACAUGCUUUUUGCAGGAAACACCAAAGCACGCACGCGCGCACCUGAAGUUGCGCCGGAACUCAAUGUACGCCUGCAGGUCCAUACCGCCGUCCUGGCUGUCCUUGAGCUUCUUGCUGGCCUCGCCCGUGCAGAAGAUCUGGAAGGAAGGCAGGAAACGUGGAUGGGUAGGUCCCCGUCAUGGGGCAGGGUGAGCAUCCGGACAACAUCAGGGUCCGCGCGUACCGUAAGACACAUCGACGCACGCAGAUCAGGUAAUGCGGAGGCCCGACGGCAAGCAGUCAACCCGUUUAGUCCGCCUGGUGAGCAACGGGACGGAAUGCACACGAGCACACGCCGCCUUAUGAAGUCGCGCAGGUCCGCCCCCACCCACCUGGUAUCGCUGCAGCAGCGUGGGCGAGUGCUUGCUGGCCAGCUGCAGCUGCGUACGAGCGGCGGGGCCGUCCUUGCGCACCUCCAGCAGGAAGUUGGCGUACAAGAUGAGCAGUGUGGGGUUGUUGGGGAACACCAUCAUGCCGGCCUGCGUAAAAGAGGUGCAUAUGCAUGCAUGGGCAGCCAUCGAUUUGUGGAGAAAUGCGAACAGAGCACGGGGCGGGGAGAGGGCAAGGAAAGGCGCGCAGCAAAGGGGCAAGCGAGCGUGGGUAACGAGCGCUAACGAGUGAGAGGACAGAAGGCGGGCGAUGGGUGUGAGGGCCACUGGGGAGGCCGGGGGCAGGCGGCCGGCGUGCUUGCCCACCCGAACGACCUUCUCCCCCAGCGCCGCCGCUUCCUCGGUCACGUCGCCGUCAUUGUUGUACUGCCGCAUCACACGUGCCAGCACCUCCACCUCCAUGGGGUCCCCAAACUUGUGGACCUUAGAGAUCUGCAGGUUGGACCGACGCAUGUGUGCUUACGUGGCAGUGUGUGCAAGGAUGGUGUGACCGAGAGCAAAUCUAUCCCCGCUGGCUAGGGCCGCGGACCGAUUACAAUAAAGUAUCAUUUACUACUUGAGGGCGUGGGCAGCGCAUCGACCGAUGCGACCCGGGGAUUGCGUGUCUUACUUGCUUUCCUCAUCGAUCCCACGCAGAAACACGCACGCACCUUGACGCCCGGCUCCAGCGCCUCGAACUUGGAAGCUGGGUGCAGAGCCAGCCGCGCCCGCCAAUAGCUCAGCACGGAGGUGCCCACGACCACCGGGAAGAUGCCGUACAGGACCCACUGCACGUGCGUGCGUGAGAGGACACGGGCAUGCGUGCGUAAUUGACAUCGGCGAGCGUGUUCCGGCCUCUUUCAAGAGUUUCUGAAAGAUCGGUUGACGUACAUACAAGCGUGGCUACAGGGGACGAUGGGGGUCAUGAUAGAAGCGUUGCUCGCGUGCACAUCAAACAAUUGCGGCAUCAAAGUUGGUGGAGACAGCACAGGAAGACAAUGCGCCCGCCCCAAGUCUGUAGCGAGCAGUACAUAGACACGGUAGACAGGCCACCAGGUGCACGCGCGCGUGCACGCACCCCUUGCGCCGCCCUCCGUCCAGACACCCGCGCACCAGAGUGACCACGCGGCGCUGGUCCACGCUCUUGUGAUGCCCGAAGGCGAUGUACACAAGCAGCAGGGCUGUGUAAAGUACGCCAAACCAUAUGCCCGUCCACACGCCGUUGACGUACGUCCGGUAGAAGGGCACCUGUUUGUCGGGUGAGGAAGUCGGGAGCGAGGAGUCAGGAGUGUGUGGGCAGGUGAGCGGCAUGCGCGCUUUCAUGACACGUGCUUCAGCAUGACAAUGAUGUCCGCAAAUGCAUACAGUAUUCCACGGUAAAACUCAAUGCAUUCUAUGUAUGCUCCUCGUGACGCCCACAGACAGUUCAGUGCGCAGUGGGUGGCACAUUGUGGCGCGGCACUCCCAUCGACCCCUACCCUCAACCCCCAACCCCACACACCCGUUUCAGAUUCCAGUACACGAUGAAUCCCACUGCCCCCGCCAAGAAAAGUGCCUGCGGCUUGGGCCACGACUGCAUGUCGUCCGCCACAAUCUGUGGGCAGGUCGUGUUGCGUGUAUGUGGUGGUGAAAGUGAUGAGGUGCGCGGUGAAGUAAAAGGGGCUGCCAUCAUUCCCCCACCCCUAUGCCAGUGUCGCUACGUCCUGUCUGAUGCCUGGUUUGCACUACGGAAUCUUACCGUACUACGGUACUUUCCAUGCUCCUUUGACAAAGCGCCGAAGUACGGCAGUAGAUUUACAACGAACGGGUAGAUAGGCUCACCACGUAGAAGGCCUUGGCUGCCAGGAUGCGCAGCCGCGUGAUGGCGGCGGGUGAGGCCAGGUAGCCGCGACUGACGGGGUUCAGGUCGGACGAGGCGACCAACCUGUGGGGGGCACGAUUCAGGCGCCGAGGCGGUGUGACACGCUGCUGAAGGAUGGCCACUGAUGACAAUGCAUGUUGACAUGAACCUGCCUCCCCGCAAGCAAGGUGCGGUAGGGUACUCACAGCAGCGCUGUCACGCAGAAGAACAAAGCAGCCGUAAUGAUGGCCACCGCCAUAUGCAGAAUAUGCGGCAUCUUCAGGCACUCCACCCCCACGAAGUACACGUGGUCCUGUGCGGCGUGGUAAGAAACAGGGCUCCUAUCUUUAUGUCUCCAGACAUUAAUUGGCCAUUUUGGCCGUUUCCUAGACAUUCCUCCUCGGGGCUAAUGUCUGGGGCGAGACUUUGUUGGCCCGGGUUUGGGGCGGGUUUUGUCCGAAUUCCUAUGGAAAAGCCCCCAAACCGCCAUGUGCCCAGACAAAAGACGGCGGCCACCCGGCCGUUUUUGUCUGGAGCUAGACAUUACCCCCAAAACAAGAUACGACCCCUGGUAAGAAAGAAGCGUGCCGUGGGGUGCGUGGGGUGCGUGCACACAGGCGAGGUAGGCCUAAGACCGAAGGUGUGGGUGGAUGGAACCUCGCCCUCCACCUGCCGGCCACGCAACCAUGUUGCCCUAUGAAAGAAAUUCCAGUACGGUAUAGUACGGUACUCGCUCUCCAUCUCCCUGCACCAUUCGGCCUGCUCUGACCACGAGCACGAAGGCGCAAUGGCGAUAGCACACAAUGCAUGUACAUACUCGACCAUGACCUACCUUGACUGGGGCGCUGAAGUUGCAGUUGGCCGUGAACACGAAGUAGUCGAAGAAGGAGACAUACUGCGGGGAGGGCGGCGGGGGGAUGGGGGGCGGUCGGGGGCGGGGGGGGGGGUUGUAAAUACCAGCCCAGUAAACCAAACACAAAAGGCAAUGUGCCCUGCCAUAAGAUUGCGUACCCACACGCACCCCGCAGCCCCGCUCAGCAGCCUCGCCUAGCCCGCCCCGCCCCACCAGCAUUAUGAAGACCAGGUCGAAGAGGACAUGCAGUGACACGGCGGCAUGUUUGAGCCACUUGCUCUGCUCCUGCUUGCGCAUGGCCAGCGUCAGCCACACCAGGCCCAGCACCGCCAGAUACACGAUGGCCACCAUCACGUACAUCACCUGCGUGUGCGGUGGAGCAGGAGGGGUUAUUAGGGGACAGGGGCGAAGCCGACACCACUCUUGAACAGGGGGGCAGAUAGCUAGCGGUACAAGAAGGAAGGGCGAACGGGACGUGAAGAGGUAGGGUGGCAGCAGUAGAUCUCAGGACUAGCUGGCGCCUCCCGCAGACGGCUUGCGGCUGAACAAUCAUGCCACAUCCAUUCCUCCCAGCCCGCACCCGGAUGUAGGUGUCGUAGCCGUACAGGCGCAUGAUGGGGCUGCGCCACAACACCCAGCGCACGAUCUGCCACACUGCGGACAUGAAUAAACAAUGACGCAUAUGAGUACUUGCUCAAUGCUACCUGCUGGGAGCGACAUGCGCAGCAUGUGCAGCAGUGUGUCUGGGGCCGGCGGGGCCGGGCAGUGUGUCUGGGGCCGGGUAGCUGCUGUGAUGCGAGGCGCACACCUGGGUUGUUGGUGUCGAUCACCCAAGCGGCCAUGCUGGGAUUGAACACGACUGCAUUGCAGACGGCGGAGUCAGUGUCCAGUACUAAGCGGUAGGCAGGUGAGGUUGUCAGGGAACGGCGACAAAUAGAGCUUCGCAACACGUCAAUAUCCAUCCGUUGCUCCGCAUUCGGACCGUACCGGUCGCUGCCACUAGCUACUCACCAAUGAAUGCCAUCUGCGAUGUUGCGAAUCCCAGCCACGUGCGACGGAGCAGGAACAAAGGCGGUGUGUGUUUAGUUGUACGGGUUAUACGUGGCAGACGGGCAGCUUGGUGCUGGUUACAAGAGCAAGUCCCGGCACCGUAUGCUCUUGCCGAACAUUCUGCUGAAAGUGACACGCCACGGCGUUGGCUUACGCAGCGAGUCGCUCCGCCAAGCCUAACAAACAGCAUAGCGCCCUGUUCUGUUACCCAUCUAACGCAACAACACCGCUACGGCGCCGCCUAAACGAGCCGCCCACAAGCGGGAAACGUUUGAUGAUGGGUGACGGUGGGUGACCGGCGGUUGACCCUCUGUACCGUACGUUGGCACACCCAAGAGGCCAAGACUGCGCGCAGGUAGGGGUCACCACGCUCCCCUGACCGCGCCAGCGUGGCCCGCAGUGUAAACCGUGUAACCCAAUUCUCUUACCAGUCCCUCGAGGAAAAUCUUCAGGACAGCGAACUUCCAGCUACUGCGGGUGCAGGACAUGAUUGCGGACGGAUUCUGUUUGAGGACAAGCUACAAGCAAACAGGCGGCGGGAACUCAUCACCCCAACCCUCAUCAGCCACCUUUCGUACCUGAGGGCCGACUGGCGGACCAGCGUGUACAUGCCUGUCGUGUGCGCGUGUACGGAAACGACUUGACAUCGCCGCUUCGUCAGGUUGGCCAGGCAACACGACAGCCUCAAGCGCUGUUAAGCACCCGCAAGCGCUACACUCCGUGGCAUGCAAGCGCCUCCGCACACGCAAGCGUCUGGGUUUUGGGUGCCUCCCCCAGAUACGCGCAAUGUCCCUGCCCAAGGCCUGUUCUUGUUGGACCUAGCUGGCACAGAUGCGGAUUUGUCAUGCUGCUACAACCCUUGUACCCCUUGUUUGUCGGCCUCCCUAACGCACAUGAGUACACUCCCUCUAUGAAGCUCUUCUUCUGCUCCAAGAGAUCCUGCUCCUCUUCAUUUCCGUGCCUGCGGCAGGGGUGUUGAAGAAGUAAGUUGCGGUGGGGUUGGCCACGUGGGGUUUGGCGUGGGGCUUUGGCUACCCGCUGUAUGGACGUGGCGCGGGAGCGGCUCAAGUACCCGUGAGCUUCUAUGUGUUGAAUCUAUAUGUGUUCAGGUGGUAAUAAUGCCAUCAUGUAUAAAAAAUCCGAAGGACCACUCCUUUGGCGAGGGUCGAAAGCGUGGGCAUUCAGGUGUGAACAAGGCUGUGGAGCGGCCCCGAAACAUACGACCGAGGCCGAGUGGAAGCCACCACAGCAACGUGCAUGUUCGCAUCUGCACCUUCUUUCCGCGCGCGAGCCUUGUCAGACAUUUUGGGCACAUCGUUCCGUCGAACCCGUCCCCCACGCUGUCCUGGCAUGCCAAGCCCUGCUAUGCUGAACAAUGUACAACUCUGCACACGAUUCCACUCAGGUGCAAGAUAUGCGGAGUAUGCGGAGAAACGAACCUACUUUUCGCGGCGCAGCGCCUUGAGGUCCGACUUGUGACUGCUGCCUUGCGACGCCGUAUCCGCUCCGCUGGUUCCGCUGCGCUCUGAACUAGCUCCAUCAUCAUCUUUAGGUGCCAUUUUGAUGCGGCGAGGGUUACGUGCCGCUAUUUGUCAAGUGCAUUGCAACGCUUUCUCCUUGUCUCGUUGACAGGUACUUAUGUUUUGAUAGGAUGUACCUCCUCGUAUGUCGUUAUUACAGGGUAUAGGUGAGCCUUGACCUGGCAUUCUUUUCGAUGGCGUGGCCGACCAGGCCGACAUCCCGCAUCGAGUGCGCCCUCCCGUGGCCUGUCAGUCUAUGCCUGAGACAGCUGGGGGGAGGCACCCUUGCUUGGUCGGAUUGUCCCUUCUUGUAAUGUCGCAGCGAUAAAGCACGGAAAUGGUGCAUGCGCCUAAGGAGCCCCGGUAGAGUGGGCUGAGCACGAACCCCUUUGCCCAAGUACUGCUGCCUUACUGCAAAGCACGAGCUGGCACGAGAGAAAGCUGUAGUCAUGUUCAGUUUCGGUCUGUUCUUGCCAUUCCGCUAAAAGUGACACGCGCACCGCGUCCUUCCGCUCAGCACAACAAACAGCACCGCUGCCGCACCGUGGCGCCAGCUAAGCAAGCCCUCCCUCCACAAGCGGACAAGAUUUGUCUUUCACGACGUGACCAGGAAUUGCGGGUCUUGCAUGAACUUCCGGCCCCCACUCUCCAAAAGACACGGCGCAUCACACACUCGUAAAACCAUCCAACCCGCGUCAAACCUUCAGGUGGAGAUCUGUAUAUGGGCUGGCCAUGCUCCCCAUGCGCAAUCAACGUCGGUCGAAGACCCGUUACGUUACGGGUGAUUGCGUACCCACUGGACCCACCGCCCAGUACCACCUACAGUACUGUUCCUCCUUCUUCUCCUCCUCCUCCCGCUUCUUCUGGCGGCUCUUAUGCGUCCGCUCUCUGGCCGUCUCUUGCGGCGAGUCGCUUAGCCUCAACUUCAGAUUCAGUUAGAGCGGUGGCGCGCUCACCUGCGCUUGCGCAUGUUAAUCGCACCCGCUGACAUGGACAGCUCCUCCAUGGAUUUCGUGGCGCGGCCUGCAUCGAAAAGGGAGGAAGGCGGAGGGACCAGGCUCCGCGCGCCCGCACAGGAUGCAGGAUGACCUCGGGGUACGAUGAGCACUCCCUCGACCUCCAGGACUAAUACGUCCGUGUUCCACGCGUCGUCCGUACAUGCGUCUACGUCGCCAACCAACCUUAACUAGCCAUGAUUUGGGAGCAAUAGACGCCGUGAUUUGACAGACACCUGCACCUGUCGCCAUGCACCGCGAUGCCCAUACUACCCGGCCCUCUAACUGACAUGCGACAGCUCAUCCACCCGCACCGCCGCACAACCAAGCACCUCAAGCCUUCCACUAGCGCGGGGUGCGUAUUCGUCUGCCCCGGCUGAAACUCGAAGGAUUCAAUUGGAGGCUCCAGGUCCGCCUCAACCGGGUAGCCAGCAGUGAGCAAGGCUGUUCGCGAGAACUUGAGGUUGUUAAGGCUGUGGCGCCUUGCGGUGUCCAUCGUAAAUAUGUAAGUAUCAAAUACAACACCAUAAAGAAGCUGGACAGGCAGUAUUUAUUGCGCAGCACGCGGGGCGCCAAAGUAGCCGUGCGUGGCUGUCUUGACCUCCUUCUUGACCUCCUCCUGCUUAACGAAGCGGCCUUGGGCCAUGGCCGCAGCCUGCAGGCAGCCAACACACCGCAGCAGCGAAGUGUCGAGCACGCACGGCAGCAGCUCGAUGCGACGACCUACUACAUAGACCGCAGCGUGUGCCUUCGCCCACAAUGUGCCCCUUGCCGCGGGCCAGCAGCCCGCACCGCGCACCCCCGCAGCAGCCAACACAGCCCCUGUUUGCACUCGGCCCUGUAAGCUCCUAGUCCCCAUCCCACUGGACACGCAUGGAGUGGGGCAGGCCGUCUCCCGCUCAGUCAACCAUCCCAAGUCAGCACCCACUCCCAGUCUUCCCACCUUCAGCCAGUUGGCCUUCACCGCGUCCUUGCGCUCCUCCUGCUCCUUGAGCGCCAUCUCCUCAGAUGUCAGCCGGGGCUGCGUCGGCACUUGCUGCGCCUGCUGCGGCGCCGGCGCGGGCUCCUCGUCCAGGUCCUUGCCACCGCGCUGCACCACGAUGCGAUUGGUGGCACUGCCCUCCAGGUCGCGCAUGACCCGCUGCACCGUGUCGAUCUGCUUGGCCAUCUGUUGUGCGAGAAUCCAAGAGACGUGGUUGACAAACAUGGGGAGUAAUGCUAGCUUGUUGUACAUAUGUCUGUCAAAGGCCAGCUCGCGCCACCAGCCGGUGCCAGAUGUCUACGGCGCAGAACGAAGCAUGGAAGAACCACACCUCAGGGUCCAUAUGGGUUGACCAACAGCGGCUCACCCUGAUGAUGGUCUGCUCGUACAUGCGCAGUCGCUCCUCCACGUCGUUUGAGACCAGCUGCGAUUGCGCCAGCAAAGCAACAGCAGCUAGCUGUCAAUGUCUCGCACUCACAACCAUGAUGCAAAGAGGCCCGCCAAUCCUCCUGGCCCUGACAGCCUUGGCACCCAUGCUCCCGCCCCGCAACGCCCCACCUGCAUGUGGCGGUCGACGUGCAGCACCACCUGCUUCACCUUGGCGUCCACGAUGGCCACUGCCUACACGUUUACCAAACAACGUGAGCGCCUCUCAGUUACUGGACAUUGCUUUUGAAGGCACGGCCUUGUCUGUGAACCGAAGUAAGUGCAGCCUUCUCUCAGGCACCCAGCUGGACCCAAAACAAUACACAGGUCCUGUGUGCCCUUGCCCUCACCUGGUGUGCAAUCAUAGCGGCCUUCUGCUGUUCCGCCUUCUCCUGCGCCGCCUGCUCCUCAAAGCUGUUAAGCAGCGCCCAGGCGCCGUUCAGCCCGCCGCCGCCACCCCCACCUCCACCCAUCUGCUGCUGCCGCUGCAUGCCGCCUCCCCCUCCGCCGUAGGCUGCUGCCGCCGCCGCCGCGCCCGAGUUGUCGGGCAUGAAGCCGGCGGCCUCCAGGUUGAACUGGGGCAUGGCGCGCAUGGCGGGCUUGGCGAAGGCGCUGCGCAGCGAAUCCUCCAGCGAGCCUGACACUGCACGGGAGGACAAGGGGGUUCAAGGCAUGCCUACUUAGAGGCUGAAAUUGAAGCCAAGGACACGGCGUGAAGGUACAGCAUGGCCAAGAAGCAGAGUUGCGGCUUCUGGAAGCAUGAACAGCCCCGGGAUCUAGCCCGCCCAGCCGUCCUCACGCACCGCCGCCGGUGGCCGCAAGCGCGUUCGCGACUGCGUUGGGGGCCAUCUGGGCCGCAACGCCGGGCGCGUGCGCGGAUUGGGUCAUGGCGUUCAGCACGUUGGUCUGACUCUGUUUGGGACAGCGGGCCAGGAGUGCAGAGGCAGGUCCCAUGUUGAGCGGAUGUUACGAUUUGCCUCCAUACAACGAAGCCGAACAGUCACAGAAAUACAGCCGCCCGCCGCGACCCACCUGUACGGACAGGUCUACGAUGGACUUCUCCAGCUGCGCGUGAGCCUGGGCAGUGGACUGCUUGUGCGCCUGCGAGAAACAUACACCGACCGUCAGAAAGGGGCGUACAGCAGUUGGGAAGGUGAUGGCCGCAGUUACUACAGGUUGAUCCGACAUUGGCCGCAGUUCCUACAGAUUGCUCCGACAUUGCUUACCGACAGGCCCUUGUGCAGCGACACGACAUCCUGCGAACAAGGGGGUUCCCAGUGUCAGCCAUGACAGCGCGAGCCUGCAUUACGUUGCAUCAAGCCUCGAUUGCACAUAACCAACUGCACCACAUGGCCCAUCCAACCCAAGUCUCUCUCACCAUGGCAAUCUGAGUCAGGUUGUUCUUCAGCUGCUGCACGGCCUGGUCCUGGCCCGCAAUCGCCUCGGAGAUGUCCGACGUCCCGCCUGGCACGAUGGUGCUCACCUGCUCGCGCAACCGCACCUGCAAGCCCACAUCCAUCCAACAUCAACGCGCCUCAGUAAACAGCUGUGCAAAGAUGCAUGCGCGAUCCAGCACCCAAUGUGUUUCACUGGUAUCAAGUCAGCUUAAUCAGUGGACCAGCCGUUGUCUCUAGUCCCUCGACACCCACCAGGUUUGCAGCCAGGUUGGCGAGCUCCUUACGGAGCUGCGACAUGUCUGACUCCCACUCCGCCGCACCGCCGCCGCCAGGUACCAGCUUGUUGCCAACCGCCGGCCGCGCCGCGGCACCCGUGCCCGCAGUCGGCGCCGCGCCAGCGGGCGGCGUGGGGCCGGGCCCAGCGGGGGGCGCCGGCUUCUGCGGCGCAGGCUUGGCCGCGCCGUUCUUAGGUUUAGCAGGCCCUGCCUUCUCGUCGUCCGAGAGCUCGUCGUCAUCCUGGAUGAAUUCCUCAUCCGACACUUUCGUAGGCGGCUGAGGCGCAGCAGCUGCCGGUGCCGCGGCGGUGGCGGCCUCACCUGCAGCCAUACGCGCCACGGGCGCCGGACUGUUGGUGCGGCUGUUGGAUUUGCCCGCAGCAGCGGAUGCUGCUGCUGCCUGCUGCAGCGCGGCAAGAGGCGCGGGCGGCACCGAGAUGGCUGGUGGCGACGGCGGCGGCGCGGCAGCCACAGCUGCCAGCUGCUGCUGUGUCGUCUGCUGCGCGCGGCUGAGGGUGGAGACCUGCGACUGCAGCUGGCUGACGAGCGUCAUCAGCUGGUUCUCCCGCGCCUCCAUCUGUGGCCGCGGAGGAGACGCAACGAGGCGGCCGGGAGGCCACAUGGUGAGAAGGCGAUGGCACAGCAACACAUAACCUUGUGACACUGAAAACCCCAAAUUGCCCAUUUCCCAGACGCAUCGGACAAGUAUCGCCAAGUAUCGCCAUGACAGUGAUAACACUCAUCAAGGGCUUCCAUCGAGCGUGCCAUGUUCCGAGGAAUUACCCCCCGCACCUUCUCCAGCCGCAUCUCCAGCUGUGCCUGCCGCUCCAGCAUCCCUGGCGGCGCGCCCAUCGUGGGCAUGUUGCUCUACACGGAGGGGCGCAACCAGUACGGCCGGAUCAAGCACGAGCUUAAGCCCAGCCUGGCCACGCAUGCCUCCCAGCCCCCCUUCCCUAGCGCCCUCUCACCAUGGGCGCCAGCAACCCGCUUCCACCGCCCGCUCCCGGCGCGCCCGCCACCGAGCGCCGCAUGUUCAUGGGGCUCUGCGCGCGCACGGGCCCCAGCCCACCCGGACUGGCGCCCAGUGAUGGCGAGUUGGGUGCCUGGCCCGAGCCGGAACUGCCGGACAGCCCCGGCAGCUGCAUGGCGGCCUUGCCAGGGCCCAGCUGCGGCAGCACCACGCCGCCGCCGCCCACGCUUAUGCUGCUGGCCAGCGCGCCACCCGCCGAGGCGGCGGCGGCAGCAGAGGACCGAGGCGUCAUGGGUCGCUGGGUCUGGGGCUGGCCAGGCGCAUGGGGCAUGUAGGGUUGGUUAGCCGGCAGCUUCCAAGUAGCAGGAUUGUGGGCAGUAGGAAGGACCCCACGUGGCCUGGCCCCUCCAGUUGCAGCUGCUUUUGAACCCACCAUGUCAUGGCUGGACAAGGUCGCCCCAUCCGACACACGUGGGCCAGUGCGGGUCCCAUGACGGCCCAGUGCGCGGUCCCCCUGCGGGUGGGGUCAGGUAGUGGCAGCAUGAGCUACGCACGCCCAGUGCUGACAUGCAUUCUGGCGCUAACGUAAGCCCAGCAAGCCAUUGCCUCAUCCCCAUUACCGUGUCCCACACUCUGUGCACAGCGCUCGCAGACCCUGGCCCUUCCUUGUAGCCUCUGCCCCUCCUGUGAAGCGCCGAAGCGCACACACCUCUCCCCUCUCCCCGCGUAGCAUGCCCAGCUCUGCCAUCAGGUCGUCCAGGGUGUUGGUCACCAGGCCGCUGGCCAUGGGCAGUGGCUCGCGCGGCGGACCCUGCCGGCUGGACGUCAUUGGCCGCUCCAUGAGCAUGCGCUCGAUCUCGCUGCCAAAUGCAUCUCCAUCCUGUGAGGUUGGCGGGCAGCAGGUGUUAUGUGCAUCGGUGGAGGAUAGGGUGGAGGGUACGGUGGCUUUGGGUAUGGGGUUUUUGCUGCUUCGUUGGGCUCAAGUACACACACGCGACUGUCUUCAACAAGAGUCGGAGCCAACUGGGCCAAGCCGUUCACAAACAGUCGCUGGCAGUUGGCACGUUGCCCGCACCCUUGACUGGCGAAUGCCGCCUCAGCAUCGUCCCAGGGAAAUACACUACCGUUGUACGCCGCUAUAACCGCGCUGGGCUCCAGCGCGGCCGCAUCCGCUGGGCCGCACAGACGCAUGUGACCCGAACCCUUGCCCAUUGGCGGUUCUUGUGCUUGCGUUCACUACCUUCUUAGACAUCGUUUAAAGGGCCGCCGGCUUCGGCAGCCCUGCGGGUGGGUGCGGGGCACUUGAAGCUCGCGCCUUGACUCGAACUCAAAGCUAAGGCUAUCGAGCGCAAACAGAUAGUUGACUAUGCAUUAUUUAACUGGACAUGUGUGUCUGAAGGACUCGCCGGCCGGGCCCUUGUCUUAGCCUUCGCGUGAGCUAUAUCGAUACGGCUCGCAGCGGCUCUAAAGAUAAGGAGGUAUAUAUCAUUAUCAUAACCAACAGCUUUUGAUUGUACUUGUAGGCGCGCACUUGCACUUGAUUGACUUGAAGACUGAGCAGUGCAUCAUCUCAGCAUGCUCACGCUCAUGAAUAUGCACGCUUCGACAUGAUGGUGCCAAAGAUGCAAUUCAUAUAGAGACUUGACUGGUGCCUAUGCGGCGAAAGCUGCUAGUCCACACCGCAUGCUGAGCGGCCGGCUUUAGACUACAACGCUCGAUACAAACGAACUUUGGUCGCUUGCUCUAGAAAAGGUCACAUUAAGGUCCUGCCCCCCAGGGUUUGCUUGGUUAGUCGGCACGCCACAUCCAACUCCACUGGCACCCCUUGUCCUUGACCUAUCCAGUUCUGGUGGACAGUGCCGUGGCCAGGCAGAUGGCGCUGCUAAAGAUGUCUCUGGGCGUGGCCCUGGUGGCUAUCACGUUGCACUACUUUGGUGCGUGCGGCUAUCAUCGCGCGCCGCAGCUUUGUCCAUGGUCCUAGGGCACAUGCAAGGACGCCAAGAUUUGUCGCCCCCAUCGAUUUGUGCCCUUGCAGGGAUCACACCGCCAAUACCGGGCCUGGAGUUCUUAUCUCCGCGCUUGAGUGGCAACGGCAUGGGCGCAGGCAGCAUUAACACGGGCAAGCUGCUUUCCGACCUAAACAGUGAUGUGAUGCCACAACACGCACACCAGCACGGCGCGGCACAUGGCAAUACCCCAGGGGCCAGCCACGGGAGCGGCAUGUCAGACGAGAAGGGCGACCCGCUGGUGAGCCUGCAGCGCAGCGCCUCAGCGGCUCUGUCCGUCAUGUACCUUGCGUCCAUGCCAGGGCUGCGGGACCAGGUCAAGGCGGCGCCAGGUGCGUGUUCCAGUCGCCUCGCUAGUCGCCACCACCAUCAGGCGCUUGGUCGCUGGGGAAUCCCGUAGUUGCACGAUACACCUGCACGCUACUCACGGGCUGAUUAAAAUGUGUCCAAAGACCGCCAGUAAAGCCUACGGCCUUGUAUGGUCUGAACUGGAACUGCAUGCAUGUGCCACUCCGCCUCCCCCUCUCACCUUGUUGUGCCAUCACCCUCCACCUUCAGGUGUGAUCGAGUCGCUGGCCCGGCGUGUGCUGACGGUGGACCUGGAUCUGGCCAAACAGGUGGUGAUGCACCAGCAGGCCGCAAUGCAGCGAUCACAGCAGCAGGGGCAGGACCAGCAGCAGCGGGCGGCGGGGGCUGCGCCGCCGCCUGAGCUGGUGUCGGUGGGGCUGCUGGCGCUGGCCAAGCUGGCGGCACCGGACACGGCGCUGCAGGGGUGGCUGCUGGGCGGCAGCGGCCGCGGCGCUGGCGCGGGGGUAGCCCGCGCGCGCCUGGCCGAGGGGCUGGUGCUGUCGCGCGUGGACGAGGUCAUGCGCUCAGGUGGGACGAGGGUGGGCCAUAUCGGGCGUGACUGGUCCCGAUGCAACCAAGAUGCUCAUUGAUGUUCGCCAUGGCAUGCACUUGGACCAGCUCGGUCAGAUUCCCAUGCUGUCUCAUGUACCUCCAACCCUGUCACGUAGUGCACACCGCAUGCGUGCAGGCGUGCCGUCCUGGCAGGCAGCGGCUGCGGUGCUGCUGCACUCGCUGGCGGGGCCGGGCACGGGCCAGCGCUCGGUGCGGGCCUGGGUGGCGGCGCGCACGGAGGGCCUCAUCGACGUGGGCAUGGGGCUGUUGGAGACAGGUGCGCGUGCCACUACGCCGUGCACGCCUUGGCGAGGAAUAAUGUGAACUGCGUUCUCGAGAUGGGCCGGUAUAUACCAAGCGUCAGAUGGGUAACCCGACUGGUGCAAGAGGGAAAGGGGAAGGGUUCCAUGAAGGGCCCCGGACGCACCAUCGAGGGGUGCUGUGAAGGGUACGCAACGGGUGCCAGAGGGACGGCCCGAGGGACGGGCGAUGGUUGAGGGAAGCGCAGUGAUGAGGUACGGGGGAGGAGUGGUGGAGGGGCGCAUGGAACGAGGCCCGAUGCAUGGCGGAGGGCCGCGUGGAGGGACGGGGGAGGGAUGGGGGCGGGGCGGGGCGAUGGGUGGCAGAGGAACAGUGGCGGGAUGCCGUGAGGAAGUCAGGAUGGGCCGUGGAGGGAUGCCGUGAUGGGUUGCCGAGGUGUCACGGAGGGGGCUUGCGAGCCCUGUUGGAGGGGUGCUGGGUGGAUGGGCGCCCCUGAGGUGUACUGGCGAGGUGUGGUGCCUGGAUGAAGCGGGGAAGAAGCGGGGAGGAAGGCGCCUGGUUCCCAGAGUGUAUACGGUAGGCAUUUAUCUUGGGCAGGCGAGCCUACCGUGUGUGCCUGUUGGUAAGCACUGCUUUGCGUUGCCCUCUCCCGCCCCAAGGCGCCUUCAUGAACAGCACGGACGCGCUGUCGUCUGGCGCACAGCUGCUGGAGCUGGUGGCGGCAGGGCCGGCCGGCCGCCAGCAAUUGGUGGCCAGCGGCGUGCAGCCGGUCAUUCUGCAGGUGCGUGUGUGCGCUGUAUGGAUCUCCCUAACACGAUAGGUGCGCGUUCUCGGAUUGUGGCUACGGACUGCUCCUCAGGAUGCACUGCCUUUCCUGUCCUCACACCUGUCACAUGGCAGCUGAACCGCCCUCAUGCGCAUGCCGCACUCAGGUGCUGCUGACGUAUACCGGCACCAACGGCACCAGCGCUGCAGUGGGCAAUGCGGUGCGGCUGCUACGGCAGCUCAUGGCGCCGUCAGCAAGUGGUAGCGGCAGCACUGGAGAUGCAGCAGGGCAGGCAGCGGCGGCGGAGCUGAUGCACAACGUCACACAUGCGGGUGCGUCUUGCCCGCGUUGUCGCUGUCCCACGUACGUGACCACAUCCUCCUCAACACCACCCAGUGCACGGUUCGCGCCGCGCCGCAUCGUGCAGCACCUGUGAUGCCAUGUAUGUUAUCUAACUGAACUCCGCCGGCGCCCUUGUUCAUACACACACGCGAAGGCCUGGUGGCGCCAUUGGUGCGGGAGGUGCGCCUUGGCAACCGGGCCAGCCUUGCCCCUGCGCUGGUGCUGCUGCUCGACAUCAUGCGGGCCGCACCUGCUCCAGAUUCCGGCACCAACAAUGAUAGCGACAGCGGUGGUAGCGGCACUGCGAACGACUCGGCACACGAGGCAGUUGGCACGGGGCUGCUGUCCCUAUGCGCACAGCUGCUGUUUCAGGUGAGCUGGCUGAAGGGCAGAUUACGGUAGGGGGGGGGGGGGGGAAGAGGAGACGAGAUGUGGUGGACAGCAGAAGUUGAAGGAGGAGGGCAAGCAAGUACGCGCCGGCAGAGUUAUUACGAUGAGCGGCAUCACCGGGAUGGCCACGAGGAGCGGUUGGUGGCGGGGAGCUGGGGGAGACGGACAGGGAAGUAUCGCCGCCCAUCCGGAUGCCGUGGUGUGCCUGGACCGAGUUAGCCCGAAGGUUUGUCCAACGACUUUGCUCAUGGCCAUUUUAAGACUUCACAUUAGCACGCACGGAAGCCCCCACCUGCCCGACGCCAUUUCCGACCAGCUUACUUCGGACGGCAUUCACAAAGCGGCAGGGAGUCGGGCGGGCUUUGGACAGGAUUUUACGGGAUACACACGCGACGCUUUCCUGUAUUGCAUGCGUAACUCUCGCAUCCUCCGCCUAUCCCUGGUGCCACGUUGCAGGCGGACGGCAGCUCUGACCCGGAUGCGCUGGUGGCUUGCUCGGAGAUUGUGCGGCACACGCUGCGCAACUGCAAGGACGCCAACCGGCCUGCGCCGCGGCGGAUGGACCUAGAUGGAGAGGAAGCUGCUGCAGAGCAAUCUGAAGGCGCCGGCAAGGCGACGCAUGAGGGGGCUUCGGCCAGCGGCAAGCAGCAGCAGCAGCAGCAGCAGCAGCAGCCAGGCGGUGCCUACACGAACACGGCGCAGGCCCGGCAGCAGCUGGCGGCUGACCUUCUUCAGAUGAUGCGGUGAGCCCCUGUGCAGCUGUAUAACCUGUACCGCAUCACGUUAUUGACGGGGCUUUGAUUGCCCUUAAAGCGUCCGUGCUAGCUACACCACCACCUAAACUGAAUUAUCGUACCUGAUUGGCCUGCUGCAUCUGUGUCCGUGCUUGCCACCAUGUUGUUCAUUCUGGAGCCGCGGGCCAUUCACGUUCUUUCUUUGUCGCUUUGCCCCUUGGCACGCUCGAUGCUUUCUGUACCCGUCCAUGCUCAGGGACACCACGUUUCCGGACUUACACAAUGCCGUGCUGGAGGCGUGCCGUGAUGUGGCGCCAUCGCGCGUGGCCGCGGAGGCGCUGGUGGCAGCGGGCGCGGUACCGCAGGUGGCGCACAUCCUGAUGCACAACGUGUCACAGAGCCAUGAGCAGGGUAGGUACGGGUGCUUGGCGUGUCAUGUGGCUUGCCGCUUGAUAAUGCGUUGCAUGCGGCCAGAGCUCGGAUGACGAUUUCCACAAAGUCCGCACCUCUGCAUGGCUUUUGUGAGCUUUACGCUUGGGUCAGCAAUGCUUCCCACUUCGUUCCGCACAUACACACAUCCUCGGCUACCCCAUCUUACCUUUCCCCGGCCCUUCCAUUUUCCUCCAUAUAUAGGCGUGGACCCCGGAAGCACGGCUUGGAUUGUGCAGAGCCAGCGCUCUGCGGCCGCGCUGGUGGCGCUGCUAGCGCUGCAGCCGCCGCUGCGGCAGCAGGUGGUGGAGCAGGGUGGGCUCAAGGGACUGGCGGCGGCGCUGAUGCUGAACUCUGGCCACCCGGGCCUCAUGGCGCAAGUGCGCGUCACCGCCGCGGCGGCGCUCGUUCCUCUGCUAGGUGCGUGUCUUCAUCACACUGCUGCAUGCGGUAUGCGCUGCCCUGAGUCCCGUAGCAGCAGGCUCAGUUUCCCGUCAUCACAUGCUUGCACACGAGCCCGCUUGCAAACUCGCCCGCUUGCGCAUCUCAUUCCCCUCCUCCCUCAUACAUCCUUCCAAUGCAGGCGAGGAUGGGCGCUAUCUGGAGCUCGCGGUGCACCUGGGCGUGUUGGAGCCGCUGGUCAAAAUGUACUUUGCCACUAGCGAGCAGGAGCGGCGUGCAGCCGGGCGCGUUCUCACGUUGUUGGGCCAGGACACCUCCGUGGCAGCCAUGUUUGAGCGUGUGGGCAUCAAAGUUUGAACUGACUGAGCUCAGUAGCCAGAAUCUGUAAGGAUGAAGCCUAAAAAAACAGGAUUGGGCACUUCCUUGUCAGAUACGGUAUGGACGUUACAAUGAAGGGAAUCGGGCAUGGGGAACACGACGCACGUGGAUACCGUAACAGUGUCACUCGCGACUUCGGUCGCUCUCAUCCAGCUCCGGUCGAUAAGCCGUGGGCUAACUUCAAGGCAACGGCUGUAAAGCUUGGGUGGGCUCGAGGCAAAGCCCGCUGGGUGGCCCGCCCAGGUUAGCCCCAGGUGGAUUAGCCGGUGGCCCACCCGCGGUGAGGCCUGCUAUCGCUCCUGAACGGGUUAACGGAACCCAGAUAAACUUUACCAGAGCGUCUCCUUCUCAGCUCUCAAGUGACGGUCAGCGGCGCUCAGCCAGACUGCAGGAGCAGGCCGAUACCAACGCUGGGCCGAGUGGGGCACCGCAGCUGCUUUUUUUUUGAGGAAUCAUCCUUACAGGGUUGAACGGAAGCAGACGCGCUGCCCCCCAACUGCUGGGCACGAGGACCCGAUGUAUGCAGCCCGGCCCCAGAGACCAGAACCCCGACAGGGCAAGAAGAAAAGAGAAGAGAAGAAAGCUGAAAGGAAAACCCCAAAAAAACGUCAACAUCCACCCACCACCAACCCAGCCCACCCCACCCCGACCCGGCAGACAGAGCAGGAGGCUGGCCCCCCCGCCCCCCGGGAGGGGUUUCCUAACAGCGCCAGACCUAACCCGAGCACCAAUCUACAACAAAGCCUGACCGCAAGAAACACCACCACCUGAAAACACACCACCGCGCGCCAGAGGCGAAAACACCAGCGCUACCAGCACUCGCCCCGCCGUAACCCACCCCACCCCCACAAGUCGGUUGGUUAAGCAACACCCCAGGAAAACCUGCUAAGGGAACACUAAACGGGCCAGAUGUGGCGCUGACUUAGCGGGGUCCAGCCCGCUGCAAGACAUAGAGAAAGCUGCAAAUGACGCGCUGUGCAGGGUGGCGGCCGCCGCGGCAAACGCCACAGCAGCAACAGCAACCGCAACCGCCACGGCGCUGCCGUGGCCGGCGGGGGCUCAUAAUGCGGCCACCAGUGGGAGCGGCGAACCUUCGGCUGCUGACAGUGAAUGUCAACGGCCUGGGCUCGCCGUUCAAGGCGCGGGCGCUGGUCUCGCACCUACAGCAAGUAGGGGCGGAUGUGGCGAUGGUGCAGGAGACCCACGCUACUGACACGACGGUGCUGGAGUCUUGCCUUCGUGCCGCGCAGGGGGCGUGCCUUCCGUGGCGCCACUGCCUUGCUGCCAGCCCGGCAGCGUCGCCCCGCUCCUGUGGGACGGCUAUCCUGGCGCGGAGUCGGCUGUCCCUUCCAGGCUGCGAACUGCAGCCGCCGUCAACGGAUGCGGCAGGCCGUGUGGUAUGUUGGGAUUGGGACGUGGGUCACUUGCGCCUGCGCUUUGUGUGUGUGUAUGCGCCCACGGCCGUGGCGGACAAGCCUGCUUUCUUUGCCGGGCUGCAUCCCCACCUGGCCACGGACAGGGUGGCGUUUGUGGCGCGUCUGUGGGCUGCCCUGUCUCUGACUCUUGUUGGCCGUGUGCACAUUGCGAAGCAGGUGCUGGCGGCGAAGCUGGCCUACCACUUCAGCUUCCUCAACCCGUCGCCUGCGCAGCUGAAGGAACUCACCGACCUGGUGGACCACUUUGCUGCGCGCUCCAUGCACGCUGAGGACGCCAGCCUGGUGUCGCACGGGAACCCGCUCCUGCUGCCAAAGCGGGAAACGGCCUGUCUGCCGUACAAGGAUGGGGGUGUCAACCACGUCGACCUGCCUGCGUUCCUGUCUGCCCUGCAAGCUAAGACCUUCGCCCUCCUUGCCCAGCCAGGCCGGCAACCCUGGAAGAUGCUCACCCGGGCGCUGCUUACUCAUGUGCGCCCGGACUCCGCCACCACGUGGGCGUGGGUGUACAGCGACGCGCCGGCGCCAGCGGGGCUGCCUGCCCGGCUGGCGGCCGCGGUCGGCCACAUGCAGAGCGCGGGCGUGGAACAGCAUCCACCGCAGCCAGCCACUCAGCCGCCAGCGGCGCCGCCACAGUGGCGGGUUAGCCUGGACCAGCUGUGGGUGGCUAACGCUGCGGGGGCUGUGUCCUACGUCCACUACACGGGGCGGCUCUUGGAGCCUGGGCCUGGCGUGCUGCCCCCGGCGGUGGAUGGGGCGUGGCAGCCUGCAUGUGUGCUGCAGCAUCGCAAGCCGCGGCACCUGUGGACCUUUGAAGAGCGGGCGGCGUACGAUGCAGCAUCACCAGGGGACCGGGCGGGGGCGUGGCCUCGGGCGCCGUACUUCCUGGCGCCGGAGGCUGGGGUGGUGGUGCACCCGGAGCACUGCCGGAUUGCGGGUGUCAGCUUAGCGGACUACACGGUGCGGGACGUGCGGCGGGCCAUCACCGCGGCCAACCCGGCCGCACCUCCGGCUCCGGCCCGCCCCGCAGCCAUGCCGUGCCCGGCGCCAGCACAGCAGGCGGGGGGUUCGGGGCCCCAGCUGGCGGCACAGUCGCGGCUGGCGAAGCGGGAGGCGGAGUGGCAGCGUGCAGCGGCGCAGCUGACCACCACGGCGGCGCAGCAUUUCCACAAUAACCCGGUGGCUCUGGACCCCUGGCUCCACCGCACCUCCGCGGCAGCCGGGCUGCAGAACACACCGGCGAGAGAACUGCAGUCGUAUGCGUCCCCGUCCCAGCAGUCAGGUGAGGGGCCGCGGCGGUCCGCGCGGCUGCAGGAGCAGGCGGCGGGAGGGGCGGGACCUAGCACUGGGCCUGCCACGGCGGCGGCGGCAGCAGCGGCGGCGGUGGAGGGCGACCCUCGCAUGCCGCCCCCGGAUGCGUCCCUUCUGCGGGGUACGUGGCGGAGGCUGUGGGACAGCCACGCCAGUCGGGGGGCAAAGGUGCUGGUGUACCGGCUGCAACAUGCUUACCUGCCUUGCGGGCUGUACAGGGCGGGCAAGGGCAUUCGGCCACGGGUGACCACGGGGUGCGGGGGUUUGGGGGCGCACUGUCCUCACCCCGCCUGCGGGCCACCUGGCCCGCGGGCGUGGGCCAGCCUGACGCACAUCUUCCUGGAGUGUCCGGCUUAUGCGCAGGCGAGGACGUGGCUGCAGCAGCUGUGGGCCUGCGUUGCGCCCCAGGCAGCGGCGCCACCAGUGACGGACGCGGGCUUCAUGCUGGGGGACCGCAUGGGUAUGUGGGCCUCAGGCCCGCGGGGGGCGGGCGCGCUGCUGUGGAGCACUUUGCGGGCCACCUUCUUGUACGCCGUCUGGUGUGCGUACUGGUCCCGCGAGCCUGCUAAGCAGACGUCAGAGCAUGUGGUUCGGGAGGUGGUCAGCGAGCUGCGCAGGGUGAUGCAGCUGCGUUUCACUGCCGCCACGCUAACCCCUGAAACCCUGUCGGCUCUGCCCACUCAGCUUCUCACCGCACAGCUCAAGGCGGCUAAGCUGGAGCAUUUUGUUGCCAUCUGGUCGGCGGGUGGCGCGCUUUGUGAAGUGGAGGAGGUUCAGGGUGGGUCACCGAAGUUGAACUUGCGGCUGACACUUGCAUCACCUGUGCAGGCCCCCUAGGCGGCGGUUCGUUCCAGGCGCUGGCGUGGCGUUUAUCGUCAUCAGCUUAUCUGGCGCCCAUGUAUUUUAGCUCUGGCUGGCGUCGCAGCACCUGGGCGGCUGUGGGACUUCCUGCACAGCGCGUCUUGCAGCGGGCUGGAGCCCGCUUCGUCAGCGCCACAUCUGGCCCGUUUAGUUUUCUGCUUGUGUCUCCUCUGCCGGUUCUCCUGGGGUGUUGCUUAAGCAACCGACUUGUGGGGGUGGGGUGGGUUUGGGCGGGGCGAGUGCGUAGCGCUGGUGUUUCUUUUCUGGCGCGCGGUGGUGGUGGUUCUUGUGGUUAGGCUGUGGUGUAGGUUGGUGCUUGGGUUAGGUCUGGCGGUGUUUUUGUGCAACCCCUCCCGGGGGGCGGGGGGGCCAGCCUCCUGCUCUGGCUGCCGGGUCGGGGUGGGGUGGGGUGGGAUGGAUGGGGGUGGUUGGCGGCGGUUUUCGAGGUGUUUGUUUUCUGUUUUUCUUCUCUUCUCUUCUCUUCUUGCCCUGUCAGGGUUCUGGUCUCGGGGACCAGGCUGCUUUCAGGCAGCAGGGGGGCAGCGCGUCUGCCCCAGUUCAACCUUGUAAGGAUGAUUCCUCAAAAAACUCAGCCCCUGGCCACUCAUCUUUGCGGCAGUUUGCGCCGAUGGGGAGGGGGGGCGUUGGGGGGAGGGGCACUCCCUCCCCCCGCACGGGAUGCAAGCAUCGCACGAUAGCGCAGGCACCAGCGCACAAGCACGGGCGGUGUUCGUACGCCAAGGGGAGGGGCCAGAGGGGUUUCGGGGGGCGCUCGGCCCUGCUCGGCCCCCAUACAGGAGGGCGACUGAGGGCGCUAGCGCGCAAACGGACGGCCGGCAAAGCGGUCAGGCACGUGUGGGGCUAUUGCCGCGGCCAGCACACCAGCAACAUAAAGAGAUUCUAAAUAUAUUAUGACGAGUGCCAGACCGCAAAGAUCGAGCGAUGGAGGUUGUCUUAAAUUGUCAGUCAAUCAGUCAGCAAGGAGCACUAUGCGCACAUAAUUAAUUCUAAAAAUAGAUACUUGAUCAAUACAUCCGAUGAUUUCAGUGAUGCACAGUACAUCGCGUCCGCGGGCAAGCUUGCUGGUGGUGCAUUUGGCUCGCUCGCUGCGCUUCAGGGGAACCUUUCGCAUGUAGAUAAUACAGAUCACUCCGAUCUAUCCAAAAUAUACUAUGCAUCGCGCAUGUGCGCCUUGGGGAGAUUGCACAAUGGGGGGCAAACCGGUCCCGCGCUUCGCAUCCCUUCGGCCGAUCUUGGCGCUUGCAAAAAAGUAAAGGUGCUGGGCGAGCUGGCUAUUCUUUCACAUACGAGUCAACGCGUUUCGUUCACCCACCCCACAAAGUGCAUCUUCUUUGACCAGCGUUUUCUCACAGCAAACGCCCCCAAAAAUAAAUGGCGCGGAGCUGGGUUGGGCAUCAGGGCACAUAAAGUCAGUUACACUUGGUCGCAGCCUUGAAAGCGGGCUGGGGCGCACGCCAGACCCCAAAAACACGCCAGGAGGCACACUUUGGAACAGCAUGUGUAGAUGAGUGGCUCAGUGAUGCCUACCUCGCGUUCCCCGACCUGCGCCGCUCGCUGCUCGACUGGAACCGCGGCGCCUGUGCCGCCGCCCCCGAGGCGCCGGCGCCGCUGCUGCGGUGGUUUGUGGCCUACAAGCGCGACCUGGUGCGCACGGUUGGCCGCCUUAACCGCAUCGCCCGUGGCCGCAUCCUGGAGGAGACAGCGGAGGAGGCGGCGGCCCGUGCUGCUGAGGCGGCCGCCCUAGCGGUGGUAGAGGCUGGAGGCCCCGAUGCUGCUCAGGCUGCUGCUGCGGCCGUCGCCGCGCGCUCCGCGGCUGCCGCAGCGGCGCAGCGCGCGGUCGCUCGGCACGCUCGUGCCGCCCGCCUCCAGUGGCUGCGCACCCGCGAGACGGCUUCGCCUGCGAUCACGCGGCUUGUGCGGCCCCCUGGCGGCGCCGCGCGCAUUGCGGCAAUCCGGCGCCCGGACGGCAGUGUGUGUGACUCCCUUCCCGAAAUCCCCACACAUAUUGUCGGCUACUGGCGGCGCAUCAGUGCUGCGGUGGCCACGGACCCGGACGCCUGUGACCGCGUACUUGCGGCCCUUGCAGCAUUUGGGCGGCGCUGCACUGACGAGGACGUUGUGCGGCUUGGCGCCGACACAGUGAGUUCAGCUGAGGUGGAGGCUGCCCUGGCGGCGGCGCCGGCUGGCAGCACCCCGGGCCGCGACGGCAUCCCGGCUGAGUUGUACCGGGAACUGGGGGGCCCCACGGCACGCGUGCUUGCGCGUGUGUUCACGGCCUCCCUUGCUGCUGGUGCUCCUCCACGCGGCUUCCUCGAUGGCGUCAUUACAUGCUUCAGCAAGCCCGGGGACCCCCUGCAGCCUUCGUCGUAUCGGCCCAUUACGCUGCUCGGCACGGACUACCGCACGCUGGCCCGCGUCCUCGCCAGGAGGCUCAUCCCCGUCUUCAGCAACGUCAUCCACCCCGCCCAGACAGCCUUCCUGCCCGGGCGCCGCAUCGCCGACAACGUCCUACUGCUGCAGCUUCUGCCGGAGCUCAUGCGGGUGGCCGAAGGCGGUGGCCCUGGCGGCGGUGGCGGUGGCGGUGGCGGGGGCGCUGCGGGCAGCACCGCUGACGCUGACCGCGGCGUUGUGGCCUUCCUGGACUUCUACAAAGCCUACGACACCCUGGACCGCAACUUCCUGUACCGGUGCUUGGCAGUCAUGGGCGUUGGCAGUGGCUUCCUGGCCUGGGUCAAGCUGCUGCUUACGGGCACGCGCUCUGCCGCCCUGGCUAACGGCUACCUGUCGGCCUUCGUCCUCAUCAUUGCGGGCGUACGGCAGGGGUGCCCGCUGGCGCCUCCUUUGUACUUGGCGCCGGCCCAGGCCCUCUUCGCCUACCUCGACCGCGCGGGCUUUGGUGUCUCCUGGGCGGAUAUCCGCCUCGUCGCUACAGCCUAUGCAGACGACGCUGCGCCGUUCUUGCGUCGGAUGGCCAACGUGCCUGGUUUCCUGGCAGCUAUGGAGACCUUCCGCGCCGCCUCUGGGCAGCGCCUUAACCUCGACAAGGUGGAGCUUCUGCCCAUCGGUGCACGGCGCCGCGCCACUGCUGCUCCCGCCCGCGCUGUCGCUGCUGGCUUGGCGGCUGGCGGCGCAGCGGUUGGCAACAUGGCCGCUCACGGCGUGGCGGCGACCAGUGUGGCAGCUGCCGGCGGCAUGGCUACCGGCGGCGCGGCGGCUGGUGGCGCGGUGGCUGGCGGCGGCCCCGGCGCCAGCCACUCUGGUGGGGGCAUCUUGGCGGCCGGUGGUGCGGUGCCUUCUCGGGCGGGCGCGGUUUGGGCAGCUGCCGGUGUUGUGGUCACUGGUGGCGUGACGGCCGGCGGCUCCGCCGCGGCUGCUGGCGGUGCCGUAGCCGCGCCUGCCCCGCCCAACACAGUUGCUAUGGCGCAUGGCUUGCGCGUAGUCUCGCACUCGCGUACGCUGGGUGUGGUCUUCUACGACCUUCCACUUGGCACGGCUGCAGCCCAGGGGGCUCCUUCCCUCUCCCCUGCCAUUGGCACCCUGGGGACGCUCUGCGGCCUCCCCCUAACUGCCUUUGGCCGUGGCUUCUGUGCCUCCUCCUACGCCGUCAGCCGUGUGCUCUACCAUAUGGAAUUUGCGGGUCUGCCGCCGCAGACGGUUUUGGCAGACUUCCUCAAAACGCUUGUGCGGUUUGUGGACCGCCGCAUCAUCGUUGCCACGCCGCAAGGUGCUGGCCGGGCCCGACUUCCCGGCCUCCCCUCCGACUGCGUCGCCCUGCCGCCGCGCGAUGGCGGCUUUGGACUGCUGCCGGUGGUGGAACACGUGCGCGCCCGACACGCUGUGUUGGCUGUACGCUGGCUGCAGCACAUGCACGGCUCUGCGGCUGGCACCUACGUACCGCCGUGGACGACCGCCGCCACCGCCCUGGUGCAGCAGCUACACACGGCCGCCCACCCCCUCUGCGUCCUGACGAUGCAGCGGGCGGCCGGCGGUGUCGGACCCGCUGCCGAUGGCUGUGCAAUCUUCGGCCAGACGGUGGCGGCAACCUGCCCGGCCCUCGUGCGCCUCCUGGGUGCCCUCAGCUACCUGCCUCCGGUCACAAUCCUACGCCCGGCUGUGCUGGUGCCAGGGCCCUGGUGCUUUGCACUUCCGCUCUGGGGCAAUCCAGUCUUGCCGUCUGCGGCGGGGCUUCAGGCGGGUGGCUUGGAACGUGACUUCCCAGCUCUCAUGGCGCUGCCGGGUCUGCUCACGCUCGGCACGGCAGUGCGGUGCUGGGAGGCGCUGGCCGCGGUGCGCCAGCUGGUGGCUUCCAAGCCGGCUGGUGCGCUCGGGCCGCGCCUCGCGCGUCGGUGCACUAUACAGUACAAGCGGUCCGUCCUGCGCCCCAUCCUGCGCAUUACGGAUAUGGCGCGCGUGCCGCCGGAGCUGCAGUCCGGCCCGGAUGCUGCUGCCCAAUUCUCCGCGCUGCUGGCCCGUGUACCGGCGGCGUGGCGGGCGGCGGCGUCGGCCACAUUGCAUGCGCCUGGCGGCGCGGCCUCCGCGCCUCCUGCCCCCCAGGUAUGGCUGCUGCUUGCGCAGAGCCUGGGGUGGCGGCAUGGCGCGGCUGACGUGCCCUUGCUGACCCUUACGGUGAAGCAGGCCACCCAGCUUCAACCUGCGCCUGCUGCGUACGACGCGCUCCGCGUGCGUCACUUGGCCUUCAUCCAAGAUAGAGGCCUACAGCGGCGCCGCGCCGCCAGCGGAAGCGAUUCAUGCACUGCGGGCGGCCCUGGCGCGGCUGUGGGCUUUGGUGUGGGAGCCGCGACACAAGGAACCGCUCUGGCGUCUGGCAGUCAAUGGGUUCACGGGCUUUGGGAUGCUUGCGGCGUGGGCCGCAGAUGGACGCGUGGAGAAAUGCCCGUGUGGGACUCAGAUGACUGCUGGGGCUAGGGUUCAUCACUUCUGGGACUGUGUGGUGGCGGAGGCUCUGCGUGAUGUGAUGCGGGAGCAUGCGAAUGUGGACAUCACACGGAACCAGUUGUGGUUAGUACAGGCGCCACCAGGGCUAUCGCAGGCGGUGUGGGACAUCGUGUGCUUGGCUGCUGUGGCGGCCCUGGAAUACGGCCGACAGCGCCUUUACGCUUGAUUGCCGUGAUGCUGCAGACCGGACUGCGGAGGUUGCUGUCGUGCGAAGGAUAGGUGUGGAGGUGAUUGCGGACUUCUGGUCACGGCUAGCUGCGUUUGUGAGUCUGCGUCGGCCUCCGCGCCGCUGGGACCUUGUCCCGAACCAGCACCCAUUCCUAGCGUCAGAUGAUGUUGGAGGGGUUAUCUUGGUAGGGCCAACAGCGGACUCGCCACCGGCCUCACCCUAGCUUGUCAGCUUAGGGACUCGCAAGAGGUAGUCUUAUGACGCCGACCCACGGCUUAGGUGAGCAGCGCUAGCGUUUGCGGUGAGCCGGGCCUGGGGUUCCUCCCCUCUCCGGAGGCGAGGAGCAUGGGGGUCAUUCGGGGAUCUCUCCUCGGGUGAGCGUGCGUGUCUCGUACGUUUUUGGGGCCCUGGCUAGUCCACGGCUGUCGUCCCACAUGUAACCUCUAUCAGCUAAAAAGGGUGCUUGUUGUCGGUGGGGACUGGAACUGUGUCACCGAUGCCAGUCAGGAGGCGGCCCCUAGCCCGUCACGUGCUGCAGGUGCCCCGCAACUUGCCAGCCUCCUCGCCCAGUUCAGUCUGGUGGACCCUUGGGCGAGCAAGCGUGGCGGCGCCAAGGGCUACACGCAUCCGUUUACCACUGGCGCCGUGACGCACCUGGGUGUGCCCCUGUCGUGGGACUCGGAUGCGGCUGCAGCUGACUUGUACACCCGGCGGGCUCGCGGCAUGGCGUUUGUGGCGCGUCUGUGGGCUGCCCUGUCUCUGACUCUCGUUGGCCGUGUGCACAUUGCGAAGCAGGUGCUGGCGGCGAAGCUGGCCUACCACUUCAGCUUCCUCAACCCGUCGCCUGCGCAGCUGAAGGAGCUCACCGACCUGGUGGACCACUUUGCUGCGCGCUCCAUGCACGCUGAGGACGCCAGCCUGGUGUCGCACGGGAACCCGCUCCUGCUGCCAAAGCGGGAAACGGCAUGUCUGCCGUACAAGGACGGGGGUGUCAACCACGUCGACCUGCCUGCGUUCCUGUCUGCCCUGCAAGCUAAGACUUUCGCCCUCCUUGCCCAGCCAGGCCGGCAACCCUGGAAGAUGCUCACCCGGGCGCUGCUUACCCAUGUGCGCCCGGACUCCGCCUCCACGUGGGCGUGGGUGUACAGCGACGCGCCGGCGCCAGCGGGGCUGCCUGCCCGGCUGGCGGCCGCGGUCGGCCACGUGCGGAGCGCGGGUGUGGAACAGCAUCCGCCGCAGCCAGCCACUCAGCCGCCAGCGGCGCCGCCACAGUGGCGGGUUAGCCUGGACCAGCUGUGGGUGGCUAACGCUGCGGGGGCUGUGUCCUACGUCCACUACACGGGGCGGCUCUUGGAGCCUGGGCCUGGCGUGCUGCCCCCGGCGGUGGAUGGGGCGUGGCGGCCUGCCUGUGUGCUGCAGCAUCGCAAGCCGCGGCACCUGUGGACCUUUGAAGAGCGGGCGGCGUACGAUGCAGCAUCACCAGGGGAACGGGCGGGGGCGUGGCCUCGGGCGCCGUACUUCCUGGCACCGGUGGCUGGGGUGGUGGUGCACCCGGAGCACUGCCGGAUUGCGGGUGUCAGCUUGGCGGACUACACGGUGCGGGACGUGCGGCGGGCCAUCACCGCGGCUAACCCGGCCGCACCACCGGCUCCGGCCCGCCCUGCAGCCAUGCCGUGCCCAGCGCCAGCACAGCAGGCGGGGGGUUCGGGGACCCAGCCGGCGGCACAGUCGCGGCUGGUGGAGCGGGAGGCGGAGUGGCAGCGUGCAGCGGCGCAGCUGACCACCACGGCGGCGCAGCAUUUCCACAAUAACCCGGUGGCUCUGGACCCCUGGCUCCACCGCACCUCUGCGGCAGCCGGGCUGCAGAACACGCCAGCGAGAGAACUGCAGUCGUAUGCGUCCCCGUCCCAGCAGUCAGGUGAGGGGCCGCGGCGGUCCGCGCGGCUGCAGGAGCAGGCGGCGGGAGGGGCGGGACCUAGCACUGGGCCUGCCACGGCGGCGGCGGCAGCAGCGGCGGCGGUGGAGGGCGACCCUCGCAUGCCGCCCCCGGAUGCGUCCCUUCUGCGGGGUACGUGGCGGAGGCUGUGGGACAGCCACGCCAGUCGGGGGGCAAAGGUACUUGUGUACCGGCUGCAACAUGCUUACCUGCCUUGCGGGCUGUACAGGGCGGGCAAGGGCAUUCGGCCACGGGUGACCACGGGGUGCGGGGGGUUGGGGGCGCACUGUCCUCACCCCGCCUGCGGGCCACCUGGCCCGCGGGCGUGGGCCAGCCUGACGCACAUCUUCCUGGAGUGUCCAGCUUAUGCGCAGGCGAGGACGUGGCUGCAGCAGCUGUGGGCCUGUGUUGCGCCCCAGGCAGCGGCGCCGCCAGUGACGGACGCGGGCUUCAUGCUGGGGGACCGCAUGGGUAUGUGGGCCUCAGGCCCGCGGGGGGCGGGAGCGCUGCUGUGGAGCACUUUGCGGGCCACCUUCUUGUACGCCGUCUGGUGUGCGUACUGGUCCCGCGAGCCUGCUAAGCAGACGUCGGAGCAUGUGGUUCGGGAGGUGGUCAGCGAGCUGCGCAGGGUGAUGCGGCUGCGUUUCACUGCCGCCACGCUAACCCCUGAAACCCUGUCGGCUCUGCCCACUCAGCUUCUCACCGCACAGCUCAAGGCGGCUAAGCUGGAGCAUUUCGUUGCCAUCUGGACGGCGGGUGGCGCGCUUUGUGAAGUGGAGGAGGUUCAGGGUGGGUCACCGAAGUUGAACUUGCGGCUGACGCUUGCAUCACCUGUGCAGGCCCCCUAGAUUUCCUUCUGGGCAGCAUUUCGUUUCAGGCGCUGGCGUGGCGUAUUAUAGUCAUCAGCUUGUCUGGCGCCCAUGAGUACUAGCUCUGGCUGGAGUGGCAGCGCCUGGGCGGCUGUGGGACUUCCUGCACAGCGCGUCUUGCAGCGGACUGGAGCCCGCUUAGUCAGCGCCACAUCUGGCCCGUUUAGUUUUCUGCUUGUGUCUCCUCUGCCGGUUCUCCUGGGGUGUUGCUUAAGCAACCGACUUGUGGGGGUGGGGUGGGUUUGGGCGGGGCGAGUGCGUAGCGCUGGUGUUUUCUUUUCUGGCGCGCGGUGGUGGUGGUUCUUGCGGUUAGGCUGUGGUGUAGGUUGGUGCUUGGGUUAGGUCUGGCGGUGUUUUUGUGCAACCCCUCCCGGGGGGCGGGGGGGCCAGCCUCCUGCUCUGGCUGCCGGGUCGGGGUGGGGUGGGGUGGGAUGGAUGGGGGUGGUUGGUGGCGGUUUUCGAGGUGUUUGUUUUCUGUUUUUCUUCUCUUUUCUUCUCUUCUUGCCCUGUCAGGGUUCUGGUCUCGGGGACCAGGCUGCUUUCAGGCAGCAGGGGGGCAGCGCGUCUGCCCCUGUUCAACCUUGUAAGGAUGAUUCCUCAAAAAAAAAAGGGUGCUUGUUGUCGGUGGGGACUGGAACUGUGUCACCGAUGCCAGUCAGGAGGCGGCCCCUAGCCCGUCACGUGCUGCAGGUGCCCCGCAACUUGCCAGCCUCCUCGCCCAGUUCAGUCUGGUGGACCCUUGGGCGAGCAAGCGUGGCGGCGCCAAGGGCUACACGCAUCCGUUUACCACUGGCGCCGUGACGCACCUGGGUGUGCCCCUGUCGUGGGACUCGGAUGCGGCUGCAGCUGACUUGUACACCCGGCGGGCUCGCGGCAUGGCGUUUGUGGCGCGUCUGUGGGCUGCCCUGUCUCUGACUCUCGUUGGCCGUGUGCACAUUGCGAAGCAGGUGCUGGCGGCGAAGCUGGCCUACCACUUCAGCUUCCUCAACCCGUCGCCUGCGCAGCUGAAGGAGCUCACCGACCUGGUGGACCACUUUGCUGCGCGCUCCAUGCACGCUGAGGACGCCAGCCUGGUGUCGCACGGGAACCCGCUCCUUUUUUUUUGAGGAAUCAUCCUUACAAGGUUGAACAGGGGCAGACGCGCUCCUGCUGCCAAAGCGGGAAACGGCAUGUCUGCCGUACAAGGACGGGGGUGUCAACCACGUCGACCUGCCUGCGUUCCUGUCUGCCCUGCAAGCUAAGACUUUCGCCCUCCUUGCCCAGCCAGGCCGGCAACCCUGGAAGAUGCUCACCCGGGCGCUGCUUACCCAUGUGCGCCCGGACUCCGCCACCACGUGGGCGUGGGUGUACAGCGACGCGCCGGCGCCAGCGGGGCUGCCUGCCCGGCUGGCGGCCGCGGUCGGCCACAUGCAGAGCGCGGGCGUGGAACAGCAUCCGCCGCAGCCAGCCACUCAGCCGCCAGCGGCGCCGCCACAGUGGCGGGUUAGCCUGGACCAGCUGUGGGUGGCUAACGCUGCGGGGGCUGUGUCCUACGUCCACUACACGGGGCGGCUCUUGGAGCCUGGGCCUGGCGUGCUGCCCCCGGCGGUGGAUGGGGCGUGGCGGCCUGCCUGUGUGCUGCAGCAUCGCAAGCCGCGGCACCUGUGGACCUUUGAAGAGCGGGCGGCGUACGAUGCAGCAUCACCAGGGGAACGGGCGGGGGCGUGGCCUCGGGCGCCGUACUUCCUGGCACCGGUGGCUGGGGUGGUGGUGCACCCGGAGCACUGCCGGAUUGCGGGUGUCAGCUUGGCGGACUACACGGUGCGGGACGUGCGGCGGGCCAUCACCGCGGCUAACCCGGCCGCACCACCGGCUCCGGCCCGCCCUGCAGCCAUGCCGUGCCCAGCGCCAGCACAGCAGGCGGGGGGUUCGGGGACCCAGCCGGCGGCACAGUCGCGGCUGGUGGAGCGGGAGGCGGAGUGGCAGCGUGCAGCGGCGCAGCUGACCACCACGGCGGCGCAGCAUUUCCACAAUAACCCGGUGGCUCUGGACCCCUGGCUCCACCGCACCUCUGCGGCAGCCGGGCUGCAGAACACGCCAGCGAGAGAACUGCAGUCGUAUGCGUCCCCGUCCCAGCAGUCAGGUGAGGGGCCGCGGCGGUCCGCGCGGCUGCAGGAGCAGGCGGCGGGCGGGGCGGGGCCUAGCACGGGGCCUGCCACGGCGGCGGCGGCAGCAGCGGCGGCAGUGGAGGGCGACCCUCGCAUGCCGCCCCCGGAUGCGUCCCUUCUGCGGGGUACGUGGCGGAGGCUGUGGGACAGCCACGCCAGUCGGGGGGCAAAGGUACUUGUGUACCGGCUGCAACAUGCUUACCUGCCUUGCGGGCUGUACAGGGCGGGCAAGGGCAUUCGGCCACGGGUGACCACGGGGUGCGGGGGGUUGGGGGCGCACUGUCCUCACCCCGCCUGCGGGCCACCUGGCCCGCGGGCGUGGGCCAGCCUGACGCACAUCUUCCUGGAGUGUCCAGCUUAUGCGCAGGCGAGGACGUGGCUGCAGCAGCUGUGGGCCUGUGUUGCGCCCCAGGCAGCGGCGCCGCCAGUGACGGACGCGGGCUUCAUGCUGGGGGACCGCAUGGGUAUGUGGGCCUCAGGCCCGCGGGGGGCGGGAGCGCUGCUGUGGAGCACUUUGCGGGCCACCUUCUUGUACGCCGUCUGGUGUGCGUACUGGUCCCGCGAGCCUGCUAAGCAGACGUCGGAGCAUGUGGUUCGGGAGGUGGUCAGCGAGCUGCGCAGGGUGAUGCAGCUGCGUUUCACUGCCGCCACGCUAACCCCUGAAACCCUGUCGGCUCUGCCCACUCAGCUUCUCACCGCACAGCUCAAGGCGGCUAAGCUGGAGCAUUUUGUUGCCAUCUGGACGGCGGGUGGCGCGCUUUGUGAAGUGGAGGAGGUUCAGGGUGGGUCACCGAAGUUGAACUUGCGGCUGACGCUUGCAUCACCUGUGCAGGCCCCCUAGAUUUCCUUCUGGGCAGCAUUUCGUUUCAGGCGCUGGCGUGGCGUAUUAUCGUCAUCAGCUUGUCUGGCGCCCAUGAGUACUAGCUCUGGCUGGAGUGGCAGCGCCUGGGCGGCUGUGGGACUUCCUGCACAGCGCGUCUUGCAGCGGACUGGAGCCCGCUUAGUCAGCGCCACAUCUGGCCCGUUUAGUUUUCUGCUUGUGUCUCCUCUGCCGGUUCUCCUGGGGUGUUGCUUAAGCAACCGACUUGUGGGGGUGGGGUGGGUUUGGGCGGGGCGAGUGCGUAGCGCUGGUGUUUUCUUUUCUGGCGCGCGGCGGUGGUGGUUCUUGCGGUUAGGCUGUGGUGUAGGUUGGUGCUUGGGUUAGGUCUGGCGGUGUUUUUGUGCAACCCCUCCCGGGGGGCGGGGGGGCCAGCCUCCUGCUCUGUCUGCCGGGUCGGGGUGGGGUGGGGUGGGAUGGAUUGGGGUGUUUGGUGGCGGUUUUCGAGGUGUUUGCUUUCUGUUUUCUUCUCUUCUCUUCUCUUCUUGCCCUGUCAGGGUUCUGGUCUCGGGGACCAGGCUGCUUUCAGGCAGCAGGGGGACAGCGCGUCUGCCCCUGGUCAACCUUGUAAGGAUGAUUCCUCAAAAAAAAAAAAUCCGGCCACGCCCAAGCCGGCCACUCCCGCACGCCUGGAUCGGUGGUAUGUCAGUGCCACCGCGGCGCCGUGGGUGGUGGAUGUCGCUCGCACGUAUGGGGCGCCUGGGGACCACAAUGGGGUGCUGCUCACCCUGUCCUUGCCCGACCUGCCACAUGCGCACCGGGAGCAGUGGCGCUUCCCCACGUACCUGCUGUUUCACCCCUCGCUGCGUUUGGAGCUCGAGCAGCGCUUGGAGGCGCACGUUGCCGCAAAUCCCGUGGCCAGUACAGGUGACGGCGCUUGCACGCAAUGGGAGGCGGACAAGUUCUUCUUUCGGGAGGCCGCCACCAGCAUCCACCGUCGGCAUGCACGCCAGACCCGGGACGGGCUGCAUGGCGUGGUGCUGGCCGCAGACGCGGCCGCUGCCCUGGCCGACCGGCCGGGUGCCAGCGCCGCGCAGCAUCAGGCUGCGGCCAUGGCCAACUUGGCGGUGCGGGAGGAGCGGGCAGCUGCCGCAGCGGCCAGCCACAAUGCCCGCGCUGCACUGAUGGAGGAGCAUGGGGAGCGGGGCACUCGCUGGUUCCAUCGGCAGGCUGACGAGCCAGCAGCCGGCGCGCAGGAGCCCAUCACGCACUUGAAGGUGCCGGGGCAACCGGCGCCUGUGGCGCUCACGGGGCCGGGCACGCGCAACACUGUCUUCGCAGCCGCCGCAGCCAUGUACAGCAGCACCAGCCCCACCGGCCUGUACCGCGUGCAGCCGGUCUGUAUGGCGUCGCAGCAACAGCUUCUGGCGGCCAUUGACCGCAAGGUUCCGGUGGAUCUGCACGCCGCCGCAGAGGGGUCCGGUGACGGGGUCCGAUAGAUGAGUUUUGUUUCAGCUUGGCCGCGAUGCGCUUGGUGGCCUCCUCCUCGCCUACCUCCGUGACCAGGGCGCCAUCGUACCGGACUGGGCCGUCUGCCGCGUGCCGGCCGGCCGUACCGCCGUCCUGGCACAGCUGCACGACGAGUUCACUGGCUGGUGGCGCCUAUACUCAGCCCAGUCUGCAGACACGCCCCUGCCUUCCGACGUGACGGAGCAGCUGGAUGACGCCGCGCAGCAGGUGCAGACGGCCUACAUGGACUACGUGCUCCUAGACGCCCGCACCCUGCGGUCCGCUAAGCGUGGGCCGGCGGACCCCGGCGGGGCCAGCGGGCCCAGCCGCCGGCAACGCCAGCACCGCAGCCGCAGUACCUCCAGCCUCAUGAGCCUGGGCAGCGCUCCAUUGCGCCCCGGCGGCGCCAGCUCAGGCGCCGCUAGCAUGAGCACCAGCAGCGGCGGCGCGCCCCCCAGCCAGGGGGGCUGCCGCCGCGGCAAACGCCACAUCAGCAACAGCAACCGCAACCGCCACGGCGCUGCCGUGGCCGGCGGGGGCUCAUAAUGCGGCCACCAGUGGGCGCGGCGAACCUUCGGCUGCUGACAGUGAAUGUCAACGGCCUGGGCUCGCCGUUGAAGGCGCGGGCGCUGGUCUCGCACCUGCAGCAAGUUGGGGCGGAUGUGGCGAUGGUGCAGGAGACCCACGCUACUGACACGACCGCGCUGGAGUCUUGCCUUCGUGCCGCGCAGGGGGCGUGCCUUCCGUGGCGCCACUGCCUCGCUGCCAGCCCGGCAGCGUUUUUUUCUUGAGGAAUCAUCCUUACAAGGUUGCACAGGGGCAGACGCGCUGCCCCCCUGCUGCUUGAAAGCAGCCUGGUCCCCGAGACCAGAACCCUGACAGGGCAAGAAGAGAAGAAAAGAGAAGAAAACAGAAAGCAAACACCUCGAAAACCGCCACCAAACACCCCCAUCCAUCCCACCUACCCCACCCCACCCCGACCCGGCAGACAGAGCAGGAGGCUGGCCCCCCCGCCCCCUGGGAGGGGUUGCACAAAAACACCGCCAGACCUAACCCAAGCACCAACCUACACCACAGCCCAACCGCAAGAACCACCACCACCGCGCGCCAGAAAAGAAAACACGAGCGCUACGCACUCGCCCCGCCCAAACCCACCCCACCCCCACAAGUCGGUUGCUUUUUUUUUUUGAGGAAUCAUCCUUACAAGGUUGAACAGGGGCAGACGCGCUGCCCCCCUGCUGCCUGAAAGCAGCCUGGUCCCCGAGACCAGAACCCUGACAGGGCAAGAAGAGAAGAAAAGAGAAGAAAAACAGAAAACAAACACCUCGAAAACCGCCACCAAACACCCCCAACCAUCCCACCCCACCCCACCCUGACCCGGCAGACAGAGCAGGAGGCUGGCCCCCCCGCCCCCCGGGAGGGGUUGCACAAAAACACCGCCAGACCUAACCCAAGCACCAACCUACACCACAGCCUAACCGCAAGAACCACCACCACCGCGCGCCAGAAAAAGAAACACCAGCGCUACGCACCCGCCCCGCCCAAACCCACCCCACCCCCACAAGUCGGUUGCUUAAGCAACACCCCAGGAGAACCGGCAGAGGAGACACAAGCAGAAAACUAAACGGGCCAGAUGGCCUGGCGUGCUGCCCCCGGCGGUGGAUGGGGCGUGGCAGCCUGCCUGUGUGCUGCAGCAUCGCAAGCCGCGGCACCUGUGGACCUUUGAAGAGCGGGCGGCGUACGAUGCAGCAUCACCAGGGGAACGGGCGGGGGCGUGGCCUCGGGCGCCGUACUUCCUGGCACCGGUGGCUGGGGUGGUGGUGCACCCGGAGCACUGCCGGAUUGCGGGUGUCAGCUUGGCGGACUACACGGUGCGGGACGUGCGGCGGGCCAUCACCGCGGCUAACCCGGCCGCACCACCGGCUCCGGCCCGCCCUGCAGCCAUGCCGUGCCCAGCGCCAGCACAGCAGGCGGGGGGUUCGGGGACCCAGCCGGCGGCACAGUCGCGGCUGGUGGAGCGGGAGGCGGAGUGGCAGCGUGCAGCGGCGCAGCUGACCACCACGGCGGCGCAGCAUUUCCACAAUGGCGGCGGCGCUGCCCGCCUCCUGGCGGGAGGGCAUCAUCACCCUCAUCUACAAGGGCAAAAGCCUGGACCGCGCCGAGCUGGCGUCGUACCGGCCCAUCACGCUGCUCAACUGCGACUUCAAGAUGGUGUCCAAGGCUGUCAGCGCCCGCCUGCAGCCCGCCCUGGAUGCAGUUGUGGAUGAGCUGCAGACCGCGUUCAUCACCGGCCGCUGGAUUGGUGACAACGCGCUGUACCUCCAAGGCCUGAUCGAAUGGAUGCGCCUGGACGUGGGCGCGGACGGCACGCCACGGCAGGGUGGUGCGCUGUACUUCUUGGACAUAGAAAAGGCGUAUGACCGGGUGCACCGGCAGUGGCUGUAUGCGUCCGCGGAGGGACUUGGGUUUGGGCCGCGCAUGCUGCGCUGGAUCCGCCUGCUCACUGCCAACGGCUCUGCCCGCGUGUGUGUGAACGGGAUGCUCUCUGACGCCUUCCCAGUGCUGAACGGCUUGCCGCAGGGCAGCACCGCCUCACCACCCCUGUGGGUCAUCCAGAUGCAGCCACUGACGUCCUUUCUGCGGCGGCAGGUGGAGCAAGGGGCACUGCGCACGCCCCUGUUACCCAGCGGCGAGCAGGCGCCACCGGCUGCCCACCACGCUGACGACACGACCCUCACGGCGCGCGACCCGGCGGUGGACGGGCCGGUCCUGAUGGGGGCAGUACAGCUGUUCUGCCGCGCGUCCAACGCCCGUGUCCAUCCGGACAAGAGCAAGGCCAUGGGCCUUGGCAGGUUUGCGCACCUGACGGGCCCUUGCCCACACACGGGGGUGCCGUUUACCACUGGCGCCGUGACGCACCUGGGUGUGCCCCUGUCGUGGGACUCGGAUGCGGCUGCAGCUGACUUGUACACCCGGCGGGCUCGCGGCAUGGCGUUUGUGGCGCGUCUGUGGGCUGCCCUGUCUCUGACUCUUGUUGGCCGUGUGCACAUUGCGAAGCAGGUGCUGGCGGCGAAGCUGGCCUACCACUUCAGCUUCCUCAACCCGUCGCCUGCGCAGCUGAAGGAACUCACCGACCUGGUGGACCACUUUGCUGCGCGCUCCAUGCACGCUGAGGACGCCAGCCUGGUGUCGCACGGGAACCCGCUCCCAUUUUUUGUUUGAGGAAUCAUCCUUACAAGGUUGAACAGGGGCAGACGCGCUCCUGCUGCCAAAGCGGGAAACGGCCUGUCUGCCGUACAAGGAUGGGGGUGUCAACCACGUCGACCUGCCUGCGUUCCUGUCUGCCCUGCAAGCUAAGACCUUCGCCCUCCUUGCCCAGCCAGGCCGGCAACCCUGGAAGAUGCUCACCCGGGCGCUGCUUACUCAUGUGCGCCCGGACUCCGCCACCACGUGGGCGUGGGUGUACAGCGACACGCCGGCGCCAGCGGGGCUGCCUGCCCGGCUGGCGGCCGCGGUCGGCCACAUGCAGAGCGCGGGCGUGGAACAGCAUCCACCGCAGCCAGCCACUCAGCCGCCAGCGGCGCCGCCACAGUGGCGGGUUAGCCUGGACCAGCUGUGGGUGGCUAACGCUGCGGGGGCUGUGUCCUACGUCCACUACACGGGGCGGCUCUUGGAGGAACGUUUUUCACAUUAUAGAUACUAGAAAUGUAGCCAUACAUAUCUAGAGCUCGCCACAAGCGAUAUGGACGCGAACCAAGCUGGCAUGGUUGACGACCGGCGAAAGAGGAGGCGGAAGCGUGCAGCUGUUGCUGUACUGUUGUUGCUAACCCUCUGCAUGCCGUUUGCAGUUUGCCACUGGCCGCGAGCCCUGAGCGCGGUGGAAGUUGACCAGUUUGACCAUUCUCGGGCAGGCGCUCCCUGCUGCCAACUCUGUUGGCAACGAGGUCCAACUUGGCAAACUCUGGCAACCCACGCAGAAAAGCUCGGCUCGCUGUGCCUGGCACAAUCGACCCGCUGCCCUUGGCGAAACAAAAUGGCAGAGAUAGGGGAACCGACCCCUCGCCACACUGGCACUCUGACCAACUCCAUUACCGUGGAACCACCACGCAAAUGGACCCAGCCAGCAAUAGCGAGCUGGAUGGCAACGACCGAGCUCAGGACAUGCCUGAGCUCAGAGCCGCCCUGUCAAUGCGCACCCACGAGCAAAACCAGCAACAACCUCCAUUUUGAGCUCGCUGCCCAGAGCACUUGGGGAAACAGUAGAGCAGAGCAGGGACGCGUCGAGAUUCAGCAUCCCGGCUUGCUCUGCACGAAAUCAGGUCCACUCGAUGAGCACUAUAAGAAUAACACUCUCAACACCUUCCCUGCCAUCACGCUGGGCAAUCUUGGCGAAGUAAGCUGGGACAUCGCGGCAGAGCAAGCCGAGAGUAAACAGCAACACAAGCCAAGCAUAAACAGCAGCACAGCAAUUAGUAUGGCGUUUGUUCUAUUGUGGACUCUCAGCUACAUGCUCGCUCGCGGGUGCGCCCGCCAACCACCACCAACACCGAUGCUCGCCACACCGAACAGACACGCCGGCAGCAAGAGCACACGCCUCAAAUCAGCCGCCCCUGUUGUCAGAGCAAUGCACCUACACGACAGACAGCACGACAACCGCUCCUGUCUCAUUCACGCAAUUAACAACCUGCUUGGAAAACGCCUCCUCACGCCCGCCAUUAUACAUGCCGAAUGGGAACGGGUGUGUCAGCUCCUCCACCGUGAAUCCCCGGCCUCCGUGCCUACAUGGGCGACGUACCUAACGGCCAACAGUAUAGAUUAUGGCCUUCUCAAUCACUGCCUCAAAGUCACCACCUGCUCCCCCCUGCCAGCCAUCCCCCACGUACAGCUCACGGCAUGCUCCUUCCCUGGCGGCCUACCCCAACAUGACGCACUCAAUGCCCUCCCCUCUGAAUCCCGCCACAUUGGCUUUAUCCUUAUCCAAGGUGGCCACGCCCGAACCGUGAAACAUGCAAACAGCCGCUGGUGGUUGCAUGACUCCAACGCACCACGCGCCAUUCCCCUCACGAAUGCCGACACGGUGCAACCUGGAUACUACCGAUGGACGGACCUAGGGCGCGGCCUUGCCCUAACCCUCACCUACCAACGGCACCCUGAAAUCUCCACCGAUUUCAACAUCCGGGACAUCCCGACAAUCAAGCCCCCCACCACCCGCAUCACACUCUCACACGAGGGCAUCCGCCUCACCCCUGUUCGCACCGCCACCAGCACCCGCCCGCAGGCAGGCACCAAACGCAAACACGACCCAGAUGGCCACACCGUUGGGCAACCCACUGCAACUACAACCAACCCCUUGCCCGCAGCCCUCCCGCAUAACCCCUCUACUACCCCCGCCGCUGCCCCCAAUGCUGCCCCCGUUACGACCAAACCACCGCCAGGCCCACCUACAAUUGCUCCUGGUCCCGCUACACAGACCAACACAACCGCACGCGCCAAGCCCAAACCAGCGGGUCCCACAAAACGCCCCGCUAGGCGUACACAUAACCCCCUGCCGAAACUACGCAAGCUCAGCACAGGCGCCCCCAGUGCACCACCACCAGCCAAGAAGCCCCAACAGAUCACCAUAGCAAUGGCGCACAAGAGGAAACACGAGGCCACACUCCAAACCACACCCAGCGAGCCCGCAACCGGCCAAGCCCAGACCAGCCCCUCCCAACCCCCUGACGGGCGCAUCUCUGUCCUCACCCUCAACACCAGGGAACUGUUGAGCCACCAUGAAAGCAUCCUCCACACGGUCACCACACACACCCCGGACAUCCUCUUCCUCACAGAAACCAAAAUUCCCACCCGCCUCCACUACAGUAUGGGCAGUGCGAAAAAGGGCCUCUCCUCGCACUACCAAACCUACACCAGCAACGCACCCUACAACCCACGAGAGGGAACCCGCCCACAUGCCGGCGUCAUGGUCGGUGUCACCCACCGCUUUAGCCGCCCGUCUGGCACAACGGACAUGAAUGCCCACAACACAGACGCACGCUUGGCAGGCCACGUCUGCCACAUACGCAUUGCGCCACCCCAGAGCACGCCAGUACACGCCAUCGGCAUAUACGCCCCCAGCGAUGACACCACCCGCGCUGCAAUCUACAAAUACUGCACUGACCAAGCGGCCAAAACGACAGCCGCUAAAGAACAUCUCCUUAUGGGAGGCGACUGGAACGCAGUGCUGUUCCCCUCUGACCGCAGCACGGGCGAGCUGAACGCUACGGACCGCGCCCACAUUGCCUUCACCACCUCGGCGGGCCUGCACCCACUCACACUGCGCACACACGAACACCCCCGGCCCCACACGUACCUACAAGAUCAAGCCACGGCACCACACAUGAGCCGCAUUGACGACCUACUAGUAAGCCACCACACACACGCCACCAUCACUACAACAGGAGGUGGACAGGAAGCAGUGCAUGAAUGCGGUGAUGCCCUCGACCACCGUGCCCUCCUCUCCAGCGUCCCCCUCGCUGCCCUCCGCCUCUACCCCUUCCCCACGGCACCUGCCGCCCCCUCCGACCCUGACGCAUGGGUAAACUACCAUCCACCAACCAAAGACCAACGCGAGAAAGCGCGCAUCAAGAUGGAGGAAACAAUUGGACAAGAGAUCGCCGACCUACUGAACACGCUACACCCCGCACACCUCGCCAUCACCAACAAGCUAUACCCUGCCGGCCUCACCCCCGCCCAAGCCGAACGGAACACCCCAAGCCCUGCGGAGUUCCGUGCCCUCCCCGAAGUUAGUGCUGCCGACACCACGUCCAUCAGCAACACACUCGAAACCAUUCUCCAAAAGUGCCUGGACGUUCUCAAAACCUACUGCGACAAGAAACCUCCACGUGCCAGCACUACAAGCCCACGACGCCACACGUCCAAAACCGUGACACGCCUCCUGAAUGCCACCCGCCAACUCAAAGAAAAACUCACGGCCGCCCUUACUGUUACAAACGCAGCGGGCGCCAUCCCACCCACCGCCACGCCUCACCCCACCCCGACGCCCCCGCCCAACACCACCAGCCCCACACCUGCCCCGGCCCCCGCAGACGAGGACACACCCACCGCCAUCAGGAGUCAGCUACUCAACGCACGCACCCUCCUUCGCACCGCAAAAAAGGAAGCAAGAAAACUCAAUACCAAACGUACAGCCCGCGCCUUCCGACGACUGGUUGCAACACAGCCAAAGCGUGCACACCAGAAGAUCUUUGAUGAGACGGACCAGCCACGUGGCACGCCCGCCCUCACUGACCCCAUCACCAAAGAAGUCCACACCAAGCCCGAAAAAAUUCUAAACAGCAUCCACCAGCACUUCACCGCCCAACUCCUACCCAUCAACGGCCCCCGCACAGGACAAUACAACAUACCCGACAGCGCGAAACAGUACCCCUGGAGCCGGCCCGACGCACCCGACCGAAUGCCGGCCCUAUCUAAGCCAACCGACGCACCCGCCACCUUACUGCCAGGUAUUGCUGACAGCACCACAUUCUUUGGCUGCGUCAACCACCUGUCUCGCCGCAAGGCCCCGGGACCCGACGUAAUACCGAACGAACUACUCCAGACAAUACCCACCAGCCUACAAACAGCCAUACACCAACUCAUGACUCUCAUGUGGGUAAAAGCGCACAUCCCUACACACUGGACACAGUCCGACACCGUCCUCUUACCCAAAAAAGGAGACCCCCUGCUGAUACAGAAUAAGCGGCCCAUCGCGCUGGCGAACACCCUCUACAAGCUGUAUACCUCCCUCAUCACUGUGAAUGCCGCCCUGUUUAGCGAACAAGCCCACAUCUUCACGGAGUCACAAGAAGGCUUUCUCAGAGGCCGCAAUACCGAACGGCAAGUCCAAAAUCUACUCCACGCCAUAGAAGACGCCGCCACCACCGGACGCGACCUCUUCCUACUGUACAUUGAUUUUACCUCCGCAUUCAACACGAUAGACCACGACAAACUGCUCAUUGUCAUGCACGACCUAGGCUACCCCACCGAUCUGAUUGAGGUGGUACGGGACCUAUACGGCAAGGCAGCCACCAGCGUGCGCACUGAACAUGGAACCACACCCCCUAUCCCUAUCCAACGCGGCACGGUACAGGGCGAUGUCCUGUCACCACUACUGUUCAUCAUCUUUAUUGAACCGUUGCUCCGGUGGCUCCAUGUUGGCGGGCGCGGAUACCAAUACGGAUGUCUCACCAAAGCCGAGAAUGAUAAACACAGCCUCAGCUCAGGCGCCUUCGCCGAUGACUUAGUCACCGCCACAACCCAAAUCUCAAACCUACGAAUCCAAGUUGAAAAAAUUGAGAAAUACGCAGCAUGGGGCGGCCUCAAAGUCAACGUCUCCAAAUGCCAACUACAAGGCAUACUCCACGGCCGCGCCCGCGCCGAUCCCACCCUCGGUGGCCCCCGCAGCAAGCCCCACCAGGCAGCGCUCGCCAGAAUGCUUGAAGGCCAAAUCCGCAUAGAUGGCACCGCUAUCCCAUACAAGCCCCCCCAUGAAUCCUACAAAUACCUUGGCAUCCACAUCACCCCUACCCUAGACUGGAGUGCACAAGUGCAGUACAUCCGGGAAAAAAUUAAGAAGCGAGGGCAACGCAUCGCCACAUCACUCGCCACACCGGACCAGAAACUCCGGAUGAUACAAUUCACCAUCCACCCAGCAGUGGCCUACAGCCUCCCAUUCAUGCCGUACAGCACACACGACGUGGCCAGCCUCGAUGCGCUCAUUGCAAGCACUGCAAAGAUGUGCUACGGCCUGAAACGCGGCUUCCCCACCCGCGCUAUCCUCCAGCCCACUAACACCCUUGGCCUGGGGGUAGGUAGCAUCCGCGAGCUAUAUGUCCGCCGCGCAGGCAAGGCCCUCGUCCAGGCCUUAAACGAUGGGGGCAGACUGGGUGCCGUCACCCGCGCCAUGCUCCACCUGCAACACAGUGUGGCACAGAGAGUGCCCGCAGAUCAACUCCACACGCAGUGCCGCUUUUAAUAAUAAUAAUAAUAUCUACGCAGGGCACAGGUACCCGCGUGUCUUAAGGAGGAGUGAGACAAGCUCACCCCACCAUCGGAAAACUUGAUUUCCCUACCCCGGCUCCCCUGCGCGGGGGCCGCCAUUGGCGGUCCCCUGGGUGCGGCCUCCCGGGCGGCAUCGGGUGUUGACAAUGCCCAUCUCUCGCUCUAGUCGGUAGUACAGGUUUGCGGUGCCCCGGAGUGUGGUGACGCUAUGCAUGUGGAGACGUGUGCAGCAGGCCUUGGCUGCCUGCGGUUUGGCUCCUAGGUCUUUGAGGAGAGUUUCAAGGGUACGGGGGACAGUGCCACCGUGGCCCAGUGUAAUAACGUGUUUAGUAUCGUAGUGCACAGUCCACCCUGCAGCUCGCAUGGCAGUGGCAAGGGUGGCGUGCUGUGCUUGUUUUUGAAUGAGCUUCUCGCUGUGGUGCAGGUCAGAGGUGUAUCCAACUUCAAGGAUGUACACUGGGUAGGCCCCUUUGUUGGCUGGUGGGGAUGUCAUGAAGCGUUCUGCUUCGGACCGGGGAAGGUUCGGGAUAAACAGAAUGUCAGGCCGCAUCCUGUUGAGGUCUGCAGCGGGCACUUGCGGGCAGAGCCAGGACGGCGGCCGCAUGCCCGCACAGUACUCAGGCAGUUCAGCUCGGGAGGUGGCAUCCAUUAUCAUGUAGCCACCACCGUUGUGACCAUGAUGUAGGCAUUCGGCAAUUGUCCGCACUGCAGUGUUGUGUUUGGCUAUCCUAGCGCCAACGAGUAGGGGGUGCGCGCAGUGGCCGGCAAGGUGACCUGCGGUGCCACGCUCUGGGUCAGAUCCGCGGCUGCGCUGGGUGUGGGCACAGAGACCACAUUUGUCGCUGUCUCGUAGUUUAAACAAAGCCAGCCGUGCCGGGCAGAUGAGGCCUCCCUGACGAGCAUUCUGUAUGAACCGGCGUAGGCCGUGGCUGGCGUCCGAGUUCGUCAUGUACGCGUUACUGGCGCGUGGGUCAAGGCUGGGUGCUGCCUCGGCCCAUUUUUCAGUGUACAGGGUUUUGUUGGCGUAUCCACCACGGCAGCUGGGGGCCAUUGCCCUGGUGAGGCCCCGGUUUAGGUCCGACACGUAGUGCGUGGCUGUGCUAUCGUCGUCUCUGGUGACCGUGAAGGUCGGCCACCAGUGCCGGGCGUGCGGGUCGUUGUCGGCCGGUUCGGAUACAUCGGCGGGUUUUUCCUGGGUGGCGACGGCAGCCGCCCCUUUAUCGGCUUCCUCGUUGCCGUGUAGCCCGGUGUGCGAGAUCACUUUAAUCAGAGCGGUGGGUGCGCCCCGGGCGUGGCGUGCAUGGAGCAAUGCCACGACUGAAUCCAGGAGGUCCCGAUGUUUACUCAGAUGCAGUCGCCGAGGCUCGUUAAUUGCUCGUUUGAUUAGGUACAAGCUUGCAACAGAAUCUGAUGCAAUAGUGAGCUUCUUAUUUGCAAAUUCUUUACCCUCGCCACCAAAUUCUGCGAGCGCAGCACGAAUUGCUGCCAGUUCAGCUCUCGUAAUAGUGUUUGUGCACCCAGCGCCAUUUGGAUUCACGUAGACAACGCGAGAAUCGCUGAACCAGGCGCAGGCGCCGGCAACCUGGACUUCUUUGCCGUUGUCAGUUUUGAUUUUGCUUACCGAACCAUCUGUCCAGACAGUGCCAUUCACGUCGUGGGCCAGAGCAUGGUGGGUCUGGAAUCGCGCGUUAGGAAAGCGUCGUGUUUCUUCAGCCAUGGCGUGUAUCGUCUUUGGGUUAGCGUGCUGGUAUUUGGCUUGCUUUAGAAGUGAGUUUGGGAGGGCCGGGCAGGUUGGGGCCGUGGCCGUGUGUGUCCACGUGCGCGGGUCGCUGAUGUGCGUGGGUGCGUUCGCCCCCCGUUUCAGUGUGUCCACGAGCCGUUUCAGGCGGGGGGCAAAGCACUGGAGACCGGCGGGGUUCCCAACAAUGACCAGUCGGAGCCCCUUCUGGCGUUCAGCCCGGGUGUCGGUGCCAAGUCCUGUGUCAAGGCCCGCGGUGCCCGCGGACCAGUUGGCCAGCUCGUGGCAAAGUGGGUGUUGAAGCCACUGCGUGUGGGGGAAAGUGGCCGCUUUGGGAAGCGCCAAUACAGUAAGGGUUGGUUCCUGCGAGUCACGCAUAGCCUCGGCGCAUGCGAGGGCCCACAUGAGCGCCUUCCGUGCAUCGUGGGGGGUAGAGGGGGGGUGGGCAUAUUGCAAGCCGGUCCAUGCGGUCUGGUAGGCAUCGUGCAGUGCGCCAAAGGCCCCAUCAGCAGGGUCUCGUGUCCAGUAUUCGUGGGCUGCAGUGGAGGAGUUUAGUGGGGACGCAAACAUUUCCCGAAUGUGUACUGCUUGUGUGACCCGCAGGCAUUGGACAAUGGCUGCUACUGUACCUGCCGGCAGCGACACCUGGUGCAUUGGCAUGGCCUUGCGGUCCUGCUGCGCCGGGUCAUAGCGGUAGCGCAUGAUGAGGGCAGCGACCGCUUCCUCAAAGGCGUUGGGCCGCUGGUUGCCGGUGUGCCUGAAGCGCUCCCACAGGGUAAGGAGGCGGGGGUAGGUGAUGGUGCCCAGCCAGCGGCCACUGGGGUCAUGGACGUGCGCCUCAGCUGGGUCACGGCGGGUGCCACCAGUGGUGGUAAUUGUGUAUGCUCCGGGGGCCACGAUGUCCUUGUAGGGGUUGCACGGGCUUGUGGUGAUGGUGGUGGUCGUGCGGAUGUCACGCGCGCGGGAUGCGGUAUCCAGGGGCUCGGCGUCGUGGCGGCCUUGGCGCUGUCUGGCGCUAAGGUUCCGAUCAGGUGCGGGGCGCACUGUUCGGGGCCGCGGGCCUUGGUUGGUACCGUUUGCUAGCCGGGUUUUGCACUCCUCCAGUAACUCCUCCCAUUGUGGGCUGUGUUUUAGGUCCCGUUCGCGGUCCGUGCUCGGCGCCCACGUGACAUGUCGCAGGAGUCUGGUCGUCCAGGACGAGAAUAGGGGGGCCCCAGUGGGCUGCGGUGCUGCCGGCUCUGCAACUGGGGCAGGCUCUUCAGGUGAGAUUGCGUGGGCUUGGGUUUCAGCCGGAGGCUCAGCCUCGGUCUGCGCAGGUUGUGGGCCUGGGCGCGUCGCAAGAGGGUGCUUGUAGCACCUGGCAUUCUGGAUAGUUGCGUAGCCCAUGCGAACAAAAGCAGAGACAAUGCCGGCCGGGCAAAUGGACGGCUUCCACUGCACCUUCCAGUAUUUCUCACGUGUCCCAGAGGUGUCCUCCCUGGCUUUGCGCUUCCGUGUCAGUUCUUUGUCCGUGACAGUUUGUUUGUUUUCGCUGUGCAGGACCUGCGCCAGUUCCUGUCCGUCAUUGUCCAGGUCGUAGGUGAGUUGAGUGUCACCGUUAGUGCGGUUGUCGGCGGGCCGUGGGACUAGAUCGUGUGUGAUCCUUGCGCGGGCCAGUCGCCAGCUGGGACGGGCCCCGUGGCCUCCCGCAGCUUGCGCUGCCGGGGCGGUCAGGGGCGGCGUCGGGCCGUCGACGUCCAUGGGGUCGUUGUGCGCGGCAGCCUGGUUGAUUUCCAUAGGCAAUCCUGUGUUGUUCAGGUACUCGUUUAUGGCGUUGGGUUCGGGGUUGGCAGCAUUAGCCGUGAGGCGGGUUGUGAGGGCGGGUGGUAGCCCACGGCGCUGUUGGCGUGGUUCGACAGCAUGUGCAAAAGAUGGUGGGUCUUGGGGGUGUGGGUGGCAGAUCCGCACGUGUCCUGUCAUGUCUUUGGCGAGCGCCUGGAAUACCGAGCAUGCCGUUUUGUACCCCCGCGUGCCCACCGGCAGGCUCUCAUCGCCGUUGGUGAGCCGCAGGGCAUGGUUGAUGGCGGCGCGGUCCCCGGUGAGUAGGUCCUCAGGGGUAGUGCGUGUAGUUUCUGCAAUGCGUGCGCGUUGCGCUGCAUGUUUUGUAACGCGCCGUGCGCGUGUUUGGUUCUGUGGUGGCCGGCGUGUUGUAGCCGGCUUGCGGGCUCUGGCCGGUGGCCGUAGGGAGGGUUGCGUUGCCCCAUCAGCGGGGACUUCCGGUGCAGCAGCACCGUGUGCGCCGGGGUGGGCCUGGGCCGCCCCUGCUGGGGAGGGGGGGGCUAGGUCGGCGGGGGCUUGCGUGGUGUUUGCUUGGGCGGGGGGCGCCUCCGGGAGGGGCUGCAGGUACCGGUCGAGGGGGUUGGCCAUUCCGAGAGGGAGGGGGUCCGCCCUCAUGGCUAAGGCCACGAUUGCGGCCACGUCAGGCAGUGCACGCUGUGCGGUGGUCAGGGGGGCAGGGCUGCCGUGGGCUGGGGCGUUUUCCCCUGCACGUGCAGCCAUACUGAGAGCAAGGCUAAGCCUGUUCAGGGCUACCUUGUGCUUGUGUCGGACCCGGCUCGCUCCCAUGUGCUUCUCGAGGUCCGAGCUAGUAAUCAGGUGUUUGCCUGUGUUGCGGUCCACCAGGUGGCUCAGUUCGAGCCUCAGGUCCGCAAGAGGGAGGACGUAUUCGAUGGGGAGAGGUUCGACGCCCCGGGCCUCAGCUUCUGCCUCAAGGGCAGCGGCAAUGGACCAGGUAGGCGCAGUAAAGGCAGACCCAUUUUGGUACAGUGUGACACCGUACUCUUUUGCCAGGGUCAUCUGUUUCAGCGUCGUAAGGUGGUGUGACCUAUGGGCUGGGAGAAGGUGGGCCUGUGUGGGGCCAGCUAUGCUUGCCUGGCGCGGCAGAAGGGCUCGGGUUACUAUCCCAAGACGGCCCGAGUCAUUUAGGGCAAGGACCAGGGCCCGCUGGGCCACGCGCGCGUAUUGCGGCAGGAGGGAGCCCAGGCCCAAGCCGUAUUCGUCGGCGGGCAGGAGGGAGGUCCGGGUGGGGAAGCUGCGGGGGAGUCCGUAGCAGCGCUUUGCAAAACCAGCCAGGGUAGUGUCGAGCGUUGUUAUGUCAUGUUUUGUGAAGGGCAUUGCUGCGAAUCCAUAUGCAACUGUGGUGUGCACGCACUGUUGUAUCAUGCGCAGGCGUUGUGCCGGUGUCGCCAGGGAUGUGGCAAUGGCUGUGCCCUUGUCCUUCACAAUCUCGGUCACUCUUGCGACAUGUGCCGACCAGUCCAGCGAGAACGUGAGCUGCACUCCCAGGUACUUGUACGGCUGGGUCGGGGGGAAGUACGGGACAGGGGUCGUGCCAAUCUUAAUUGUGUUGGUCAUGUUGCGGCGCAUGGCGGCGAGGGUAGCUUUUCCUGUGGGCCCGUCAAGGUUGGGGUCCGAGCGGGAUUUGUCGUGCCAGAUGGCGGUGGUGGCACACUUGGUGUGAUUGACACGCAGGCUCGCCCACUCGGCGUAAGAUGCGAUUUUGUCACAUUGAACCUGCAGGUCGUCGAGCGAAUUGGUGAGCGCCGCCAGGUCGUCUGCGUACACGGCGGCACUGCAAUGGUAUUGCAGGUUUUCGCUGGGGGUCAGGCAGCCGUAGUGGUAGCCCCGUCCGCCCGCAUGGAGCCAGCGGACAAGAGGUUCCAUGAACAGAAUAAAGAGCACAGGUGAGAGUGUAUCCCCUUGCACGGUGCCUCGCUCUAUAGGAAUGGCGGAUGUGCUUCCGUGUUCGGUGCGGAUGCGGGUGGUCGCGUGUGCAUAUAGGUUGCGGACUGCGCGGAUCAGGUCCGUUGGCAGCCCAAGGUCAUACAUUAUUUGUAGUAAUCGGUCCUGGUCGAUUGUGUUAAACGCGGAGCUAUAGUCCACGUAUACCGCAUAGACAUCUUUUCCAUACAGUGCGGCAUCCUCAAGGGCAUGUACCAAAUUUAGGACCUGCCUUUCGGUGUUGCAGUAGGCACGGAAGCCUUCCUGCGCUUCACUGAAUAGCUGGAGGGGGCCAGCCAGUUCGCCAAUGCCCAAGGUAAGCAUGGACGUGUACAGCUUGUAGCAGGUAUUUGCGAGCGCAAUGGGCCGUUUGUUUUUUAUGUCCAGGGCGUCUCCAGGUUUGGGGAGUAGCACGGUCUCCGAUGCGGCCCAGGUUUCAGGUAUUUGUGACUUGACGUACAUGAUUUGCAGGAUACAGUGGAGGUUGCGCUUCAUGCCCGAUGGCAGGAUACGGAGCAGUUCGUUUGGUAUGCCGUCAGGGCCUGUCGCCUUGUUUCUGGAGAGGUGAGAAAUGCACUGCUCAAAGUUUGCCGUGUCUGCCAUGCUGGGGAGCAUGGAGUGUGUGUCAGGGUGCCGGUUGCGGUCCAGUGUGAAUUGAUCUGUUGCGUCGGCUUUCUCAAAUGGGUAGCCGCGUGUGGCGUUGCUGGGUAGUCGGAAGUCCCCAGUGCGGGUGCCGCGUGGUGGGGCGGACAGCUUUCGGAAGUGGGUUUCGAGUAUGGCGAGGAUGCUGGUGGAGUCAGUCGUCACCUCCCCAGUUUCCGGGUUCCGGACCGCUGGGAGACCCCGUUCCAUGUCUUCCUUCUGAAAGAUUCUCUUGUGCCCCUGUGCAGGGCGCGUGGCCAGGGUAUGUUGCAGCGCUGUGGCAGCGGCCUCUCGCUGGGCUUUGGCGCGGUCCGCCACUAGCUGGCGGUGCUCGGCCUGGCAGGCCUUUAUUUCGUUGCGCAGCUUUGCUGCUGCAUUGGCGGCGUCUACCUCAGGUAGGGCCUGGGGCCCUUGCGUGAGGUUUGUCAGUUGUGUCUUCAGGGCCACUUCCUUGUCCCAUAGGGGCUUUAGCACCCGUGCGGUGGAGCGUGAUGCGUGGUGUUUGCCAGUGAAGGGGGCUUUCCGGGUGCACUCUUCAAGGAGGCAUGUUAGCCCGGUGUCCAGUGCGGAGGCAAGUUGUUCUGCAAGUUGGUUGAUAUCGGCCUUCUGGAUGCUCGUGUCCUGCGCCAGGUCUCGGUGCAUGACGCUGGCGGGGUAGCCUGUGGGGUCCAUGCUGUGCCUUGUGAGUGCAUGUUCAAUUGAUUGCGUUGCCUGCCUUGUUGCGGAAUGCAGGUCGGCUGUUGCUUCCACCAAGGCUUCCUCAAGGCGGAUAGCUGCGGCGGCCAGUUGCUUUUGUGUGACGGGCAGGGCGACCUCGGCCCAUCGUUGUUGGGUCUGCUGCUGGGGGGCUGGGUUCCGGGCGCCGGCCUGUGGUGCCGGCCAUAGCUGCAGGUCCGCGGCUAGUAACUCUGCGUGGACUGGUUUGUGGUCAAAGUUGCCUGCAACUGUACUGGUGUAUUCACGCGCUUCUGUGCAUGCAGCGCGCGUGGCAGGGCAUAGGAGGAUGUCAUCAAUGCGACUGUGAUAUGGGGCCAUGCCCGGGCGUGUUUGUUCAUAUGACCAUUCGGCAGUGGUAGUGGUGUCUCCGCGGAUAGGGCGCAGGCCACUAUCGGCAAGGAACCGCUGGUGGGCCCGGUCCGCCGUGUCGAUGGGGCUGUCCCGCUCAUGUGCUCGGGCGACGGCAUUAAAGUCUCCCGCGGUGACUAGGUGGUGUCCGCACGCGUCCGCCCGGCCUACCACCUGCUGACAGUAUGUGUAGAUUGCCUUGCGGGUUUGCAUGUCCUCUGGUGCGUAGAUGCCCAGUACAGUGAGAGGCGUGCUCCCGGGGGUCUUGAUUUGAACGUGUGACACAUAGCCAUGGAGUGUUGGUGGGGGCGUGUGGUGUGUGACACAGCCGAGGUCACUGUACCGGGCGGAGAUGGCCACCGCUACACCAGCGCUACCGCGCGCUGUGGCCACGCGGGGAGUAGUGCUACAGUAGAGGCGGUAUCCUUCAUUUCGGAAGGCUCGCUUGAUAGAGUCAGUCUUCCCUGUCAGUUUUGUCUCGGUUAGGACAACUAUGUCGGCUUUCCACUGGGCUAGGUUGCAGAGGGUGAAGCUGAGGUUGCCGGGUUGGCCGGUGGACAAAAUUUCUGAGAGCAGUCCCCGUACAUUGUGGGUCACGAUGUGUAGGGUGGUGUUGCCGCUGGGGGGUCGCGUGUUUGUGUGUGCCUGGUUGGGUUCCAUGUGGGCAUGGGUGCGUGCAGUGGGCCGUACUAGCCAGUUAAGGAUAGUUUGUCGGGUGCCUGUCGUGUUGAGUCGGGGUGCUAUGCCAGCAUUUGCAUUGUGUGGCUGCGCGGGUGCGGUAGUGUGGGGUGCUGCAUGCUGUGGCGCCCUGUGUGCUGCCCGCAGCGGUGAGUUGUCUUGGGCAUUUUGAGCUGGCUCUGGUGCCGGCCUUCCUGUGGCGGCGGGCCCUGUCUGCACGGGUCUGGUGGCCUCCAUGUGGGGUGGCGGGCGUGGUGGCGGGACGAUCUCACGGAGUUGCCCAAGUGCGUCCUGAAGUGUUGCCGUGUCAGAUGCACGCACCGCGUCAAGGCACCAGACCUCCCCAUCGAGUGUGUUCCAAGUGUUGUCGUGUAAGACCGUGUUGUGGAUAGGGCUGUUCACCGAGUCUAUUACUCUCCAUUGUCCUGCUUCGUAACGCACAGCAAUUGUGUGUCGCACAGUGUAUUGGUGGACGGUAAAGCCGCGAGUUCGGGCGGCUACCGGAAGAUUCUCUAGGACCUUUUCUUUGCUGAUGUCGCCAUCGAGUCGCGGAAAGUGGGUUCGGCGCAUAGUCAGCUUCCUGUUGGGGUAGGCGAAUAUGUUGCUGAUGGUGGCAUUGUGGUACAGGUAGUGGUUCAGGAGAAGUUCGCUGAAGGCGCCACUGUUGGGGCAGUAGCAUUCUUUCCAGAACAGGGCAUUCGGGUCUUGCGUGGCUGUGAGGUGAGCGUGCACUCGUUUAGCGUAGGAGAGGACAUCUAGAGGGUCAAGCCAUGCGAGCCCCAAAGAGUUGUUGAGGGCGUGGACACUGCAGAAGUGUUGCCGUUGUGUUUCACGGUAUGUUGCAUUGGACCGGGGCGGCCAGUGCAGCGCGGCUGGUGGUUGGGUGUUCACUGCCGCAUGAAUGCGAGGGUCGGCGGGCGCCGGCGGGGCUGUCGGGCCUGUGGGCAGCGCACCUCGCAGUGUUGGCUUGACGUAGGGCACCGUGUGUGUCCGGUUUACUGCAUGUGUAAGCGUGAGGAGAGUGGUUGCCUGGCUAGCAGUAAGUAGGCCGGUGGCCAGUGCUGGCCCCCAGAGUGUCAGCUGUGCCGGUUGCACACUGCAGGGGUCCGGCAGUGUGAGGUACAGGUUUCGCAGGAUGAUGGCCAUGGCAGUUCCCCAGAGUAGGAGCUUCCGCCGGGCCCAGGUUGCAAAGGCUAUCUGCCGUGUCACUUGGACCACAUGUUUGAGGAGAGCUGGGAGACAGAGGACGGCAAGGAUGGAUGUCACUGUCAGUGCGAACAGGAGACCGAGGGCUGCGGGGAUGGCGGUUAUCCCGAGGGCAAGCGCUAUCACACACAGAGGGGAGAGAGCGAGAGUGGUGAGUGGGGGACCCCAUAGUAACAGGCUGAGGAUUGCACCGUUUGUGCAGAUUUCUGAGUUGACUGAGGCAGUGCGGGUUUUGGCAUGCAGGAGGUGGGUCCAGAGCAUAUACAUGGCCCCUGUCGCGGUGAUGAUUGUGAGGCUGACAAUGGCUUUGUCAAGUAUAGUGAGUAGGGCUUUGCCAGUCUGGGCAGCUGUUUGGUAGAUGGCGAGUCUAGACCGGGUAGCAAGGUGUGCGCCUACUCUGAUGGCAAUUGUAUGGCUGUGCAUCGCUGCCCGCACAUGCCCUGCUCCAGCCCAGUGGAAGUGGACGACGAGUGUAAGGUGCAGGCGAAGGAGUGGUGAACUUUCCCAGGGGGCGCUACAGUUAAGGGUCGGUUGCGGCCCGUAGGCUGUCUCAGCAGCAAGGUGCAGUGCUGUAGCACCAAGGCGUAGCACUGUUUGUCCGUGUCUACAUCCCAGCUCGCUCAGCACAUGCACACUUGUCCACAGGCAUUCUUUGAGCAGCCCAAUCAGCUUACGUACAUAUGAGCUAUGUAUACCGGCUUCUUUGCAUAGUUCCUUCACACUGGUUCUGCCUGCCUGUGCCACUUUCAAACUUGUGGAAAGGAGUCCCUCCCAUACCGGAUGCAAAACGUUUGGCGUCACAGUAGGGCGGUGUCCAGUAUCCGCCACAGGACACACACCUUCCGCUGCAGGCCGUUCCCUGCUGCAGGCAGCACAGCAUUCUAGUAUAUCUUUCACAACUGCAACAGCGUCCCCUACCACCACAUUAGCAGUCCCUCUAAGGGCUGUCACACAGGUGUAAUUAGGCGGUUGGCCACGCCACUUAGUUUCCGUUGUGGGCUGCAUUGGAGCUGCUGGGGCUGGCGCCGCUGUGGUUGGUGCCGGUGCGGCCGGCGGCGUCAGCUCCGUCGCCCGGGUCGGUGAGACGCAGGCGGCUGGCUGGGCGGCGGCUGCCAGGCGUGCCCUCGGGGUCCGGCCGUCCGGCCUGAGGCCGGGGCAGGGGGCAGCAGGGCAGGGCAGGGUAAGGCGGGUCAUAAGUUGGUGCGUUGGGAAGGGUUGGUAGCUGGCAUUGGCGCCCUGGUAGGUGGUUGGUUUCCAUGGCUGUAGUGGCUGGUGGGUGGGCGUCAGCCUUACCAUGCGGCCGUUGACCAUCUCCGUGUCGGGGUCCUUCGGGCUGUUGGAGUCGAAGGUCGGGUUGAUGCGCACGGCCGCAAAGGUCGGCGACAGGUCCAGCCGCCGUGUUAGGCCAGGGCCCUCGCCACGAGCCCGCAGUGCCGUGGGGUCGCUGAUGCCCGGGUACAGGAUGGGUGCCAGCUGCCCCCCCGCGGCCGGGUAGGUCGCCCGAGACCUGGCUUGCAGCUCGAGGCGCUGCUGCUCAAGGGCUGCCAUGCGUUGCUGCUGCACCCGUGCGGCCUCAGCCGCAGCGAGCACCUGCUCCUGCUGCUGGCGCUGCGCCUGCAGCUCAGCUUCCCGCUCUGCCCUUGCAGCUGCAAGGAUGGCGGCGGUCACGUGCUGCUGGUGCGCCAGUGCGGCUUCGGUGCCUGCGACCGCGCCAGCGGCCAUGCCCUGAGCCGGCUGCCCGCCAACCACGGCGCCGGCGGCCGCCGCGGCAGGCGGGCCCUGAAUUGGCUGUCCGCCGGCCGCAGCGUCUACUUCUGCUGCAUCUGCGGCAGCGGCCGGCAGUGGCGGUGCGUCCAUGUCCUCAUCUGGGUCCGUGUCCGAGUCGUCAUCAGAGCACCAGCCCGCGUCAACGUGGGUGGUUGGGCCUCGGCCCGGUGAUGGUGACGGGGCAAUGGUGUCGGGUUUGGCCGGCUGCACGCCCAGCAUCGCGCUGACAGCGGCGAUGUUCGCUGCCUUCUCGUCGCCGUCUGCUGGCUGGAGCGGGGGUUUGCCCGCCGCCAGGUUGCCUCCCACAGCAUAUGAGUCCGCCGACGUGCGCCAGGACUGGGGCAGCUUCACCAGGGGUGGGUUGUUGGUGAGGAUGCUGAGCGUGCCGGGUCCCAGCAGCUGCAUGGGCUUGGGCUGGAACCCCUCGUCGAUGAGGAGCGAGUGGGUCACCAAGGCCAAGCUGUAGCGGUCUGCGAACUGGAGCUGCAGGGAGGACUGCUCGUCAGGGCGGCGGAAGAUGAACUCGCUGCUGGCACCGGUGCUGAGCCUGCCGCCCAGCAGCGCGUAGUCCUGGCCAGUGGUGUUGCUGUGCCACACCAUGCCGGCAAACAGGUCGUGCUCACUGCUGACCGCGCGCAUGUUGUCGCCGUACGCGCUGUAGACGUGAAUUGGCUGCGGCUGGUUGGCGGUGCUGCUGCCCGCCUUGGCCAGGAGCCUGGGCAUGCGGCGCAGCCCUGUGCGCAGCCGAUGGGCCAGAGUCUGCAGCCCCUGCAUCAGCUGAGGCUCCGGCACCCCCUUCAGCUCCGUGAUUUUCUCAGCGCUGAUGACGAGUCGAAGGUCCUCCAGGCCCGACCGGGCGCGGCGGUCUGGGGCCGGGAAGCUGAUGCUGAUGAUCCGCUCCGGGCUGAACACCAUCAUGGACCCCACCGCCUGCGCCAGGGCGCGCUGGCGGUCGGAAGCAUAGCGGAAUUCCAGGCUGUUGGCCUGGGUACCGCUGCUGCUCCUGCCACUGGGCUCUGAGGCUGUGAGCAUGCCGUUGAGGGCCAGCACCGCCGCGUUCCGUCCAGCGGCAGCCAGGCCGAGGCUGGCAUCCGCCGCGGUGCCUGUGUUGUGAUGGGUGCGGAUUGAGUGGGUUGGGUAAGGUGAGCUGGUGUUAGUCAAUGCGGGUUGUUCUGGUGUAUGUUGCUGGCAACAUUCAUUCGAGUUGUGGAGGCAGGCACUGAGCCCCAGAUUGUGUGUUCCCGGGUUCUGUGGGUUCAUGUGUGCGGGCUCUCCAGGCUUACCGGACUGCAGGUAGUCGUGUACAAUGUCGUCCACGGCCGCACGCACUGACUCAGCUGCUGAGCCAGGCACCGAGCCGUGGAGCACGUGGACGUAGGCAGGCAGGCGGUAUGCCGUGUUCAGGCUGCCACUGUAGUGGCUGCUGAACGCAGGCACGCCAUACUCAAGGCGGACGCGGCGGCUGUCACUCUGCGAGUGGUAGUACAGCCCGCGUUGCGCUUGCCACGCUGACAGCUGUGCCAGCGCCAGCGUGCGCGCCGGCACACGCACCACCACAUUCACUUCCUCGAGCGAGCUGGAGCUGUCUCCCAUGAGCGAGAGUGCGGAGGUCUUGCCGAGCUGCAGCUUGCUGAUUGUAGCGCCGUGGCCUGAGAGGCUGAAGAAGGCGUGCACUUCAGUUCGAAGCGCAGCCUUGUUGUUGGGCAUGAUGCCGCCUGCUGCGUCGGCAAUUGGCGUAGGGCCAGGCACAGAGCCCCGGCCCGGGCCCCGGCCUGCGCUGUGGUGUGCGCCGCGUCCUGCGCCUCUGCCGCCGCCUGUUGCCUGUGACUGCGGGUGCUGGAGCGCGAGCUCGAAUUGGGCGUGGCUGGCCAUCGCCGCGCUGUAUUUGCCGCAAACCAGCUCCGUCUCCACCUUCAUGUCUAUUGAAGGCCCGAUGUUGGCUAGGUGGGACCAGUUGUGCAGCUGCUGCGUGAGGCGCGAGGCACUGGUGUUGGCCUUGCGCGGCCAUUGCCCCGCCAAGCUGAUCUCCUCGGAACUAGCGGCCGCCCUCGCCACCGGGGUGGCUCCUUCUUCCAGUACAUGGGCGUAUUUGCGUUCGAUGUCCGAGGGCGAUCCGGUGAAAAGAACGCUGGUGUUUCCAAGGCCUAGUCUGUCGGUGGCUUCUGUCCCGAUUAAUUGCUUUAGUUUCUUUAGAAUGAAGGAACGAUAUAUUUCAUGUAUCAUUGUUGUGUGGGGCCUAAAGCGGGCUCUAGGCGGUAGGUCUGCGCUUAAGUUCGGUGCGCCCUCCUUGCAUGUCCCCCAUUGCGUGUCGGUGCUGGUUGCAGAUUUCGUGCUGUGGACAUUUAAUACUAGAUAGCAUCCCUGGUGGCAGAAUAAGUUCGGUGUGAAGCUCGGGCACCAUAGUGUUUCUUUGACGCAGGCACUUUGAGUAUUCCCCUUCUGUUCCUGGCGAUAUGCAUUUGCGCCGGUGUGGCACAUGGUUAUGGGGACAUCACUUAGCAAUUCGGUCGCGUUCGCGUGCGGGCUUUGGGCCAAGAGGAGGCGAGAGCGCUCUGCGGUACUGUUGGCGAGCGGCUCUGAGGCAACUGGUAUGUGCUCGGAGCUUAUAAGCCCCUCAGUGUGCGGGUGCUUUGCAGCAGCUGGGCUUUGUGAGGGUCUCAUUUGCGACAUGCCGAGGGGCCCGGCGCCAGCACGCUUGCUGGCUGUGUAGCACGUUGUUUGCAGGAUACUGGCAUCAAGUAUGCCUUUCUGAGAGCAGCGAUGCGACGAUAGCGUCGUGUUCGCGGGGAAGCUGUAGCCAUGGGAAAUCCUCUCCCUCAGAGAGAGCUCGUUUACAUCCGUUCGAGACGGAUAUGCAGACCACACAUGGUCGUGGGGAGUUCGCUGGUUGCCUAAGUGCACGAAAGCACUGGCUUGCCGGGGCGGUCCCCAGUCAAACCAGCGUUCGGCCGCGGCAGGUCCAGCCCCUUUCCCAGCCGUGGUUGCGUUGGUUGUCAGCAUGCAGAGUGCAAAGCAUAGCAGAACACAGAUACCUGUGGUCUUUCGCUCCACCUUUCGCCGAGCAACCAUUUUCCACAUAUUUCCUAGCGACGAGCUUACAAGGGUUGGUACAGAGGUAUGGCUAAGCAUUAUAUUCGAGCGCGCGCCCUUGGUAAGGCAUUUGGUAGCUCAGUGCCGCUUUUACACCAACCUACGACAACUCUCGCUGAUCAAAGACGCGGGGCUGGAGCUGACCCAAAAGGGCAGCGCAUACCACACCACGCUCCACGGUCUGUCGGCCCUCCUUACACGCACCGCGCCGCCAGGCGCCGACACGGAACAGGCCCUACCCUUCCGAUUGAUUCAACCCCUCCUUGAACUCACCAGCGACUUCCGCGAGCUCCUCACUCCGGACCGCACCUGUGUUAUUGACGCCAACACAUUAAAAAACAAGUGGCCACGGGCCCACAGGCGGCACAGGAUAGCCCUUAACCGCCUUACUCUCGCACUCCACGCUGAAACCCGAGCCCGAGCCAAAACCCACAACAGCACCGCUCCCCUUACCGCUGCCCAACGCACUCUCCCAGACGGGCACACCUUUACCGGCCUCCACACGACCCACACCGCACCUACCGCCGUUGACUGGGGCACACUUAACCGCUUCCUUCGCCAGCGCGCCCCUGCCGCCGAACCGACCGCCCAUGCCGGAGGAACUGCCGCGGCCGCCACCACCGCUGUCACCACCGCCACCGCCGCCACGGCGGCAGAACAUGAGGACGCCCACAGCGAUGGCGAAAACCAGACACCUGCACAAACACGCCGGCCGGGCACACAGCAACGUAAGCGGGCCUGCAUUAAAAUGGUCAGAGAACCCGAAGGACGGGGAGCCCCGCCAGCCCACGCACCGAAAGCGUUCGACUGGGACCCCGCGCUUGACCCACUUACCGACGCACACUGCGCAGACCUGCUCGACAUCGCCCCCAGCCUCAUCGGCCGAUCCAAGCCCCCCAACCCCGAAUCACACCUCAGACACCUACUUCUGGGCCCCACGCCCCCAACCACUUUCACACACCGACACAAGCUCAACCAGGAGGAGCAAGACGCGUACCUGGCCGCCACGUCCGACACCUGGAAGCACUUCAGCGAAACCUACCGCACCAAAGCCCUCACCACCAACAACACCCUGUAUGGACACCAGGAGCGGGUGCAGCACGUAAUAGCCCGCACCACCAGCAAAGGUUCGCCUCACUACCGCGUCCAGUGGGAACCCACCGUCAUCACCCCCGGCUCCCUCACCCUCUACGCCCGGAACCGCUACCGCCCCAAACCCGGCGGCCUUACCUGGCUCCUUACCCCGGGUAAUGAACCUCGCGUCCUGGUGGAAUGGGAAGACCUGGAAGAACCCGCCGCUACCCUGGAGGCACAAGACAACAAACAGGACCUCCUGGACGCCCUGCACGCCCGCCUUGCUGUCCCCCCGGCCCCCCGCCCCCCGGCCCCCGCUAGCGACACACACCUAAACCCUGACCAGCGACAGGGCCGAUGGAUAGAUGCCAGCAACGACACCGCACGAGGGCAACGCACUCUGCGCCAAUUCGUCGACAUCAAUGUCGAGCCAUGCAACCCCAGCCGAGACAUCCGCCCCACACAAACAUACACCAUCCAGCUCGGUAUCCUCCCCGACCCUGGCUCCACGGCACACAGCACUCACAUGGCGCAUGUAUACGACCCCCGCGGACGGUGCAUAGGCACCAUCAGAGCCGAGCGGCUUAACCUCCUCUGGCAACGCUACCAGCAUGCACAAACAACCUGGCCCGAAGCGCACGCCAAAUACGACCAGGGCAGAGGCUUUGCGGCGGCCAUCGCCCGCCUGCUCCUCCGAUACAAACCCGGGGGCGGCUCCAAAUCCCACCCUGUCACCGAAAAAGGGGAACGCAUUCUGUGCGACGGAUUGACACAAACCCUGCACACAGCAAUAGGCAGCACAACAGAGCUCUUCGCAUCACCCCUAAACGUCUCGGAAGCCGCCACCACCUACUACACACUGUAUGAAGAAGACAUGCUCUUUGGGGCCAACUAUGACGCGUACUCCCAGCCAUGGGAUGGAAUUGCUGUCGCCUACCCCGAACCCAACACCGAAGACGGAGCUCACGCGGUACGAUGGGCACUGGCAUGGGCCGAACACACCGAAACCCUUACAAACACCCGCAACCCGCCAACCACUGCCACGCUGAUCAUCCUCCCCACCCAACGCAACGCGCCAUACACACGAUACCUCGCCCACCCCAGAGUCACACUCCUUGGCAGCAUCUCCGCCACAGCAACACACGCCCUUCUCGGCCAGAUCCACAACGACGCAGGCAUCACCUUAAAACACGACCUGGUGCUGGUCAGCAAUACACCCGGAGCCCGACUUGCCCAGUCCAUACGCGACGACCUAGGCACGUCUCUAUACCUCUCAGGCAUGCCCGUCGAACCGCAGCCCCAACUCACCUGGGCCCACACACGGUGGGUAACCAAACAGGUCCGCCGGAUGACCCGCACCCGCCCGGCAGCCCCCCGAGUAACACCCCCUCCCGUACCGGCCACGCCAGCCACCCUGGCCCCGUUCGCGGCCACCCAACCCCUACGCCUCAAUCCCUGCGAAGGCUUCUACACCGAUGGCUCAGUACAGAAAGACGCCCUUGGUCAGCCCAGCGCGUGGGGGGCCGCAGCGAUCGAUGCCCGCACGUCCCAAACGUAUCAGAUCGACGUCAACCCUGGACAACACGGCUGCAACACCAUAACAAGAUGCGAGCUCUCGGCCAUACACCAAGUGCUCAAGCUCGACGAAGUGCAAGCGCUCCCCGAAAUCACAGUUUACACCGACUCCGCUGCGUCGCUAUUCCUCAUCCGCAAAACAAUCAACCAGCCCCAACUCCUUACCUUCAGCAAACACAAAGCGCUGCUGGAUAACAUCCUCGCGCUCCUGAAACGCCGCUCCCACGCCGGCCGAAGGACAAACCUCCUCAAGGUCAAAGCACAUUCAGGGAUUACGUACAAUGAACUCGCAGAUCAGGCGGCGGUGAAAACCGCCAAGGGAGAAGAGAUGCCCGGGGCCGAGUGGCUGGUCGAGGAGUCCGAUAACGACCCGCGUAGUAAAUACUACUGGAUACGUAAAACUAUCAAACCGACUGUGGAAGGGGUGCCACGAGAGAAGAACGAAGGACACUACGCGCAUGACCUCAACCGCGGCAUCGCCACGCUCGCAGCCCCGCACAUCGCCCAAGGCCACACCCGCGAAACCCUCUACACUGGUUUCGUAGCCAACGCCAUCCCAGACCUGGAUAUCAAAUCCAGCACCCGAACCCUGAACCUGCAAUCAGGCCGGCACCGCAAGGCCAAACGCUGCAUGGACUACUUAUACGGGCAACUGUGGAACAACAAACUCGCAGCCCGCUUUGGCCGCACAGUUACAGGCCGCCGAGCCCCCCGCGCUGGCCCUGAUACCCCCGCCCCAUGCCCACUCUGCCGCGGACCCGACUCCGGCGGCCACAUACUGGGAGGCUGCCACAACCCCCAACUCCGUGCAAUGUACAUUAAACGACACAACAUUGCAGUCCAGACCAUCGCACGAGCCAUCUCCCGCGGUGACUGCGGCGGCUGCUACAUGGUAAUGGACGCCACGUCUAAAGACGAUCUGCCAGACUACGCAGCUGACAACCGUCUGCCGCCAUGGCUGCUUCCCGACCAGGAGGGCAAACCAGCAGGACGCCACCUACACUACCGCCCCGACAUACUACUAAUUCCUUCAAUCUCCCUCGCCGCAGCCCUAAACCCAGACUUUGUCGCGCUUCCCAGCGAACAUGACACCAUCUACAUUAUUGAAGCCGGAUACACAGCCGACACGAACCACGCCGCCAAGCAACACGAAAAAGCACAACAGCACCAGGCCCUUGCAGCCGACCUGCGGGAAGCGGGAUGGAAAGUGCAAUACACUCCACAGAGCGCCAUCANNNNNNNNNNNNNNNNNNNNNNNNNNNNNNNNNNNNNNNNNNNNNNNNNNNNNNNNNNNNNNNNNNNNNNNNNNNNNNNNNNNNNNNNNNNNNNNNNNNNUCCUCGGAACUAGCGGCCGCCCUCGCCACCGGGGUGGCUCCUUCUUCCAGUACAUGGGCGUAUUUGCGUUCGAUGUCCGAGGGCGAUCCGGUGAAAAGAACGCUGGUGUUUCCAAGGCCUAGUCUGUCGGUGGCUUCUGUCCCGAUUAAUUGCUUUAGUUUCUUUAGAAUGAAGGAACGAUAUAUUUCAUGUAUCAUUGUUGUGUGGGGCCUAAAGCGGGCUCUAGGCGGUAGGUCUGCGCUUAAGUUCGGUGCGCCCUCCUUGCAUGUCCCCCAUUGCGUGUCGGUGCUGGUUGCAGAUUUCGUGCUGUGGACAUUUAAUACUAGAUAGCAUCCCUGGUGGCAGAAUAAGUUCGGUGUGAAGCUCGGGCACCAUAGUGUUUCUUUGACGCAGGCACUUUGAGUAUUCCCCUUCUGUUCCUGGCGAUAUGCAUUUGCGCCGGUGUGGCACAUGGUUAUGGGGACAUCACUUAGCAAUUCGGUCGCGUUCGCGUGCGGGCUUUGGGCCAAGAGGAGGCGAGAGCGCUCUGCGGUACUGUUGGCGAGCGGCUCUGAGGCAACUGGUAUGUGCUCGGAGCUUAUAAGCCCCUCAGUGUGCGGGUGCUUUGCAGCAGCUGGGCUUUGUGAGGGUCUCAUUUGCGACAUGCCGAGGGGCCCGGCGCCAGCACGCUUGCUGGCUGUGUAGCACGUUGUUUGCAGGAUACUGGCAUCAAGUAUGCCUUUCUGAGAGCAGCGAUGCGACGAUAGCGUCGUGUUCGCGGGGAAGCUGUAGCCAUGGGAAAUCCUCUCCCUCAGAGAGAGCUCGUUUACAUCCGUUCGAGACGGAUAUGCAGACCACACAUGGUCGUGGGGAGUUCGCUGGUUGCCUAAGUGCACGAAAGCACUGGCUUGCCGGGGCGGUCCCCAGUCAAACCAGCGUUCGGCCGCGGCAGGUCCAGCCCCUUUCCCAGCCGUGGUUGCGUUGGUUGUCAGCAUGCAGAGUGCAAAGCAUAGCAGAACACAGAUACCUGUGGUCUUUCGCUCCACCUUUCGCCGAGCAACCAUUUUCCACAUAUUUCCUAGCGACGAGCUUACAAGGGUUGGUACAGAGGUAUGGCUAAGCAUUAUAUUCGAGCGCGCGCCCUUGGUAAGGCAUUUGGUAGCUCAGUGCCGCUUUUACACCAACCUACGACAACUCUCGCUGAUCAAAGACGCGGGGCUGGAGCUGACCCAAAAGGGCAGCGCAUACCACACCACGCUCCACGGUCUGUCGGCCCUCCUUACACGCACCGCGCCGCCAGGCGCCGACACGGAACAGGCCCUACCCUUCCGAUUGAUUCAACCCCUCCUUGAACUCACCAGCGACUUCCGCGAGCUCCUCACUCCGGACCGCACCUGUGUUAUUGACGCCAACACAUUAAAAAACAAGUGGCCACGGGCCCACAGGCGGCACAGGAUAGCCCUUAACCGCCUUACUCUCGCACUCCACGCUGAAACCCGAGCCCGAGCCAAAACCCACAACAGCACCGCUCCCCUUACCGCUGCCCAACGCACUCUCCCAGACGGGCACACCUUUACCGGCCUCCACACGACCCACACCGCACCUACCGCCGUUGACUGGGGCACACUUAACCGCUUCCUUCGCCAGCGCGCCCCUGCCGCCGAACCGACCGCCCAUGCCGGAGGAACUGCCGCGGCCGCCACCACCGCUGUCACCACCGCCACCGCCGCCACGGCGGCAGAACAUGAGGACGCCCACAGCGAUGGCGAAAACCAGACACCUGCACAAACACGCCGGCCGGGCACACAGCAACGUAAGCGGGCCUGCAUUAAAAUGGUCAGAGAACCCGAAGGACGGGGAGCCCCGCCAGCCCACGCACCGAAAGCGUUCGACUGGGACCCCGCGCUUGACCCACUUACCGACGCACACUGCGCAGACCUGCUCGACAUCGCCCCCAGCCUCAUCGGCCGAUCCAAGCCCCCCAACCCCGAAUCACACCUCAGACACCUACUUCUGGGCCCCACGCCCCCAACCACUUUCACACACCGACACAAGCUCAACCAGGAGGAGCAAGACGCGUACCUGGCCGCCACGUCCGACACCUGGAAGCACUUCAGCGAAACCUACCGCACCAAAGCCCUCACCACCAACAACACCCUGUAUGGACACCAGGAGCGGGUGCAGCACGUAAUAGCCCGCACCACCAGCAAAGGUUCGCCUCACUACCGCGUCCAGUGGGAACCCACCGUCAUCACCCCCGGCUCCCUCACCCUCUACGCCCGGAACCGCUACCGCCCCAAACCCGGCGGCCUUACCUGGCUCCUUACCCCGGGUAAUGAACCUCGCGUCCUGGUGGAAUGGGAAGACCUGGAAGAACCCGCCGCUACCCUGGAGGCACAAGACAACAAACAGGACCUCCUGGACGCCCUGCACGCCCGCCUUGCUGUCCCCCCGGCCCCCCGCCCCCCGGCCCCCGCUAGCGACACACACCUAAACCCUGACCAGCGACAGGGCCGAUGGAUAGAUGCCAGCAACGACACCGCACGAGGGCAACGCACUCUGCGCCAAUUCGUCGACAUCAAUGUCGAGCCAUGCAACCCCAGCCGAGACAUCCGCCCCACACAAACAUACACCAUCCAGCUCGGUAUCCUCCCCGACCCUGGCUCCACGGCACACAGCACUCACAUGGCGCAUGUAUACGACCCCCGCGGACGGUGCAUAGGCACCAUCAGAGCCGAGCGGCUUAACCUCCUCUGGCAACGCUACCAGCAUGCACAAACAACCUGGCCCGAAGCGCACGCCAAAUACGACCAGGGCAGAGGCUUUGCGGCGGCCAUCGCCCGCCUGCUCCUCCGAUACAAACCCGGGGGCGGCUCCAAAUCCCACCCUGUCACCGAAAAAGGGGAACGCAUUCUGUGCGACGGAUUGACACAAACCCUGCACACAGCAAUAGGCAGCACAACAGAGCUCUUCGCAUCACCCCUAAACGUCUCGGAAGCCGCCACCACCUACUACACACUGUAUGAAGAAGACAUGCUCUUUGGGGCCAACUAUGACGCGUACUCCCAGCCAUGGGAUGGAAUUGCUGUCGCCUACCCCGAACCCAACACCGAAGACGGAGCUCACGCGGUACGAUGGGCACUGGCAUGGGCCGAACACACCGAAACCCUUACAAACACCCGCAACCCGCCAACCACUGCCACGCUGAUCAUCCUCCCCACCCAACGCAACGCGCCAUACACACGAUACCUCGCCCACCCCAGAGUCACACUCCUUGGCAGCAUCUCCGCCACAGCAACACACGCCCUUCUCGGCCAGAUCCACAACGACGCAGGCAUCACCUUAAAACACGACCUGGUGCUGGUCAGCAAUACACCCGGAGCCCGACUUGCCCAGUCCAUACGCGACGACCUAGGCACGUCUCUAUACCUCUCAGGCAUGCCCGUCGAACCGCAGCCCCAACUCACCUGGGCCCACACACGGUGGGUAACCAAACAGGUCCGCCGGAUGACCCGCACCCGCCCGGCAGCCCCCCGAGUAACACCCCCUCCCGUACCGGCCACGCCAGCCACCCUGGCCCCGUUCGCGGCCACCCAACCCCUACGCCUCAAUCCCUGCGAAGGCUUCUACACCGAUGGCUCAGUACAGAAAGACGCCCUUGGUCAGCCCAGCGCGUGGGGGGCCGCAGCGAUCGAUGCCCGCACGUCCCAAACGUAUCAGAUCGACGUCAACCCUGGACAACACGGCUGCAACACCAUAACAAGAUGCGAGCUCUCGGCCAUACACCAAGUGCUCAAGCUCGACGAAGUGCAAGCGCUCCCCGAAAUCACAGUUUACACCGACUCCGCUGCGUCGCUAUUCCUCAUCCGCAAAACAAUCAACCAGCCCCAACUCCUUACCUUCAGCAAACACAAAGCGCUGCUGGAUAACAUCCUCGCGCUCCUGAAACGCCGCUCCCACGCCGGCCGAAGGACAAACCUCCUCAAGGUCAAAGCACAUUCAGGGAUUACGUACAAUGAACUCGCAGAUCAGGCGGCGGUGAAAACCGCCAAGGGAGAAGAGAUGCCCGGGGCCGAGUGGCUGGUCGAGGAGUCCGAUAACGACCCGCGUAGUAAAUACUACUGGAUACGUAAAACUAUCAAACCGACUGUGGAAGGGGUGCCACGAGAGAAGAACGAAGGACACUACGCGCAUGACCUCAACCGCGGCAUCGCCACGCUCGCAGCCCCGCACAUCGCCCAAGGCCACACCCGCGAAACCCUCUACACUGGUUUCGUAGCCAACGCCAUCCCAGACCUGGAUAUCAAAUCCAGCACCCGAACCCUGAACCUGCAAUCAGGCCGGCACCGCAAGGCCAAACGCUGCAUGGACUACUUAUACGGGCAACUGUGGAACAACAAACUCGCAGCCCGCUUUGGCCGCACAGUUACAGGCCGCCGAGCCCCCCGCGCUGGCCCUGAUACCCCCGCCCCAUGCCCACUCUGCCGCGGACCCGACUCCGGCGGCCACAUACUGGGAGGCUGCCACAACCCCCAACUCCGUGCAAUGUACAUUAAACGACACAACAUUGCAGUCCAGACCAUCGCACGAGCCAUCUCCCGCGGUGACUGCGGCGGCUGCUACAUGGUAAUGGACGCCACGUCUAAAGACGAUCUGCCAGACUACGCAGCUGACAACCGUCUGCCGCCAUGGCUGCUUCCCGACCAGGAGGGCAAACCAGCAGGACGCCACCUACACUACCGCCCCGACAUACUACUAAUUCCUUCAAUCUCCCUCGCCGCAGCCCUAAACCCAGACUUUGUCGCGCUUCCCAGCGAACAUGACACCAUCUACAUUAUUGAAGCCGGAUACACAGCCGACACGAACCACGCCGCCAAGCAACACGAAAAAGCACAACAGCACCAGGCCCUUGCAGCCGACCUGCGGGAAGCGGGAUGGAAAGUGCAAUACACUCCACAGAGCGCCAUCAGCCUCGGGUUUGCAGGAACAAUCCACAAGGACCUCCACCCCCUCCUCACCUCCCUGGGCGUCACCUCCCACAAAGCCAGGCAGUGCUGCGACACCCUACACGACCACGCAGUCGCCACCCUCAAUCAUAUAGUCCUGACCAGACGGCGCCUCGAACGGGGACUGCCACCUGGCAACCCCGGCGGGACGUAGCAUCCCGGCAGGGUGCAGGCCUAGCCUGCACGCCCGCCGCCUAAUGCUCGGUAGUGGGGGCGUACAGGAGGCGGGCCUGGCCCACCUCCUCAUCUCCCCCCACUCCCUUAAUCCACACCACUUGCCUACGGCAGGGUGUAUCUAUUUCUAUUUCUAUUUCUCGGCUCUUGGAGCCUGGGCCUGGCGUGCUGCCCCCGGCGGUGGAUGGGGCGUGGCAGCCUGCCUGUGUGCUGCAGCAUCGCAAGCCGCGGCACCUGUGGACCUUUGAAGAGCGGGCGGCGUACGAUGCAGCAUCACCAGGGGACCGGGCGGGGGCGUGGCCUCGGGCGCCGUACUUCCUGGCGCCGGAGGCUGGGGUGGUGGUGCACCCGGAGCACUGCCGGAUUGCGGGUGUCAGCUUAGCGGACUACACGGUGCGGGACGUGCGGCGGGCCAUCACCGCGGCCAACCCGGCCGCACCUCCGGCUCCGGCCCGCCCCGCAGCCAUGCCGUGCCCGGCGCCAACACAGCAGGCGGGGGGGUCGGGGCCCCAGCCAGCGGCACAGUCGCGGCUGGCGAAGCGGGAGGCGGAGUGGCAGCGUGCAGCGGUGCAGCUGACCACCACGGCGGCGCAGCAUUUCUACAAUAACCCGGUGGCUCUGGACCCCUGGCUCCACCGCACCUCCGCGGCAGCCGGGCUGCAGAACACGCCGGCGAGAGAACUGCAGUCGUAUGCGUCCCCGUCCCAGCCGUCGGGGGAGGGGCCGCGGCGGUCCGCGCGGCUGCAGGAGCAGGCGGCGGGAGGGGCGGGACCUAGCACUGGGCCUGCCAUGGCGGCGGCGGCAGCAGCGGCGGCGGUGGAGGGCGACCCUCGCAUGCCGCCCCCGGAUGCGUCCCUUCUGCGGGGUACGUGGCGGAGGCUGUGGGACAGCCACGCCAGUCGGGGGGCAAAGGUACUUGUGUACCGGCUGCAACAUGCUUACCUGCCUUGCGGGCUGUACAGGGCGGGCAAGGGCAUUCGGCCACGGGUGACCACGGGGUGCGGGGGGUUGGGGGCGCACUGUCCUCACCCCGCCUGCGGGCCACCUGGCCCGCGGGCGUGGGCCAGCCUGACGCACAUCUUCCUGGAGUGUCCAGCUUAUGCGCAGGCGAGGACGUGGCUGCAGCAGCUGUGGGCAUGCGUUGCGCCCCAGGCAGCGGCGCCGCCAGUGACGGACGCGGGCUUCAUGCUGGGGGACCGCAUGGGUAUGUGGGCCUCAGGCCCACGGGGGGCGGGCGCGCUGCUGUGGAGCACUUUGCGGGCCACCUUCUUGUACGCCGUCUGGUGUGCGUACUGGUCCCGCGAGCCUGCUAAGCAGACGUCGGAGCAUGUGGUUCGGGAGGUGGUCAGCGAGCUGCGCAGGGUGAUGCAGCUGCGUUUCACUGCCGCCACGCUAACCCCUGAAACCCUGUCGGCUCUGCCCACUCAGCUUCUCACCGCACAGCUCAAGGCGGCUAAGCUGGAGCACUUUGUGGCCAUCUGGUUGGCGGGUGGCGCGCUUUGUGAAGUGGAGGAGGUUCAGGGUGGGUCACCGAAGUUGAACUUGCGGCUGACGCUUGCAUCACCUGUGCAGGCCCCCUAGGUUUCCUUUUGGGCGGCAGUUCGUUCCAGGCGCUGGCGUGGCGUUUAUCGUCAUCAGCUUAUCUGGCGCCCAUGUGUUUUAGCUGUGGCUGGCGUCGCAGCGCCUGGGCGGCUGUGGGACUUCCUGCACAGCGCGUCUUGCAGCGGGCUGGAGCCCGCUUAGUCAGCGCCACAUCUGGCCCGUUUAGUUUUCUGCUUGUGUCUCCUCUGCCGGUUCUCCUGGGGUGUUGCUUAAGCAACCGACUUGUGGGGGUGGGGUGGGUUUGGGCGGGGCGAGUGCGUAGCGCUGGUGUUUCUUUUUCUGGCGCGCGGUGGUGGUGGUUCUUGCGGUUAGGCUGUGGUGUAGGUUGGUGCUUGGGUUAGGUCUGGCGGUGUUUUUGUGCAACCCCUCCCGGGGGGCGGGGGGGCCAGCCUCCUGCUCUGUCUGCCGGGUCGGGGUGGGGUGGGGUGGGAUGGUUGGGGGUGGUUGGUGGCGGUUUUCGAGGUGUUUGUUUUCUGUUUUUCUUCUCUUCUCUCCUCUUCUUGCCCUGUCAGGGUUCUGGUCCCGGGGACCAGGCUGCUUUCAGGCAGCAGGGGGGCAGCGCGUCUGCCCCUGUUCAACCUUGUAAGGAUGAUUCCUCAAAAAAAAAACGGCGUACAAGAAGGUGGCCCGCAAAGUGCUCCACAGCAGCGCGCCCGCCCCCCGCGGGCCUGAGGCCCACAUACCCAUGCGGUCCCCCAGCAUGAAGCCCGCGUCCGUCACUGGUGGCGCCGCUGCCUGGGGCGCAACGCAGGCCCACAGCUGCUGCAGCCACGUCCUCACCUGCGCAUAAGCCGGACACUGUUCAUCCUGUUCAACCUUGUAAGGAUGAUUCCUCAAAAAAAAACUCCAGGAAGAUGUGCGUCAGGCCAUGGGCCUUGGCAGGUUUGCGCACCUGACGGGCCCUUGCCCACACACGGGGGUGCCGUUUACCACUGGCGCCGUGACGCACCUGGGUGUGCCCCUGUCGUGGGACUCGGAUGCGGCUGCAGCUGACUUGUACACCCGGCGGGCUCGACGCCAGCUCGGCGCGGUCCAGGCUUUUGCCCUUGUAGAUGAGGGUGAUGAUGCCCUCCCGCCAGGAGGCGGGCAGCGCCGCCGCCAUUUCACCGCCAUCGUGGGCGUCUGCAGCGGCAGCAAAGGCAGCGGCAGCAGCAGCACACAAGCGCGGGCCCAGCAGUGCCCAGAAAACCUUGUACACCUCGUACGGGACCCCGUCCGACCCAGGCGCUUUACCAUUGGCGGAGCCAGCCAGCGCUGCCAUCAGCUCGGCAUCACUGAGGGCGCCGUCACCGGACCCCUCUGCGGCGGCCUGCAGAUCUGCCGGAACCUUGCGGUCAAUGGCCGCCAGAAGCUGCUGCUGCGACGCCGUACAGACCGGCUGCACGCGGAACAGGCCGGUGGGGCUGGUGCUGCUGUACAUGGCUGCAGCGGCUGCGGAGACAGUGUUGCGCGUGCCCGGCCCCGUGAGCGCCACAGGCGCCGGUUGCCCCGGCACCUUCAAGUGCGUGAUGGGCUCCUGCGCACCGGCUGCUGGCUCGUCAGCCUGCCGAUGGAACUAGCGAGUGCCCCGCUCCCCAUGCUCCUCCAUCAGUGCCGCGCGGGCAUUGUGGCUGGCCGCUGCGGCAGCUGCCCGCUCCUCCCGCACCGCCAAGUUGGCCAUGGCCGCAGCCUGACGCUGCGCGGCGCUGGCACCCGACCCGUCGGCCAGGGCAGCGGCCGUGUCUGCGGCCAGCACCACGCCAUGCAGCCCAUCCCGGGUCUGGCGUGCAUGCCGACGGUGGAUGCUGGUGGCGGCCUCCCGCAAGAAGAACUUGUCCGCCUCCCAUUGCGUGCAAGCGCCGUCACCUGUACUGGCCACGGGAUUUGCGGCAACGUGCGCCUCCAAGCGCUGCUCAAGCUCCAAACGCAGCGAGGGGUGAAACAGCAGGUAUAUGGGGAAGCGCCACUGCUCCCGGUGCGCAUGUGGCAGGUCGGGCAAGGACAGGGUGAGCAGCACACUGUUAUGGUCCCCAGGCGCCCCAUACGUGCGAGCGACAUCCACCACCCACGGCGCCGCGGUGGCACUGACAUACCACCGAUCCAGGCGUGCAGGAGUGGCCGGCUUGGGUGUGGCCGGAUGCGUGUAGCCCUUGGCGCCGCCACGCUUGCUUGCCCAAGGGUCUACCAGACUGAACUGGGCAAGGAGGCCGGCAAGUUGCGGGGCACCUGCAGCACGUGACGGGCUAGGGGCCGCCUCCUGACUGGCAUCGGUGACACAGUUCCAGUCCCCACCAACAACAAGCACCCUGUCCGUGGCCAGGUGGGGAUGCAGCCCGGCAAAGAAAGCAGGCUUGUCCGCCACGGCCGUGGGCGCAUACACACACACGAAGCGCAGGCGCAAGUGACCCACGUCCCAAUCCCAACAUACCACACGGCCCGCCGCAUCCAUUGACGGCGGCUGCAGUACGCAGCCUGGAAGGGACAGCCGACUCCGCGCCAGGAUAGCCGCCCCACAGGAGUGUGUGUGUAUGCGCCCACGGCCGUGGCGGACAAGCCUGCUUUCUUUGCCGGGCUGCAUCCCCACCUGGCCACGGACAGGGUGCUUGUUGUCGGUGGGGACUGGAACUGUGUCACCGAUGCCAGUCAGGAGUAACUUUUACGUUACUCUUUUCUCUUGCUAUUCUUGCAUCCUCCUUUCCUUCUGCACAGCUUUGAAACAGUCGACGUCAUUUCUCUCGUGCUGUUUGACUUGCUUCCUUUUGUUUUAGGCUUCUUAAGGCCUACGAACCACUGUGAAGGAGUCUGCAUUUGUGGGCGUGCUCGUUUUUCGUCAGUCCAUUUUGCAGCUGUAGCGCGACACUCCCUCUCCAGCGCCCUUCAGCCUAUGUCGGCUUGUGCUUUGGAACUCGACACAGCUAUGGAAUAGGAUUCUGGCGGUUCAGGAACGUCGCCGUGGAGUUGGCGACAUUUCGCUUGUUGGCAUUUUAACAUCUCGGCGAGCACCACACUUCACCAGCUUGGAGCCGGCGGCGUAUCAACCUUUGUGGUUGGUCACUUGCAUCCGCGCGUGCAGCAGGGUGCUUUGGGUGUGGCGGUCGGGGGAGCCCUGCAGCACUUGGCUGUUUUUUUGGGGUGUGGCUCGUCUUCGUGCCCUUGUUGCCUGGUGCCUGGAUGCCUGGCGCCCGCCCUGCUGUGAUGCCCUGGGAGUGCUGAUCUUGGGCAGCUAUGCAGUUGCUGGGUGAUCCUUUUUUUUUUGAGGAAUCAUCCUUACAAGGUUGAACAGGGGCAGACGCGCUGCCCCCCUGCUGCCUGAAAGCAGCCUGGUCCCCGAGACCAGAACCCUGACAGGGAAAGAAGAGAAGAAAAGAGAAGAAAACAGAAAACAAACACCUCGAAAACCGCCACCAAACACCCCCAUCCAUCCCACCCCACCCCACCCCGACCCGGCAGACAGAGCAGGAGGCUGGCCCCCCCACCCCCCGGGAGGGGUUGCACAAAAACACCGCCAGACCUAACCCAAGCACCAAACUACACCACAGCCUAACCGCAAGAACCACCACCACCACGCACCAGAAAAGAAAACACCAGCGUUACGCACUUGCCCCGCCCAAACCCACCCCACCCCCACAAGUCGGUUGCUUAAGCAACACCCCAGGAGAACCGGCAAAGGAGACACAAGCAGAAAAAAGCCCCCGCAGCGUUAGCCACCCACAGCUGGUCCAGGCUAACCCGCCACUGUGGCGGCGCCGCUGGCGGCUGAGUGGCUGGCUGCGGUGGAUGCUGUUCCACGCCCGCGCUCCGCACGUGGUCGACCGCGGCGCCAGCCGGGCAGGCAGCCCUGCUGGCGCCGGCGUGUCGCUGUACACCCACGCCCACGUGAUCACCGGAUCGCUAACUCAGUUAGUGAUUUGACUCGUCCUUACGGCAGAAGGGACCCGGGUACGAAUCCGGAUAAAAGCCCAAUUAUGCAAAAGGCGAAAGAUUGGUGCGAAACCGAUUGGUGAUCCCACGAACGAUAGGUAAUUGCCCUUAGUGGCAAUUGCGGGCUUAUGCCCGCUACAACCUAAAUAGGUCGUGGUGCAGAAGUCCGAUUUAGUGGCGAGGUCCAAGGUUCAAGACAAGGCUCAAGAUCCAAGGCUCGAGGAGGAGCGCCAUGGCUCCUCGGUUUGCACGAACUGGCAGUGCUCCACUACUAUAACGCGGCGUUUCCCUAGCUCGAUAUGCUAGGUGUGCAGGCUUGGAUGUAGUGGACUUUGAAGAGCAGCCUAGGACUUGGAGGCUGUAGUUUCGGAGGUUGUGACUCUUUCGUGGUGAGGCGUCAGCGUGAGGGGGGCGGGCCCUCUCGCCCUAGUCACCUUGCCCCGUUAAUCCAUGCCAGGCCCUAUGGGCCGGCGUUGUAAUUAUUAUUAUUAUUCCCACGCCCACGUGGUGGCGGAGUCCGGGCGCACAUGGGUAAGCAGCGCCCGGGUGAGGAUCUUCCAGGGUUGCCGGCCUGGCUGGGCAAGGAGGGCGAAGGUCUUAGCUUGCAGGGCAGACAGGAACGCAGGCAGGUCGACGUGGUUGACACCCCCGUCCUUGUACGGCAGACAGGCCGUUUCCCGCUUUGGCAGCAGGAGCGGGUUCCCGUGCGACACCAGGCUGGCGUCCUCAGCGUGCAUGGAGCGCACAGCAAAGUGGUCCACCAGGUCGGUGAGUUCCUUCAGCUGCGCCGGCGACGGGUUUAGGAAGCUGAAGUGGUAGGCCAGCUUCGCCGCCAACACCUGCUUCGCAAUGUGCACACGGCCAACGAGAGUCAGAGACAGGGCAGCCCACAGACGCGCCACAAACGCCAUGCCGCGAGCCCGCCGGGUGUACAAGUCAGCUGCAGCCGCAUCAGAGUCCCAUGACAGGGGCACACCCAGGUGCGUCACGGCGCCAGUGGUAAACGGCACCCCUGUGUGUGGGCAAGGGCCCGUCAGGUGCGCAAACCUGCCAAGGCCCAUGGCCUUGCUCUUGUCCGGAUGGACACGGGCGUUGGACGCGCGGCAGAACAGCUGUACUGCCGCCAUCAGGACCGGCCCGUCCACCGCCGGGUCGCGCGCCGUGAGGGUCGUGUCGUCAGCGUGGUGGGCAGCCGGUGGCGCCUGCUCGCCACUGGGUAACAGGGGCGUGCGCAGAAAGGACGUCAGUGGCUGCAUCUGGAUGACCCACAGGGGUGGUGAGGCGGUGCUGCCCUGCGGCAAGCCGUUCAGCACUGGGAAGGCAUCAGAGAGCAUCCCGUUCACACACACGCGGGUCCCGUACGAGGUGUACAAGGUUUUCUGGGCACUGCUGGGCCCGCGCUUGUGUGCUGCUGCUGCCGCUGCCUUUGCUGCCGCUGCAGACGCCCACGAUGGCGGUGAAAUGGCGGCGGCGCUGCCCGCCUCCUGGCGGGAGGGCAUCAUCACCCUCAUCUACAAGGGCAAAAGCCUGGACCGCGCCGAGCUGGCGUCGUACCGGCCCAUCACGCUGCUCAACUGCGACUUCAAGAUGGUGUCCAAGGCCGUCAGCGCCCGCCUGCAGCCCGCCCUGGAUGCAGUUGUGGAUGAGCUGCAGACCGCGUUCAUCACCGGCCGCUGGAUUGGUGACAACGCGCUGUACCUCCAAGGCCUGAUCGAAUGGAUGCGCCUGGACGUGGGCGCGGACGGCACGCCACGGCAGGGUGGUGCGCUGUACUUCUUGGACAUAGAAAAGGCGUAUGACCGGGUGCACCGGCAGUGGCUGUAUGCAUCCGCGGAGGGACUUGGGUUUGGGCCGCGCAUGCUGCGCUGGAUCCGCCUGCUCACUGCCAACGGCUCUGCCCGCGUGUGUGUGAACGGGAUGCUCUCUGACGCCUUCCCAGUGCUGAACGGCUUGCCGCAGGGCAGCACCGCCUCACCACCCCUGUGGGUCAUCCAGAUGCAGCCACUGACGUCCUUUCUGCGGCGGCAGGUGGAGCAAGGGGCACUGCGCACGCCCCUGUUACCCAGCGGCGAGCAGGCGCCACCGGCUGCCCACCACGCUGACGACACGACCCUCACGGCGCGCGACCCGGCGGUGGACGGGCCGGUCCUGAUGGGGGCAGUACAGCUGUUCUGCCGCGCGUCCAACGCCCGUGUCCAUCCGGACAAGAGCAAGGCCAUGGGCCUUGGCAGGUUUGCGCACCUGACGGGCCCUUGCCCACACACGGGGGUGCCGUUUACCACUGGCGCCGUGACGCACCUGGGUGUGCCCCUGUCGUGGGACUCGGAUGCGGCUGCAGCUGACUUGUACACCCGGCGGGCUCGCGGCAUGGCGUUUGUGGCGCGUCUGUGGGCUGCCCUGUCUCUGACUCUUGUUGGCCGUGUGCACAUUGCGAAGCAGGUGCUGGCGGCGAAGCUGGCCUACCACUUCAGCUUCCUCAACCCGUCGCCUGCGCAGCUGAAGGAACUCACCGACCUGGUGGACCACUUUGCUGCGCGCUCCAUGCACGCUGAGGACGCCAGCCUGGUGUCGCACGGGAACCCGCUCCUUUUUUUUUUUGAGGAAUCAUCCUUACAAGGUUGAACAGGGGCAGACACGCUGCCCCCCUGCUGCCUGAAAGCAGCCUGGUCCCCGAGACCAGAACCCUGACAGGGCAAGAAGAGAAGAGAAGAAAAGAAAAACAGAAAACAAACACCUCGAAACUCCUGCUGCCAAAGCGGGAAACGGCCUGUCUGCCGUACAAGGAUGGGGGUGUCAACCACGUCGACCUGCCUGCGUUCCUGUCUGCCCUGCAAGCUAAGACCUUCGCCCUCCUUGCCCAGCCAGGCCGGCAACCCUGGAAGAUGCUCACCCGGGCGCUGCUUACUCAUGUGCGCCCGGACUCCGCCACCACGUGGGCGUGGGUGUACAGCGACACGCCGGCGCCAGUGGGGCUGCCUGCCCGGCUGGCGGCCGCGGUCGGCCACAUGCAGAGCGCGGGCGUGGAACAGCAUCCACCGCAGCCAGCCACUCAGCCGCCAGCGGCGCCGCCACAGUGGCGGGUUAGCCUGGACCAGCUGUGGGUGGCUAACGCUGCGGGGGCUGUGUCCUACGUCCACUACACGGGGCGGCUCUUGGAGCCUGGGCCUGGCGUGCUGCCCCCGGCGGUGGAUGGGGCGUGGCAGCCUGCCUGUGUGCUGCAGCAUCGCAAGCCGCGGCACCUGUGGACCUUUGAAGAGCGGGCGGCGUACGAUGCAGCAUCACCAGGGGACCGGGCGGGGGCGUGGCCUCGGGCGCCGUACUUCCUGGCGCCGGAGGCUGGGGUGGUGGUGCACCCGGAGCACUGCCGGAUUGCGGGUGUCAGCUUAGCGGACUACACGGUGCGGGACGUGCGGCGGGCCAUCACCGCGGCCAACCCGGCCGCACCUCCGGCUCCGGCCCGCCCCGCAGCCAUGCCGUGCCCGGCGCCAACACAGCAGGCGGGGGGUUCGGGGCCCCAGCCAGCGGCACAGUCGCGGCUGGCGAAGCGGGAGGCGGAGUGGCAGCGUGCAGUGGCGCACACUAUAAGGACGGGUUUGUGCGUUACACCUGCUUUUUGUGCGUAAAGCAUGCGUUGGGGGUGGGACGCAUGCGUCCACGGAACGCAAGAAGCAUGAGGGCCGGGGAGGGCGGCAAACCUCUCGGUUGUGCGUGCGAAGCACGCAUGCGGAACGCAUGCAGACGCAUGCGCCCCACGAAUACGCAAGCCCCCGACGCAAGCCCCGUCAAAGCCUUCACCUUAAGUACUUGCUCAACUCACAGAGUGUAGACACAUAGCGAACGAUGACUUUGCCAAACCUCGCGAUCCCCCAACUGCACUGCAACGUGCAAACUAUUGCUUCUACAUUUGCUGCGUUAACAAACAGUAUAUUAGCACGUAUAACGCAACUGCCAUGAGAAAGGCGUUAGGGAUGGGCCUUGUUAUGGGGCUGUUUCCACUGAGCGGUAAUUAAGGUUUGCUUAAAUAUCGAGUGACAUCGGCUUUGUAGGGUGCCCAAAUACUAUUUUGUGCAAUUGCAUUUUGGCUUUAUGCGUGAAGCUGGAUUGGUCGCAAAGUCGGGUCCGCAGGGUCGGUCACACCCAGGUCGGCCCUUCGGGCCUCUUUAAACGCAUCGAUUGCAUUUAUGGGACAUAGAUGACAAAAUAAUAACGUCACAAAAGCGGCGCGCCUUAAAUAUGAUGUUUAACCCCUGUCGGGGUACAGGGGCCAGAAAGUUAGCAUCCGCGACCGAGAAAUUGACACAAAGCAUCCUUACACGCUAUGUAUCUUUAAAUACUUUUGGGGGCGUACGUAGAAUUAAGGAUGUAUGCGCACGAUCGAGGCUGAAUUGCGCGCUUAAAUACUUGAGCAAUUACGCGUGUCCAUACUUGCGGGUAAUUAGCCCAGUAUUUAAGCUAAUUACCACCUUAAUUACCAAGUGGAAACAGCCCCUAUGGAUAAGCAAAGGCAAAGCAACGAGUGCCAGGCUCUAUGUUGUAUGUAUGUAUGAAGAGUUAAACCUAGGUACUAAGUAGUAAUCACGGUAAACGGGGGGAGCGCCGGCGGUGCGUGGCGGUGACUGUUCCAAACAGCCGCGGCAGAGGCUGUGGCUGCCGCGGCUGCCCAUGGCCAGCUGUCACCGGUUGCGCGGCCGCUGGUGGGGAGGAAGGCUGGCGACUGCCGCUGCUGCGCGCUGCUAUCAGCCCGGAAUCUGCAUGGGAGCGGGAGGCAUGGGCGGGCUAAACGGGAGCGGCCGGGGUUGCGGCGGUGCGUGGCGGUGACUGUUCCAAGCAGCCGCGGCAGCAGCUGUGGCUGCCGCGGCUGCCCAUGGCCAGCAGUCACCGGUUGCGCGGCCGCUGGUGGGGAGGCAGGCUGGUGACUGCCGCUGCUGCGCGCUGCUAUCAGCCCGGAAGCUGCAUGGGAGCGGGAGGCAUGAGCAGGGUAAACGGGGGGAGCGGCCGGGGUUGCGGCGUUGCGUGGCGGUGAUUGUUCCAAGCAGCCGCGGCAGCAGCUGUGGCUGCCGCGGCUGCCCAUGGCCAGCAGUCACCGGUUGCGCGGCCGCUGGUGGGGAGGGAGGCUGGCGAGUGCCGCUGCUGCGCGCUGCUAUCAGCCCGGAAGCUGCACGGGAGCGGGAGGCAUGAGCAGGGUAAACGGGGGGAGCGGCCGGGGUUGCGGUGUUGCGUGGCGGUGAUUGUUCCAAGCAGCCGCGGCAGCAGCUGUGGCUGCCGCGGCUGCCCAUGGCCAGCAGUCACCGGUUGCGCGGCCGCUGGUGGGGAGGGAGGCUGGCGACUGCCGCUGCUGCGCGCUGCUAUCAGCCCGGAAGCUGCACGGGAGCGGGAGGCAUGAGCAGGGUAAACGGGGGGAGCGGCCGGGGUUGCGGCGUUGCGUGGCGGUGAUUGUUCCAAGCAGCCGCGGCAGCAGCUGUGGCUGCCGCGGCUGCCCAUGGCCAGCAGUCACCGGUUGCGCGGCCGCUGGUGGGGAAGAAGGCUGGCGACUGCCGCUGCUGCGCGCUGCUAUCAGCCCGGGACCUGCACGGGAGCGGGAGGCAUGAGCAGGGUGAACGGGGGGAGCGGCCGGGGUUGCAGCGUUGCGUGGCGGUGACUGUUCCAAACAGCCGCGGCAGAGGCUGUGGCUGCCGCGGCUGCCCAUGGCCAGCUGUCACCGGUUGCGCGGCCGCUGGUGGGGAGGAAGGUUGGCGACUGCCGCUGCUGCGCGCUGCUAUCAGCCCGGAAUCUGCAUGGGAGCGGGAGGCAUGGGCGGGCUAAACGGGAGCGGCCGGGGUUGCGGCGGUGCGUGGCGGUGACUGUUCCAAGCAGCCGCGGCAGCAGCUGUGGCUGCCGCGGCUGCCCAUGGCCAGCAGUCACCGGUUGCGCGGCCGCUGGUGGGGAGGCAGGCUGGCGACUGCCGCUGCUGCGCGCUGCUAUCAGCCCGGAAGCUGCAUGGGAGCGGGAGGCAUGAGCAGGGUAAACGGGGGGAGCGGCCGGGGUUGCGGCGUUGCGUGGCGGUGAUUGUUCCAAGCAGCCGCGGCAGCAGCUGUGGCUGCCGCGGCUGCCCAUGGCCAGCAGUCACCGGUUGCGCGGCCGCUGGUGGGGAGGGAGGCUGGCGACUGCCGCUGCUGCGCGCUGCUAUCAGCCCGGAAGCUGCACGGGAGCGGGAGGCAUGAGCAGGGUAAACGGGGGGAGCGGCCGGGGUUGCGGCGUUGCGUGGCGGUGAUUGUUCCAAACAGCCGCGGCAGCAGCUGUGGCUGCCGCGGCUGCCCAUGGCCAGCAGUCACCGGUUGCGCGGCCGCUGGUGGGGAAGAAGGCUGGCGACUGCCGCUGCUGCGCGCUGCUAUCAGCCCGGGACCUGCACGGGAGCGGGAGGCAUGAGCAGGGUAAACGGGGGGAGCGGCCGGGGUUCACUAGGGCGCAGAAGUCGCGUCCAGCGACCUGCACCCCAAGGCACUCCGCCCAUCAAAUUUGAUACCCUCUAUUUACAGAACUGCCCCGCACUCUGUAAGCUGCUUCCUAGGCCGAGAACGCUUGCUGCCGUACCCCUAUUAAACGCACCGUCCUCCCUGCGCGUAUUGUCCAGCCUGCUGUACGGUUUGACAAACGCUUUCGAAUGGUGUUGAGAAAAGGCUACAGUCAGUGGCGGGUUUCAGGAAUGCCGGUUUUUCCCUUGCGCUUCCCAGCCAUGCCAGCUAAAUGCCUGGGUAUUGGGAUUGAUAAUCCAGUUGAUACCUGGCAGCAGGGCAGCGCGGUGGGUAGCUGCUCCCCUCGCGCAUUGCAUGGGUGCAAAUUCAUGCUUUUGCGCAGGGGGCAGGAUGCCCUCAUAAAUCCUACGCGCGCAAGGUUGGGAGUCAUUGCCCACCCGUACCCCAACAAGCUAUGCAUACCCAAGCUGCUACACCACAGGGCUGUCGCCGGCAACCCAUGGCGCGAAAGCUGGCUUGCUGUCACAAUGGGCCUUUUUCCCAGCCUCGCAGCGUGGGCGUGGCUACCUAGAACCCGCAUGCACGCUGGAGAGCGCCCAGGAACAUCUGCGCUAUGGAAGGGGCCUUGGGGGUACUGUCCCACGAUGGGACUUACCGGGUCGGGAUCAACGCGCUCCCGCGCGGGAGAGGUCGGGCUGGCGCCGGUGUCUGUUUGGACGCGACUUUUGCGCCCUAGUGGUUGCGGCGUUGCGUGGCGGUGACUGUUCCAAGCAGCCGCGGCAGCAGCUGUGGCUGCCGCGGCUGCCCAUGGCCAGCAGUCACCGGUUGCGCGGCCGCUGGUCGGGAGGGAGGCUGGCGACUGCCGCUGCUGCGCGCUGCUAUCAGCCCGGAAGCUGCACGGGAGCGGGAGGCAUGAGCAGGGUAAACGGGGGGAGCGGCCGGGGUUGCGGCGUUGCGUGGCGGUGACUGUUCCAAGCAGCCGCGGCAGCAGCUGUGGCUGCCGCGGCUGCGCAUGGCCAGCAGUCACCGGUUACGCGGCCGCUGGUGGGGAGGGAGGCUGGCGACUGCCGCUGCUGCGCGCUGCUAUCAGCCCGGAAUCUGCAUGGGAGCGGGAGGCAUGGGCGGGCUAAACGGGAGCAGCCGGGGUUGCGGCGGUGCGUCGCGGUGACUGUUCCAAGCAGCCGCGGCAGCAGCUGUGGCUGCCGCGGCUGCCCAUGGCCAGCAGUCACCGGUUGCGCGGCCGCUGGUGGGGAAGAAGGCUGGCGAGUGCCGCAGCUGCGCGCUGCUAUCAGCCCGGGACCUGCAUGGGAGCGGGAGGCAUGAGCAGGGUAAACGGGGGGAGCGGCCGGGGUUGCUGUGGCGCGUGGCGGUGACUGUUCCAAGCAGCCGCGGCAGAGGCUGUGGCUGCCGCGGCUGCCCAUGGCCAGCAGUCACCGGUUGCGCGGCCGCUGGUGGGGAGGAAGGCUGGCGAGUGCCGCUGCUGCGCGCUGCUAUCAGCCCGGAAUCUGCAUGGGAGAGGGAGGCAUGGGCGGGGUAAACGGCAGCGGCCGGGGUUGCUGCGGCGCGUGGCGGUGAUUGUGCCAAGCAGCCGCGAUGGAGCCGAAACCAAACUGGUGCUUGUCAGCACCUUUAUUGACAGUGUCGGGCAGAACCACGGUGACCGUGUGCAUGUAAGCCUUACCCCGUAUCCAGCCCGGCGCACCAGGCGUUCCGUGUCUUCAUGCGGCGGUGGGCGUGAGCGGAGGUGCGUGUGCAUGGGAGCCCUACACCGUAUCCAGCCCGGCGCGCCAGGCGUUCCCCCGGCGUGUCUUCAUGCGGCGGUGGGCAUGAGCGGAGGUGCGUGUGCAUGCGAGCCUUACACCGUAUCCAGUCCGGCGCACCUGGUGUUCCCCCGGCGUGUCUUCAUGCGGCGGUGGGCAUGAGCGGAGGUGCGUGUGCAUGGGAGCCCUACACCGUAUCCAGCCCGGCACACCAGGCGUUCCCCCGGCGUGUCUUCAUGCGGCGGUGGGCGUGAGCGGAGGUGCGUGUGCAUGGGAGCCUUACGCCGUAUCCAGCCCGGCGCACCAGGCGUUCCAUGUCUUCAUGCGGCGGUGGGCGUGAGCGGAGGUGCGUGUGCAUGUGAGCCUUACACCGUAUCCAGCCCGGCGCACCAGGCGUUCCCCCGGCGUGUCUUCAUGCGGCGGUGGACGUGAGCGGAGGUUGCGUGUGCAUGUGAGCCUUACACCGUAUCUAGCCUGGCGCACCAGGCGUUCCCCCGGCGUGCAUUCAUGCGGCGGUGGGCGUGAGCGGAGGGUGCGUGUGCAUGUGAGCCUUACACCGUAUCUAGCCUGGCGCACCAGGCGUUCCCCCGGCGUGCAUUCAUGCGACGGUGGGCGUGAGCGGAGGGUGCGUGUGCAUGUGAGCCUUACACCGUAUCCAGCCCGGCGCACCAGGCGUUUCCCCGGCGUGUCUUCAUGCGGCGGUGGGCAUGAGUGGAGGUGCGUGUGCAUGGGAGCCUUACACCGUAUCAAGCCUGGCGCACCAGGCGUUCCCCCGGCGUGUCUUCAUGCGGCGGUGGGCAUGAGCGGAGAUGCGUGUGCAUGUGAGCCUUACACAGUUACACCGUAUCAAGCCUGGCGCACCAGGCGUUCCCCCGGCGUGUCUUCAUGCGGCGGUGGGCAUGAGCGGAGGUGCAUGUGCAUGGGAGCCCUACACCGUAUCCAGCCUGGCGCACCAGGCCUCCCCCGGCCUUCCUUCAUGCGGCGGUGGGCGUGAGCGGAGGGUGCGUGUGCAUGUGAGCCUUACACCAUAUCCAGCCCGGCGCACCAGGCGUUCCCCCGGCGUGUCUUCAUGCGGCGGUGGGCAUGAGCGGAGGUGCGUGUGCAUGGGAGCCUUACACCGUAUCCAGCCCGGCGCACCAGGCGUUUCCCCGGCGUGUCUUCAUGCGGCGGUGGGUGUAAGCGGAGGUGCGUGUGCAUGGGAGCCCUACACCGUAUCCAGCCCGGCGCACCAGGCCUCCCCCGGCCUUCCUUCAUGCGGCGGUGGGCAUGAGCGGAGGUGCGUGUGCAUGUGAGGCUUUCCCCGUUAUUGAGAAAGCUGUAAAGAAGAACCAUGCGAAGCCGAGAAAGCCGGCAUCCAGCUUCAGGUGGUUUCCUAAGCACAAGCCGCGGAGGCGCAGGCGGAGGCGAGACCCGUGCCCGGACCGGCGCUGAAGACUGACGUACCGGCCUGCUGUAGAUUAACUUAAGGUCUGACCGGAGCAUGCACAGCAAAUCAAGACCCAGCAUGGAGCGCGUUCCUUGUUGCAUGGGGCUGCAUGGGGCUCAUAUAUUUCGGGUUCAGUUCUUCACUCUUCAAGCAACCUGUCUUUGUCACAUGUAAUAAUAAUAAUAUCUACGCAGGGCACAGGUGCCCGCGUGUCUUAAGGAGGAGUGAGACAAGCUCACCCCACCAUCGGAAAACUUGAUUUCCCUACCCCGGCUCCCCUGCGCGGGGGCCGCCAUUGGCGGUCCCCUGGGUGCGGCCUCCCGGGCGGCAUCGGGUGUUGGCAAUGCCCAUCUCUCGCUCUAGCCGGUAGUACAGGUUUGCGGUGCCCCGGAGUGUGGUGACGCUAUGCAUGUGGAGACGUGUGCAGCAGGCCUUGGCUGCCUGCGGUUUGGCUCCUAGGUCUUUGAGGAGAGUUUCAAGGGUACGGGGGACAGUGCCACCGUGGCCCAGUGUAAUAACGUGUUGAGUAUCGUAGUGCACAGUCCACCCUGCAGCUCGCAUGGCAGUGGCAAGGGUGGCGUGCUGUGCUUGUUUUUGAAUGAGCUUCUCGCUGUGGUGCAGGUCAGAGGUGUAUCCAACUUCAAGGAUGUACACUGGGUAGGCCCCUUUGUUGGCUGGUGGGGAUGUCAUGAAGCGUUCUGCUUCGGACCUGGGAAGGUUCGGGAUAAACACAAUGUCAGGCCGCAUCCUGUUGAGGUCUGCGGCGGGCACUUGUGGGCAGAGCCAUGACGGCGGCCGCAUGCCCGCACAGUACUCAGGCAGUUCAGCUCGGGAGGUGGCAUCCAUUAUCAUGUAGCCACCACCAUUGUGACCAUGGUGUAGGCAUUCGGCAAUCGUCCGCACUGCAGUGUUGUGUUUGGCUAUCCUAGCGCCAACGAGUUGGGGGUGCGCGCAGUGGCCGGCAAGGUGACCUGCGGUGCCACGCUCUGGGUCAGAUCCGCGGCUGCGCUGGGUGUGGGCACAGAGACCACAUUUGUCGCUAUCUCGUAGUUUAAACAAAGCCAGCCGGGCCGGGCAGAUGAGGCCUCCCUGACGAGCAUUCUGUAUGAACCGGCGUAGGCCGUGGCUGGCGUCCGAGUUCGUCAUGUACGCGUUACUGGCGCGUGGGUCAAGGCUGGGUGCUGCCUCGGCCCAUUUCUCAGUGUACAGGGUUUUGUUGGCGUAUCCACCACGGCAGCUGGGGGCCAUUGCCCUGGUGAGGCCCCGGUUUAGGUCCGACACGUAGUGUGUGGCUGUGCUAUCGUCGUCCCUGGUGACCGUGAAGGUCGGCCACCAGUGCCGGGCGUGCGGGUCGUUGUCGGCCGGUUCGGAUACAUCGGCGGGUUUUUCCUGGGUGGCGACGGCAGCCGCCCCUUUAUCGGCUUCCUCGUUGCCGUGUAGCCCGGUGUGCGAGAUCACUUUAAUUAGAGCGGUGGGUGCGCCCCGAGCGUGGCGUGCAUGGAGCAAUGCCACGAUUGAAUCCAGGAGGUCCCGAUGUUUACUCAGAUGCAGUCGCCGAGGCUCGUUAAUAGCUCGUUUGAUUAGGUACAAGCUUGCAACAGAAUCUGAUGCAAUAGUGAGCUUCUUAGUUGCAAAUUCUUUACCUUCGCCACCAAAGUCUGCGAGGGCAGCACGAAUUGCUGCCAGUUCAGCUCUCGUAAUAGUGUUUGUGCACCCAGCGCCAUUUGGAUUCACGUAGACAACGCGAGAAUCGCUGAACCAGGCGCAGGCACCGGCAACCUGGACUUCUUUGCCAUUUUCAGUUUUGAUUUUGCUUACCGAACCAUCUGUCCAGACAGUGCCAUUCACGUCGUGGGCCAGAGCAUGGUGGGUCUGGAAUCACGCGUUAGGAAAGCGUCGUGCUUCGUCAGCCAUGGCGUGUAUCGUCUUUGGGUUAGCGUGUUGAUAUUUGGCUUGCUUUAGAAGUGAGUUUGGGAGGGCCGGGCAGGUUGGGGCCGUGGCCGUGUGUGUCCACGUGCGCGGGUCGCUGAUGUGCGUGGGUGCGUUCGCCCCCCGUUUCAGUGUGUCCACGAGCCGUUUCAGGCGGGGGGCAAAGCACUGGAGUCCGGCGGGGUUCCCAACAAUGACCAGUCGGAGCCCCUUCUGGCGUUCAGCCUGGGUGUUGGUGCCAAGUCCUGUGUCGAGGCCCGCGGUGCCCGCGGACCAGUUGGCCAGCUCGUGGCAAAGUGGGUGUUGAAGCCACUGCGUGUGGGGGAAAGUGGCCGCUUUGGGGAGCGCCAAUACAGUAAGGGUUGGUUCCUGUGAGUCACGCAUAGCCUCGGCGCAUGCGAGGGCCCACAUGAGCGCCUUCCGUGCAUCGUGGGGGGUAGAGGGGGGGUGGGCAUAUUGCAAGCCGGUCCAUGCGGUCUGGUAGGCAUCGUGCAGUGCGCCAAAGGUCCCAUCAGCAGGGUCUCGUGUCCAGUAUUAAUAAUAAUAAUAUCUACGCAGGGCACAGGUGCCCGCGUGUCUUAAGGAGGAGUGAGACAAGCUCACCCCACCAUCGGAAAACUUGAUUUCCCUACCCCGGCUCCCCUGCGCGGGGGCCGCCAUUGGCGGUCCCCUGGGUGCGGCCUCCCGGGCGGCAUCGGGUGUUGGCAAUGCCCAUCUCUCGCUCUAGCCGGUAGUACAGGUUUGCGGUGCCCCGGAGUGUGGUGACGCUAUGCAUGUGGAGACGUGUGCAGCAGGCCUUGGCUGCCUGCGGUUUGGCUCCUAGGUCUUUGAGGAGAGUUUCAAGGGUACGGGGGAUAGUGCCACCGUGGCCCAGUGUAAUAACGUGUUUAGUAUCGUAGUGGACAGUCCACCCUGCAGCUCGCAUGGCAGUGGCAAGGGUGGCGUGCUGUGCUUGUUUUUGAAUGAGCUUCUCGCUGUGGUGCAGGUCAGAGGUGUAUCCAACUUCAAGGAUGUACACUGGGUAGGCCCCUUUGUUGGCUGGUGGGGAUGUCAUGAAGCGUUCUGCUUCGGACCGGGGAAGGUUCGGGAUAAACAGAAUGUCAGGCCGCAUCCUGUUGAGGUCUGCAGCGGGCACUUGCGGGCAGAGCCAGGACGGCGGCCGCAUGCCCGCACAGUACUCAGGCAGUUCAGCUCGGGAGGUGGCAUCCAUUAUCAUGUAGCCACCACCGUUGUGACCAUGGUGUAGGCAUUCGGCAAUCGUCCGCACUGCAGUGUUGUGUUUGGCUAUCCUAGCGCCAACGAGUUGGGGGUGCGCGCAGUGGCCGGCAAGGUGACCUGCGGUGCCACGCUCUGGGUCAGAUCCGCGGCUGCGCUGGGUGUGGGCACAGAGACCACAUUUGUCGCUGUCUCGUAGUUUAAACAAAGCCAGCCGGGCUGGGCAGAUGAGGCCUCCCUGACGAGCAUUCUGUAUGAACCGGCGUAGGCCGUGGCUGGCGUCCGAGUUCGUCAUGUACGCGUUACUGGCGCGUGGGUCAAGGCUGGGUGCUGCCUCGGCCCAUUUCUCAGUGUACAGGGUUUUGUUGGCGUAUCCACCACGGCAGCUGGGGGCCAUUGCCCUGGUGAGGCCCCGGUUUAGGUCCGACACGUAGUGCGUGGCUGUGCUAUCGUCGUCCCUGGUGACCGUGAAGGUCGGCCACCAGUGCCGGGCGUGCGGGUCGUUGUCGGCCGGUUCGGAUACAUCGGCGGGUUUUUCCUGGGUGGCGACGGCAGCCGCCCCUUUAUCGGCUUCCUCGUUGCCGUGUAGCCCGGUGUGCGAGAUCACUUUAAUCAGAGCGGUGGGUGCGCCCCGGGCGUGGCGUGCAUGGAGCAAUGCCACGACUGAAUCCAGGAGGUCCCGAUGUUUACUCAGAUGCAGUCGCCGAGGCUCGUUAAUUGCUCGUUUGAUUAGGUACAAGCUUGCAACAGAGUCUGAUGCAAUAGUGAGCUUCUUAUUUGCAAAUUCUUUACCCUCGCCACCAAAUUCUGCGAGCGCAGCACGAAUUGCUGCCAAUUCAGCUCUCGUAAUAGUGUUUGUGCACCCAGCGCCAUUUGGAUUCACGUAGACAACGCGAGAAUCGCUGAACCAGGCGCAGGCGCCGGCAACCUGGACUUCUUUGCCAUUGUCAGUUUUGAUUUUGCUUACCGAACCAUCUGUCCAGACAGUGCCAUUCACGUCGUGGGCCAGAGCAUGGUGGGUCUGGAAUCGCGCGUUAGGAAAGCGUCGUGCUUCGUCGGCCAUGGCGUGUAUCGUCUUUGGGUUAGCGUGCUGGUAUUUGGCUUGCUUUAGAAGUGAGUUUGGGAGGGCCGGGCAGGUUGGGGCCGUGGCCGUGUGUGUCCACGUGCGCGGGUCGCUGAUGUGCGUGGGUGCGUUCGCCCCCCUUUUCAGUGUGUCCACGAGCCGUUUCAGGCGGGGGGCAAAGCACUGGAGUCCGGCGGGGUUCCCAACAAUGACCAGUCGGAGCCCCUUCUGGCGUUCAGCCUGGGUGUUGGUGCCAAGUCCUGUGUCAAGGCCCGCGGUGCCCGCGGACCAGUUGGCCAGCUCGUGGCAAAGUGGGUGUUGAAGCCACUGCGUGUGGGGGAAAGUGGCCGCUUUGGGGAGCGCCAAUACAGUAAGGGUUGGUUCCUGUGAGUCACGCAUAGCCUCGGCGCAUGCGAGGGCCCACAUGAGCGCCUUCCGUGCAUCGUGGGGGGUAGAGGGGGGGUGGGCAUAUUGCAAGCCGGUCCAUGCGGUCUGGUAGGCAUCGUGCAGUGCGCCAAAGGCCCCAUCAGCAGGGUCUCGUGUCCAGUAUUCGUGGGCUGCAGUGGAGGAGUUUAGUGGGGACGCAAACAUUUCCCGAAUGUGUACUGCUUGUGUGACCCGCAGGCAUUGGACGAUGGCUGCUACUGUGCCUGCCGGCAGCGACACCUGGUGCAUUGGCAUGGCCUUGCGGUCCUGCUGCGCCGGGUCAUAGCGGUAGCGCAUGAUGAGGGCAGCGACCGCUUCCUCAAAGGCGUUGGGCCGCUGGUUGCCGGUGUGCCUGAAGCGUUCCCACAGGGUAAGGAGGCGGGGGUAGGUGAUGGUGCCCAGCCAGCGGCCACUGGGUUCAUGGACGUGCGCCUCAGCUGGGUCACGGCGGGUGCCACCAGUGGUGGUAAUUGUGACCCGGACCGGCGCUGAAGACUGACGUACCGGCCUGCUGUAGAUUAACUUAAGGUCUGACCGGAGCAUGCACAGCAAAUCAAGACCCAGCAUGGAGCGCGUUCCUUGUUGCAUGGGGCUGCAUGGGGCUCAUAUAUUUCGGGUUCAGUUCUUCACUCUUCAAGCAACCUGUCUUUGUCACAUGUAGCUACAUACCUAUCGUUCAGCACCAUGUAGAGACUUCGUGGUCCUCUUCCAGUCGGCCAUGGACUUGCUUUCAAAGUUGGCGCUCAAGUCUACAGGGCGAGUCUUCAAGUCCUGCUAAGCCCUGGCAUCAAUCUUUGGAAGGUAUUUUAUGAGCUGCUGGUGCUGGGGCUGGGCUGCGCUGUCGCAGGGGGUGUCGGACCCUCGUUGACCGGGUCUACAACUAAGCCAGGUCUUGACGCUGCUGUUACAGGAUGUAAAUCAAGCAUCAGAGACCAAGUCUGGAAUCAACAGUGCCAGGUGAGGCAGGUCAGGACACAUAGCGACAGCCAUUUCAGGGGGUCGACAAGCGACAACAAAUUCAGGGGGUCAAGCGAGCUAGCAUCCAUGCGCAGUAUGGACGAAGUUGUAAGAGCAUAAGCAGAAAUUCAGAGUGUGAAGCUCCCCCCUCCCCCUCCCCUUGUCUCCUCAGGUCCGGCACUGGAAUUCGACUCGGGGCGCGGCGCGCGUAAAUGCGUGGCCCUUCUAACCCUCACCAGGCAAGUUUGAUCGGAAGUUGCUACACAACUCAUAAUAGGAUGAAUGAUAGGAUUUGAAUGACGUACAUGGGAAGUGAGUUCUAGGGGACUGAAUGCGGUCUAGGCCCUGCCCUGCAUGACACCGUGCCACCAUGCACUGACCAACUUACCCCAAACACCAUGCAGGCCGAGCUCAAGUAUGGAGGCGGCUAGCGGCAAGCGGCAGACUUCAGGUGGCGGCAGCGGAAUUGGCAGGCGGCGCUGUGCGCGCAUGGUGUUAUGGUGUGAUCGGCGGGUGGCUGGGUGUAGUGCUGGCAGGGGAUCCGUAUCGGUUGCCUUCACACUUGCCUCGAGACCCUGAGUAUGCCUGGUCUGUACGUUUAGUGUUGUGUAGCAAUGGUAGGCCUUGCAGAAUGUGUGCGUGCAGCACGUGGUGGGUUGCGGGUCGUGUGGACGGAGCGGGCGGGAGAGCCAUGCGGACUUGCACCAUUUUGGCACACCACGACACCAGUACGAGGGGCACGUGUCGGAGCGCAGAUGCAUGAACUGUAACACAUCAAGAGAGCUUCAGGUGCCUCAUGUGCCCCAUUUUAUGUGCCGUGCGGGACGCGCACAGUAUCGGGUGGGACGCACACAGCGCCGGGUGGCAGCUUGCUUUAGGUAAAGCACAGGCGUGCCGCAUGCGUG
rnacentral:lncRNA from 1 species